rnacentral:lncRNA from 1 species
UAGCAGCGGUGGCACUGGCAAUCCAUGCUGCGCAACCAGCACCUCAACUUUACUGGAACUCCGUCCUGCCAAACACACAGAUGCCAAGAUCUAUCAGUGAACUUCUGCAUCCUGGUUUGUGUUAAGCCAUUUAGAAUCUUAGAUAUUUUUUCUACCUGCCAUUUUACUGAAAUGUGUUCCGACCACAUAUUUAUCGGUUAACUACUGUUUUCCAAUUUAUUAUUAACCUCGACAAAAGUUAUUACAUGAGUAAUUAUAGUAUGGUACUAGAGUACGUACGGCUAAAAGACUUACGGAAAUGUGUUCCGACCACAUAAAAGACUUACGGAAGGCUGGUGAGUUCUCCAAGUUUUCUAAACGCAGUGCCUGUUGGAAGAACCUGUAAGAGAGUUCAAUUAUUGAAGGCUCCCCAGUCUGAGCACCUGUGAGAUUGUAAAGAUCCUCGAGAAUGAAAAAUGGCAGCUGAUUUUCGAGCAUAAGCAUGUCAGGCAAUAUAUUUUGUUGCACCCAUGGUUUUUUAAAUAUCCAAGCAUUAUCAUCCGGCAAUUUUUCUUCCUGAAAUUUUUCUUCGGAUUUAUUCCUCAACAAUAGCUCAAUGACAAAGGCGGCAUCAACUAGAAAGAUAUUCACAAAAGCGGCAAUGUUAAACUUCUUAGUGUCUUCAUAAUAAUGACGGAGUUCAACUUCUCUCUCCUUUAGGUACCUGAGUUUGUGAUCUUCCAUGGCUUCUAAGUUUUUGCUGCCAUGGUGAAGUGGGCCUAUUGAGACUACUUGUGGUGUGUAGGCCUUUUGUUUUACGUUCCGUAGUCGCUCAGGCACCCUGUAGAUAUUGCAGGCAGGGGACAGGGCACGCAAGUUUGUCAACUGAUUUUCCAUGGAAGUUGCUUGGUUUUCUAUGUCAAAAGAAGCUUCAUUGCUGCUUUCUUCCACUUUCUUCCUCCGCAUUAUGUGUUGUUCUGAUUGUAAGUGACGAGGAUGGUGAUGAUUCUAGACACCAUAAUCAACAAAUGUUUCAAUCAUAAUUGACAUUUCAAGAUGCUUCCGACAAAAAAUUAGAAAACAUUCAUCACAAAAUGCGAACUCAUACAAUAGAUGGGUUGAGAAGAUCCACACAUUGCAAUCAUACAAUCCAAUUGCACAGGGAUUACUCCCUAUUCUCCUCUCUCUCUAAAAAAGAUUUUCAUAUCGAUAACAUCUUAUUACAAGGGAUUUGUAUAUCAAGUGGUGAUGAACAGAAAUUCAUAUUCUUUCAAUCAAAAUAUACAAAUUUCGAAAAAGUUUGUUUGUUUUAUUUUUGGAGGAAAAAAAUCUGAGCAUAUAUAGAUGCAUAUUAUACGUAGACCUAAGGUGAAAACAUACCAGAUUUUUACUCCAUUUUUCAUGAGGUUUAAGUUCUUGAUGUAUAUAUUUAUCUCAAGUGUAACAUCCCACAUUGAUCAACGGAGAGGGGGUGAUGUGCCUUAUAUGUACAUGCCAGCCUCCAUCUAGCACGAGGCUUUUUGGGAGCUCAUUGGCUUCGGAGUCAUAGGAACUUCGAAGUUAAGCGAGUUGGAGCUAGAGCAAUCCCAGGAUGGGUAACUCAUUGGGAAGUUGCUUGUAAGUUCCCAGAAAUAAAACCGUGAGGGCAGAUAGGGGGCCCAAAGCGACCAAUAUCGUGCUACGGCGGAACCGAUUCUGGGAUGUGACAAUUUGGUAUCAGAGCCACUCUGCCGUGUGGUGCGAGUGUGCCGACGAGGAUGUCGAACCCUUGAAGGGGGUGGAUUGUAAUAUCCCACAUUGACCAACGAAGAAUGGGUGAUGUGCCUUAUAUGUACAUGCCUGCCUACAUCUAGCACGAGGCCUUUUGACAGCUCACUGGCUUCAGAGUCAUAGGAACUCCGAAGUUAAGUGAGUUGGUGCUAGAGCAAUCCUAGGAUGGAUGACGUGACAUCAAGAAUUUAUAUCCUCCCUUUUAGAUCUCAUGUUCCAGUCAAAACAUAUAGAAACAAACGAAACAUAAGAAACUAAAAUCUUGUUUAUACCCAUCCUCCCACCCACCCACGGCCAUCCACCCCUACUGAAAGGACCCGCCCCCAAUUUUCUCAAAACCCGAGACGAACCCUUUGGAAUUCCUGACAUCACCCCGAUGCCAGGCCCACUUACUAAAAACUGAGACUUCCUGCCGAAAUUUCGGCAGAGUCUCCCCUAUAAAUUGGACAUUUCCCAAAAUUUCAACCUGCAUAAAAACGCAUUUAAUAUUCCCAACUGGCAGCAUGCACAAUAUAAUUUCAUGCAAUUCACACAAAUGGCCUUCGGCCUUUCAAUAAUUCCUAUCCAACUACCAAACCAUUCAAAUACAAAUUAUGACUAAUAUUUAGUCUGCGGCUGCACCUAAUAACCUUAGGCUGCCUACGUACCCUCCUUGAGGGAUCAAGCCACACGUAGUUCUUCCCUAAAACCCAAUUCCACACUUGGGCGAUACCUUAUUUCAUUUCUCUGGAUUUCAUAUAAUCUCCCCAUACGCCGGUACAACCAACGCCACGUAUGGGGCCUGUCAACACGCCGGAUAACCUACGCCACGUGCGACCAUGCCAUACUAUCAUAAUAUCUCCCCAUACGCCGGUACAACCAACGCCACGUAUGGGGCCUAUCCCAACGCCGGAUAACCUACGCCACGCGGGACCUCAAUAUUCAUAUCACAAAUCUCCCCAUACGCCGGUACAACCAACGCCACGUAUGGGGUCUGUCGACACGCCGGAUAACCUACGCCACGUGCGACCUCAACACAAUAUCACAAUAUCUCCCCAUACGCCGGUACAACCAACGCCACAUAUGGGGUCUGUCUCAACGCCGGAUAACCUACGCCACGUGAGACCUGAACAUCAUAUUACAAAUCUCCUCAUACGCCGGUACCACCAACGCCACGUAUGGGGCCUGUCCCAACGCCGGAUAACCUACGCCACGUGGGACCUAACUUUUACUUGGUGGUGCUUGUAGUGAAUCCAAAAUCCGGGGAGGUACCUAAAGUAGUGCGUAUAGCACUCCAAACUGACACUCUAGACUCUGUUGUACCCUUGUACAACCAUAUAUAAUUAUAGUUAUAUAAAUUAAUUCUAAUAUUGUGUAACCCUCCACAAUAAUCUAGCUCCCGAUAAUCCCCCCCUUAGAAAGGUGAGAUUACUCCGGGAGACUCACGGUCAACCAAGGGUCAAACUACUCUAACCCUGGUCAACCGGACCUGCAGAACCCACGACCUCCAAUUUCUGAUCCGAAAGUCUCUAUGGGUUCUACUAGGUAUAGGACACUUGUCCUGCAAGUUUGGUUCAGAUCGGACGGUCGGAUUUCUCACGAUCGCACGAUCUGACGGUUAAUAUAAAAUAUAAACUUUAAAAUUAUUAUUCGGAACAUCCGGGGCUCCGAUUCACGAUCUGUAAAUUCCUACAUGAUCCUAGAAAUACCUUGAUUAACAUAUAUUAAAUUUGGGACCAUCCAACGGUCCCAACCUAUCGAACCCGGAUAACAUACACUAUGCGAUUAUCUGUUCGAUAGUCAAACGACGUCCGAAUUGAGAUCCGCGAAAUCCUACGCACUCGUGACAACCUAAGGAUCUCAUCGGAACACAUCGCUACUUUUUAUACAGUGCCCACGCGCCGCCGCACGCUCCGGCAGCGCGUGGGUGCCCAAAGCGAUAACGCUUCGCCGGAAAAUCUCAACAUCUCGGCUCCAAACUCCUACCCUAGGUAUAACACCCUAUUUGGAGCCACUUUUGUUCUUGGACCUACCCCAAAAAUUGGCCGGAAAUGGCCGAUCACGGCGGCCGAAGUUCGGCCGAUUUUCAAUUCGAAAAUCGAGUUGUCUACGCUAAGAAUCGAUCUAAUCCUACCCAACAGGCAGCUAGAGCAUGAAAAAUAGGUGAGAAACCAUACCUUGCUCGUCGGAUUUGGUGGCCGGAGGAGGGAGAUCGAGCUCCUUGAAUUUUGGGUUAAAAUCGGUCGGAUUUUUGCAUUUUCCGGCGAGCACAGGUGGUUCCGGUGGCUGAGAUCGGUCGGGAUGGAAAGAGGAGGAUGGCACGGUUCUUUUGGGACCGGUGCCACCCCGAGUGGUGGCCGGAUGCGGCGACGGCGGCCCAAAAAACCGCCGCUGUGAACAGUAACAGGGGGGGCUGUUCUGCGCGCAGGGGAGAGAGAGAGAGAGAGAGAGAGAGAGAGAGAGAGAAAAUCUGAUUUUAUAAAAAAUCCCAUUUCAAAAUAUUUACGAUUGUGCCACUGGACUUCUUUUGACCAUAUCUCUCUCGUUACAACUCCGAUUCGAGCCCACUACGUGUCUGUGAACUCGUCUCAGUACGACCUAUCCAAAAAUAUAAGUCACGGUCCCAAACUCUCUCUGGUUAAAAAUAUGACUAAAAUACCCUUAAAUAAUUAAAUAAUUAAAUGAGGGUAAAAUUUGGGAAAAUUUGGGGUCGGGGUGUUACACCUACCCUCUAUCUCCAUUAAAUCUACAAGUAGCUCAUCAAUUUAUCCACUAUCCCAAGUUCAAUAUACAACCCAACAACCAUCUUACCCAUCUUCUCAUUGAUCUUCCACCCAGCAUCCAACACUAUCUUCAUAAACUCUUUACCCUUUAAAAUAAAUAUGGCAAUAAACUAAAAAUUCUGAUUUAACGCAUGUUUUGCUCAUAAGAGAACUAAAACCUAAAAAUUCUAUACUCUUACACAAAAAAUAAAAAAUAAAAACUAAAAUUGAAAUGGUUAUCAAACAAACCCUUAUAUUACAAAAAACACUGUAAGGGAGGUAAAUAGUACGUUUACAGAGUUUAAGUGUAAUAAAGGAAUAAAAACAUGCCCAGAGGAUUGAUAAGUGAUAUCAAUUCUUGAAUAUACAGAACGUAAAAUAAAGCAACACGUAAAAAAUUAUUUUAUAUGGUAAAACUCCAUCUCUGGGGAAAAUCCAUGGGACUUCUUAGUCCAAAACAAAUCCAUUAUAGAACGAUGAUUAUAAGAAGUACUCACACACUUAUCCUAAACACAUUCUAGAUAAUGUUUAUUGACCUCUUCGUAACUCAACUUCUGUCUCGGGAUGAUCUUUCGACACUCUUUAUGUUGAAUGCAAUAUUGGUCACGGUUUCUUCAAGCUCGUCAGAGUUCUUCCAACUCUCCUAAUAUUGAAUUCGAUACUAGUCACGAUUGAUUCAAGCUCAUCGUAGAAAAACCGUCACAAUGGUCUUGGUGCCCUCAACCGUAUGAGUCAUUGAACAUGCAAAUGAAUACAAUAUGAAUGAUAAAAGUGUUUGAUAAAUCACCGAGUUAUGGAACACUUGAUGAUUUAUCUCAAAUAAAAACUCAGCUUUCCAAAAUUUAUGAAUUGAAAAUAUGAUCGUUAAUGCUCUCUAAACAAAGAAGACAAAGGUCUUAUUUUAGACUUUUUCUUUACAAGAAAGAAAAUAAGUUGGAAACCAAAUCUCCAAUUUCCAAGGCAAAAUCACAAAAGUAUCUUUUCUAGAGAUUGGUCACAUGUAGUCCAACCAAUAGGAAAUGAGAUAUUUAAGAAAGGAAGAUUUUGAUCAAUAUCAAUAUCAAAUGAAUUCUUAUACGCCUAGUCAACUAUUAAGGGUAUCUUGACUCCUUGAUAUUUUGAUAUGAUUGAAACAUGAUUUCCAAGUUAGAAAAUUAAGGGGAUGUUAAAACAUGAAAGUAAUAGGAGAAACAAAUUUAUUUGGACCAAAAUUGCCUAAAAAGAAAACACUCCUAAAUAAACUUCAAUUCACUUUAGUAAAACAUGAUUGAAUCGUUCGUUAAAACAAUUCCCUAAUAUACAUGCAUGAUAAUGACAUCACUUACUCCUGAAUCAAAUUGUCACGCCCCGGACCCGGGGGUUGAUGGAAAUUCCGCGCCCGGUGCGUAAGAAAAUAAAAAGUAAAAUAAAAUAAAAAGAAAGCCGAAACAAGGUGCUAAAUGAAAACUAUGAGAGAAUAUUUGUUUGUGGGAAUUUUCUGUGUAUUCUUCUCCUUGUAGGAGGUCAUAUUUAUAAUACAACGAAACCUGAAUGGGCAAGUAAAUAAUAAAUUCCUAAAUCUAUUUGCAGUAGGAAAUCAGGAAUUAAAGUAAAUCAAUUACAAUUAUAAUAGGAAUUCUUGGUGUGUAAGGAAAGUAAAUCAAUAUCCACAAGUCAAGCCAACACUCCCCCUCACGUUGGUGCAUAGAUGUCGCCAAUGCCCAACUGAUCUAGUGAAUUGUGGAAUGCUUUACUGGAAAUCGCCUUUGUCAAAAUAUCCGUCAAUUGAUCCACGGAUUUCACAAAAGGAAACUGAAACACUUUAGCCUCAAGCUUUUGUUUGAUGAAGUGUCGAUCCACCUCAACAUGUUUUGUACGGUCAUGCUGAACCGGAUUCUGUGCAAUGGCUAUAGCAGCCUUGUUGUCACAAAAGAGAUUCAUUGUGGAUGUAGGUUUAUACCCAAGUUCAGUAAGCAACUUUCUUAACCAAAGAAGUUCACAAAUCCCUUUAGUCAUGCCUCUGACCUCGGCUUCUGCACUGGAUAAAGCUACUACAUUCUGUUUCUUGCUUCUCCAUGUCACCAAAUUACCUCCCACGAAUGUGAAGUAACCCGAUGUGGAUUUUCUAUUUGUUACAUUACCUGCCUAAUCUGCAUCUGAAUAACCAUCAAUAUUUAGAUGACCAUGCUUUGAGAACAUAAGUCCUUUUCCAGGUGCAGACUUCAAAUAUCUAAGUAUCCGAAGAACUGCAUUCAUAUGGUCUUCACUUGGAGAGUGCAUAAAUUGACUGACAAUGCUCACUGCAUAAGCAAUGUCUGGUCGAGUAUGUGACAAAUAGAUCAAUCUUCCCACUAAUCUUUGGUAUCUUUCUUUGUUAGUUGGAACUUGAUCCGGAUAUUCUCCAAGAUGAUGAUUCUGAACAAUAGGAGUGUCCGCAGGUUUACAAUCUAGCAUUCCUGUGUCUGUCAACAAGUCUAAGACAUAUUUCCUUUGAGAGAGAAAUAUGCCUUGCUGCGAUCGAGCCACCUCAAUUCCCAAGAAAUACUUGAGUCCACCUAGAUCCUUCAUCUCAAACUCCGUAGCCAGAUAGCCUUGUAGCUGUGAUAUUUUCUGUUUAUCAUUCCCAGUAAUAAUCAUAUCAUCAACAUAGAUUAUUAAUGUUGUUACCUUCCCUUUUCGAUGUUUCAAGAACAGAGUAUGAUCUGAGUUGCACUGUUUGAAACCAUUGUUCUUCAUUGCCAUGGUGAACCGUCCAAACCAUGCACAUGGUGACUGUUUCAAUCCAUACAAUGCUUUUCAUAACCUUCAAACUGUUCCAGUCUGAGUAGUAUUAUAUCCAGGAGGAAUGUCCAUGUACACCUCCUCCGUGAGUUCGCCAUGUAGAAAAGCAUUCUUUACAUCAAACUGGUGUAGUGGCCAAUCCAAAUUAGUUGCAAGGGACAAUAAGACUCUGGGUGUUUAACUUUGCAACUGGAGCAAAGGUUUCUUCAUAGUCUAUACCAUAGGUCUGUGUGUACCCUUUUGCCACAAGUCUUGCCUUGUAUCGCUCGAUAGAUCCAUCUGCAUUGUGUUUUAUAGUAAACACUCAUCUACAUCCGAUAGUCUUUUUUCCUCGGGGUAUAGUCUCCAAUGUCCAAGUCUGAUUUUUCUCAUUGGGCUUUCAUCUCCUCUUUUAUAGCUUGGACCCACUUAGGAUCUUUCAAUGCUUCAGAGACCUUGGUUGGAAUAUGGAUAGCAAACAACUGAUACACAAAAGCCUUGAGUAGUUCAGACAGCUUCUCAGUGGAUACAUGAUUUGCAAUUGGAUACUUGGAUGUCUUGCCAAUAUCAGGUGAAUAACGGUUUGGUGGCUUCCCACGAUUUUGCCUGAAAGGUAAUUGAUAUCCAAUAGUUUUAUCAUCUAAAUGCAAAGUCUAGUAGGAGUAGUUACCUCAAGGAUAUUCUCAGGAGAUUGGUCUGUUGGUACUGUUGAGUUAGAGCGGGGGUCUUCAUCUUGUUGUUCUGUAUUGUCUGUAGGUGUGAGACUCGGAUCAGAAAUAUCUUCACAUGGAUCAGGUGGGUCAGGCAAUUGAUCGCUAUGAAUGGGCGAUUGGUCACUUUUCGACAGAGAGUAAUCUCGUGCUCCAGACUCAGAAUGAUCAAUCAUUUCUAUACAAAGGAGAAUUUCUUUAUUUUCCAAGUCGCUCCAAUUAUGCUCUUCACUUCGUAUCUCCCCCUGAAGUGUAGAAUUGGAUGAUGGGUCAUGGAAGAACAGCUUAGAUUCCAGAAAGGUCACAUCCAAAGUGACAUAGGUUCGUUGGGUAGGAUGGUGAUAACAGCGGUAGCCUUUCUGAUGAGUGGCAUAACCCACAAAAAUACAACAAAGCGCACAUGGAUCAAGUUUGCUACGUUGAUUUUUGUGGAGAUGAACGAAAGCCACACAUCCAAAGAUUCGAGGUGUGAGUACCAAAACAGAAGGCAGAGGUCUGUGUUGUGCCAGCACCUGUAAGGGAGUUUUAAAGGUCAGUACACUAGAAGGCAUGCGGUUGAUCAGAUGAACUGCGGUGACAAUAGCAUCAUCCCAAUGAUGGCGAGGACCAUGAGCGUCAAUCAGAAGCGGGCGGUUUCAAGAAGAUGUCGAUUCUUUCGUUCAGCAACACCAUUUUGUUGUGGUGUCUGAGGACAAGUCGUCUCAUGGAUAAUUCCAUGUUGUUGGAACUAAUUCUGAAAGUCAUGAUUGACAAAUUCUCCACCAUUGUCUGAGCGAAGAAUCUGAAUUUGAGCAUUAAACUGAGUUUUCAUCUGUUUGUGGAAGGACUGAAAAUAGGAAAACACUUCGUUUUUAUUUUUCAGCAAAUAAAGCCAUGUCAUCCGUAUACAAUCAUCGAUGAAUGUGACAAACCAUCGAACACCAGAAGGAGCAGUGACAGGAGAAGGUCCCCAGACAUCAGAGUGAAUUAACGUAAAUGGAGUAGUACACUUGUUCGUACUCAACGGGUAAGGCACACGGUGACUCUUGGCCAAAAUACAAGUAUCACAUGUGAAGUCAGAGUCCUUGAAACCUGAGAAUAAAUCUGGUAUAAGAUGCUUCAUAUAACUAAAAGACGGAUGUCCCAAUCGACGGUGCCACAACCAGAUUUGCUUUUGUUUGCUAUCAAAGGGAUGUGUCACGCUGUUAGCCAUGCGAGACUGAAGUCAUCGACAUAAUAUAGCCCCCCUCUCUUAGUACCACGACCAAGAAUCUCCUUAGUGUGAAUAUCCUGAAACAAAUAAAAACUCGGGUAAAUGAGUACACAACAAUUCAAUUGUUCAGUAAGCUGACUAACUGACAACAAUUUAGUGGAUAAAGAUGGAACAAGUAAAGUAUUAGACAGUGUGAGAGAGGAUGAGAGUGCAACAGUGCCAGCCCCUGUCACAGGAUAAGUAACACCAUUGGCAUUUGCAAUACAGGGUCGUCGAGGUUGUGUAGUAUUCAGAAAAUCAUCAGGAUCAAACGUCAUAUGAUCAGUUGCACCGGAAUCAAUUAUCCAGCUCCUCGAAUCAAUCUUAUCGGAAGUAUGAAAUCCAUAACCAGUACCAUUACUGGUCAAAUUGCAUUGUCCUUGAUCUGUAAGAGUAGCCCACCAAUUGGGGUAGCCAUGCGAUUUAAAACAAGUCUCAAAAGUGUGUCUCGGAUCACCACAAUAUGCACAAGCUGGUCCAUGUGUCGGGGUCGUUAGUCUAGAAGUCAUAAUCUGUGCAGCGGAAGAUGCAUAGGAUACAGGUUGAGUAGGAAUUGGGAUUGGAAUCUGAGCCUGAGUCGGGGACGGAGUCGGAGUCGAAAUCGAGAUCAGGGUCUGAAUCAGAGACAAAUUCGGGGUUGGGGUCGUCAUCGGAGUGGGGUCGGGGUCAUCUUCGGAGUCGGGGUCGGGGUCGUCAUCGUCAUAGUCGGGGUCGGGGUCAGGGUCGUCAAAAGAGGAUCUUGAUUCUGAAUCGGAUUCGGGGUCAAAGUCUGCAUCUGUAGGAGCGGAGCCAUCUGGGCACUCAACUCAACGAUGGUGGGUGGAGAAUGAGAGAAGGAGUCGGUGGUGCUACCUCCAUGAGGGUUGAAAAAAUCAUCAACCCCCAUAGCAGCGGUGGGGGUUUGAAACUAGAGUCAGCAAUUCCAAGAUUACCGCUCUGAUACCAUACUAAAAUAUGAAAACUAUGAGAGAAUAUUUGUUUGUGGGAAUUUUCUGUGUAUUCUUCUCCUUGUAGGAGGUCAUAUUUAUAAUACAACGAAACCUGAAUGGGCAAGUAAAUAAUAAAUUCCUAAAUCUAUUUGCAGUAGGAAAUCAGGAAUUAAAGUAAAUCAAUUACAAUUAUAAUAGGAAUUCUUAGUGUGUAAGGAAAGUAAGUCAAUAUCCACAAGUCACGCCAACACAAGGGUUUAAAAUAAACCUCUCUUAUAAAAUAGCUCCAAAAUCUUACAACUUUACAAGAAAUAAAUAAAGCUUUAUCAUUCUUAUCUAAUUAAGCCUCAACUUGUUUAGUCCUUGUCUUGCCCACUAAUUCGUCUGAAAAAUUAAAGGGACAUGCAUGAGACCUUACCACAGUAGAUUGAUAUAACUAAAAUUAUCAUAAACAUAGAAAUAUAUAAGUAUUAUUAUAAUAGGAUUCAUAAUAAUUAAUAUAAAAGUAUAACAACAAUAUUUACGUAUACGUACCAAGAUAAUUACACAUAUAAAUAUAACCAAUAUAUAUUUAUAUAUAUUUUAAAAUACGGGUCUUCACACAAAUGCCUUUCGCUGGUCAAGCCACAAGUCUGUGUUUUGGGGAUUGCUGAGCUGCAUCAAUCCUGCCAAUGUCAAUUCUGCCCCUAGGCUCUCUCAAAGCACGUUUACAACCUAUGCUAACAUAUACUAGAGUUUGUGCUAGUAUCUAGAAAAUGCCAACACUAAUUUCGUAACACGUAGAAAUUGUUAGAGAUUGGAAGUUUUUAUCAUUUUUUCUUCCAAUCUCUCCACCACUCACUAAUAUAGAUUACUCAUGUGAUGAGGUUAUAAAACCUAUUUCUCUACUCUCUCAUUUGUUAUUUACUUUUUUUUUCCUUGGAAAUAUGUUCCGCCAACGUGAGAAAGAAAAAUAUGCACAAAUUGAUAUAUUUAAUAGAAGCCCAAGAUUUCGGAAGCACAUAAUUUCUACAAAAAUCUACAAAGUGUUCUACUUUACAAACUUCAUAUGUCUACCAAUUUCUACUAAAAUUAAUUUCUCUGUAGUGCUCAGAUUCAUCAUAUGUGUAUCCUUAAUUCUAGUGAAAAUUGGAAGUUUCCAUCAUUUUUAUUUUCUGAGAAUUUUCUGAACCAAGGAAAGGGAAAAUAUCUAGAGGAUGCAUUGUAGGAUUGCUCAUGCCAAUAAUUGUACCCUCUAAAUAUAUAAAGGGACAUUUUUUUUUUUUUUUCAUGACAUGUGGUCCUAAAAUUAUUGUUCCCAGCAGGCUCUCCACCCUUCUCAAAUUUAAGUGGUCCAUUAUGAUUAAUCAUGUAUUUUAUGGACCAUCCAGCUGUGAGGUUUUAUCUCAAAAACCUGCGGUACCUUUCUCCCACAUGCCACAUGCAAAUGAAUUUAAGUGAGAGAGGCAGUGGGAAGUAAUUAAGCUCUAUAUUGGUGGGUGGAGUGUUACUUCUGGGUACCCCUCAUCAUUCGUCUAUAAAAUGGUGAAGCCAGUUGCUACUGUUACCAUAAGAUCCAGCUCCGACUUUCUUUAAUUUCUUGCUUCAUAUCCACUAGCUACAUCUGUUGCCAAGUUAAUUUCAGUCCUAAUGGGGUUUCAUCUCCCACUCAUCUUUGCUCUUCUCAGUGUAAGCUCUGCAAUUUGAUUAACAUUUCCAUUAUCUCUCAUUGUACUCUAUAUAAACGAAAGUUUUGCGUUCCUAUAAUCCUCUCUGAUUUUAUUUACCACAUAAGUGUCGUCCACUAAUUAAUUACACUUUGUGAUUUUAUUUUAAUUAGAGUUCAAAUUAAUGUUGCAGCUAGCAGCGGUGGCACUGGCAAUCCAUGCUGCGCAACCAGCACCUCAACUUUACUGGAACUCCGUCCUGCCAAACACACAGAUGCCAAGAUCUAUCAGUGAACUUCUGCAUCCUGGUUUGUGUUAAGCCAUUUAGAAUCUUAGAUAUUUUUUCUACCUGCCAUUUUACUGAAAUGUGUUCCAACCACAUAUUUAUCGGUUAAGUACUGUUUUCCAAUUUAUUAUUAACCUCGGCAAAAGUUAUUACAUGAGUAAUUAUAGUGUGGUACUAGAGUACGUACGGCUACAUAUUCACAAAUGUGUCACUCACUCUUCAAUCGGCUGACCACUUAUUUUCCAUUAUGGCGUGGAUAUAUAAUUUGCAGACUCCAAAAAUGAAGAAAAGAGCACAAAUGACGUUGGCAAACCUGAAACUUUCCCAUUGGGCAAUAAACGUUACUACAGUCAAAAAAGGUAUGGAAGAGGCAAUAAAAGUUACCGCAGUCAAAAAAGGUAUGGAAGAGGCAAUAAAAGUUACUCCGUUCAAAAAAACUAUGGAAGAGGUGCUUCUCCAUCUGACAAUCAACUACUCCAUUAUAAAGACUUGGCUAUUUUCUUCUUGGAGAAGGACAUGAGCCCUGGCACAACAAUGAAGUUCCAAUUCCCUAGAAAUUCAAACACGGCUACUUUCUUGCCGCGAGAAAGCGCUCAAUCGAUCCCCUUCUCCUCUAACAAACUACCAGAAAUUUUCAACCAUUUUUCAGUGAAGCCAACAUCUGAGGAAGCCAAAACAAUUAAGCAAACAAUCGAAGAGUGUGAAGCUCCAGGCCUUAAGGGAGAGGAAAUAUAUUGCGCCACAUCUUUAGAAUCAAUGGUUGAUUUUAGCACUUCGAAGCUUGGAACAAGAAACGUUGAAGCAAUCUCGACGGAGGUAUUGGAAAAAGGAGGCACCAUGUCCAUCCAAAACUAUACAACAAUGCCGGGACUGAAGAAGUUGGCAGGUGACAAAGUCGUUGUGUGUCAUAAGCAGAACUAUCCCUAUGCUGUGUUUUUCUGCCAUGCAAUAAAACAUACAGCAGCUUAUGCUCUCUCCCUGAAAGGCGAUGAUGGGGAGAAGGUUAAAGCAGUAACCAUCUGCCAUCUAGACACAUCAGAAUGGGACCCAGAGCAUAUGUCCUUCCAAAUCGUCAACGUUAAGCCCGGAACCAUUCCCAUCUGCCAUUUCAUUUCCACUGAUGCUAUUGCCUGGGUUCCGAACCACAAAUCUGCAUGAUCAUCACUUAGCACUGUACGUAUAAUUAUCUCCUUACUUAUUUCUGCCUCUUCAUCAUGUGGUGUAAGAUAUAUGAUGAGAUGAAGUUUUUGGGAUUAGUGGUUGGGUUGCCUGAAAAACACAGAUUACAGAAACUGCUUGAAAUUAACCCGAUCAUGUUUUCUCUUGUAACUAUAUAGACUUCAACUUGUACUCAUAAUAAAGCAUGCUAUAUUUAUGAAGAGAUAUUAAUCUAUAUAUAUUUUUUAUAUAUGCUUUGGCUUUGUGGUUCUACCCAAUGUUUGAGUGUUGAAUUGUUACGUUGGAAUAGGCUGCUAAUGCAUGUAGUUAGAGAAGCCUUCAUUUAUAUCAAAGUCCUCAAACUAUCAAGAACUAAUGUAUCCAGAAACAUAUACCAAGACGCAAAACAACAUAUUUUCCAUGCUCUGUCUGUAACACCAAAGCAAACUUCCUUGAUCACAAAAGGAUCAAAUUCCAGUACUAAUCUAAUCCAUCAUGUAAAGCAUACAAGUGCCUCCCUAAAUACUAUACUCUUUUUGUUAUUUCCUACUAUACUAUUUAAGUUUGCAUACUCAUAUAGCAUAUGCAAACACAAUUAGAAAUUCUACAAGAUACAAACAACCCCCUCAACUUUGACCAGUGUGUCAAUUUAGUUCUUGAAAUUUAGAUUACAAAGCAAAAUCAAAUCAUACCAUGAAACACAAGCGACUUAAACCUCCAGGCAAAUAGAUAUUAUGAACAUAUAUAGCAAUUUAUAGAACAAUACAUUAAUCCAGAAGAAAUAUUAUGAAAUGAAAAGAAUAAAAAGUAGAAAAACACAAGGAAAGGAAUUUGCACCUGCUCACUUGCAGAUUGCUUUCUCCGGCCGUAGAUGUAACAGAAAUUUUCUCUUAAUAAUACCACAAUGAUCGGGUAAUUGUAAGAACAAGUUGAUUUAAAAUUCCUUGACCCAAAAAAAAAAAAAGUUGAUUUAAAAUUCAGGUCAACCCAUAGAUUUCUCCCCUUUUUCUUCUUCAUCUCGUGGGGCUUGUCUUCUUCUUGAGGAUUGUAUAGGCCAAGGAAAUGCUUUGAGUUAGUUUUUACGCUUUUGCGUUUUGGGCCUUGGAAGUUGGGACCCAAACCAACUUCACAAAAAGAAAACGCUCAGACUAUAAUGAAUGGAAAGUUAUAAGGGGUAAGUUAUAAGGGGUUCACUUUAUAGCCAUCAGAUCAAUCCAAGGGCUGGGGAGAAUUGAGAUAAAGUUUUAAAAUCGGGUAGGUGAGGAACCCAAACCCGAAUUGAAUAUCCAGCACGUCCGAAAAAGAAGAAGAAGAGGCAAGCACGUCCGAAAAAGAAGAAGAAGAGGCAAGUUCGAAGUUUGAACAGAAAAAACUCAUCUCUUUAAAACCCAUAGCUCUGAGAAACGGUUGAAGGCAACGGUUAACGACGGUUAAAGGCAACGGUUGAAGCCACUCCGUUCUCCAGACCCUGAAAAAGUAUUUAUUUUGAGUAGAAGGGGCAAAGGUGUGGAUUCCGAAACAGUGAAGGGGCGAAGCAGUGGAAGGGGGAGGAGAGAAGCCGUAUUCGUUGGAAGUGGUAGGUUCCAUUUGUGGAGCAAAGCAACACAAAGACCCCGCACAGACACCUUGCGAUUGUUCAAUAACCAGCAUUUGGUGAGUAAUUUAUGGAAUUUGAGUUUAGGGUUAGAGUAAUGGUUUUCCCCAAUUUGUACCAUCAAUUUUGUUGGAUUUGGCAUCUCUUCUUUGUGCUUCAGUUGCAUGUUAAUUUUUGCUUGGGUAUAUGUUAAAAAAAGAAUGAAAAUCAAGUCAAUAACAAGUGAAUAACAUGUCAAUAAUGAUAUGAAUAAGAUAAUGGUGUUGAAUUGGAGGAGGCCCUCAAAACAUUCCACAUUUGAAGCAGUGCAUAGUGCAGAUUAUCUCUCUGGCGCUAGAAUAUAUAUAUAUUUUGAAAUAAAUAUGAUUUCCUUUGUUACUAAAUUUGCCUGAGAAACAUGAGAACAGAUAAUAAUAAACUCAUGAAUAGAAGUGCAAAGCAUUUGAUGAGUAAUUUAUGGAAUUUGAGUUUAGGGUUAGAGUAACGGUUUUUCCCAAUUUGUACCAUCAAUGUUGUUGGAUUUGGCAUCUCUUCUUUGUGCUUCAAUUGCAUGUUAAUUUUUACUUGGGUAUAUGUUAAAAAACAAAUAAAAAUCAAGUCAAUCACAUGUCAAUAACAUCUCAAUAACAUGUUAGUAAUGAUAUGAAUAAGAUAUAAUGGUGUUGAAUUGGAGGAGGCCCUCAAAACCUUCCACAUUUGAAGCAGUGCAGAGUACCUCUCUGGCACUAGAAUUUAUAUAUUUUUUUAAAUAAAUAUUAUUUCAUUUGUUACUAAAUUUGCCUAUGAGAAAUGAGAACAGAUAAUAAUAAACUCAUGAAUAAAAGUGCAAAGCAUUUGAAAUAAAGGUUGAUCUAUGACAAUUGUGGCUGACAGAAGAAAAAGCUAGAAAGAAAGAAGGAUGUGGCAAUUGCUUAGCAAGCAGAUAGCAGAGUAGAUGCUUUGCUUUGCUUCCUUCCACUAUAUUAUUUAUUUAUUUAUUUUGUGUUGUGUAUGAGAUGACAAUAAUUGUCAUGUGUGUGAAGUGCAGAACUUGCCUAGAUUGCACUCACACUCACUCAUGCAUCAACCAUUGAUUCGAAUUUGGAUCCAUGAAUAAAACACAUGAAAUUGUUUGUAAUUCACAUAAUCAUUGCAUUAACAGGUAUUUGCACAAAAUUUUUCAUAUUGCUUUGAUGAUGUUAAAGCCUGUGAUCAGUAAUCCCUAUGCUUAUGUACUUUGUAAAAUUUGUAAUGUGCCUGGUUGACUAGUUGUGUAAAUACCAAUGUGAUUGUGCAAAUACGUGGUAGUAUAUGUGUUCAUGUUAUUUCAUCUUGUAUUUCAGGAAAUGGGAUCCAAUGUGGAGCUGGUAUGGCCAGAGUCAGAGGCAUAUUCGUCACGGGUGAACAACUGCUCACAUGCAAAUUCAUCUCUAGCUGCAAUUCGAGCGAAGUUGAGUGCGGAACAAUUAGAACAAUUCAAGACAUCAUGCUUUGGCCAUCUUCUGAAUAUAGAUAAGAUUCAGUUUAGCGGGCAGAUUGUGCAUGGGGUUGUGUUGCGUAGAGUAGCGGGGCAGGGUGUGAAAGACUUGGAUGGACUGAGUUUCUUAAUAGGGUGUGACGUUGCUCAGUUCACUCGUCAAGAUUUCUGUUUGAUCACAGGGCUUCGUUUUGGGGAAGUGCCUGAAGUUUCCAGUGGAGAGAGUGAUGAAAUUAGACUUCAGAAAAGAUAUUUUAUAGACGAAUGAAUUACAUGCAAUGCUUUAGAAUAAACAUUUUUGAGGUGCACAGAGGAAGAUGACAUCUACAAGCUAGCUCUUGUUUACUUUGCUGAGUUAGUGGUUUUGGGAAGGGACAAACAUUUGAACAUCAAUCUAAAUUACCUGACCCUUGUAGAGGACUUAGAUGCGUUCAACAGGUAUCCGUGGGGUUCGGUGUCCUUUGACAAAACCAAAGACAGUCUAUUUUCUGCACCAACAAAGUAUGUGAAAAGCUUUGAAAAUGAAGAGGGAAGAGGGAAGGGGAAAAGUAAGGUAACAGGAACAAGCCGGAGAAAUGAAAAGGGCAAGAAGGAUAAGCAUGGUGAAGUGCAAAGGGGUGGUUGGAGUUUUAAAGGUUUCACGUAUGCUUUCCAGGUACAUGGUAAUAAUGUUCAUGUCAGUUAUGUCUUGUUUUUCUUUAAAACUUAAAUAAUGACUUUUGUCCUGUGAAUUGUGUAGAUUUGGGUAUAUGAAUUAAUUGCUAGAAUGGCAGACCUGAAUUACUGCAAGGUUGUUGAUCCGACAGCUGUCCCGCGUAUUUUGCGAUGGAGAACUACUACGUCUGUUCCUGAGAUGAGAAAGUUGAACAAUUAUUUUUUCCAGAGCAAAGAGGUUUGGUUUGCAGCCCUUAGAACUAUUUAUAAGAUUUAAUGAAAUUAUGAAGUAGAAUGAUUGAAUAUGACUCUUGUCUGUAUUCUGAAACAGUCAGUUCAGUUGCGGGCGCUAUGUCCGAGUGAAGAGGAAAUGAGACAACCAUAUUGGAGUUGGCCACAGGAUCGCCCUGCUGUUGUCUCGGCAGAGUCAAUUCCUUCUUCAUGUGCUGACCUUGAUGAGUUGAACAAGGUGGUAAGCUUGUUGAGGUCCGAGUUGUUUCAAGUAAAGUUGGAAAAAGACGUCCUUGAGUUAAAGGUCAUACGGAUGGAAAAACUUUUGGACCACUGUUUAGGUCCUCAAUUUGAGCAGGAAGUAAGGAGGGACCUAGCUUUACUGAAAGAGAGGACGAAUCUUUGUGUCAUCUCACAUCUAUUUAAGGGAAGUGAGGAAAUGGAUGACAUUCAAUGGGAUGAAGGGCCAAGUAACAGAAAUGAGGGAGAGGAAAAGGAAGAUGAAGGGAUUGAAGGGGGUGAAGGGCCAAGUAAUAGAAUUGAGGGAGAGGAAAAGGAAGAGGAGGGGAUUGAAGGGGGUGAAGUGCAAGGAAAACCAAGUGAGGUAGAGGAAGCUCAAAGGAAAAGAAGUGAAGGAGAGCAAGUGAAAAUAAAAAGCAGUAAGGGAGAGAAAACGCAAAGAAAGAGCAGUGAGGGAGAGGAAGUGAAAAGAAAAAGCAGUAAGGGAGAGGAACUGCAAAGGAAAAGCAGUGAGGGAGAUGAUCCGCAAAGAAAAAGAAGGGAGGGCAAGGAAGUGAAAAGACAAAGAAGUGAGGAAAAGGAAGUGUAAAGAAACCAAUGUGAGAAAGAAGAUAAUGAAGUUAUGUUGCUUGGCGAUGACAUUGGCGAGAGCACAGAGGGGACAAAGGUUGAGUUUAGUCUCGGGGACAUUGAUUUGGAUCAACCUACAGCUGUGCUAUCUCAGUUGAAUGUUUGGUUGAAUGAUAAAGGUAAAGCUGUGGAACAAGGGGUCCAAUUACGGAAGAGGAAGAUGAUCAUUCCUAUGUGGAAGAUCAUUGAAGGUAGUGAAUUGGUUUCAAAAACUUUGGCAGAGACAACCGGACUUCAGAUGUUAGACCCAACGAAGGCGAUUCUGUAUGAUGAUCUGGUGAAAUUGCUGAAACUUUGUUGGGAAUGGCGCCAUAACCCAAAGUAAGUCCCUUGUUUUUUGAGAUAAAAGGCAUGAGUGUAUAUAUUUUUUAAUUGUUGUGUUCUAAAACUUUUUUAUAUUCAUAGUUUGGUGAUGCAAUUUGGCAACAUGGAAGCUGAGAUUGAAUUCUUCGCUUCCCUCAUCAAAGCUGAUGGUUGGCUGAAAGGAGAUGUAAGUUUAAUUGAUUAUGCAUUUGUUUUAAUGUACAUAGAUUAUGAGAUUGACAAGAAAAACAUGUUGCAGCACAUUGAUUUGGGGUUGUAUCUCAUCCGGAAGCGACAACAAGAGUUGGAGGAAGUAGAAAUAUCGGACUGGACAAUGACCGAUGUAUUUUUUAUGGUAUGUCAUGGGCCUUGACCAAGUGCUGUUAAUAAUUACAAAUUAUCCAUACUUGUUUUGUGGAGGUGUUUAACCAUUGAUUGUUUUCUAUUUCACAGAAUCACAUUCGUACUUGCUUUGCGGAUAAUAAAAGAAAAAAAGAGCAGGUUUGGUGGAAAAUUAGAAACAGUUUACUGAACGUUGUAAAUGGCAAGGUUCCGGCGUGUGAGAUGGAUUGGCAGAACAUAUAUAAGGUGUAUGCCCCUUGUAUGUUGACGAAGUACAAGCAUUGGGUGGCUGUAAUGAUUGAUCUAGUUUUGUGUGAAAUCCAAGUGUACGAUUCAAAGGUUUCACUUAUUCCAGAUGAGAUCUUAAAGGAAGAACUCGCCCCGCUUUCAAUUACGAUUCCAAAUCUUCUCAACACCAUCGACUUUUAUGAAGAAGGUGUUUACGUAAACAAUUGCAGCCGAGAUUGGUGGUGUCCGUGGCCAAUAGAGCGUGUGGAUGUUCCACAACAGUCUAAUCAGUAAGCACAACUUUUUAUUUAAUUUUAUUACUUUAAAUUGUCAAUUACGUUAGAAUGUCAUUAGUUGAAUUGAUCGAGUUCUUGUUUUGCUUCAGAGGCGAUUGUGGCAUGUUCGUGUUGAAGUACAUUGAGCUUUUGGGCGCUGAGAUUCCGUUAGCUACUUGCACCUCGGAGAACAUGCCCUUUUUUCGGUUGAAAUUGGCUGCAAAGAUAACACGGGGAGAUGCUUACAUGCCAUGAUAUUGGUUGAACUUGGUUUAGGUACAUGAUGAUUAAAUAGGUUUUGGGAAUGUCCAAUUUCAAACUCAUGUAAAUACACAAUAGAGACCUACGGGUCCUUUUCGAAUUCUACCUCUGCUCCUCUAUUCUUCUUCGUCUUUCUCAAUCUUAGUGUAUUUUUGUACAUAAUUUGAGGUUUAAGUUAUUGGACGAUAACAAUUAGAACCAAAAUAGUGGCAAAUAUUAUAGCGGAUGCAUGCUUUCAUUUUGAUUAGUGUGAUACUACGCUACAUUUAUUCUCAUAUUGUGCUAAAUGUAUAUGGAGUUGGAUGCAGAGCAUAGACAGAAAAAUGAAGAAACUGAAAUGGAGAUGCUGAGGCUUGGUGAGGAGAAAAGUAAAUGGAUCUGUAAAUCUAUUGCACGUAGGCAAUCUAAAUGGAUAGGCAGAUGAGUUUUUGAAGUUAGACACUUGUCAUUCCCAUACAUAGAAUGUGCCUAUGGAGUGUAAAGUAUUUUUGGAUUUAAUGAAACAAACUUCUGUGUAAUAUUAGCCUAACUCCUUCACGACAUUUACAUAACCUUAACCAACUGCAUUGAAUUGGGAUUUAAAGACUGCAUAUGUGAAUUGGGAUUUGAAGAUGGCUUUUUAAGUGUAUUACAUCAUUGCAAAGUGAUAUGUCAUCGUUUAUGCAAGCCACCAUUAAUCGCAAUAGGUUGCAUCUUAAUAAGGUAAUUCUGUAAGGGGAAUAAGCGGCUAUGGCCUCGCCUCUAAUGUUUUAUUCAACCAUGCCCUCUUUAUAGAAACACAUGAAAAAAUGUCCCCAGGUGCAAUGCUAUAAAAACUUCCAGUUGGUUCUGUACCGCCCCUCGGGUUUGAAUCCCUCUCUCCUUUAUAAUCGGUUAAUAAAUUCAUUGAUUUUCUUUUUUUUAUUGGUUUUGGGCAGCUCAGUAGCAUAAAAGUAAUGUAUAUUGGUGCGUCUAUAUUGCAUGUCUGUUGCGUCUAUAUUGCUUCUCUAUUGUGUGUAUAUCUUACAUUUAUUGUAUGUGUAUUGAUUGUUUAUUGCUUACGAAGGAAAUAAACAACAAUACACAGGCAACAGACAAACAAUAUAUACACAACAGACAAACAAUAUACACACAAUAGAUACGCAAUAUACAUACAAUAGACAUGCAAUAUACACACAAUAGACAUGCAAUAUACAUCCGUCCCCAAUUACACAAACCAUAAGGAAGUCGUAUUGAAUAGGAAAUUAAACUUAACAGUUGUUCUUCCUACUAAAAGAAAGAAUAAGGUCCGUUUUCCCCCUUAAAUCUUACUUGAGUGGUACUUGUGCCCCCAAUAAACAUCCAAUAUUGGAGCAAUAACAUUCGAUAUACAUGCAGCAAACAAUCAAUAAACCUUUAAUAAACAUUCAAUAUCGGUUCAAUAACAUGCGAAAUACAUGCAGUUAAUAAUCAAUAAACCUUCAAUAAACAUGUAAACAAUCAAUAAACUUUCAAUAAACAUUCAAUAUCGGAGCAAUAACAUGCGAAAUACAUACAGUAAACAAUCAAUAAACCUUCAAUAAACAUUCAAUAUCAUGCGAUUUAUAUGCAGUAAACAAUCAAUAAACUUUAAGUAUACGCAAAUAAACAAUCUAUAUACACUAAAUAAUUAUGCAAUUUUCAAAAAAAAAAAUGUAUUGUCUUGUUAUUGCAUCGUAUUGGCCCUGUAUUGUGAUUUUAUCGUCUUCGUAUGAUUUUAUUUUUUUAAAGUAAGUCUUGGAAAGUUUUUGCUGGGUUUCAAACAAAUAAAUGCUUUUGUUUAAAUUCAAUGCCAAUCCACUUAUUUCAAGAACAAAAAUUACAAAAUGGGUUUGAAAACUCAUUGGUGGUGCGUGCAACAUGUCUUUUUGGGGAGAAAUUUCACAAUCCUUGAAACCGUGCACUUAAUUGAUCAUUAAAAGAACAAAUAAUAUGACAAUUGAUACAACUAAUAAAACUAAUACCAAGUCCUUAAUGGACUUCAGCAUAUUCAGCACUGUAGCAUCAUACGUGUCAUCUUGAUGUUCUGCUUCAGCGGAGGUUACAUCAACCCAUUCGAAUCCAUUGCAACUGGUGGAUCCCUAAUUGCAGGCAUCAUAUAUGCAAAAUAAUUCUGUCAGAGUUAGACAUAGGUUUUUUUUCCCCCACACACAUAUUCUUGAAAUGAAAACUUACAUAGGAGGUUAGACACUUCCAAAAUGGCUUCCCUCGAUUUUUAUCUGAUUUUGAAACCCGAACCACCAUUGUAGCUCCACAAUACUGACACCUUUUUGUUUGAGCAGGAGAUGAAGACGAAGACAUGUUGAAUCUUCUCACUUGUACCUCUUCUCACUCAGAUCUUCUCACUGAAACCUCUUCGGACUCAUACCUUCUCACUCAUAGUUCUCAGUCAUACCCCUUCACUCAUAACCCUAAAUUUCUCACUCAGCUCUCUCUCAUCUCUGCCCAAAUCAAAUUAUAUCCUUCUUUGCUGUGUGUGGGUGGGUUGGUCACGAUCUGGACACCUGUACCGUCAGAAUUGUGACAUCUUUUACCCCGAAAAGCAAUAUAAUAUUUCACUACCAAAUAUUAAUCUGAAAAUUGAGGGGACACUGCUUGAAAUAUAUUAUUUUAUUUAUAUUUCAUUAAGACAACUAGUUGGAUAAGAAUCCAUCAUCAUUGGUUUCAUUUUAAUAACAUUACUAGUGGUAGUUUGGUGUGGGAAAAUGAAAAAGUAUAUGAUGGGACCUUCUGUGACUAGUCAGUAAUCCAUCACAUUUGUAUCAAUGAAUUUGAUGGUGGGAAAAUCCUAAAAAUGGCUAUGCAAAUAGGUUAUUAAUUGAAUUUUUGACUGUCUGACUCUCUAUGCAAUUUUAUGACGUUUUCCCUUCUUUUGUCUCGAGUUUUAGGGUGUCGGGUUCAGUUUCUUUAAAAACGGUCAACUUGGAAAAACCCCAAGUGGAAACACCUUUUAAAAACACUAUAAACAGAGGCUAAAACAAAACCAAAACCCCAUAUAUUCUCAUUUCUGCCCUCUUCCACUCCUCAAAUCGUUCCAUUCCAAAAACAUUUCAAUGAAUUCGAAACAUUUCACUACACUCGGAGGAAAGAGAAGGAAGCAUCUCCAUUUGGAUAUGCCCCAAGCCUUCAUCCCGGAGUUAGCUUGGUUUAAAGUGAUGUUAUACGUGGCAACCCAAUCAUCGGAAGAUCUCUUCCGUAUGGCAUCUGUGUGCCCAUUGUUCCAUACUUUGGCAAACACUCCACAAGUGUGGAACACCAUUUCAGUGGCAAAGUACCCAAACCAUCCUAGCUGGUACCGUGCCAAUCCUGCGGUCCAGCAUUUCUUGCAACAAUGCAGGGCUUGCGAUAACCCUAAGUCGAUAUUUAGAGAAGCAUUCGAAGUGUUUUUUAAGCAGGGUAACGUGGAAGCAUUGUAUGGGAUGCGCAUUACAGCCACGGCAGGCCAUAUAGAAGCGGCAUAUCUAGUUGGACUACUUGACAUGUCCGGAAUUGGUCAGUCAAAAGAGGAUGCAUUAGAAUUCUUGUGUUCUUUGAAUCAAUGUAACAACAUUGAUAUGAAAGGAACCAGGGAUGCUUUGAGACAAAGAUUAAGCCGACCAACAGUUGCAAGACAUAUCCUAGAUAUGUUUGACUAUGGGAAGAUUAAGUUCAAUCACUGCAGCCCUUGUAACAACAAUGAAUGGUGUUUUGUUAUUCAAGGCUGGCCUACUGAAGAAAAGAUAAAUCCUGCCUUCUGGACUUGUUGCAAUCGAUGCAAAUGGCACCGUGAGAGUAUUUUUUGGUUCAAGGUGAUGCGUGUGUAUGUUGUGCGAGGGAAUCCAUACCCUUAUAAUUAGUUGUAGUAUGUUUUUACGGUUUUUAUGCAUUGUGGACUUGCUUCUCUUCAGUUCUAGGUUCGCUGGCUACGUUGUACAAAUGUUGUUUAAAUGUGGGGUUUUAAUCUAUUUUGUCUGGUAUUUGUGCUGUCAUAAACCGUUUUAUAUAUAAAUGUAUAAUAUAUAUUAUAUAGCGGAAUUAUUACUGACAUCAUAGACGGCUACGAAUGACAUUUUACUGACACAGAUAUUUUGCACAACUGCAAUCUUAAUAUUUGGUAAACGAAAAGGCAUGCAUGGAGUAAAUAGGUGUCUUUUCACCAGUGCUUGGGAAUGACAUUUUCCCACUGAGCAUAUCCCAAAUGAUUUGGUUACAAGUUUCUUAAGCAAAACUUGAAUAGUGAAUGACGUUGAAUAAUUUUUUCCUAAUGUUGUAGAAUAGAUGACUUGUAUAUUUCCAUUUUAUUUUUCAAAACAUCCCUUAAACCUAAAAAAUAAAAAAAUUAACAAAUUGAAGAAGAGAGAAACCGAUUAGCACCAGAAAUGGCCUAUUCGCACGGAAAAUAAAAAUUAAAAAAAAAAGUUGGAGUAAAUAUAAUUAACAAAUGGACAGGCUAAAAAGUAAUAUAAUAAUAAUAAAAAUAAUUUAGGAUAAUAAUAAAAUACUAAUGUAACAUAACCAUGAAACAGGGAAUUCAGUAGGAAGAUGAAAUCUCAAUAAGUUCGUAGCAAUUUUCGAAACAUUAUUGGGAUUUUUGUGUAUUUAGUUAUGAAUUUUCCAAGAAAAAGUAAUAAAAUAAUAAUUUAGGGUAAAAUGCAAGGAUGUGGCCAUGUUGACUGACGUACACUUGUGCAAGUGAUGAAAGUUGACGGGCUGAGAUCGUGCCAGGUGUCCUCUUGCAAUUAUUUUGGCUUUUUUAGUGCAAAAAUCUUUGAAAAAAGGUAAUAAAUAGUAGGUCUUGUGACGUUAUAAAACUAGGGGAACCUAUAAAUCAUCCGUCUCGCAAUGAAAAAAUCCAAAUUAUUUUAGAUAACUCACUUUCCUCUUAACCCUAAGUAUUUAUGUUUGUUAACUUUAACUUCAAUAACCUACUUGAACAAUCAUCUCCCGUUAAUGUUCGGAAUUAUUUUUUUAAAAUGUGUAACCAUGUAUCGGGGAAUUCAACAAGGGAGAUUGAGUGUCAAUGAGUUCGUAGCAAUUUUCGGAUCAUUUUUCUAAUUUUUGUGUAUUUAGUUAUGAAUUUUCUAAGAAAAAGUAAUAAAAUAAUAAUUUAGGGUAAAAGGCAAGGAUGUGGCCAUGUUGACUGACGUACACUAGUGCAAGUGGUGAAAGGUGAUGGGCUGAGAUCGCGCCAGGUGUCCUCUUGCAAUUAUUUUGACUUUUUUAGUGCAAAAAUCUUUGAAAAAAGGUAAUAAAUAGUAGGAAAAUCCUAAAAAUGCCCCGAAAAUUACUCGGACCUCCUUGUGAUGUUAUAAAACUAGAGGAACCUAUAAAUCAUCCGUUUCGCAAUGAAAAAAUCCAAAUUAUUUUUACAUAACUCACUUUCCUCUUAACCCUAAGUAUAUAUUUUUGUUCACUUUAACAAUUAUAUUUCCUUAAUAUUCGUUAUAUAAUUUGUAAUAAUACAAGAAUUAGUUUCCUUUCAUAUAUAAGGAUGUAAAAUAAUUUGUUUUGUUAUAAUAAUGUACAUAUAUAAUAAUUGCACAUGCUUUGAAGCCAUCAUUGCAACUACGCCUAGAGCUUUGAACACGUCAGAGGUAUUCAAUAAGUUGUCCAUAUGACGCCGCAUUGGGAAUCAGUAAUAUAUUUUCUAUCAUGUCCAAUCACAUAAAAUAAUGCCAUACUUUUUCUGAAAAACCUCACACAAGUCAAGCAAUUUUAAAAUAUUAGUGAAUAUUUGUCCUAGUCUAUAUGAGUGAUUAUAUAUUCAGUCUGCAUUUUUUCACAGUAUAUGUUAACUUUCAGAGGGAUUCCACAAACAUAUAAUAUAAAGAAAGAAAGAAAUAGUAGGAGAUGAACCAGUACAAAAAACAAUAUAUAAAUGGUACAUAAUAAUUCCAUAACCUUGUCACAAACGCACUCACAAAUGCUUUUCCAUAAACCUUGUCCUAACAUAUAAUAAAUAAAGGCAACAUUGCAUAUGAUGCAACCAUGUCCAAAUCUGAUACGUGAUCACAAAAAAAUGGACAUGGCAGCAACAUAUGACUGAAGUAGAUGAGCUCUUUGCAUCUUGUGUUAUCGUAAUUAAAGACAUCAAAAGAUUAAGGUUGAAAUCUUCCAUAGUAGUAAGCAUCAAAAUAGGUUUGAAGCAGAGUUUAACGAAAAUUCCAAUUCCACUUAUUGGCCUCUGCUCAAACACGAGAACCAAAAUGGUUACUUCCCUUGCUGAGUAUAUUUGUUAACGUCGGAAACAGUAACAGAUGACCAAUCAAACCCGGGUACGACGAGUUUUGCAUAGGAUCGGAAGUAGUCGAAUCCAGCUUGCAUCACACGCUUCUUUGACUCCACUGCAUUAGAUGAGUUCUUGUAUUUUUGAACAGCUACACUCCGAAGUCGUUUGUGUCUACGCUUCAUGCACUGCAAAUUCGCCCUAUCCAGAUUGGCCUGCCUUUUGUCAUCUUCAAUUUGGCCUUCAACAAAUUCCAAACGUGCCCUUGGCCUUUGGAUUUCAUCACCAAGUUGAAGAUGCCUCUCCUUCCAAAAAGCAAGAACUCUUUCAGAUUCAAAACUUCCAACAAAAUGGUCAUUCUGUCUAGGAAUGUGACAUUGCUUGUCUAGUGACUCACUUGCGUUUCGAAGGCAGUCUUUGUUUGGAGGGGUGUUUAUUAUGCUCACAUCAAACUUGGUUAGUAAAUCCAUUUUAUGGGGGGAGUGAGUUUCUAUGGAGGAGAGAGUUUUAGUAGAUGGAGACAGAUUCGGUGAAGGAGUGAGUUUUGUGUGGAGGGAGAAUUUCUAUGAAAGGAGUGAUAGUAAUAGCAAUAAAAGGGUUCCCGCCAAAAAAUAUUUGGUUGACAAUGUAUAAAUUAAUUUUUGGUCUGAUACAAUCUAAGUUUAAUCCUAACUAGUUUGGUUGAGUUCACUAACUAGAUGUCACUUCCAUUGAGUUUCUUUCAACCACUAUCAGUGGUGUAAGGAGAGUGUGAGGUUGACAUGCUUGAAAAGCAAAACCUGACACCUCUUUUUUUAAAAAUUGAAAGAAAGUACAUAUGUUGACUACACACAACCUUUGGUAUGUUGGUCUAUAAACCUAUGUUCCCUUUCUCAAAUGAAAUUGCAUAUGCAAUCCUCAUCCUCCCAAAACAAAUAGGAUUAUUCAAGCAUGUCAACCUCUUCAGGCGCCAACAACACAAUCGAAGAUGACAAAUUGGAGUCGCAGGUUCUAUUUCCACAUUGUACUCACCGACCCCUUCCUUUUUCAACAUCAUUUGGGAGUGAGGGGGACUCCGAUGAUCCAUUAGAGGCAAUACAUGCAGUCAGUAGCAAGCUGGAUUAUAAUUCCAAACUGAUCAAUUCAUGGCACGAGAAAUGUGUUGAAGACGAGGCCAUUUUGGCUGAUCUUAACAUUAGAGUGAACAAAGGGUUCUCCCAAAAGAACAAGUACUUGAAGCUGAGUCAUAAAAGGAAGCUGAAAGCUGAGGAGUUGGAUACAGUAAUAAAUGAUGAAAUUAAAGGUUGUUUGAUGAACCAUAUGCGAUGCAAAGAGCAUCAUAGUGAACUGGAGUUGGCAUUCAACGAAGGAUUUUUAAAAUUUCAAGCAUUUGCGGCAACUACUCAUACAAGUUAUAAUUGGGACUAUGUGUCCCCUGAUGCUGUGAGAGAGAUACUAGACGAUGAUGGUGACAUGAAUGAGCAUAAGCACGUCAAAGCUGCUCGGAAGAAGCCGACCGAUACGACUAAGUGAUUGCGGCUACCGUUGUUCAGUUGGUUGAGGGUGAUCAUGGUAUUGCACAAAUUAGAAGUAUAUUCCCUUAAUGUCAUUAUCUAAUUUAAAAUAACACAAAUAUCAGUUUCAUUUGCUUCAUAUAUAAUUAUUGGGACUAUGUAUUGCAAGUCAUCAUGUGUUCCUUCUGUCUAACAUUAUAUUUUGCAAAUAUCGAAAUAUUAUUCAAUAAGCAGUCAAUAUCACAGCAAGUUGGGAAUCAGUAAACCCCCAUUAUCAUGUACAUUCACAUUAAAGAGCUGGUGUACUUUUUCUCAAAAAACUGACACGUGAGUCAUAAGUAACAUAACAUGUGCUAUACAUUGUUUAGUGAAUGGUUUAUGAUUUAUUUAUAUAUAAUAAAAUUCCAAAUAUUGCUGAAUAUUUAUUUCGUCUAUAUCACUGGGGACAUGAGUGAACAUACGCAUGUGAGACCUGCUAAGAAGAAGCUGACCAAUACGACCGAGGGAUUGUGGCUACCAUUGUUCCGUUGGUUGGGGAGAUCGUGGUAUUGCUAAGAGGGAGCACAUAAUAUGUUUUGCAAUCAAAUUUUCUUUUGUGUGUGGAAUUUUCUUUUAUGUGUGGAAUUAUGAGUAGUUCAAAUGUUAGUGUACCCUUUAAUAUUCUCCAACAGUUCAAAAUGUGAUUAGCUGAAUGUACUUUUUUACACGCUGCUUUCUAAUCACUCUGUUCCAACAAAAGGCUUUAAGUAUCCUUCAGUUACAAAUGUUUACAAAAUCGUGCCCCUAAUAACCAGUCGAGCUUAGAUCUUAAUAACCAGUAAAACACUAGAACAUAACAUUCGGAAAAAGUGAGUACUGUUGGAAAUCAUUACUGGUAAUGGAAACAACAGCUGGCUGCUGGAAAUGCUGCAUUAGCAUGUGAUAUAAUCAAUGAAUCUCUGUUAAAACAUAAUUCACCAUAAACUACCCAUUUUACAUGGUAAAAGUCAUUGCUUCUUCACAUAACUCAAAAUUUGAUACUUUAUCAAAUGUCUAUGAAAAUUUCUAAAUAGGGAGAAGACGUAAAAUUAACAUGUGUCCAAAUUUCAUGCAAGAAUGAAACCAAGCAAAUUUUCAUUUCAAUUACCAGUGGACAUAGUAAGAGCUCAUGGGUGGACAUGAACAAAAUAAUAAUAAUAAUAAAAACUGAAUCUAGAAAACUUCACCUGAUCAUUAGUCUUCAUAACAACCGGAUUUCGUCUAAUAGAAACAUAAAUCAUUCAGUUGGUCCGUGCAUCCUGUCAAAUUCGUCGAAUAAUGGGUCACUACGAUCUAUUGGAGUUGAUUCGUCAUUGUUCGAUGGUGAUGUCCUGCAUAAACAUCAAACAAAAGCACAUAAAAAAUUUACCUAUUCAAAUUUUAGGUGUUAUUAUAAAUAGUGUUAGCAUCUUACGGUGUGUUCAAAUUUCUUGAGCAUUGUCUUCUAUCAUGGCCAAUGUGUCCACACUCCCGACAGUGUCUAAUCCUUCGCUUCAUUGCCUUUUCCUUUGCUCCCGUUACUCGUUUCGACCUUCCUUUGCACCUCACUCUCUUAGGGUCUUUCAUAUAUUGUGUUUGAGAGCUGGACUCUCCAACUUCGUUAUUACUUGGUCCAUCCUUCAACAACUUCAACUUCACCUACAAACUUUUUAGAGUCUCUGACAGUAGCUCACAUCCUUCUUCACUCAUUAAUGCAUCCUCAACCACAUCUGAAGCAAGUCGAGACAUUGUACUCCGCUUUAUUAAAAGACCAGGAUUUGCAGAGUCUUUAAUUUCGUUGCCAUUUGCAUCUGACACCAAUCCAGAUUUCGCAGUUUUCUUCCACCUCUUCAAAAUAUAUUUAUCGGGCAUAUAUUCAAUCUGGUCCCUUCUGAACAAUGCUAAGAUGUGCUUGCAAAUAAUUCCAACAAAUUCAAAUCUUUUGCAGCUACACGAUGCGUGGUCAGAAUCUUUGACAUAUACAACUUCUGCCACUCUUGUUUCCCAAUUUUUCCUUUCGCUCACGUUAAAGACAACUUUAGAAGCAUCCUCUGUUUUGAGCUCUAGGAAACAUGCUGUACUUUGUAUUAGUUCUUGCUCAAACUUUUGAAACAUUGUCCUUGUGUACAAGGUAGCCAUUUGUUUGUUUAUUGGCAUCGGUAGAAUACAUUGAGCCACUUCAAAUGCAUCUAUGUGAUCAGCAACUAACUCUUUUUGACGUUGAUGAGAAAGUGCCCUCUCAAAUCGUAUUAUGAAAUCCAUCAACGAAUUUCUCUUUGAUAUGUAUUGCUUGAAAAAACCAUGAGAACCUUCCGCUAUUUGGCUGCUUGAUAUUCCAGCGGCAAAAAAUUGUCGUGCGUAGGCUGGAACCCAAGAUUCCCUUAAAUCAAACAUUGAACUUAGCCAUGGAUGGUCAGUCAAACCAGCCUUUGUAACCACAAUAUUCCAUUUUGCAUCAAACUCAUCCUUAUUGUCAGUAUCCCAUAUGACUUUCUGAAAUUCACUCCAAUACUCCUUAUAAGCAGAAUGUGGUAACUUAACAGAGAACUUUGAUGUGAUGUGCCAUAUGCAAAGUCGAUGAAAUGUAGUCGGGAAGGCUAUUGAAAUCACUCUGGUCAUUGCCGCAUCUUGAUCUGUAAUGAUCAUUUUAGGUUCGCCACCUGGCAUGGGUUUCUUAAACUCCUCAAACAUCCAAAUAAACGACUCAGUCGUUUCCUUGCUAAAAAAUGCACAUGCUAAGACAAUUGUCUGACCAUGGUUAUUAACUCCCAACAUUGGUGCAAAUGUCAAGUCGUAUCGAUUCGUGUUGAAUGUGGUAUCGAAUACAACAACAUCUCCAUAAAACCCGUACGCCCGUCUAGAAGUUGCAUCUGCCCAAAAAAAUCGACUAAACUUGUCAUGGCCAUCUCCCUCAAUCUUGAAAUAAAAAGCCUCAUUUUUUUCUGUUCAGCCAUAAAAUACUCGGUCACUAGUUCAACAUCGUGGUUCCUCAGCUUCCCAUUCACACUACAUUCAAGAUUGUAGAUAUCUUUUUUGAUAAAUCUGAUUUUAUCCAUUCCUCCGGAUUGCACCUCGAAAAUACUUACCUUCUGAUGAAUGAGAAUAUUAACUGAACCCAACUGUUUUGUGAGUACUUUUGUAGAAUCUGAAAUACGACGGUGUGAUCUUAAUAAAUGCAUUCUUUCUGAGGGUGUCAUCUUAUGAUUGUGUCCCUCUGCAAAAAGAGAGAUGGUAUACUUCUUGCUCCCAUUUGCCUUCACAACUACAAUCUUAGCUUUGCAAUUGCAUCUACUUAUUCCCCGUUGUCUUUUUCUCUCUCAAGUUUCAUCUCUCAUGUAUGCACCUUGUUUGCAACAUACAAAUUCUUUCCUCAAAAUCUCUUUCUUAUUUUUCCCCCAAAAGCUGGAAUGAAGUCGAAUACCAAAGCCAGCCAAGAAUGCAUAUCUAUUAUAGAAAUUGUAAACGAGGUCAAGCGAGUCGAACUUCAUCCCAACUGCUGGUGUUUCCUCAUUUCUUACUUCAGGAAUAUAAACCCUCCCAUUAGCUGUUACACAGUCAUCACUCUCUGAGCCCCCAGACAUUUUAUCUACAUAUAUUAUUGAUCCACUUCUAUAUUACUGCAUAGCAAAUAUUAAUUCAUUAAUCAGUCAUUACUGCAUCACAACAUAUCAAUGCAUUCCACUUACACAAAACAUUGCCCAAAUUGACACAAAACACACAUAGCCUAACUUGUUGGAUUCCGAUUACACAAAACGCAAGCAAAAUUUAAUAAUAGUUACGUCAUCUCUUGUGAAAUAAUCUGGAAAAAAUAACAUUAGAACCAACAUGUUCAACUAAGAACACAAAUGUAAUUCAAACCACCAAUUACAGAACUUCACCCAAUAUCCUCUCCAAAUGCUUACUCCUAAUGUCAUUAAGCCUAAAUUUAGGAUCUUUUACCUACAUUUCAUAAUUUUCCACCCCCACCAAAAACAAUCAACUAAGUAUAUUGAAUAUUCAUAAAGAAAGGACACAUUAUUGACUCCACCAAUGACGCAUUAUUGAUGCCACAAAUGACGAAUUUCCCACCCUCACAAAAAAUAAACCAAAGCCAAUAAAAUCAAUCCAGCAAGUGAACUUACCUCUCAAAAUCAAUCGGGAGCUCCGAAGUCAGUCAGCUUGAGAGAAUGUGGUGGACAUUAGAGAAGACUCUUUGGUAUUUGAGACUCCAUCUCUACCAAAAUUGAGGAACAACUGCUGCUGCGGCAUCUAGCUACAAAAAGAGAUAUGCUACUUUACUUUCAUCUGGAAUCUUGUCUGCUGAAUGAAAAAGAGAAGGGGUUUUCACUUGAGCCAUAAAAUCAAAACAGGGCAACAGCUAGGUAAGAGCCAUUAAUCGCAAUACCGAGGAUACCAUAGAUCGCAGGCCUCCCAAGAAGCUGAUGACAAUGGAGUGACUAUAGGGUUUGGGAGCUUUGGAUCCUUCUAAUUGUGGGUUUUCUUUACAUUCAAAAAGAGAGGAUUAUGUUCUUGAGUUUUUCACAAAGAGGGAAAGAGGGAAAGAUGAGACUGAAGUUGGGUUUCUAACGGGUUAGAUUUCAACCCGAUUCUACAUGCACCCUUUUUAAAAACUCACCGUUGGAUGAAAUCCAACGGCUCUUACAUACCCCUCAAAAACACCCCUUAUAACUUUCCACUCACUAUAGAAGCUCCCAAAAGAAAACAGAUUUGCCAAAAAUCAAAUUUUAAGUCUCUCCUACGAUCGAAAUUUGGAUUUGAUGAACUAAAGUGGUUUUACUUUCUCCAUCAGUGUUUGAUGACUUAAUUUGUUAUUUACUUUUUUUAAAAAAACUUUAUCUUAUAUAUAUUAGUUUUCUUUUUUCCUUCAUAUUCACCACCUUUAUGUUGCUUAAGUAUUUCAGUCUUAACGGGUUUCCAUCUACCACUCAUCUUUGCUCUUCUCAGUGUAAGCCUUUUUUUUAAGCAUAAGAUUAGAGGGGAGGGGGGGGAGGGGGAUUUCUUAAUGUAAGCUUUGCAGUUUCAUAAUUAAUAUUUCCAAUAUCUCACUGUUAGUAAAAUACAAAACAUGAAAAGUAUGAAUAAAAUACGCACAUGUUACUAAUUUAUUGAGAUAAAAUACCAUUUUGCCCCUAGAAUAUUUUAUUAGGUUUAAAGUUGACUUUUUGACCAGGAAGGAAUUUGGGUAUUUCGACUAUAUCGUUGCAUAGAGCACGACGAGGUGAUUCCAUAGACACGUGGUAGGCUCGAAUCGGAGUUGUAAUGAGAGACAUACGAUCAAAAUACCUUCAGUGGCAUAAUCGUAAUUUUGGCUUAAAGGGUUUGAUAAAAUAUGAUUUUUCUUUCUUUCUCUCUCUCUCUCUCCCCGCCCAGUCUCUCUCUCGUGACGGCAGUGAUAGCCGGCCACAUUUUGGCCAGCCGUGCUCUCGUCCGGCCACCAAAGCUGAUGGGGCCGGUACCAAAAUGAUCAGGCCACCAUCCUUUUCCAACCUCAGCCAGGCCCCGCCGCCAGCAGUCGUGGUUUUGCCGGAAAAUGGAGAAGAAGCGGCCGGUUUUGUUCGAACUUCUCCGACUUCGUUCUCCCUCCUCUGGCCACCGAUUCCGAUGAAUGAGGUAUGGUUUCUCACCUACUUUUCAUGCUCUAGCUGCCUGUUGGGUAGGAUUCGAUCAAUCCCUAGUGUAGGUGGCUUGAUUUUCGAAUUGGGUUUCAGCCGAUUUUGGGAUCUCGAUUCCAGCCCCUUUCGAUCAGUUUUUAGGGUAGGUCCCAGAACAAAAGUGGUUCCAAAUAGGGUGUUAUACCUAGGUAGGAACCUUGAGCCGUGAUUUUGAGAAUUUUCUACGAUGCCUAAUCGCUUUGGACACCCACGCGCUACCGGCACGUGGGCACUGUAGAAAAAGGGCAUUGUGUCCCGAUGCGAUCCCCUUGUUGUCUUGAGUGCAUAGGUGUGCUCGGAUUUCAAUUGAAUACCGUUUGAGUCUCGAACGAAUAUCACAUAUUGUGCGUUAUCCGGAGUCGAUAGGUUUGAACCGUUGGAUAGUCUUAGAUUUAUAAUAUGUUAAUCUAGAUAUUCUUAGGAUCAAAAAGGAUUUGACGGAUCGUAAAAUGGAGUCCCGGAUACUCCGAAAAUGCCAACCCUAGGGCUAGGUUCCUAGUAACCGUCCGAUCGUGCAAUCAUGAGCAAUCCGACAGUCCGAUCCGGACCAAACUUGCAGGACGUGUAUCCUAAACCUUGUAGAACCCAUAGGAACUUUCAGAUUAGAAUUUGGAGGUCGUGGGCCCCUUGGGCCCGUUUGACUAAGUUUGGGUAGUUUGACCAUUGGCUGAUCGUGAGUCUUCAAAGGUAGUUUUACCUUCCUAGGAGGAUUAUAAAGACCCUAGUGACAGGUCUUGAGCGUUGUUGAGCUAUGUUGACUAGGUUUAGACUUUUAGAGUGUUUAUUAUUAUCGUAGGAAACUCUUGGAUAUUAUUUUAAUAAUUGAAAUUAUGAAAUUUAUGUUUAUGUGCAUGAUCGUUGGUCUAAAAAUAGCAUUAUUUUCCUGAUAAAAUUACGUUGCAGUAUACUAUAGAAUGGUAUCACUAAAUGGGGAUUACCUCUAUUAUUAGUUUAGAUAAUUAUGAGUAUGUCAGUUUGAAGUGCUAUACGCACUACCCUAAGUACCACCCUGUGAUUGUUAGGUCCCAUGUGGUGUAGGUUAUCCAGUGUAAGGACAGACCCCAUACGUGGCUUCAGAUGUUCUGAAGUAUUGGGGAGAUUAUGUGAUGGUUUUGUCACACGUGGCGUAGGUUAUCCGGCGUGUUGACAGACCAUAUACAUGGAGUUGGAUGUUCCGGCAUAUGGAGAGAUUUUGUGAUUGUUAGGUCCCACGUGGCGUAGGUUAUUCGGCGCGAGGACAAACCCUAUAUGUGGCUUUAGAAGUUCCGGCGUAUGAGGGAGAUUAUGUGAUGGUUAGGUCACACGUGGCGUAGGUUAUCCGGCGUGUUGACAAACCUCAUACGUGGUGUUGGAUGUUCCAGCGUAUGAGGAGAUUUUGUGAUUGUUAGGUCCCACGUGGCGUGGGUUAUCCGGCGUAAGGACAGACCCCAUACGUGGCUUUGGAUGUUCCGGCGUAUGGGGGAGAUCAUGUGAUGGUUAGGUCACACAUGGUGUAGGUUAUCCGGCGUGCUGACAGACCCCAUACGUGGCGUUGGAUGUAACGACCCGGUCCUAAAUAAAUUAGUAAAUAUUAAUUUAUUCAAAGAAAAUACCAUUUUGCCCAUAGAAUAUCUUAUUAGGUUUAAAGUUGAUUUUGUGAUCGGAAAGGAAUUUCAGAAUUUCGACUAUACCGUUGCGUAGAGCACGACGAGAUGAGUCCGUAGACACAUAGUGGGCUCGAAUCGGAGUUGUAACAAGAGAGAUACGAUCAAAAUACCCUCAGUGGCAUAACCGUAAUUUUGGCGAAAAGGGUUGAUAAAAUCAUAUUUCUCUCUCUCGGCCGGAAAUCCCAGUUGACAAAAUCCCGGCCGGAAACCUUGAAUUUCAGCCACAGCUUCGACUGGUUUGAACAGGGUUUUUCCCGGCUUUGCCCCAUCGCCUCCGCCGCCCAAUUCUGGUGAAACAGGUAUGGUUCCUCACCUAUUUUCCGAGAUCUAGCUGCUGUUGUGUAGGAAUUGGACAAUUUUCGUGUUUAGGAACUCGAUUUAGAAUUUUGGUUUUGCCCGAAUUUUCAAAGUGAAAUUUCGGCCACUUCUGCUAGUUUUUGGGGUAUGUCCAAGAACAAAAGUGGUUCCAAAUAGGGUGUUAUACCUAGAGUAGGAACCUUGAGCCAUGAUUUUGAGAAUUUUCGGCGAUGCGUAAUCGCUUUGGAAGCGCGUGGGCACUGUUGAAAAGGGGCAUUGUGUCCCGAUGAGAUUCCCCUGUUGUCUUUAGCGCGUAGGUGUGCUCGGAUUUCAAUUUGGAUACCGUUUGUGUCUUGAACGGAUAUCACAUAGUGUGCGUUAUCCGGGUUCGAUAGGUUUGAACCGUUGGAUAGUUUUGAAUUUGAUAUAUGUUAAUCUAGGCAUUUCUAAGAUCGUGUAGGAAUUCACGGAUCUUGAAUCGGAGCCCUGGAUGUUCCGAUUUAAUAACUUAAAGUUUAUGUUUAUAAUAACCGUCAGAUCGUGCAAUUGUGAGCGAUCCGACCGCCCGAUCCAGACCAAACUUGUUGGACGUAUAUCCUAAACCUUGUGGAACCUAUAGAAAUUUUCGGAUUAGAAUUUGGAGGUCGUGUGCCCCAUGGGCCCGUUUUACCAAGUAUGGGUAGUUUGACCCUUAGUUGACCAUGAGUCUUCCGAGGUAGUUUUACCUUCCUAGGAGGAUUAUAAUGACCCUAGUGACAGGUCUUAACCGUUGUUGAGCUAUGUUGACUAGGUUGAGACUUCUAGAGUGUUUAUUAUUAUUGUAGGAAAUUCUUAGAUAUUAUUUUAAUAAUUGAAAUUAUGAAAUUUAUGUUUAUGUGCAUGAUCGUUGGUCUAAAAAUAAUAUUAUUUUCCUGAUUAAAUUACGUUACAGUCUACUAUAGACUGGUAUCACUGAAGUGGGAAUACCUCUAUUAUUAGUUUAGAUAAUUGAGAGUAUGUCAGUUUGAAAUGCUAUACGCACUACCCUAAGUACCACCCUAUGAUUGUCAGGUCACCCGUAGCGUAGGAUUUUCUGGCGAGAUGACAUACCCCAAUUGUGGCGUUGGAAUUUCCGGCGUAUGGAGAGAUUAUAUGAUUGUCAGGUUACGCGUGGCGUAAGAGUUUUCGGCAUUAUGACAGACCUCAUACGUUGCGUUGGAAUUUCCGGCGUAUAAGGAGAUUAUUUGAUUGUCAAGUCACCCGUGGCGUAGGAUUUUUCGGCGGGAUGACAGACCUCAUACGUGGUGUUGGAAUUUUUGGCGUAUGGGGAGAUGAUAUGAUUGUUACGUCACAUGUGGCGUAAGUUAUUCGACGUGCUGACAGACCCCAUAGGUGGCGUUGAAAUUUCCGGCAUAUGGGGAGAUGAUAUGAUUGUUAGGUCACACGUGGCGUAAGUUAUCCGGCGUGCUGACAGACCCCAUACGUGGCGUUGGAAUUUCCGGCGUAUGAGGAGAUUAUGUGAUUGACAGGGAGAUGAAUAAAGGUAUUGUAUGUGUUUGGAAUGGGGAUUUAGUAGGAAGAACUACGUGUGGCUUGAUCCCUCAGUGAGGGUAUGUAGGUAGCCUAAGGUUAUUAGGUGCAGCCGCGGACAUAGAUGUGAUUGUGUUAGGAGGUUAAAACCUCGUAUGUUGGAAUUGGAAAAGUUAGAUGAUGUAUGUUGUAUUUAGUAUUCAUAAUUCAUAUUUGAGUUUAUUAUUUGCCUUGCUGAAAGCAAUAUGUGACUCAAGAGCUUUGUGGGUAGUUUGGGAUAUUAAAUGUGUUUUAUGCAGGUUGAAAAAUUUGGGGAAUGAUCAAUUUACAGGGGAGACUUUGCCGAAAUUUCGACAGAAAGUCCCGGUCUUUAGUAAGUGGGCCCGGCAUCGGGGUGAUGUCGAGAAUUCCAUAGGAUUCGUAUCGGGUUUCGGGAAAUCUGGGGCUAGUCUUGUCAUUGGAUGUUCCGGCGUAUGGGGAGAUUUUGUGAUUGUUAGGUCCCACGUGACGUAGGUUAUACGACGUGAGGACAGACCCCAUACGUGGCUUUGGAUGUUCCGGUGUUUGGGGAGAUUAUGUGAUUACUAGUGAGAUGAAUAAAGGAUUGUUUAUAUUGGGAAAAAUGUGUUUGUAGAAAGAAUUACGUGUGGCUUGAUCCCUCAGUAAGGGUACGUAGGCAGCCUAGGGUAGUGGUUAGGUGCAGCCGCUGACUAAACGUUAUAAUGUUGUUUUUAGGUUUGAUUAUAUGGUAUUAUGGGCCGAGGCCCCUGGGACUAUUGGUUAUAAUUCAUAGAUGGUAGUUGAUGCAUGCUAGAAAUUUGUAGGAAGUUAUUUCAUGUGGAUUGCAGUGGUACUCGUAAAAUUUAUUUGAGUUCCUGAAUUGCAUUGUUAGUAUAUUAAUUGACUUAAGAGUACUGCUAGUAGUUCUGCCUUGAUUUAUUUGAAGGUUGGAGGCCUUGUCUGUAAACUGUGUGCAAUUACAUUGUGUGUGCUGGCAGUUGGCUUUUUAAAUUGUGAAUUUUGUGCAUGUUGAAAUUUGGGAAAUGUUCAAUUUACAAGGGAGACUCUGUCAAAAUUUCGAUAGAAAGUCUUGUGCCCUUAUUCCUUUUUCGGAAAAAGGAUAUAUAGCUUUAGAAGUGGGCCCGACAUCGGGAUGAUGUCGGGAAUUUCGACAGAAUUCGUCUUAGGUUUCGGAAAAUUCGGGGCGGGUCCGAAAAAGUUGCUUCAGUUUUGGCAAGUAUCGGAAAAGACCAAAAUUUUCCGACUUUAUUAUUACUAGAAACAAAGUCGAAGUAUUCACCAAUCAUGUGGCCUUCCAAGUGCUCAAGGUUAAGCCAGGAACCGUUCCUAUCUGCCGUUUCCUUCCCAACUAUGAUCAUGUUGUCUAGGUUCCAACCCACAAAUCUACAUUGGGCUAUGUAUUUGAAUUUGUACUAAAGCGUGAUCUAUAGUAUGCAUUUAUUAGAUAAGUUUGAGAUGGCAGUGGCUUGGGUGUCCGCCGAGCUUGAACAAGUUUGGGUGUGCUGAGUGUUUCCAUGGGUGCGUUGAUGAUCAUGGUUAUUAGAUUUGUGAUAGUUUGGGCUCAAUUUCAACAGAACUUAUCUCAAGCCUAGUUAGUUGAUUCAUAAGUUUAUCAGGAAAAAAAAAUGAAAAAUGAAAAAUGAAAAAUGAAAAAAUCUUAAGUUAAGCCCAAGGACUUCUCACCAAAGUGUGCAUAAAUUGAAAUAUUUAAUAGAAGCCCAAGAUUUCUGAAGCACAUAAUAUCUACUAAAUUCUACAAAGUGUUAUACUUUACAAACUUCCUAUGUGUACCAAUUUUUACUAAAAUUAAUUUCUCUGCGGUGUUGAGAUUCAUCAUAAUUUUAGUAGAAAUUGGAAGUUUUCAUCAUUUUUGCUUUAAGUCUCUCCUCCACUCACUAAUAAAGAUUACUCAAGUGAGUUUACAAAACAUUUUUUUCUACUCUCUCCUGAAAACUACACUUCUUCUCAAAAGAUUAGAUCACUUCACAUCUUGCAUAUGUGAAAACUAAUGUAAAAAGUUGAAACUUUAUCAUAAAACCUCGACAAAAAUUAGCUCUACUUAAAACGUUAAAUUUGGAUUCGUUGAUUUAAAUGGCAAUUUGACACUUCAUAGAAAUUUUUACAUACAUGUGUUAGUGUUUGAUCACUUCACUUGUUACUUACUAUAUUUAUUCCAUGAUUCUCCCUCAAGUUAGGUAAAUAUUAUUAUCAAACAUUUCAAUUCAUUUGUGAUCUUUCUUGUCCAUCUUUUAAUGUACCCUGAAAUCCAUUAGCCACAUAUGAUGACCAAAAUCCAUACGUUCCUAUUUUUAAUGUAUGUUUACUCCCUAUAAUGUUCCAGUCUAGGGUAAUAACACUGCUAGUUUCAUAUGACAUCCUAUUUCUAAUGUGUAUCUACCCUUGUAAUGUUCCAGUUUAGGGUAAUAACACUGCUAGUUUACUAUCAUGUUGAUUAAUGCUUGUCAUGUUGCUAUUUCUAAUACAUGUCCAACAAAGAAAAGAUGAAGAAAGAACAAACCAGACCAACUCAAAAUAAGUUGAGUCCAAAUAGUUAAUACUAUUAUGUCGUAGAAGUACGUUGUUAAUACUCUGUAAUAGAAGUACAUGGUUAAUACUCUGUCAUAGAAUUACAUUGUUAAACAAAAAUAAGAUCCAUAACUGAAAUAGUAAUAAAAGAUAAGUCGAUCAUCAAAUCUUAAAAUACAUUUCGAAAAUCAACUAAAAUCCGAAGAGAAACACAUAAUUGAAGCAAAAGAUCAAAAAUCUCAAGUCCAAACCAAACAACGACGACGACGACAAUGAUGACGACAAUGACGUGGCGAAGAGGAGUAGAGCUCGAAGAUGAGGAGUAGAGCUAAGAGCAUUUGAUCAAGGUUCGUUUGAGGUCUCGAACAAUCCGAAAAAAAAAAAUCAAUAGAAGCAAGAUUUUAAAACAAGAAUCGAAUGUGAAAUAUUGAAAAUUGUAGAUUAAAGAUGAAGAAUAUAGUUGGACCUGAGACUGAGCUCCAAUGGAAGCUCCUCUUGCUCCAACACCAGAGAAAGCACCAACAAGAAAAGAGAAAAUAAAUAUGAUUUGGAUUUUUGGCAGAUUUGAAUUUUUGGCAGAUCUGGUUUUUUUGGCAAAUUUGAAUUUUUGGCAGAUCUGUGCAGAUUUGUUUUUUUGGCAGAUCUGAUUUUUCUCUCUCAAAUCCAUAUUGCAAGGGCAAUAUAGGUAUUUAACACACACAAAUAAACUAAAAAACAGCUAUUAAAUUGAAAAAUUUGACAGCUAUCAAUUUUGGGUGUGUUUGUAGUUUUUAAAUAGUAUAGGGUUUCUUUAUUAGACUAUGUCUACGAUUGGGUAUAUAAUUAAAUUUCUAUUAUUAAAAAAAAAGGACCCUAGUAAAGCCAUGGGACGAUACUCCUUUUAUAUAUAUUAUAUGAUAUAAAUAUUAUAAUAUAUUAUCUAAUAUUUGGAAUAUUUACUCUAAAAUAAACAAUAUAUUAGGUUCUUUUUGUCUACAAAUUGACCAUUAAACUUCUUAAUCACUCUUAUACUUUUAAUUAAAUCUACUAGGCUAGGUUACGAUAUUUGCACUAAAAACUCCUAAUUGUUUUUUCUUCUCUUUCUCUUGCUCUUUUUUUAACUUAAGCUGAAGUUUUGUAAUUUUUUUUCCCUCCCUUUUUACAUGUAUGAGUAGGGUACUUUAAUAUUGGGAUUUAUGAACUUUUUUUGUAUUUCUUCUCUAUGUUGGAAUAUAAAUUAGAGAUAUUUAGUCAUAUACCCAUUCUUAGCACUAAUAUUAUAAAUAAACCUUACAUCAUUCAAUUCCUAUAAACAAACCCAAAAAAUAAUAGCUGGCCCUAUUGAAUUUAAUUUUGACUAUUAAAUUACUUUGAUGCCCUAUUGAGUGUUUUGGGCUUUUUUUUAUGAGAUUUUGGAGUUGAGUUUGUUUUAAGAAAUCAAUGGCAAUUUUGUAAUUUAAAAAAAAUUAAAAGGCUUUUUGUUAUGUUGUAAAUAGGUUUCGAGUGUGUUUCUAAAGUCCAUUUCAUAUAGGUUUUUUAUAUAUAAUAAUUUGAACUCCUAUAUUGGGUAUAAUAGUGAAUCUCCAUUUAUUAACUUUUGAGUCUUUAAUAGUGUAGAUGAUGAGAUUAAUAUUCAACCAUUUUAUAAUAUGAAAUUAAGGACAAUCAUGAUUGUAAUGAAUGGAUUAUUAAUCAAUAUGAAAUGAUAUUAUGAAGUAGGCUAAAUGGAGUAGUUAGUAUCGUAUUAACUUAUUAACCGGUUAGCGCUUGAGCCCUCUAAUUCAAAUUAUUUUAUAAAAUUUUGUGAAGGGCCCCUUCUAAUGCAAAUUCCUGGCUGCGCCACUGCCUAUAGCAACUUGGUAAUGUGUGUGAAACAUCCCCUCCUUUUGUCGUUUAAACUAUCGGUUCGCUUGUAUUAAUAAAACAAAAAAUAAAAUAAAAGAUAAAAUUAUAAAUAAAACAAAACACAUAUUAAAGCCUAACUGUUAAUAAUGGAUCCAACAUAAGAUCCAGCCCAAGCCCAUGAAUAAAGCCCCCGAAAACGGUUGGUCCCUCAAUUAAAUUAUUCGUUCAAAUGGUCCAUCAACUCUAUAUUAUUCGCUCCAUUGGUCCUACCGUUAUAUUUUGUCAAUAUUUCUGUUAAAUAUGAGGGCAAAUUGGUCAUUAUUUAUCCUAAAAUUAGGUUAAAUCUAACAUAAAAUUAGACGGUAGGAAUUCGGGGCAGGUCAUGUCAAAAAGCUAAUUAGAGGGGCGAAAUUGACAAAUAAAUUUAAUACAAUAGCUAAAUUGGUUGAAAGAUUAAUUCAAGAUGUAGAUUUCAACAAGUGUGAUAAUUCAUGGGGUAUUCGGUAAUUUACUCCUUUUUUUCCCCUUGAUCUUCUAUAUUCAAGUAAUGGAAAUGUGUUCCACAUUUUCCAUUUAGUUGAUUAUAGAAAAGGAAGAGCAAACAUGAGUUAAGCCCAAGGCACCGAACUUAGGGUCAGUUUGGCAUUGUUAUGCUGUGAAAAUAAUCGUUGUCAGAUUUGCUGUGAGAGAAAAUAGUUUGGCGUUUGGUAAAAUUUUUGUUAAAAGUAUUAUUAGUAUUUAUUUUACGCAUAAUCAGAAAAUGAUUGCUGCAUAAUCAUUAAAUCCAGCGCCUUUUCGAAACUGAUUUUUGCAUAAUCAGAAAAUGAAAGCACAUCAUUAGCUGCUUUCCUUUAUAGCUUUCUCUCACAUCAAUUUUUAACAAUAAGUGAUUUUCUCACAGUUUACCAAAUGGAUUGGGCUUCUCAAAAUUUUAAAAAAAUCACUUAUCACCCCAAAUAAGUAAUGCCAAACGGGCACUUAGACUUCUCACCAACGUGAGGAAGAAAAAUAUGACAAAUUGAUAUAUUUAAUACAAGCUCAAACUGUGCACAAAUUAAUAUAUGCAACGGAAGCCCAAGAUUAUUUCUGAAGCACAUAAUUUCCGCAAAAUCUACAAAGUGGUGGGAGGCAGACCAACAAAAAAAAGUAGCGAAGGCUUAUAACUCUGGUAAAACAAGAGUGACUUGGACAGAAUAAUGUUAUGUCGUACUGAAGAUUUUUGGGUUUCUUUAAUUGGUUAAGUUUAUAUACCUUCAUUUGAAGAUUCUUUAUUUGGGUUGCUUUCAAGAUGAAAACCAUAUCCACAACCACAACCACAACUGGCAGACAAUCUUUGGCUGUUCAUCACAAUUGGGCGACAAUGAAGAAGACAGAAAUUGGAGUAAUGUAUGUUACCAGCAAUCCACGAGAAACUGACAUCUGCAAGCUUUCGUAAUAUAAGGAGGAUGGGGAGGCCGUGCAAUACUUAUCACCUUAGCCACCACCUACACCACAAGACCAAUAUGUUGUAGGCCAGGAGGCUUUCCAAUUUUAAUAUAUAUAUAUAUAUAUAUAUAAAAGUAAAGUGACAAAGAAAUUAAUGUAGGGUAAAGGUAGAAUAGAAAAGAGAAUGAACAAAAUUAAUAAAAAAAAGUUUUAAAAAGUAAAAGGGAGUGUAGAUGGAGAAAAGAGGAAUGGGGAAAUUAGCUCCCUAUAUAUAUAUAGAUUGAAAAAUUAAAAUUAAAAUCAAUCUAUUAUCUUAUAUAUUAUAAAAUAAAGAUUAUUGCUCCAAGGAAAUGAGAUCUUUUGUUUUCUGGGAAUUUUCUGAACCAAGAAGAAUCAAGUAAAAUUAAUAAAGCAUAAAUUGGAAAGGGAAAAGAUCCAGAGGAUGCAUUGUAAGAUUGCUGAUGCCAAUAAUUGUACCCUCUAAUUUUAUACAUGGACGGGCAUUCAAAUCGGCAAAUCAGAAAUCCAAGCCAAAUCGCACAGGAAAAAAUCGAGUUGACCAAAUAGUCAACAACCAAUCAAAAACCAUACCGGACCAGUUUGGACCGGUUUUGGAUCCAAUUCUAUGUCUUCAAAAACUGAACCAAGCGGAACCGAACCAGUCAAAUUAAAAAAUAUAUAAUUUCAAUAUAUAUUUAUAUUCAAUGCUAUAUUUUUAGUCUCAUAACUAAUAUUUAUGCAAGUUCAAUUUCAAAACAUCUCUCUUUUCUGGCUUUAAUAUUUAUUUUUAUAUAAAAUUAAAUAAUUUAUUAAUUUUCAAGUCAAAAAAAUAAAAUUUUAGUUGAAAUUUGUAUUAAAAAAUUAUUUGAAAAAAAUUAAUUUUAAUAAUCCAGUUCAAAACCAAAUCGGACCGGAACCUAAUCAAAAUCGGUUCAACCUGAACCGGACAGUUUUUGAAUUUUUUUUGUUAAAACCGAACCAAACCAAACCGGACAAAUAGUAUCGGAUUCGGUUCUAAUUUGAGACAAAAACCAGUCCAAACCGGACCGUGCCCACCCUAUUUUUUUUGUUUUCAAGUCUUAGAUGACAUGUCGACCUAAAAUUAUUGUUCCUAGCGGGCUCUCCACCCCCACUCAACCUAUUGUGUAUUAUUAUUUUCAAUAUUAUCUUAAAUUUAACUACUUAUGUCCAUUAUGAUUAGUCAUGUAUUUUAUGGACCAUCCAGCUGUGAGGCUUUAUCUCAAAAACAUUCAGUACCUUUUUCCCGCUUGCAACAAUUGUAUUUGAUUCAGAAUUAUGUCCUAUAUUGGUGGGUGGAGUGUUACUUCUGGGUACCCCUCAUCAUUCGUCUAUAAAAUGGUGAAGCCAGUUGCUACUGUUACCAUAAGAGCCAUCUCCGACUUUCUUUAAUUUCUUGCUUCAUAUCCACUAGCUACAUCUGUUGCCAAGUUAAUUUCAGUCCUAAUGGGGUUUCAUCUCCCACUCAUCUUUGCUCUUCUCAGUGUAAGCUCUGCAAUUUGAUUAACAUUUCCAUUAUCUCUCAUUGUACUCUAUAUAAACGAAAGUUUUGCAUUCCUAUAAUCCUCUCUGAUUUUAUUUACCACAUAAGUGUCGUCCACUAAUUAAUUACACUUUGUGAUUUGAUUUUAAUUAGAGUUCGAAUUAAUGUUGCAGCUAGCAGCGGUGGCACUGGCAAACCAUGCUGCUCAACCAGCAGCUCAACUUUACUGGAACUCCGUCCUGCCGAACACACAGAUGCCAAGAACUAUCAGUGAACUUCUGCAUCUUGGUUUGUGUUAAUCACUUUAGAAUCUUAGAUAUUUUUUCUACCUGCCAUUUUACUAAAAUUUGUUUGACCACAUAUUUAUCGGUUAACUACUGUUUUCCAAUUUAUUAUUAACCUCUACAUGAGUAAUUAUAGUAUGGUACUAGAGUACGUACGGCAACAUAUUCACAAAUGUCUCACUGAAUCUUCAAUCGGCUGAUCACUUAUUUUCCAUUAUGACGUUGAUAUAUAAUUUGCCGACUCCACAAAUGAAGAAAAGAGCACAAAUAUCAUGAAUGCUGUUGGGAAUGGAAAGCCAACUGACCACAAGGGAAAACCUGAAAUAAACGCAUUGUUUAGCGGAUACACAAUUCAAGUACAGUAUGCAGGAGUUCCUAAUUCUGACAAUCAACUCCAGUAUUAUAAAAACAUAACUAUUUUCUUCUUGGGGAAGGACAUGCGCCUUGGCGCAACAAUGAACUUCCAAUUCCCUAGAAAUUCAAACACGGCUACUUUCCUGCCACGCGAAAGUGCUCAAUCAAUCCCCUUCUCCUCUAACAAACUAUCAGAAAUUUUCAAACAUUUUUCAGUGAAGCCAACAUCUGUGGAAGCCAAAACAAUUAAGAAAACAAUCGAAGAGUGUGAAGCUCCAGGCAUUAAGGGAGGGGAAAGAUAUUGCGCCACAUCUUUAGAAUCAAUGGUUGAUUUUAGCACUUCCAAGCUUAGAACAAGAAACGUUCAAGCAAUCUCGACUGAGGUAUUGGAAAAAGGAACUGCCAUGUCCAUGCACAAGUAUACAACAAUGCCGGGACUGAAGAAGUUGGCAGGUGACAAAGUCGUUGUGUGUCAUAAGGAGAACUAUCCCUAUGCUGUGUUUUUCUGCCAUGCAAUAAAACAAACAGCAGCUUAUGUUCUCUCCCUGAAAGGCGAUGAUGGGGUGAAGGUUAAAGCAGUAACCAUCUGCCAUCUAGACACAUCAGAAUGGAACCCAAAGCAUUUGGCCUUCCAAAUCCUCAAAGUUAAGCCCGGAACCAUUCCCAUCUGCCAUUUCCUUUCCACAGAUGCUAUUGCAUGAACAUCACUUAGCACUGUACGUAUAAUAAGCUUGCACCCCUGUAUAAUUAUCUCCCUACUCUACUUAUUUCUGCCUCUUCUGUUGAGAUUUCAAUCAGAACUUGCACACACAAUGCAUCAGCUCACACAAAACCAGAUGAAUUUAAGAAAACAGAAAAAUGCAGAGAAAGAAUGGAUUGGCUACUCAGUAAUGCUCAAAGGUUCGUUGCUAUGCACAAAACAUGGCAGUGCACAAUACUCUCAUUUCUAACGGAACCAUUCCUUUUUACAAUGCUGAGAAUGUGAUCUCAGCCUUACAAUUGAUCCAGCAAUGUAAGCUGGACACUUGUCUUAAAUCUGAGUCAUAUAAGUUUCAUCCAACCAAAAUAUUACAUCUGUGAAAUAAAACUUAAACCAGCAGGAAUUUAUAAUUCGACAUUCCCUUCUAAAUUGUUGACUGGUUUAACACCAAGUAGACCUCUUAAGUAAUUGAAUCGAUCCUUAGACAAAGCUUUAGUGAAUAUGUCAGCUGCUUGCUCUUCGGACUUGCAGUAUCUUAGAUCCACCACACCUUCUUGCAAAGCAUCUCGAAUGAAAUGGUAUAUGCGGUUAAUGUGUUUGGUCUUUUGAUGGAAAACUGGAUUCCUUGUCAUUGCAAUGGCAGAGGUGUUAUCUACCAUUAAUGGAGUUGCCUCUGUUUGCUAUUCUCCAAAGUCUUCAAGCACAAACUUCAACCAUAUAGCUUGAGUAGUAGCUUCACUUACACUAACAUAUUCAACUUCAGUUGUGGAGAGAGCAACACUGGGUUGCUUGACAGAUGCCCAAGAUGACACGCCACUUCCAAAUGAGAAAGCAUAUCUAGAAGUGCUCUUCAUGUCAUCUUGACUCCCACUCCAGUCACUGUCACAGUAUCCAAUUAAUACAACUUCUUUUCCCUUCUGGUAUUCAAUACCAUAAUCAAUUGUGCCUUUGAUAUACCUCAACACCCUCUUAGUUGUUCCAUAGUGUUUCUUUUAGGACAAUGCAUGAAUCUAGCUAAUAAGCUAGCUGCAAACAUUAUGCCAGGCCUUGUAGCUGUUAAGUACAACAAACUUCCCACAAUCUGCCUAUAUUCAUUCUCAUCUGCUGGAUCACUUCCAUCUGCUUUGCAUAAUUUCUCACUUGCCACCAGAGGAGUGCUAACAGGUUUACAUUGUUUUAAGCCAAACUUGCUUAACAGAGUCAAAGCAUAUUUCUUUUGACUUAUGAAAAUACUCUUUUCAGUUUGAAUCACAGCCAUACCAAGAAAAUGAUACAAAAGACCUAAGUUAGUCAUUUCAUACCUUCUCAUCAUCUUAGACUAAAAAUCUGCAAUCAAUUCUUCACUGCUUCCUGUAUACACUAUAUCAUCAACAUAUAUCGAUACAAUGAGUGUUCUAGAGUUUUCCUUGGUCUUGCAAUACAGAGUUGCUUCACUAGAGCUCCUUGUAUAACCGCAGUCAAUAAGAUACGAGUUUAUUUCCUCAUCCCAUGCUCUUGGCGCCUGUUUUAGACCAUACAGAGCUUUCUUUAGUUUGUACACUUUGUCUUUAGAGUUCUUAAUCACAAAACCAUCUGGCUGGUCCACAUAUACUUCUUCCUUAAGCACACCAUUCAGAAAAGCAGACUUGACAUCCAAUUGAUACAACUUCCACCCCUUUUGAGCUGCCAAUGCAAUAAAAGUUCUAAUGGUGUCUAAUCGGACUCUGCACCCCUCUCGAUUGAAAACCUAUUGUGUAAAUCUUCAAUCCUAAACGAUGCACCUAAAACACAUGUUGCAAUACACAUCCACCCAUUCUCAGGCCAAUUAUUGCUCAUAGUGGGCUCCCGACCCCCUCUCAAAUUUAAGUGGUCCAUUAUUCUUAACCACAUAUUUUAUGGACCAUCCAGCUGUGAGGUUUUGUCUCAAAAACCUUCGGUACAUUUCUCCCACAUGCCACAAUUGUAUAUUCACAAUUACGUCUGAUACAUCACAUCAUGCCACUUGCCUCAAAUGAAUUUAAGUGAGUGAGGCAGUUGGAAGUAAUUAAGCUCUAUAUUGGUGGGUGGAGUGUUACUUCUGGGUACCCCUCAUCAUUUGUCUAUAAAAUGGUGAAGUCAGUUGCUACUGUUACCAUAAGAGCCAGCUCCGACUUUCUUUAAUUUCUUGCUUCAUAUCCACUAGCUACAUCUGUUGCCAAGUUAAUUUCAGUCCUAAUGGGGUUUCAUCCCCCACUCAUCUUUGCUAUUCUCAGUGUAAGCUCUGCAAUUUGAUUAACUUUUCCAUGCUCUCUCAUUGUACUCUAUAUAAACGAAAGUUUUGUGGUCCUAUAAUUCUCUCUCGAUUUUAUUUAGUACGUACUUAAGUGUUGUCCACUAAUUAAUUACACUUUGUGAGAUUUGAUUUUAAUUAGAGUUCGAAUUAAUGUUGCAGCUAGCAGCGGUUGCACAGGCAAACAAUGCUGCUCAACCAGCACCUCAACUUUACUGGAACUCCGUCCUGCCAAACACACAGAUGCCAAGAUCUAUCAGUGAACUUCUGCAUCCUGGUUUGUGUUGAGCUCUUUAGAAUCUUAGAUAUCUCUUCUACCUGCCAUUUUACUUAAAUAUGUUCGACCACAUAUUUAUCAGUUAACUACUGUCAUUACAUGAGUGACACAUAUUCACAAAUCGGCUGAUCACUUAUUUUCCAUUAUGACGUUGAUAUAUAAUUUGCAGACUCCACAAAUGAAGAAAAGAGCACAAAUGACGUUGGCAAACCUGAAACUUUCCCAUUGGGCAAUCAAAAUUACUCCAGUCAAAAAAAUUAUGGAACAGGCAAUAAACGUUACUGCAGUCAAAAAAGGUAUGGAAGAGGCAAGAAACGUUACUGCGAUCAAAAAAAGUAUGGAAGAGGUGCUUCUCCAUCUGACAAUCAACUACUCCAUUAUAAAGACUUAGCUAUUUUCUUCUUGGAGAAGGACAUGCGCCCUGGCACAACAAUGAAGUUCCAAUUCUCUAGAAAUUCAAACACGGCUACUUUCUUGCCACGAGAAAGCGCUCAAUCGAUCCCCUUCUCCUCUAACAAACUACCAGAAAUUUUCAACCAUUUUUCAGUGAAGCCAACAUCUGAGGAAGCCAAAACAAUUAAGCAAACAAUCGAAGAGUGUGAAGCUCCCGGCCUUAAGGGAGAGGAAAUAUAUUGCGCCACAUCUUUAGAAUCAAUGGUUGAUUUUAGCACUUCGAAGCUUGGAACAAGAAACGUUGAAGCAAUCUCGACGGAGGUAUUGGAAAAAGGAGCCACCAUGUCCAUGCACAACUAUACAACAAUGCCGGGACUGAAGAAGUUGGCCAGUGACAAAGUCGUUGUGUGUCAUAAGCAGAACUAUCCCUAUGCUGUGUUUUUCUGCCAUGCAAUAAAACAUACAGCAGCUUAUGUUCUCUUCCUGAAAGGCGAUGAUGGGGAGAAGGUUAAAGCAGUAACCAUCUGUCAUCUAGACACAUCAGAAUGGAACCCAGAGCAUAUGUCCUUCCAAAUCGUCAACGUUAAGCCCGGAACCAUUCCCAUCUGCCAUUUCAUUUCCACUGAUGCUAUUGCCUGGGUUCCGAACCACAAAUCUGCAUGAUCAUCACUUAGCACUGUACGUAUAAUUAUCUCCUUACUUAUUUCUGCCUCUUCAUCAUGUGGUGUAAGAUAUAUGAUGAGAUGAAGUUUUUGGGAUUAGUGGUUGGGUUGCCUGAAAAACACAGAUUACAGAAACUGCUUGAAAUUAACCCGAUCAUGUUUUCUCUUGUAACUAUAUAGACUUCAACUUGUACUCAUAAUAAAGCAUGCUAUAUUUAUGAAGAGAUAUUAAUCUAUAUAUAUUUUUUAUAUAUGCUUUGGCUUUGUGGUUCUACCCAAUGUUUGAGUGUUGAAUUGUUACGUUGGAAUAGGCUGCUAAUGCAUGUAGUUAGAGAAGCCUUCAUUUAUAUCAAAGUCCUCAAACUAUCAAGAACUAAUGUAUCCAGAAACAUAUACCAAGACGCAAAACAACAUAUUUUCCAUGCUCUGUCUGUAACACCAAAGCAAACUUCCUUGAUCACAAAAGGAUCAAAUUCCAGUACUAAUCUAAUCCAUCAUGUAAAGCAUACAAGUGCCUCCCUAAAUACUAUACUCUUUUUGUUAUUUCCUACUAUACUAUUUAAGAUUUAAAAUUCAGGUCAACCCAUAGAUUUCUCGCCUUUUUCUUCUUCAUCUCGUCGGGCUUGUCUUCUUCUUGAGGAUUGUAUAGGCCAAGGAAAUGCUUUGAGUUAGUUUUUGCGCUUUUGCGUUUUGGGCCUUGGAAGUUGGGACCCAAACCAACUUCACAAAAAGAAAACGCUCAGACUAUAAUGAGUGGAAAGUUAUAAGGGGUAAGUUAUAAGGAGUUCACUUUAUAGCCAUCAGAUCAAUCUAAGGGCUGGGGAGAAUUGAGAUAAAGUUUUAAAAUCGGGUAGGUGAGGAACCCAAACCCGAAUUGAAUAUCCAGCACGUCCGAAAAAGAAGAAGAAGAGGCAAGCACGUCCGAAAAAGAAGAAGAAGAGGCAAGGUCGAAGUUUGAACAGAAAAAACUCAUCUCUUUAAAACCCAUAGCUCUGAGAAACGGUUGAAGGCAACGGUUAACGACGGUUGUUGAAGCCACUCCGUUCUCCAGACCCUGAAAAAGUAUUUAUUUUGAGUAGAAGGGGCAAAUGUGUGGAUUCCGAAACAGUGAAGGGGCGAAGCAGUGGAAGGGGAAGGAGAGAAGCCGUAUUCGUUGGAAGUGGUAGGUUCCAUUUGUGGAGCAAAGCAACACAAAGACCCCGCACAGACACCUUGCGAUUGUUCAAUAACCAGCAUUUGGUGAGUAAUUUAUGGAAUUUGAGUUUAGGGUUAGAGUAAUGGUUUUCCCCAAUUUGUACCAUCAAUUUUGUUGGAUUUGGCAUCUCUUCUUUGUGCUUCAGUUGCAUGUUAAUUUUUGCUUGGGUAUAUGUUAAAAAAAGAAUGAAAAUCAAGUCAAUAACAAGUGAAUAACAUGUCAAUAAUGAUAUGAAUAAGAUAAUGGUGUUGAAUUGGAGGAGGCCCUCAAAACAUUCCACAUUUGAAGCAGUGCAUAGUGCAGAUUAUCUCUCUGGCGCUAGAAUAUAUAUAUAUUUUGAAAUAAAUAUGAUUUCCUUUGUUACUAAAUUUGCCUGAGAAACAUGAGAACAGAUAAUAAUAAACUCAUGAAUAGAAGUGCAAAGCAUUUGAUGAGUAAUUUAUGGAAUUUGAGUUUAGGCCCAGGAAAUUCCUUGACCCCAAAAAAAAAAAAAAAGUUGAUUUAAAAUUCAGGUCAACCCAUAGAUUUCUCGCCUUUUUCUUCUUCAUCUCGUCGGGCUUGUCUUCUUCUUGAGGAUUGUAUAGGCCCAGGAAAUGCUUUGAGUUAAUUUUUGCAUUUUUGCGUUUUGGGCCUUGGAAGUUGGGACCCAACCCAACUUCACAAAAAGAAAACAGAUUUGCCAAAAAUCAAAUUUCAAGUCUCUCCUCCGAUCGAAAUUUGGAUUUGAUGAACUAAAGUGGUUUUACUUUCUCCAUCAGUGUUUGAUAACUUAAUUUGUUAUUUACUUUUUUUUUAAAAAACUUUGGCUUAUAUAUAUUAGUUUUCUUUUUUCCUUCAUAUUCACCACCUUUAUGUUGCAUAAGUAUUUCAGUCUUAAUGGGUUUCCAUCUACCACUCAUCUUUGCUCUUCUCAGUGUAAGCCUUUUUUUUUUUUUAAAGCACAAGAUUAGAGGGGAGGGGGAUUUCUCAAUGUAAGCUUUGCAGUUUCAUAAUUAAUAUUUCCAAUAUCUCACUGUUAGUAAAAUACAGAAAAAGUACUAAUAACAUAUGCACAUGUUACUAAUUUAUUGAGAUAAAACACCAUUUUGCCCCUAGAAUAUUUUAUUAGGUUUAAAGUUGACUUUUUGACCAGGAAGGAAUUUGGGUAUUUAGACUAUAUCGUUGCGUAGAGCAUGGCGAGAUGAGUCCGUAGACACAUGAUUGGCUCGAAUCAGAGUUAUAAUGAGAGAGAUACGAUCAAAAUACCCUCAGUGGUAUAACCGUAAUUUUGGCUUAAAGGGUUUGAUAAAAUAUAAUUUUUCUUUCUUUCUUUCUCUCUCUCUCUCUCUCUCUCUCUCUCUCCUCUCUCUCACGACGGCAGUGAUAGCCGGCCACUUUUUGGCCAGCCAUGCUCUCGUCCGGCCACUAAAGUUGACGGGGCCGGUACCAAAAUGACCGGGCCACCAUCCUUUUCCAACCCCAGCCAGGCCCCACUGCCAGCAGUCGUGAUUUUGCUGAAAAAUGGAGAAGAAGCGGCCGAUUUCGUUCGAACUUCUCCGACUUCGUUCUCUCUCCUCCGGCCACCGAUUUCGAUGAAUGAGGUAUGGUUUCUCACCUACUUUUUAUGCUCUAGCUGCCUGUUGGGUAGGAUUCGAUCAAUUCCUUGCGUAGGUAGCUUGAUUUUCGAAUUGGAUUUCGGCCGGUUUUGGGAUCUCGAUUCCGGCCACUUCCGGUCAGUUUUUGGGGUACAUCCCAAAACAAAAGUGGUUCUAAAUAGGGUGUUAUACCUAGGGUAGGAACCUUGAACCGUAAUUUUGAGAAUUUUCGGUGAUGCCUAAUCGCUUUGGACACCUACGCUAUGCCUGCGUGUGGGCACUAUAGAAAAAGGGCAUUGUGUCCCGAUGCAAUCCCCUUGUUGUCUUGAGCGCGUAGGUGUGCUCGGAUUUCAAUUUGGAUACCGUUUGAAUCUCGAACGAAUAUCGCAUAUUGUGCGUUAUUCGGGGUCGAUAGGUUUGAACUGUUGGAUAGUCUUAGAUUUAUAAUAUGUUAAUCUAGACAUUCUUAGGAUCGAAUGGGAUUAAACGGAUCGUAAAACGGAGUCCCGGAUACUCCAAAAAUGCCAACCCUAGGGCUAGGUUCCUAGUAACCGUCCGAUCGUGCGAUCGUGAGCGAUCCGACCGUUUGAUCCGAACCAAACUUGCAGGACGUGUAUCCUAAACCUUGUAGAACCCAUAGGAACUUUCGGAUUAGAAUUUGGAGGUCGUGGGCCCCUUGGGCCGUUUGACUAAGUUUGGGUAGUUUGACCCUUGGCUGAUCGUGAGUCUUCAGAGGUCUUGAGCGUUGUUGAGCUAUGUUGACUAGGUUUAGACUUUUAGAGUGUUUAUUAUUAUCAUAGGAAACUAUUAGAUAUUAUUUUAAUAAUUGAAAUUAUCAAAUUUAUGUUUAUGUGCAUGAUUGUUGGUCUAAAAAUAACAUUGUUUUCUUGAUAAAAUUACGUUGCAGUCUACUAUAGACUGGUAUCACUAAAUGGAGAUUACCUCUAUUAUUAGUUUAGAUAAUUAAGAGUAUGUCAGUUUGAAGUGCUAUAUGCACUACCCUAAGUACCACCCUGUGAUUGUUAGGUCCCAUGUGGUGUAGAUUAUACAGCGUCAGGACAGACCCCAUACGUGGCUUUGGAUGUUCUGGCGCAUGGGGGAGAUUAUGUAAUGGUUAGGUCAUACGUGGCGUAGGUUAUUCAGCGUGUUGACAGACCCUAUACGUGGCGUUGGAUGUUCCAGUAUGGAAAGAUUUUGUGAUUGUUAGGUCCCACGUGGCGUAGAUUAUCCGGCGUGAGGACAAACCCCAUUCGUGGCUUUGGAUGUUCCUGCGUAUGGGGGAGAUUAUGUGAUGGUUAGGUCACACGUGGCGUAGGUUAUUCGGCGUGUUGGCUAACCCCAUAAGUGCCGUUGGAUGUAACGACCGGUCCUAAAUAAAUUAGUGAAUAUUAAUUUAUUCAGAGAAAAUACCAUUUUGCCCAUAGAGUAUUUUAUUAGGUUCAAAGUUGACUUUUUGAUCAGAAAGGAAUUUGAGAAUUUCGAUUAUACCGUUGCAUAGAGCACGGCGAGAUGAGUCCGUAGACACGUGGUAUGCUCGAAUCGAAGUUGUAACGAGAGAGAUACGAUCAAAAUACCCUCAGUGGCAUAACCGUAAUUUUGGCAAAAAGGGUCGAUAAAAUCAUAUAUAUAUAUUUUCUCUCUCUCUCUCUCUCUCUCUCUCUCUCUCUCUGCGAUAUUGUCCCUCUCUCUCUUUGAUUCACUGCCAUCUGCCCACGGCAGGACUUGAGACUGGUCACGUUUGAACCGGCUCGAUGUCCCGAUCACGUCGCACCCAAAAUGCAAAUGGAAACCUUGAAUUCCAGCCACGGCUUCGACUGGUUUGAACUGGGUUUUUCCCGGCGUUGCGCCACCGCCUCCGCCGCCCAAUUCCGGUGAAACAGGUAUAAUUCCUCACCUAUUUUUCGAGAUCCAGCUGUUGUUGUGUAGGAAUUAGACGAUUUUCAUGUUUAGGAACUCGAUUUAGAAUUUAGGUUUUGGUCGAAUUUUCAAAGUGAAAUUUCGGCCACUUCCGCUGGUUUUUCGGGGUAUGUCUAAGAACAAAAGUGGUUCCAAAUAGGGUGUUAUACCUAGGGUAGGAACCUUGAGCUGUGAUUUUGAGAAUUUCCGGCGAUGCGUAUUCGCUUUGGACACCCACGCGCCGACAGCGCGUGGGCACUGUAGAAAAGGGGCAUUGUGUCUCAAUGCGAUCUGCUUGUUGUCUUGAGCUCGUAGGUAUGCUCGAAUUUCAAUUUGGAUACUGUUUGAGUCUCGAACGGAUAUCGCAUAGUGUACGUUAUCCGGGUUUGAUAGGUUUGAACCAUUGGAUAGUUUUGAAUUUGAUAUAUGUUAAUCUAGGCAUUUCUAGGAUCAUGUAGGAAUUCAGGGAUCAUGAAUCAGAGCCCCGGAUGUUCCGAUUUAAUAACUUAAAGUUUAUGUUUAUAAUAACUAUCAGAUCGUGCGAUCGUGAGCGAUCCGACUGUCUGAUCUGGACCAAACUUGCAGCACGUAUAUCCUAAACCUUGUGGAACAUAAAAAAAUUUCGGAUUAGAAUUUGGAGGUCGUGGGCCCCGUGGGCCCAUUUAACCAAUUAUGGGUAGUUUGAUCCUUGGUUGACCGUGAGUCUUCCGAGAUAGUUUUACCUUCCUAGGAGGAUUAUAAUGACCCUAGUGAUAGGUCUUGACCGUUGUUCAGCUAUGUUGACUAGGUUGAGACUUCUAGAGUGUUUAUUAUAUUAUUGUAGGAAACUCUUAGAUAUUAUUUUAAUAAUUGAAAUUAUGAAAUUUAUGUUUAUGUGCAUGAUCGUUGGUCUAAAAAUAAUAUUAUUUUCCUGAUAAAAUUACGUUGCAGUCUACUAUAGACUAGUAUCACUAAAGUGGGAAUACCUCUAUUAUUAGUUGAGAUAAUUGGGAGUAUGUCAGUUUGAAAUGUUAUACCCUAAGUACUACUCUAUGAUUGUCAGGUCACCCGUGGCGUAGGAUUUUCCGGUGAGAUGACAGACCCCAUACGUGGCGUUGGAAUUUCCAACGUAUGGAGAGAUUAUAUGAUUGUUAGGUUUCACGUGGCGUAGGAUUUUUCAGCGGGAUGACAAACCCCAUACGUGGCAUUGGAAGUUUCAGCGUAUGGGGAGAUGAUAUGAUUGUUAAGUCACACGUGGCGUAGGUUAUUUGGAGUGCUGACAGACCCCAUACGUGGCGUUGAAAUUUCUGGCGUAUGGAGAGAUGAUAUGAUUGUUAGGUCACUUUGGAUGUUCUAGCGUAUUGGGAGAUUAUGUGAUUACCAGUGAGAUGAAUAAAGGAUUGUUAUGUUAUAUUGGGAAAAACAUGUUUGUAGAAAGAAUUACGUGUGGCUUGAUCCCUCAGUAAGGGUACGUAGGCAGCCUAGGGUAGUGCCUUGGUGCAGUCGCUGACUAAACAUUAUAAUGUUGUUUUUAGGUUUGAUUAUAUGGUAUUAUGGGGCAAGGCCCCUAGGACUAUUGGUGAUAAUUCAUAGAUGGUAGUGGAUGCAUGCUAGAAAUUUGUAGGAAGUUAUUUCAUGUGGAUUGCAGUGGUACUCGUAAAAUUUAUUUGAGUUCCUUAAUUGCAUUGUUAAUAUAUUAAUUUACUUAAGAGUACUGCUAGUAGUUCUGCCUUGAUUUAUUUGAAGGCUGGAGGCCUUGUCUGGAAACUGUGUGCAAUUAGAUUGUGUGUGCUGGCAGUUGACUUUUUAAAUUGUGAAUUUUGUGCAGGUUGAAAUUUGGGAAAUGUUCAAUUUACAGGGGAGACUCUGCUGAAAUUUCGGUAGAAAGUCUUGUGCCCUUAUUCCUUUUUGGGGAAAAGGAUAUAGUUUUAGAAGUGGCGAUGUCGGGAAUUUCCACAGGAUUCGUCUCGGGUUUCGGGAAAUUCGGGGCGGGUCUGAAAAAGUUGUUUCAGUUUUGGCAAGUAUCGGAAAAGACCAAAAUUUUCCGACUUUAUUAUUACUAGAAACAAGGUCGAAGUAUUUACCAAUCAUGUGGCCUUCCAAGUGCUCUAGGUUAAGCCAGGAACCGUUCCUAUCUGCCGUUUCCUUCCCAACUAUGAUCAUGUUGUCUGGGUUCCAACCCACAAAUCUACAUUGGGCUACGUAUUUGAAUUUGUACUAAAGCGUGAUCUAUAGUAUGCAUAUAUUGGAUAAGUUUGAGAUCAGUGGCUUGGGUGUCCGCUGAGCUUGAACAAGUUUGGGUGUGCUGAGUGUUUCCAUGGGUGUGUUGAUGAUCAUGGUUAUUAGAUUUGUGAUAGUUUGGGCUCAAUUUCAACAGAACUCAUCUCAAGCCUAGAUAGUUGAUUCUUAAGUUUAUCAGGAAAAAAAAUUAAAAAUUAAAAAAUCUAAAGUUAAGCCCAAGGCGCCGAACUUGGACUUCUCACCAAACUGUGCAUAAAUUGAAAUAUUUAAUAGAAGCCCAAGAUUUUUGAAGCACAUAAUAUCUACAAAAAUCUACAAAGUGUAAUACUUUACAAACUUCUUAUGUGUACCAAUUUCUGCUCAAAUUAAUUUCUCUGUGGUGCUGAGAUUCAUCAUAAUUUUAGUAGAAAUUGGAAGUUUUCAUCAUUUUUGCUUUAAGUCUCUCCUCCACUCACUAAUAAAGAUUACUCAAGUGAGUUUACAAAACAUUUUUUUUCUACUCUCUCCUGAAGACUACACAUCUUCUCAAAAGAUUAGAUCACUUCACAUCUUGUAUAUGUGAAAACUAAUGCAAAAAGUUGAAACUUUAUCAUAAAACCUCGACAAAAAUUAGCUCUACUUAGAACAUUAAAUUUGGAUUCGUUGAUUUAAAUGGCAAUUUGACACUUCAUAGAAAUUUUUACAUACAUGUGUUAGUGUUUGAUCACUUCACUUAUUACUUACUAUAUUUAUUCCAUGAUUCUCCCUCAAGUUAUGUAAAUAUUAUUAUCAAACAUUUCAAUUCAUUUGUGAUAUUUCUUGUCCAUCUUUCAAUGUACCCUGAAAUCCAUUAGCCACAUAUGAUGACCAAAAUCCACACUCUGUUGUUUGCAAACGUUCAAUAUACGACUUGCAUCCACAGUCCUGACCCAAAUGAAAUGCGGAAACUGUCAAGCUAACUGUAGGGAGGACUAUAUUUGAUUUUACCUUAAAGACUGAUCCGAAACCACCUUCUCCAAGUUUAUUGUUGUUUGAAUAGUUUUUGGUUGCACAAACAACAGCGGCCAAGUCAAAUAAUGGCAAUUCCAGAUCUUCCUUUUGGCCGGGCUUCAGUUCUCCUGUGAAGUACGUAGUGAAGUAAAUAAUGUAGCAUGGAACCUUAGCUUAGAAACCAGAGAGGCAACAGCAAAAAUUUUCUAUAGAACUGAACCUACCUAUCUUAGAAAAUGAAGGGGCAGAAGAGUAGAAAAUCAAAUAGCUUACCAUAUUUUUGUUGCUGGUUCUUCCUCACAUAUAAUAGCAGGGUAAGGCCCAGGGUCAGCAGUCCAGUAGACAACACAGUACUGGUUACUAUGAUCUUUGUAUUGUGUCCUUGAUCUAGGAAUGAAGUAUUUGAAAGCAGAAGAUUGAGGAGUCAGAAAUUCAUAAAGAAAAAAUCUCUACUUUUUAUCAUCCAACGAACAAUUAAUGCUAGUUUCUGAGACAGUUCUAAAGAAAUAUUUUUCUAACAAUGUCAAAAGUUUUCUGGCUCUAUCUUGUUUCUAAUCAUGUCACUGUUGGAAGAUUUCUUUCUUCUUUUUUCCUUGGUGGCUUUUAUUUUUCUUUCAAACUUUGUUUUAAACAGCAAGAUGAUUCCAUACCUAGUUCUGACGAAGCCAUUCUUAUGUAAAUAUCUUGCCCAUUUAUAUUGGAAUAUCUUAUAUCAACCAGAUCGCUGAACCACAGCAAGGACCCCCUUCCUCCAUCUCGGAUAUCCAAAUUUGAAAAAGCGGCGCAGGAGCAGUUGUUCAUGCACAUCAUCUCACAUUCCUUGAGGUUCAUAAUUGUGUUAUACUAGGAUUGUUCUGUACUUUAUUUCACCCCAGUGUACUUCUUAAAGAUGUCUCCACUGCAAUUCAGUUGGCUCUUUCUCACAGAUCUAUAUGACCAAUCCACCAAGUCCCAGUCUUGUUGAAAGUCGGUAUAAAUCCUUUCAAGCAGCUACGUACUGGGGACUUGUCAAUACAACAUGCACCAUUCGGACCACAUAUUCCAUAUUUGUCGCAGAUAUCAGUCGUUGCUCUUAGAUAAACAACCCAACCUUGGUUUCCAUCACUCCCGAUGUAGCUCAGCCCAAAUCCAUCUUGAGUUAACGCCAGCCUGAAAAGAGUUGAGCUGUUGAGAAGCUUAUAACCAUAAUAUACUUCAUCAUCAUUAUCCAACACAAAAUCAUAUGUUGGAUUUAAAUUAUGCAUCCCACUAAAUUGGAUUCCAUUCCAUGGUGCAGUCCGAUAUUUUAUAACAGAACCCUCCCUCAGAAUUAAUUCAUGGUACCCAUAAGGACCAAGUUGAUAUGGGUAAUGUCCUUGAGAAGGAUCCUGGGGGCUUUUCCAGGGUGUAAGAUGCCAAUUAAAACCUGUGAUUUUGUUCCUAACAAGCUUCAUACCUGGUAUUAAUGUAUCUCCUGGGUAAUCAAAACUCUGCCAUAAAAUAUUAUCAGAGUCAUUACGACCAUUGCCAUCUAUCACAACAAGAUUUCCGGAAUCCAAAAUCUGUGCCACUGGAUUCUAUGAAGAACUUGAUGUGUUGGAAGACCUGUAGUGUUCUUUGUUGAAUAUUUGGAUUGCAAAGGGAGCAAGAAAUGUACUGAGAGAGAAAGAGAGAGAGAGAGAGAGAGAGAGAGAGAGAGAGAGAGCAGUGAGCCUUAGAUUGUUCUAACAGUUUUCUUACUCUGCAUGAACAUAGCAGCAGAGCUUAUAUUCCUUCAUGACUGUUACAUGUUCUCUCUUACAUCAGUAGAUUCAAAUCUAACGGUUUGUAAUAGUAAGCCAAUGUGAGUAUGACACAUGGCAAUACACAGCUGUCCUAACAGCUGGGAAUUCAAAACAGACUCUAGCAUUGCACCUGGCAUAUAAGCACAAGGCACUCAGCUAACACAAAGAUUAAAAACAGAUUGAAUAUAAACUGACAUAGAACUUACUAACUAAUCUGAAAUUAGCUAGACAGUUUACAUUUUAACACUCCCUUCUAAAGUGCUAGCUGAUUUCACUCCAAGCAUUCUCCUCAAAUAGUCAAACCUGUCUUUGGGAAGAGCUUUGGUGAAGAUAUCAGCAAUCUGCUCUUCUCCUUUGCAGUAGAGCAGUUCAAUCACUUCUUCUUGUAUUGCAUCUCUAAUAAAAUGAAACUUCCUUUUAAUAUGCUUGCUCCGUUGAUGAAAAACAGGAUUUUUAGCCAUUGCUAUGGCUGAAGUGUUGUCACAAAACACAGUUGUUGCAGUGGUCUGUUCUUCCCCAAAAUCUUCAAGAACAAACCUGAGCCAAAUGGCUUGUGAUGUAGCUUCUGCUGCACUCACAUACUCUGCCUCUGCAGUAGAGAGAGCCACACUGUGUUGUUUGACUGAUGCCCAUGAAAAAGCACCACUUCCAAAUGAAAAUGCAUAUCCAGAAGUGCUUUUCAUAUCUUCCUCAGAUCCACUCCAGUCACUGUCACAGUAACCAACUAAGAGUGCAGAUUUUCCUGUCACAUACUCAAUUCCAUAGUCAAUUGUGCCUUGUAUGUACCUUAGAACCCUUUUAGCUGCCCCAUAGUGCAUCUUAGAAGGGUUAUGCAUGAAUCUUGCAAGCAGGCAGGCAGAGAACAUGAUAUCUGGCCUGGUUGCAGUAAGGUACAGCAGGCUGCCUACAAUUUUUCUGAACAAACUUUCAUCUGCAGCAUCACUUCCAUCCUCUCUUUUCAAUUUAUCAGUAGCCACUAAUGGAGUGCUUACUGACUUGCAGUCUUUGAGUCCAAACUUAUCCAAGAGAGUGAGAGCAUACUUCUUUUGAUGAAUGAAGAUGCUCCCUUCAGUUUGUGUUACUCCCAUACCAAGAAAAUGGUGGAGUAAACCCAAAUCAGACAUCUCAUACUUGCACAUCAUUUCAGCUUUGAAUUCUUUCAUCAUUUCAUCUCUACUUCCUGUGUACACUACGUCAUCUACAUAGAUUGACACUAUUAGUGUUCCCACCUUCCUUUGUUCUCACAUAGAGAGUGGCUUCACUUGGACUUCUGUGAAAACCACACUGAUUCGAGUAGGUGUCAAUUUCACUAUACCAGGCCCUUGGAGCCUGCUUCAACCCAUAGAGGGCUUUUCUUAACCUAUACACCUUAUCCUCAUCAUCUUUAACCACAAAACCAUCCGGUUGAUCAAUAUAAACUUCUUCUUCAAGGACACCAUUUAGGAAGGCUGACUUGACAUCCAAUUGCCAUAGUUUCCAGCCUUUCUGAGCAGCAAGAGCUAUGAGAGUUCUAAUGGUGUCUAACCUUGCUACAGGAGCAAAGGUUUCAUUGAAAUCAAUCCCUGGUUUUUGUGUGUAUCCCUUGGCAACAAGUCUUGCUUUAUGUUUUUGAAUGGAGCCAUCAAGAUUAAGCUUAAUUUUGAAUAUCCACUUCACUCCCACAAUUGGUUUACUACUUGGCCUGUCAACCAAUUCCCAACUGGAGUUUUUCUCUAUCAUAAGUAUCUCCUCAGUCAUAGCCUUCCCCCAAGCUUCAUCUUUGACUGCUUCUUCAAAAUUUUCAGGUUCAAUGAUGCUCAUCUUGCAUUGAGCAUACACUUCACUCAAACUCUUCCAUUUCUUUGGGGUGUUAUCAUAAGUUUCUAAUGGAGCAGAGUCUUGAGUAGCAUGCACAUCAUUACUUGUUUGUGUUUCCAUAGGAGACUGUACAAUCUGUUGCUGUAACAGAUUUGGUUAUGAAUCCAAAUCUGAUACAAUUGAACUUACUCCAUCACCCCAAGACAUAGGGAUUUGCAAUGCCUCAUUGGUUUCCCAAUUCCACAUUGCUUCUUCAUCAAAAAUAACACUCCUAGACAGCUCAAUCUUUUGAGUUCUCAAGUUGAGCACUCUAUACCCCUUUUCACAUACACCAUAUCUUACAAAUACUCCCUUCUCACCUGUGUCUUCCAGCUUGUGCCUUUUCUGUGUGGGGAUGUGAAUAUAGCAUAGAGAACCAAAUAUUCUCAAAUGCUUGACACCUGGUUUUCUUCCACCGAACUUUUCAAAUGGAGUGGAAUUGUCCAGUGCACUUGUAGGACAUCUGUUCUGCAAAUAUACAGCUGUAUUGACAGCUUCUGCCCAAAACUUCAAAGGGAUUUUCUUCUCAUACAUCAUGGCUCUUGCCAUUUCCAUCACAGUACGAUUCUUUCUCUCUGUAACUCCAUUCUGUUGUGGAGAGUAGCCUACUGNNNNNNNNNNNNNNNNNNNNNNNNNNNNNNNNNNNNNNNNNNNNNNNNNNNNNNNNNNNNNNNNNNNNNNNNNNNNNNNNNNNNNNNNNNNNNNNNNNNNNNNNNNNNNNNNNNNNNNNNNNNNNNNNNNNNNNNNNNNNNNNNNNNNNNNNNNNNNNNNNNNNNNNNNNNNNNNNNNNNNNNNNNNGGUGUGGUCAUCAAUGAAGGUGAGGAAAUAUCUGUUCCCUCCAAGAGUGAUGGUCUGCAUUGGACCACAAAUGUCUGAGUGAAUCAGUUCUAGAGGUUGAGUGGCUCUCCAAGCUCCUUCCUUAUCAAAAGAGCUUCUGUGAUUCUUGCUUUCAGCACAACCUGAGCAGACCUUCUCAUGUUCUUGUAAAUUAGGCAUUCCCUGAACCAUAUCUCUCUCUUGUAACAACUUCAAACUAAUAUAGUUUAGGUGCCCAAAUCUUCUGUGCCACAGCCAGGAUGUUUCUCCAACUGUUGCUCUGUUUGCCAUAGGAGGAUUAACAUAGUCAAGAUUUAAAGGAAAACAUUUGUUUCCCUUCAUUGGCACUCUUGCAAUGCAAUCUUCCAACUGCCUAUCUCCAUAGAUAUCAACUGCAUUAUCACCAAAUACAAGCCAAUGCCCAUGUUCUAUCAUUUGACCUACACUUAGCAAAUUUUCAUCUAAACUUGGUACAAUCAUGAUUUCUUUGAUAUAUCUAGUCACACCCUUCAUUUCUAUAGCCAAAGUCCCUUUGCCUAUUAACUGCACUAGAUCACCAGUCCCCAUUUUGACUUUACUCUUCAUACUUUUAUCAACAUUUACAAGUAAUGACUCAUGGGAAGUCAUGUGAUUGCUGCAUGCACUAUCAACAUACCACAUAUUCACAUUCUUUCCAAUUGUUGCAGCAUGACAUGCAUAGAACAUAAUGGCAGGUUCAGUUACCUGAUUUGCAAUGUUAGCAAGUUUCCCUGCCUUGUUUGCUUGGUCACAGUCCUUAACAAAAUGACCAAAUCGAUUGCAGCCAUGACACUUUGGUUUUCCUUUAAACCAACACUCACCAUAGUGUAACUUCUCACAAUGUUUGCAUUUUCCAGAUUUGUCUCCUUGACUUGGUUUUCCCCCUUGAUUGGCACUGUUUUGGGGUUUAGAAUCCCAUUUCUUAUCCUUGGACUUCCAAUUCUUCUUUGAUUUAUUAGAGCCAGAACUAGAACUUGAUUGAGAUCCUUUUGAGUUUAUGCUCAUGCUGCUGAAAGCUUUCUCAGUGGUGCUUUCUGCAUGUCUGUCAAGGCGCUGAGCAAAACCUCUUAAUGCUGCAAUUACCUCCUGCACUUCAAUGGUUUCAAUGUCUCUAGUUUGCUCAAUCACAUAGCAGACUGGAUCAAAUUCCUUGGUUAAGCUUAUUAGCAGUUUUUGAACUAUCCUCCCUUUGGUCAGAUCUUCCCCAUAUCCCUUCAUCUGAUUUACAAGCUCAAGUAACCGAGUGAUGUAUCCAGACAAGAUCUCAUCAUCCUUCAUCCUGGUGUACUCAAAAUCUCGACGCAGACCCUGCAACAUGAUGGAUCUGACUUGCUUAUCACCAUGAAACUCCUGAUGCAAGAUAUCCCAAACACCUUUUGAGGUUUCUUCAUUUGAGAUUCUGGGAAAGAUGUCAUCUGAAACAGCACCUUGGAUAAUACCAAGAGCCUUAGCAUCUUUCAUCAACAAGGACACCAUCUCUGAAUCUGAUGACCCUUCUUUAUCAGCUUUUGAAUCUGGAACUUGAAGGCCUUUCUCAACCAAAUUCCAGAUUCCAUGAGAUUUGAAAAUUGUUCUCAUUCGAAUCUUCCAAAACUCAUAGUUCUCCCCAUUGAAUAUUGGAGCUCUAAGAUCACUCCCUCCUGACCCAGCCAUCUGAGACCAGACUCAAUGAGUUGAGAGUAGGAAAUUUCCCGUUGGAUUUCCAGACUCAGCUCCCACAGCUUCAACGCCCUCUAUCCAGAUCCAACCUGCGCACCUGAUACCAUGUUGAAUAUUUGGAUUGCAAAGGGAGCAAGAAAUGUACUGAGAGAGAGAGAGAGAGAGAGAGAGAGAGAGAGAGAGCAGUGAGCCUUAGAUUGUUCUAACAGUUUUCUUACUCUGCAUGAACAUAGCAGCAGAGCUUAUAUUCCUUCAUGACUGUUACAUGUUCUCUCUUACAUCAGUAGAUUCAAAUCUAACGGUUUGUAAUAGUAAGCCAAUGUGAGUAUGACACAUGGCAAUACACAGCUGUCCUAACAGCUGGGAAUUCAAAACAGACUCUAGCAUUGCACCUGGCAUAUAAGCACAAGGCACUCAGCUAACACAAAGAUUAAAAACAGAUUGAAUAUAAACUGACAUAGAACUUACUAACUAAUCUGAAAUUAGCUAGACAGUUCACAUUUUAACAUUCUUAUGGUCGGCAGGGACAAGAAUUCCAGGGCUGCUCAACUUGAAUACACCUGAUGAACCAGUGAGGGGUGUGUUUCUUUUAGUCUGCACUAUAUAUGCAGGGUCUGACUCUAAUUAGAAGAUAAUUGUAUUAAUUUGGUAAAGCUUUGUCUGUAACUGUCUCGCACCUUAAAAAAAUUUCACAAUUAGCAGCAUUGGCAAUACUUGAUUAGAAAGCAGAAACCCUACAGUAUAUAGUUAAGUUGAGUAGCUGGGAAGACAAUUAGUAAGCUUUCAAUACUAAAGUUGAAUAUUGGGGAGACAAAUUACUAGAGCUUCAAGUUCAGAUAAAUAGGAUGAAUUUCUCUUAAGGGAUCCCCUUUCACUGUAGCUUGGAGUAGAAUUCAUUUUGACACAAUAUCAAUUAUCAAUGUAAACACGUUACUGAUGCACUAUUGACAAUAUCGAUGCACGUCAUAUCAUAUUUGUGGGAGUAAAUUUCCUCACGAGAAUAUUUGGUUCAAAAGAUUCCCCUUUUUUUUUUUUUUGCCGCCUCUUUCUCCUUGCAAAAUAGAACAAAUAAGAGGACCACACCCGGGGGGUGUUGGCCAAAGGCCCUCCGAUGCUAAAUUAGUUCAAGUAUUUGUAAGAAAAAUACUAGCUAACUAGGGUACAGAGGUGUAUUUAAGGUGUAAACCGGGCAGCCGAAGUCUUAUGUAAAAGAGAGAGAGAAAGGAGGUGGCUAGCGUUUGAGAGGAAUUUUCUGCAGAGUUUUUAGUAGAGAUUUCAGACGUACCUCAACCAUUGUGUGUGGCCAUCUUUUUAUAGUGGUCUUGGAGGCUAGGGUUUCAGAGGAAUAAUUCCGUAGAUGGAAAGGAAUUAUUCCUCCCCUAUUUGGAAUUGAUUUGAUUAAUUAGGGAUUUGAUUUAUUAGGGUAAAUCAAAUCCCUAAUUGUGGUAGGUAUCAAAUCAAAUCCUUUUUUAAUUAGGUAACUCCUCAUUUAAUUGGGAAUUGUGGUAGGAAUCAAAUCAAUUCUCAACCUAAUUAGGUAACGUUCAAUUUAAUUGGGUAAUUCCCAAUUAAAUUGAGUAACUCCCAAUUAGGUUGAUUAAUUCCCAAUUAGAUCAAAUAAUCCCCUAAUUGAAGGAAUUAUUUGACCUAGGGUCUGAUUUAAUUCGAUUCCCACAAAUGCCCCCCAGCUUCUGCAUGGUGCAUGGUGGCACGUAGGAGAUGUAAAUUAUCUGUUGGGCUGUCCAGCUGUAACUGGGCUUCCUUCGUGGACCUGGGCUCCCGAGUAGAGGAGGUGUUUGACUUGCCAAUUUUAUGAACACCCAAUUGGAAAGGGUUUGAGAUUCCUUGUAGGUCAAGGAAUUUUGCUCCUUAUAAAUGUAGGGCUCCUCCAAAUUAUUCUCGACAUCAGAAAUCUACUCCUCCAAAUUUGUUAGUGAGAGAGAGAAGACUUUGGAGAAUUUUUCAGCGUGCUUGAGACUUCAUCUUUGCAGCCCAUCCAAGGUAAUUUGAUAGGAAGAAUUUUAUUUUGAGUUGCUAUGACUUUUGGCAGCAAGCUGUGAGACUAAGGGCAUGUCUUGAGGUGCGCGCUAGGGCUUUAGGCAUGGCAAGAGACUCGGAAAGGCUAGCAGGUUCGUUUCCACCUACGCUGGGCUCAAGGAGAAGGCAACAGGGCUUCAGGCCUUGUGGAUGAAGUGGGCUUUCGCUGGGAGCAAGAGGCCUGGAGCUGAGGCAAGGAGACAAUGGGCCUGGUACGAGGUGUGGGCUGAGCAUGCCAGCUUUGGAGCAAGGGGGCCAGGACGACUGCUGGGCAGGAGGUGCGCUGGGCUGCAUGCGCGAGCUGCGCCGAGUGCUGGCUGGAGGAGCGAGCUGGGCUGCGCGCUAGGCCAUUCAUGCUGGGCUACUUCCGUUUUUUUUUUGUUUUUUUUUAAAUUUUAUUUGCUGUUGCUGCUUUUUUUUUUGUUUUUUUGUUUUUUUUUUGUUUGGUAUUCUAACUCGUAAUUUUUUUUUUCUUCUUACAGCUACUUGUUGAUCAACCAUGUCUUCCGGAGAUGGUAGCAAGGCUCCAAGCUCUUAGGUCCUUUUGUAUUUAUGGGGAGGCUCCAUAGUGCAUGGCAAGAAGUUUGUGGUCAACUUGCAUCGCGUCACGACUUAUGCUCAGUUCCAGAAGUGGCGGGCCACUUAUGCGUCUGCCAUUCCAGAUGACGUGCUGGUCAAGCUAUUGAAAUCUCAAACUGAUAACGAGCCUUUGGUGGACGUGAGUGAUCAUGAUGCUAGGAUCAUUACCUUCCGUCCUUUUUACUUCUCUUUAGGCUUCAAAUUCCCGUUGUCAAAGCUCUUCAAGAAGGUGUUCUGUGCCAUGGGGUGUGCUCCGAGCCACUGUACUCAUGUGCUUCAAGAAUUUGAGUCGUUUCUUCAUGUUGGAGCUGACGAUGCGAGAGUUCUUUUAUUUUUUUCGAAGUGAGGCACUUUGAGCGGUACGCCCAAGUUCGUAUCUACAAGGCCAAGCUGUUCCACGGUCUCAGUCAAGGAGAUCACGCUUGACAUGAAGAUGUGUUGGAGGUCAGCAGACGGUGGGAGGGUGACGUCGGUGACGGCCCACCUGUUCCCAUCACCUAUUGUGAUGGUAUGUCUCUUUACGAUUUUUGAUAUGCUCCUUUUAUUUGAAUUUCUUGAAGUGUGGCAGACUAACUUCUAUCUUCUGCUCGUAGUGAGUGACAUUAGCAAGCAAUUGGAGCUCCGACCAGACAUGGCUAAGGUCCGUCGUGCUUUGAACAUCCCUCUAAGGUUUCACGAGUGGCGCUGGCUGUUGAGUGAGUACCGGGAGGAAGACGGUGGUUUUCUCCUUGCCGAGGAUGUCGAAAGGUGGAAGCAGAACGAUCCUGACCCUGAUGAUCUGCUUGGCAGACAGGAAGAAUGUUCUGCUUAAUCGCUCUUAAAGAGAAAGGCUGCUGCCAAAUCUUUGAGAUGUGAAGCUACUUCUUCGCAUGCAAAGGAUGGGUCUCCAUCGAGGAAGAAACCAAGGCUCCCUUCUGCUGAGAAGACUCAAGUGGGGUCUGCUCCCUCAUCAUCUGCCAGGGUUAAGCAUCUCGUGGGUGCAGAUAGCAAGAAGGUUGGUGGUAUGCAUGGUACUCGGGGUGUUCUGCCCAAGCUUCCUGCUGACACGCUCGAAAACCAUGAUAUACUUCGUGAAGUGGCUCGUGCCCAACCUAGUUCUGCCAAGCGUCAAAGAGAUGUAGACAUUCCUCCUAGAAGUUCGAGUUGUCUGCAUCGGUCAAAAGAUGGAGACCGAAGCGGGAGGUCUGCUUAUGAUCCAGCAUUAUUGACUCAUUUGGAGAUGAGGUUGGCGAAGGCUAAGAAGGUGAAAGAGUCAUCUGCCCGGGUUAAGGGUUCUUCCUCGGCGUUGGUAGUUGGUCCCAAGAUGAACAAGUCUAGCUCUGUAGGGGAUGCAUGCGUAUCUGAUCUGCUCAAGAUGAACUUCCUAUCAAACCCGUCCUCUUGUGUUGAGUUGGUUGAUCACAUCCCUCAAGCGGGCGAUCUAGGCACUUUCUCGUGCCUUUCCUUAGAAAAAUGAAGGAAAAUGACAUUCCAUCUGAUUCAAAAAGGACUGGUUUUUGCUACUGAGACUAUUUGGAACUCAUCUGCUAUUGCCCCUCUUCUGUCCAACUCAGCGAGUUGGAGAAGAAGAAUGCUGAUUGGCUAGACAGCUUUCCGCCGAGCAGGCCCGUUACGAGAAGAAGAUGUCUGAUUUGAGGGCGAUGAUAUCUGAGCUGAAAAGCUCCCUUACCGAGAAGGAUUUCGAGCUCAACUCUUCUGCUGCUGAUUUGGCUAGUCGAAAAGAUACCUUCUUUCGUCUUGAGCAUAAGAAUGCUGACAUCUUCCUUAGCUAUAACAAACUCCUGGCUAGAUUUCAUGCCUACCAUAAGUCUGCUAAAGAAUCCAAGACAGAUGGAGCUGCUGAAGGCGUAGCCGGUCAGGUGGAUGCCGAAGAGGCUGCAGCUUAAAAGUCUUCUGCUGGCGUCUCAGAGUAGAUGAAGACUCUUUUUUGUUUCUUUUCAGCUUUUGUAGUUUGCUUUAUUGUUUAGAAUAACUGGUCUUAUUUGACCAUCUUCUUUUUGUUGAACUUGGCUGGUUGGUCUGUUUGUUAGGGAAAUUUCAGUUACAUUUUCCAACUUCAAUUUGCAUAUUUGACUUGUGAACUGCUUAAGUAACCAGCCUGUGUUUUGAUUGCACAUCCCCCUUUAGAGAUUUGUGAGUACCAGGGUCCCCCUUGGAGGACUCCGGCCAUGCACAGUAUAUCUCGUAGGAUGGUUCCCCUUAGGAAGUUGGCGAGUACCAGGGUCCUCUUUGAGAGACUCCGGGUGUGUUCUGCACAUCCCGUAUGAUGCCUUAAUCGUCGCCUUGCUUCUCCCGUAGGACGCUGCUUAUAGGCAACUAUAUGACUAUCCUGCCUUUCUUAGGAAACGGAUAGGAACCUGGAUAUUUCCCGCAUGAAGCAUGGAGACCUCCUUUUAAGAAAUUUUUGGUGCACCAUGCUUCUCCCUUAGGACGCUUUUUUCGCAGGCUGGGUCUCCAAAUGGACGCUUUUAGUCGUUGCCCUGCGUCUCCCUUAGGACGCUCCUUAUGGGCAACUGUGUGACUAUCCUGCCUCCCUUAGGAAAUGGAUAAGACUUGAAUAUUUCCCGCAGUAAGCAUGGCGACCCCCUUUUAAGAAACUCCUGGCGUACCCUGCAUCUCCCUUAGGAUGCUUUUUAAGAGGGCUGCUUCUCCAAACGGACGCUUUUAGUCGUUGCCUAUGUCUCCCCUAGGAUGCUCCUUAUGGGCAACUGUGUGACUAUCCUGCCUCCCUUAGGAAACAGAUAGGAAACUAGAUAUCUCCCUUAGGAAAUUCCUAGCGCACCUUGCGUCUCCCGAAGGACGCUUUUUUAGCUGGCUACGUCCCGAAACGGACACUUUUAGUCGUCGCCCUGCGUCUCCCUUAGAAUGCGCCUUAUAGGCAACUGUGUGACUAUCCUGCCUCCCUUAGGAAACGGAUAGGAACCUGGAUAUCUCUCUUAGGAAAUUCCUGGGGCACCUUGCGUCUCCCGAAGGACGCUGCUUAUGGGAAAAUAUUGUGUUUCGUGGGCAGAUGAGACAUUUUGGAAUGAGAAACUGAACUUAUAUUGAUAUUCAUAAGAUUACAGUCCUUUAUUUGAAAAUGGAAAUAACUUGGUUCAAAAACUUAGAACUUCUAGCAGCUACGAGGAAGCACUAUGGAUAAUACUUUCGGAGAUGGUGAGCAUUCCAUUGUCGUGGUAUUUCCUUCCUAUCCAUGGUGUCCAGUGUGUUGCUUCCUCUGCCCCGGACCUGCUGAUCACAUAAACGCCCUCCCAGUUAGGAUUCACUUUUUUUGACCCGUGUCUUGGUGCAGUAAUGAAAGCCUUAGCACGAGGUCGCCUGGUUGAAACUGUUUGACCUUAGCUCUUUUGUCGUAGUAAGACUUCAACUGCUAGUGAUAGGAGGCGACCCGAAUAAUGGUCUUCUCACGCCUGCCCUCAAGUAAGUUGAGGUUGAGCCUCAUCUGCUCGGAGUUCUGAUCAACACUGCCUACCUUAAGACUUAUAGAGAGGACAGUGAUGUGAGGUGGUAUGAUCACUUCUGUUCCAUAGGCGAGAGAGAAUGGGGUUUCACCAGUCGAUCUUCGCUUGGUGGUGUGAUAAACCCAUGGUACUCUGGGGAGUUCAUCCACUCAUUUCCCUUCAGCGCCUUCCAGCCUUUUCUUUAAGCAGUCCAAUAUGACUUUGUUGGAUGCCUUGGCUUGUCCAUUUCCUUGUGGAUACCUCGGGGUGGACAAGUGUUGUUUGAUCUUGUAUUUCACAAAAAAAGCGGUGAUCUGCUUGCCAAUGAACUGUGAGCCAUUGUCGGUAACCAACGACUGUGGGCAGCCAAACCGGCAUAUGAUGUUUCUCCAGAUGAAUCACUCCACAUCGGCUUCUUUAGUAAAUGAUAGAGCUUCGGCCUCGAUUCAUUUAGUAAAGUAGUCGGUGGGGACGAUCAUCAUUUCUUUCUUGGCGGGCGCUAGUGGCAAGGGAUCCACUAGGUCGAUGGCCCAUUGCAUGAACAGCCAUGGACUGUUUUGCGGAUGAUAGACUUCGGCAGGCAAGUUAGGGAUCGGCUUGUAUUGCUGACAGCGUCACAUUUCUUGGCACAUUCAGCACAGUCGUGACGUAUGGUAGGCCAGAAGUAGCCUAUGUUUAGAACUUUCUGGGCGAGUGACCUGCCCCAGAAUGGUUGCCAUACUCGUCGUCGUGAAUUUUACAGAUAAUCUCAAGUGUUUGAUGGUACUUUAUGCAGGUGAGAUGAAGGCCGGAGUAUGAUCUGUGGAUGAGCUUGUUGCCGUGCAUGUAGUAUCUCUCGGCCUUUUGCUGGACUUUUCUAGCUUCGGACUUGUCCGUUGGCAGGUUUCCAUUCGUGAAAUAGUCGAUGAUGAGGUCUUGCUAGCUGGGGUCCUCGUCAAUCUGCAUGGUAUUAAUCGGCUCUAUUUCUUCAAUGCUUGGUCGGUCAAGGUGUUCGACCUAGAUGGAGUGUUUGAACUGGGUAUCCAGCGUUGAACCUUGGCUUGCCAGUGCGUCUGCAUGCGCGUUCUUUGCCCGGGACACUUGUUGGAUAGUGAAGGUAGGAAAUGCCUUCAACAGCUCUUGGACUCUAUCAAGGUAUAAGAUCAUCCUUGGGUGCUUUGCCAUAUAUUCACCUGAGGCUUGAUUCGUGAUCAACUGUGAGUUUGAGUAGAUGGCUAGCUUUUUGAUUGCGAGCUCCUUUGCCAAGCGUAAGUCGGCGAGUAAUGCCUCGUAUUCUACCUCGUUGUUCGAGACCGAGAAGCCAAGCGUAAUAGCUUGCUCUAACAGGGUUCUAUCCAGGGUGGUGAUAACGACCCCUGCUCCAGCUCCUUUUUGGUUCGACGCUCCGUCUACACGCAACUGCCACAUGUCUCUGGGAUGGCUUGGUUCUGCGGAGGUCCUGUCUGCUUUUGAACUUCCCUCCUUUUGGUUGACUAACUUCUCUUUUUUGGCUGAUGGGGUGAAUUCUGCGACGAAGUAUGCUAAAGCCUGGGCUUUUAUUGCAGUUUUUGGCCCGUAGAGGAGGUCAUAUUGGCUUAGCUCUAUAGCCCACUUCAUGAGUCGCUGAGAAGCAUCAGGGCUGUGGAGGAUUGAUCUCAAAAGAAAGUCAGUCAUGACUAUGACUCGAUGAGCUUAGUAGUAGGGUCGCAGCUUUCUCGCAGAAACUACAAGAGCCAAAAUAAGUUUCUCCAAUUUCGGGUAACGAGUCUCUGCAUCGAGGAGAGCUUUUGACGUGUAGAAUACCGGAUAUUGGGCCCCUAUCUCUUCUCGGAUGAGAGCUGAACUGACAGCUGAGUUGGACUUACCUCACUAGGGACUGGAUUUGAGAGCAUGGAAGGUGAGGUGAGGUAAGUCUUCAGAUUAUGGAAAGCUACUUUGCAGUCCUCAUCCCAUUUCUCUCUUUGUCCUUUCUUCAAAGCUUUGAAGAGUGGUCUGCACUUGUCGGUUGAUCUCGAGAGGAAUCGGUUGAGAACCGCUGCUUUGUCCGUCAGACUUUAUAUCUCUUUCACCGUGGAAGGCGACUUCAUCUCUAGAAUGGCUUUGAUUUGACGUGGAUGUGCCUCGACACCUCGUUGCGUGGCUAGGUAUCCCAAGAAUCGGCCGGAGGAUACACCAAACAGGCAUUUACUUGGAUUCAACUUCAUGCGAUACUGGCGGAGCAAGCUGAAUGAUUGGGUAAGACUUCCGAUGUGAUCUGCACGUUUUGGGGCUUUGACCAGCAUGUCAUCCACGUAGACCUUCAUAGUUUUGCCGAUCUGCUUAUUGAAGAUUUUAUUCCCGAGCCUUUGAUAGGUUGCUUUGGCGUUCUUCAGCCCAAAGGGCAUGACCUUAUAGCAGCAGGUCCCUCUCUCGAUGAUGAAAAAAGUUUUUGCCUUGUCAUCCUCGUGCAUCAGGAUUUGUUUAUAGCUGGACUAGGCGUCCAUGAAGCUAAGCAGUUGAUUGCCAGAAGUGGAAUCCACGAGUUGGUCGAUUCUCGGCAAUGAGAAGUUGUCUUUAGGGCAUGCUUUGUUGAGGUCUGUGUAAUCGACACAAACUCUCCAUUUGCCAUUUUCUUGUUUUGCCACCAAAACAACGUUGGCAAGCCACUCUGAGUAGGAGGCCUCUUCGAUGAAGCCGACAGCUAGGAGUUUGUCAAUCUCGGCCUCGAUGAUAGCAAGUCGCUGGGGUGCGAAGUUGCGUCUCUUCUGCGCCACUGGCUUGCAGGCAGGGUUGAAGUGGAGUCAGUGACAGAUGAUGUUCUUGUCGAUGCCAGACUUGUCUGACGGCAACCAUGCGAACAUGUCUCUGUUGCUCUGGAGGAAGGUGGUAAGCUCCACAUUCUCUUCUGGCCUUAGGCGCGAACCGAUCCACUCUUUCCUAUCUGGUUGGUCAGGAUCCAAGGGUAUUAACUCGACGUCCUCCUUGGGUUUCCAUCCUUCUUCAGGAAAGACCUAUGGACGGAUUUCCUCGACUUGGUCCUGACGCUUUAAUUGCUAUAAGAUAGCAAGAUCCAGUUGCUCAACCUCCUCCAGAUCUGCCUGGCUCACAGGGAGAAACUGCGCUUGUUUACCUUUCUUUAGCCCUUGGGCGGAGCAUUUCCUCGCCAUUGCCUAAUCGUUGUUGAUUUGGCCGACACCGCCCCCAAGGAUUGGGUACCGAAUUUUCUAAUGUGUGGCGGAGGUGAUUGCAUUAAUUUUGCCAAUCGAUGGUCUGCCCAGAAUGCCGUUGUAGGGUAAGACCUUAUUAAUGACCAUGAAGGUUAUGAGCUGAUUAUAAGUGGGGAGUAGACGUCGAGGUCUAUCAUGCCCACGGUAACCGUUGUUGCACCAUUAAAAUCGCUCAGCAACCUAGCUAAUUUGUAAAUCUUUGUCUCCAAUCCCAUCUGUUGAAUGACCUCCAGUUGCAGGAUAUUGGCUGCGCUGCCCUCGUCUGUGUGGAUUCAGUCUACCAUGACCUGAGCAAUUUGAAUGCUGAUGACAAGGGCUUCGUUAUGUGGCAUGUAGAGGCCGAUCAGAUCUUUCUUUUGGAAGCCGAUUACAGGAUCGUCUUCUGCUGGUGGAAGGUCGGUCGAGAUUUGGGAGAUCACAGUGGUCUGUUUGAUCUUCCUCUUUUUUUCCUUUCUGGUCAGCCCAGACUCCUCGGAGUCAGCUAGGAUUGUGUUAAUUCUUAUGACCUUCUGAGGCGGCUCCUUGGCGAUGUCACGAUCUUCUAUCCGCUGGAUGACCUUCUUUGCAAUGAAUUCUGUGCAGUGACCUUCUCUCACGAGUUCUUCAAGAUGUGCUUUCCAAGCGAAGCAGUUGUUCAUAGUGUGUCCGUGCAUUUCAUGGACGGCACAGUAUUUGCUAGUAUUCCUUUUGUCCGGAUCUUCUUUCAAGGGUGGUGGUCUUCUUACCCAAGGUUGUUCUUCACUUGGGCUAAGAUUUGAUGUAUGGAGAUGGUGAACUUGGUGUAGUUCUCUCCUGCCGUAGCAUCCCCUUAUGGGUGCGACCUGCGCUUGUCCUUGUCCCUGUUGCUAAAUCCGUCGCUUCUUUGGCCUGCCCCCUUAGUCGGCUGAUCUUCCUGCUUAGUAGAGUUCUUUGCGGCGAUUCGAUCGUCAUCCCAAAGCGCAUAGCUUUCCGCGGUCUCGUAGACCUCUGCCAAAGUUUGGCUGGGAGUGAUGGUCAGCUCGUGGUACAAGUCGUGCUCAGUCGAAAGGUCUUUCUUGAAAGCAGAGGACGCAAUUUGGUCAUCACAUCCUACAAUGUUGGCCUUUUCUACUUUGAAUCUCUUGAUGUAAUCUCUAAAGGAUUCGUCGAACUUCUUGCGCAGGUUAUACAGGUGGUCAGGGUUCUUCUUGAUUGUUCGGUAAGAGGUGUAUUCUUUGGUGAAUAAGUAAGUCAGCUCCUUGAAGCUGCUGAUCGACCUGGAUGGCAGAGUAUGGAACGAGUCUUGGGCUUCCUCACAAGGUCAUUGCAAACACCUUGCACAUCAGCGCGUCGUCAACCUUGUGGAGGAUCAUGACACUUUUGAAGUGUUUUAGAUGGCUCUCAGGAUCGGAAUCCCCCUUGAAGUGUGUGAAUGUGGGCGUUGAGAAUCGCUUCAGGAGAGCAGCCUGCUCGAUUUUGGCAGUGAAAGGUGUAGAGUAUGCCUGGUCUACCUCAUUUCGUACAUCUUCGAAAUUUCCACCGGUCUUCAAGUCUCGAAGUUGGUCAUUCACAAGCUUCUCUACGUCUUCCGCACACAUUGCUUGUCGGCCACAUUGGCGACCUUCACGAAUUGUUCGAUGCUGACUGACUUCCUCGUUGAUUUCCGAGGAUCGACCUUCUUGUCUGCAUUGCCUAGGUGGAGUGUUGGUGGAUUGCGCCUACGAAAGAUUCUCUGUGGCUUGUCAAUGAGAAUCGGUUCUUCGAGAGUGAGUAACGAAGUGCCUUUCCUCAUGGUCCUUAUUGUGAGGGUUAUCCAGCUGACCUCCCUGGGGCCUAGCCUUUCCUGAAUGCUUCUCUGCGAGUAGACAGUUGAAUGCUUUUCUUCACGAUCCUCGUUGUGAUGGUUGUUUGGCUGACCUCCUUAGGGUCUUAGCCUUUGAUGUACAUUUCCCUGCCUGCCCAAGUAGGUGCGGACGUCGAGUCGUGGGCCCAGCCUUUCGUGCACGUCGUUCCUUAAACUCAAUCUGCUCUGAGUGUGGCUUGCAGAUGCUUGCGACAUGUCGGCAGGUCGAUCACGUUGUUGUCCCUCGACUUGUCUGCCCACUCUUGCUUGACCUGCUUGGUACUCGUUGAGCUGUCUACCGGCCCGUUCAUCCUUCCUUCUUUCCUCGCCUGGUUGUCCAAGGCCAAGGUUUUGAGCAAAGCUUAUUUGGUUGAGGAGCUGCCUCAUUAGAUUGUUUUGGUCGUCCAUUCUUUAAGCUAGCUGGUCAACUCUCAGAUUAAGGUCUGCUUGAUUUCAUGGAUCAGGAGGAGAGAAGUGUGUGGAGCUCAACUGCACAUAGGCUAGGGUUUCAUUAGAGGUGUAUGCGGGAGCGUGUGUCGAGCGUGGAGGCAAUAGAGGGAAUGCUUGGAGUUGCUCCAAGACCGGCCCUAGGUCGGCGGUGGUAACGAGUCCACCUUGAUGGGAAGUUCCACCAUGUUUGGCGGCAGUGACCGAUGCAGUGGUGAGAGGUGGUGGUGCCACCAUGUCGAUCGCGGGAUCGUUGGUGGAGUGGCUUUGGGCCGUCGCAAAUCUAGCCAUCAUGGCGGCUUUGCCUCUCGUGUUCAUGCUUCCAACCAUGGUUGUUUGGAAGGCUUAGGUGGAUUGGAAAAUUAGAGGAACGGAUUCCUUGAGCACGCAUUGAGUAUAACUCGUGCUCUCAAUGAAAGCACCAAUUUGUGGGAGCAAAUUUCCCCACGAGAAUAUUCGGUUCGAAAGAUUCCCCUUUCUUAUUCGCCGCCUCUUUCUCCUCGCAAAAUAGAACAAAUAAGAGGACCACACCCGAGGGGUGUUGGCCAAAGGCCCUCCGAUGCCUAAAUUAGUUCAAGUAUUUGUAAGAAAAACACUAGCUAACUAGGGUAUGGAGAUGUGUUUAAGGUGUAAACCGGGCGGCCGGAACCUUAUGUAAAAGAGAGAGAGAAAUGAGGUGGCUAGGGUUUGAGAGGAAUUUUCUGCAGAGUUUUUAGUAGAGAUUUCAGACGUACCUCAACCAUUGUGUGUGGCCAUCUUUUUAUAGUGGUCUUGGAGGCUAGAGUUUCAGAGAAAUAAUUUCGUAGAUGGAAAGGAAUUAUUCCUCCCCUAUUUAGAAUUGAUUUGAUUAAUUACGGAUUUGAUUUAUUAGGGUAAAUCAAAUCCCUAAUUGUGGUAAGUAUCAAAUCAAAUCCUUUUUUAAUUAGGUAACUGCUCAUUUAAUUGACAAUUGUGGUAGGAAUCAAAUCAAUUCUCAACCUAAUUGGUAACGUUCAAUUUAAUUGGGUAAUUCCCAAUUAAAUUGAGUAACUCCCAAUUAGGUUGAUUAAUUCACACUUAGAUCAAAUAAUCCCCAAAUGGAAAGAAUUAUUUGACCUAAGGUAUGAUUUAAUUCGAUUCCCACAAUAUUUAGAUGCAUAAUUGAAUGCGAAUAAACAUCACUCUCUCCAGUGUGAAAUGGCGAAAAUUCUCUUCAAUCAAAAGUGGGCUUACUUCAAAUUUAGUUGAAGAAUGAUGGUGUGUCUUGCCUGACAAUUGACAAUUAGGUUUAGGAGCGUUCCUCUAGUAGAAAAAUCUAAAUCAUUUGUGGUCAUCCACUCACUUGGUUAGUCUUCCAGAAUCAAAUACCAAAUCAACCCAAAGGAAGCUGCAAUUUUCUGAAUUGUAUACUUGUUUUAAUUCUUCCUAUCUUUUUCUCUCUUUCAUUUUUUUUGUCUCCCUCAAGUUAAUACUUAAGUGAGUUGCCAAAUGGGGGUAAAAAAGAGAGUAGAAGAGAUGAACCCCACAUUUGACUUUAAUAGACAAAUGCCCAAGAGAAGUACCAGUAAGAGCAUCUCCAAUUGGGAGGUGCUAUCCUAUAAUUUGACACACAUUUCUUUUUUCUUUUUUUUCAAUUCUAACAACAUGUCAUCUAUAUCGCAAUAGGCCGUUGUAGUUAAAUUUUCAAAUAACCAAGUUGCUCUCUAUUUUCCAAAGAAGACUAGAAAACAACUUACCAUCUAUCUGGUGCUGCUUCUUCCAAACAUUAGAAAAAACAGAGCUACACCCAGGAGGAGCCCAGGAGAUGACACAAUACUGCCUACUAUGAUUCUUACUUUCUUCACAUUCAAUGAGACUAUAAAAUAUAACCCAAGUGGUCUAACCCCCCAGGGCGGAAAUUGGGUUUAGCAAGUUUAGCACUGAUUGUUGUAUAGUCUUAAACAGUCCUGAUCUCUUGGACCCCUGUAGUCCAAGAGAUUUAUGGUCACCCACCGUUGGAUGUAAAUUCAACGGUUGACUUGAAUCGGGUAAUAAUAAUUUAUGUCAUAUUGCAUUUAUAUAUAUCAUUUUGAACCAUUGGAUUAAUAUCCAACGGUGGGUGACCACAAUCUCUUGGACUCCUGUGGUCCAAGAGAUCGGGACUGUAGUCUUAAAAUAAGUAGUUUAGCGAGUGCAAACUUCGACUUAAAAAAACUCUCAUGUAUAGCCGCGCGGCUAUACUAUUUACAUAUAAAUAUAUAAAAAAGCACCCCCUAGUCACGUGUCACAAAUAGUAUAGUCGAAAACAGUAGAGCCGCGCGGCUAUACUGUUUUUAAAAUAAAAAAAACCAUAUUCGAUUCUCCUUAUAUUUAAAAGGGGUAUAGCCGCAUGGCGAUACUAAUUUUUUUUUUUCAAAAAAAGGGACCCCAGUACUCCUUUUAUAUAUUAUAAUAUAUUGUCUAAUAUUUGGAAUAUUUACUCUAAAAUAAACAAUAUAUUAGGUUCUUUUUGUCUACAAAUUGACCAUUAAACUUCUUAAUCACUCUUAUACUUUCAAUUAAAUCUACUAGGCUAGGUUAUGAUAUUUUCACUAAAAAACUCCUCCUUUUUUUCUUCUCUUUCUCUUCCUGUUUUGUUUAACUUAAGCUUAAGUUUUGUAAUUUUUUUUCCCGCCCUUUUUACAUGUUUGAGUAGGGUACUUUAAUAUUGGGAUUUAUGAACUUUUUUUGUAUUUCUUCUUUAUAUUGGAAUAUAAAUUAUUAACUUUUGAGUCUUUAAUAGUGUAGAUGAUGAGAUUAUUAUUCAACCAUUUUAUAAUAUGAAAUGAAGGACAAUCAUGAUUGUGAUGAAUGGAUUAUUAAUCAAUAUGAAAUGAUAUUAUGAAGUGGGCUAAAUCGAGUAGUUAGUAUCGUAUUGUUGAGACCCAAAAAAUCCAAGGCUAGGCCCAAAUAUAUUAUGAAGUGGGCUAAAUCGAGUAGUUAGUAUCGUAUUGUUGAGACCCAAAAAAUUCAAGGCUAGGCCCAAAUAUAUUUCCGGUCCAAUGCGAUACCUUACCGAGAAGAAACCUUAUUUGGGCACGCGAAAGUUCGUCAUAUGCUCUUGCACACAUGCCAUGCCAAGCAAAUAAGCAACAUGCCACGCUACAAGCUUAAGUGGGCCCAAGCCACGUGAAUGCCUAGGGCCUGCUGAGUGGGUUGUGGUAUGGAUGGUUAUGAGUAUUCACGAGGCCCAUUGAUGGUCUAAGGAGUGGAAGUUUUGGGCUACUUGGGAGCACCAAAACUCAAGCCCAUUCAUUGAGCCCAAACAUAUGGGUAAGCAUGAGAUAAAACCUAGUAGCCCAUCACCUUAAGAAAUCCUAAUAGCCCAUAACAUGUGAGAAAAUCCCACAUCAACCAAAGCUUCCAGCAGUCUGACGAAAUCAAAGGGAACUCACAAGCCGUUGGAAACAAAACAACCCAACACUGUAACACCCCGACCCCAAAUUUCCCCAAAUUUAACCCUUAUUUAAUUAUUUAAGGGUAUUUUAGUCAUAUUUUUAACCGGAGAGAGUUUGGGGCAAUGACUAGUAUUUUUGGAUAGGUCGUACUGAGACGAGUUUAUGGACACGCAGUGAGCUCGAAUCGGAGUUGUAACGAGAGAGAUAUGGUCAAAAGAAGCCCAGUGGCACAAUCGUAAAUAUUUUGAAAUGAGAUUUUUUAUAAAAAUCUGGUUUUCUCUCUCUCUCUCUCUCUCUCUCUCUCUCUCUCUCUCUCUCUCUCUCUCUCGCUAGCGACCUCUCUCUCUCUCCCCCGUCGGUCUCUCCCCUCUUUCUCCUCGUAACUCCGGCCACCGGCCCCGGCUGUGGACGGGGCCGGUACCAAAAUGACCGAGGCGUCGUCCUCUUCCUACCCCAGCCACCUCCCACCGCCAGCCGUCGCGGAUUCGCCGGAAUCUGGAGAUGAAGCGGCCUACGUCGUCCAAAUUUCAAAGCUGCCGAUCUCCCUCCUCCGGCCACCAAUUCCGUCGACCCAGGUAUGGAUUUUGAACUUCUCGAGCUGCUCUAGCUGAUGGUUGGGUAGGAUUAGAUCGAUUCUUAGCUUAGACAACUCGAUUUUCAAAUUGAAAAUCGGCCGAACUUCGGCUGCCGUGAUCGGCCAUUUCCGGCCACUUUUUGGGGUAGGUCCAAGAACAAAAGUGGCUCCAAAUAGGGUGUUAUACCUAGGGUAGGAGUUUGGAGCCGUGGUUUUGAGAUUUUCCGGCGAAGCGUUAUCGCUUUGGGCACCCACGCGCUGCCGGUGCGUGCGGCGGCGCGUGGGCACUGUAGAAAAAGUAGCACUGUGUUCCGAUGAGAUCCUUAGGUUGUCACGAGUGCGUAGGAUUUUGCGGAUCUCAAUUCGGACGUCGUUUGACUAUCGAACGGAUAUUCGCAUAUUGCGCGUUAUUCGGGUUCGAUAGGUUGGGACCGUUGGAUGGACCCAAAUUUAAUAUAUGUUAAUCUAAUUAAUUCUAGGAUCGUGUAGGAAUUCACGGAUUGUGAAUCGGAGCCCCGGAUGUUCCGAAUAAUAAUUUUAAAGUUUGUAUUUUAUAUUAAUUGUCAGAUCGUGCGAUCGUGAGCAAUCUGACCGUUCGAUCUGAACCAAACUUGCAGGACAAGUGUCCUAUACCUUGUAGAACCCAUAGGGACCUUCGGAUCGGAAAUUGGAGGUCGUGGGUUCCGCAAGUCGGUUUGACCAGGGUUAGAGAAGUUUGACCCUUGGUUGACCGUGAGUCUCCCGGAGUAAUCUCACCUUUCUAGGGGAGAUUAUCGGGUACUAGAUGAUUGUGGACACAAUAUUAGAAUUAAUUUAUAUAAUUAUAAUUAUAUAUGGUUGUACAAGGGUACAACAGAGUCUAGAAUGUCAGUUUGGAGUGCUAUACGCACUACUUUAGGUACCUCCCCGGAUGUUGGGAUUUACUACAAGUACCACCAAGUGAAAUUGAGGUCCCGCGUGGCGUAGGUUAUCCAGCGUUGGGAUAGGUCUCAUACGUGGGGUUGGUUGUACCGGCGUAUGGGGAGAUUUGUGAUAUUAUGUUCAGGUCUCACGUGGCGUAGGUUAUCCGGCGUUGAGACAGGCCCCAUACGUGGUGUUGGUUGUACCAGCGUAUGGGGAGCUAUGUGAUAUUGUGUUGAGGUCGCACGUGGCGUAGGUUAUCGGGCGUGUCGACAGACCCCAUACGUGGCGUUGGUUGUACCGGCGUAUGGGGAGAUUUGUGAUAUGAAAUUGAGGUCCCACGUGGCGUAGGUUAUCCGGCGUUGGGACAGGCCCCAUACGUGGCGUUGGUUGUACCGGCGUAUGGGGAAAUAUGUGAUAUGAUGGCAUGGUCGCACGUGGCAUAGGUUAUUCGGCUUGUUGACAGGCCCCAUACGUGGCGUUGGUUGUACCGGCGUAUGGGGAGAUUAUUUGAAAUGCAGAGAAACGAAAUAUGGUAUCGCCCAAAUGUGGAAUUGGGUUUUAGGGAAGAACUACGUGUGGCUUGAUCCCUCAAGGAGGGUACGUAGGCAGCCUAAGGUUAAUAGGUGCAGCCGCAGACUAAAUGUUAGUCAUAAUUGAUAUUUGAAUUGUUUGGUAGUUGGUUAAGAAUUAUUGGAAGGCCGAAGGCCAUUUGUGUGAAUUGCAUGAAAUUAUAUUGUGCAUGCUGCCAGUUGGGAAUAUUAAAUGCGUUUUUAUGCAGGUAUAAAUUUUAGGAAAUGUCCAAUUUAUAGGGGAGACUCUGCCGAAUUUUCGGCAGGAAGUCUCAGUUUUUAGUAUCUGGGCCUGGCAUCGGGAGGAUGUCGGGAAUUCCAAAGGGUCGUCUCGAGUUCUGAAAAAUUCGGUGCGGGUCCUUUCAAACACCUUAUAAAAUAUCCAACGCCGUGCAUCUCUGUUAAAACCAGAUCACAGCCAAACCACCAAAACCAUGCAAACCCAUAUGCUGAUCACCAUUUUUACUAGCACCCUUACCCAUUCUUUCCUCUUCAAGCUUUGGUGAGAAAACAAGAAACAAAAGUGGGCGGAUCUUCACCCACAUGGAGAAAUCCAGCUGCCUGAGGGCCCUGGAACUCCAAAAAACUUCUUACCUACAUGCUCAGGCUAGGGAAGUUUCACCAAAUAAGCAAGAAUGGAAGAAAGUGAAGGAAAAGGGGAAAGGGUGGCUUGACGAAAUUAAGGUUUUCAGCACUUAUAAAAGGAAACACUUUCUAUCCAGCAAAAACAACUCACCCUGGUUGCUGCAAGCCUCCUAGCAACCAUGAGAAUUCAUUGAAGGCAAGCAUCCCCUUUGGAACCCUUCAAUUUCAUGCUUUGUUCUUCCAUCUUCCUCCUUUCUCUCUCUCUCAAAACCCACAUCCAGAGAGAGCAAGCAUCAUCUCUCAUCUUUGGAACCCUUCGAUUUGAAGCCUUGUUCUUCCAUUGCUUCCCAUUUUCUCUUCUGUCAAAUCACCUAGGAGCUUGACGAAACUUUCGUCAAGCUGCUGGAAAUAUGGUAAAGCCACCCAUGCUUCCAUCUUCUUCCUCUCUUUCCAUAAACACACAUCCAAAGAGCAAGCUUCAUCUCUCAUCCUCUAAACCUCUGCAAUUUCAAGCCUCAUUCCUCUAUCUUCUCCCAUUUUCAGCGGUAGUGAGAAUGAUUUCUGCGUGUGCAUGGGAAGGAUUGUAACUCAGAUGAGGAGGAGAUGGUUUGGAGUGGGGUGAGGCAGUUGGAUAGAGCUCUUGGCCUUUUCAAGUUUGGAUGGGAAAGAGCAGGGAUGAAAGAAGCUUUACAACUGCAAGGGCAUAUAUGGUGCGUAGGGGCUGAAGGCAGAACACUUACAUAUAGAGGAAACACAUUUUUUGUCCAUGGGAUUCAUGUUUGACAAACACUUGUCUUAGACUAUGAGUUCAAAUUUCAAAACCUUUUUUUUUUCUUUCUGAAAUCAGGACCAGUGUGGAGAACUAGCAAGGAUUGGAGAAACAGAUUUUUGGGCGUCACUUGACCACAGAUUGUUGAUUGCUCAAAUGUGUAGAAUUGGCCAUCUUAAAUGUCAAAAUGAUUUAUCAAUUGGGGUUUUUUUAGAAACGUUUAUGUUUGUCAAUAGAGACAGAAGUCAGAGAACAUAAACCUUUCUCAGCAAAUUGAAAUUCUCAGUGCAUGCUCUGUUCUUCCAUGGCUUUCAAACCUUCUCUGCCACGGUGAAAUGGAUCGAUAGAGAUAGUUUAGGCCGUUCCAUUUGUUUGAUGAAGCAUUCGUUCUAGGGAUUCUGUAUAUUCAUAACAAAAUCACUAGAAUGAUUCUUAGAAAUUCAUCACUGCUAAAGGCAAUGGGUUCAGCAUAAUAACUUCUUAGUCUUGCUUCUUGGUCCUUUAUUUUCUUUGCAUAAUACUCCAAGUUUACCUGGGUUCUACAGAGAAAAUCUCGUAGAUACCUCUUUUUGUGGUCUUCCAUGGCAUUUAAGUGCUGCUUUCCAUGGUGAAGUGGGCCUAUAGAGACUACCUGAGGUGUGUAGGCUUUGUCAUUUCCACGCCGUAAUCGCUCAGGAACUCUGUAGAUACACCUUCAAGGGGGACAAGGGAGACAAACUAUCCAAUUCCUUGCGCCUUACAAAUAGAUCGCAUGGGUUUUCUAUUUCAUCUGCAGCUUCAUCAAUUCCUUCCAUUUUUCUCCUGAUCAUCAUGCGCGGUGAUUCAAAUAUUUCAUAAUGAACAUUGAAAUGAGAUGCUACAAGCAAACUUAUGAAAAGAAACAGAAAUACCAAAAAGACAAAUCAAUGUAGAUGGUUUAGAAAAUCUAAACAUUGCAAUUAUACUCCUUUGCCCAACUUCUAGGAGCAAACGUACACAAAGACCUUAUUGCUUCCAACUUUUCCAACAGAAUUUCAUAUGAAUUGCUCCAAGUGAAAUCCGUAUGAAAAAUCGGUAGUUGGAUUUUCAUCCUGCUUUAAUAUGAUUAUUUAACUUCUAACAAAAAAACUCUUAUUACUUGAGCAAGUAAAAUACUAUUCCAGGUUUCUCCUAGUUCUAUAUGCGCUUAUAAUUGGUAUACUCUAUAAAUACCAUAAUCUGAAUUUCUCUGUUUUGAUUACUUUAAUUUAUUACUUAUGUUUUAAUUAUUGUUUACUUAGUGAAUUAUUAGUAUUUAAGAGAAGGCCUUCCAUCGAUUAGGCACCACGUGUCUAUAAUAAGUAAAGCCGUCCGGCUAUACUUAAAAAAAAAAAAAAUUGUAGUAUAGCCGACCGGUAUAGCCGCGCGGCUAUACUAUUUAAUACAUUAUAUUUAAACGGUAUAGCCGCGCGGCUAUACUAUUUAAUAAAAUAAAAAACAAAAGAAAAAGAAAAAUUACCCUCCUAUUUCAUUAGUUUGUACUUUAUAGAUACUAGCCCCUUGACACAUGCUCACGCAUGUGCCAAUUGGUUUUCUUUUUCUUUUUUAUUUUUAUUUUUAGAAUUAAGAAAAAAUAACAGGAUAGUUAUGUUCCAUAAAAGUAGGACCUAUUAUCUUAUUUUGUUUUUAAUUUUAAUUUUUUUAAUAUUAAAAAAAUAUGAAUUUACGAUAUUAUCCUCAUUUAAUUAAUAAUUUCAAUUCUUAAUGUUUGAAUUAACAAAGGGCAUUUUCUGGUAUUUUGAAUGUUUCACCAUUCUCUGCCUUUUGCUUUAUAUAUAUAGAUUAAUUUGCCAGUUUCAAGAUAUCCAAAGUACAUAUUAGACUUUCACUAUAUAAAUUUCAAUAUAUAUUUUUUAUAACAUGUGUUGUUCUUAUUCAAUAAUAUGUGAGAAUUAUUUGUAUAAUACGUGAAUUUUGUGUGUCUUACUGAAUUUUUUUAAAUACGUGUAUUAAACGUUACAAAUACGUACAUAUAUGUACAACACGACUAUUGUAAGUUUGCUAUAUAAAAAAAAGUGAGAUGUAUCUAGAACACGAAUGUAUUAUCGAAAAAUAUAUAUGUAUGUAUAUAUAUAUAUAUAUAUGUAAAAGCCUAUAGCCUCUCACCUAUACUAUUUAUUAAAGACAAUUUAAAAAUUACAACAACAAAAAAACCAGUACAGCCACAAAGCUAUACUAUUUUAAAAAAAAAAAAUAGAAAAAAUAUCAAGUACUACACAGGGCAAAGGCCCAGUGUAAAAUAGUAUAGCCGUACGGCUAUACGUUUUUAAGAAGAAUUUAAAAAACUAAGUAUAGCUCACCGACUAUACUAUUUUUUAAUAUAAAAAAACAACCCCAUCCAUUAGGCGCCACGUGUCAACAGAAGUUUAUUUUUAAAAAAAAAAAUUAAAAGACAAGGAGUAUAGCCGGGUGGUUGUACUAUUUUUUUAUUUUAAAAAGAAGACAGUCCAUCGAUUAGGCGCCACGUGUCCAUAAUAAGUACAGCCGCUCGGCUAUAUGUUGGAUAUUUUGAAACUAGCAAAUUAAUAUCAAUAGCCGGUCGUAACCUAUGCUGUCCACGUCACUCAUGUUUUACCAGAGUUAAAGCAUCCACAAUGAGCUCCCCAAACCAUCUCUUUAGACAAAUUUUAGGGAGAAAUUGGAAAAGUACAACUCCAACCAUGCUCCCUAUCCACCAACUAAAAUAGGGAGACCUCUAGGAGCUCCUAAAUCUGAGGAGAGGGAAAGGACUCUUAGUGACUCCCUAUAAUUUAAUGUUGCUUUGUUUUAUGCAUAUUUUAAACUUUUAAUUAAAUCAAAUUAUUAUUUUAUAUUAUUUUGUAUACAGAUGGACCAAUUAUAUUAAAUUAAAAAAUAAUUAAAGUAUUUGUGACUCUCUAAACUAAGGAGUAUGAUUAGAGUUCAAAUUUUAUAAAAAGCUCUUAAAAUAGCUUUUGUGUGUUUUUAGCUAAAUUUUAACUAAAAAAUUUGAAGAUUCUUUAUUUGGGUUUCUUUCAAGACGAAAACCAUAUCCACAACAGACAUCUUUGGCUGUUCAUCACAAUUGAGAGACAAUGAAGAAGACAUAAGGGAGAGGCUGCCAAAUACUUAUCACCUUAGCCACCACCAACACCACAAGACCAAUAUGUGUAGGCCAGGAGGCUUUCCAAUUUUAAUAUAUAUAUAUAUAUAUAUUAAAAAAUAAAAUAAAAAUCAAUCUAUUAUCAUAUAUAUUAUAAAAUAAAGAUUAUUGCUCCAUCCUCCAUGCACUUGCGUGCCCUCUUACAAAGUAUGAAGUAGAUUUUGUUAGCUGGAUUUAUAAGAUCUUUUGUUUUUUGGAAAUUUUCUGAAAUAAGGAAAAUCAAGUAAAAUUAAUAAAGCAUAAAUUGGAAAGGGAAAAUAUCUAGAGGAUGCAUUGUAGGAUUGCUCAAGCCAAUAAUUGUACCCUCUAAAUAUAUAGGGACAUAUUUUUUUUGUUUUCAUGACAUGUCGUCCUAAAAUUAUUGUUCUUAGCGGGCUCUCCACCCCCUCUCGAUUGAAAACCUAUUGUGUAAAUCUUCAAUCCUGAAUUAGAAAAGUACAACUCCAACCAUGCUCCCUAUCCAUCUCCUAAAAUAGGGAUACCUCUAGGAGCUCCUAAAUCUGAGGCGAGAGAAAGGACUCUUAGUGUCUCUUUAUAAUUUAAUGUUGCUUUGUUUUAUGCAUAUUUAAACUUUUAAUUAAAUCAAAUUAUUUUUUUAUAUUAUUUUGUAUACAAAUGGACCAAUUAUAUUGAAUUAAAAAUAAAUUAAAGUAUUUAUGACUCUCUAAACUAGGGAGUAUGAUUGGAGUUCAAAUUUUAUAAAGAGCUCCUAAAAUAGCUUGUGUGUGUAGGGGUCUUUUUCUUCUGGCAACUACAGAUGGGUUGGGCUACCGUAAGGAGCAAACUGAAGAAAAUAUCCCCUGUGUCUGAGUUCAAAGAUUCGGCCCCAAAAUAUUUCGAAAAGGCAGUAAAGCCUUAGGAAACACCUUAGUUACCUUCACCAACGAAAAUGACGGCUGCUUACAGGUAGAUUCUUAGUGCUUACAGAUGAAUUCUUAGCUUAGCAUGAGGAGAUCGUGGCAUGGAAGCAAAGUUAGCAUGAGUUUAGCACUAAAGAGAAAAUUAUGUGUUCUUGGGAGGAAGAAGGGGUGUCCAGGUAAAUGGGAAAAGGUUUUGCAAGUAGAUUUGGCUAAGAGAGAAGGGAGAGAGAGAAGAGGGUGGCUAGAGUGCUUCUUCCGGCAGCUUGACAGUGACUCUGUCAAAUGUUAGAGCAAUCUGCCAUAAGAGGGAAAAUGGGGAAGAAGGAUGAACAGUGCACAAAAUUGCUAGGUUUUUGCAAGUAAGAGAGGAAGCUUGCUCUCUGGAUGUGGAUGAUCCGUUGGGUAGAAGAGGCCCCAUUUUAUAGCCGCUGGAAACUAUCAUUUCUCAAGAAACCCUAAUAGUUUCUACCCAAUUUGGUCAAGCUUUUCCCUUCCUUUCUCAUCUCCUCCCUUGACUUUUCCUAUCUUGGUGAAAUUUCCUCUGUCUAUUUGCACAAAAUCAGGAGCUCAAGGCCUCCCUUUCCCGCAACUGUUCAAUGGGAGACUCCAUUCUUAGCUAUUUUUCUUCUUCUUUCCUUCCUCCUUCCCUGACCAAAUCUGAUGAAGGAAAGCAAAUAGGUGCACACAUUGGUUUGAAGGGUGCUUCUCCUUCUAGCAGCUUACAUGCCAAUAUCCCUUGGGUCCUUGCAUGUUUUUUGCUUUGAAACUUGUUUCUUCCUUCCCGUCAACUCACGUGGUCUUCCAUGCUUCUUCAUGGCUUUAUCUUUCAGCCAAAAGAUGGAGUUUUUACUGCUUGCUACUUUUAAUUGUAUGGGUCUUCUAGGAUAGGAAGUCAACCUACCAAACAAAUGGGCCACCUUUAUCAAAUAUUGGGCUGUUGGGGUUAGUUUUAGUGGGCCAUUUUGACUGGGCUUUUUGGUUGGGUUAUUUAAGUUAUUUUCCCUUUUGUGCUCACCCAUGUAUUUAGGCCUAAGAAAUGGGCUUGGGCUCCGAGUCUCCCAAGCAACCCGGAACCUCCAUUUCUUGGCCCAUUAAUGGGCCUCAUGACAACCUAUUACCAUCCAUACCACAACCCACUCAAGCAAGCCCCGGGCAUUUGAAUGGCUUUGGCCCACUUUAGGCUUGUAGUGUGAUUGGGUGUGGCAUAACGAUUUCUCGCUUGGCAUGGCAUGUUGCUUGGCAUGUUUUUUCAUUACGAUGCUUGAUGGAUUUGUAGAGCUACCUAUUUUUAUGAUCUUAAUCUUGAUUCCUAGCAUGACAAAUUUAUUUAUUUGGCAUGGCAUGCGGAGCGUGACUUGUGCGUGGCGAGUUUUGUAUGCUCCAACUUGGGCCUUUCCUAAAUAAUGUAUCAUUUUGGGUUAUGAAUUCUUUCGGGCCCAACCGUGAAUUUUUUGGGUUUCAACAGUGUGUUUUUAGCUAAAUUUUAACUAAAAAAUAGGGAGCAUGAUUGUAGAUCAUCUUAUAUACCUUAAUUUGAAGAUUCUUUAUUUGGGUUUCUUUCAAGAUGAAAACCAUAUCCACAACUGGCAGACAUCUUUGGCUGUUCAUCACAAUUGAGAGACAAUGAAGAAGACAUAAGGGAGAGGCCGCCAAAUACUUAUCACCUCAGCCACCACCAACACCACAAGACCAAUAUGUGUAGGCCAGGGGGCUUUCCAAUUUUAAUAUAUAUAUAUGGAGUGAAAAAAAUAAAAUAAAGAUUAUUGCUCAUCCUCCAUGCACUUGCAUGCCCUCUUACAAAGUGUGAAGAAGAUUUUGUGUGCUUCAAGUCAUUGACUAGAGCUGAAACAUGGUUAGCUGGAUUUAUAAGAUCUUUUGUUUUCUGGGAAUUUUCAGAACCAAGGAAAAUCAAGUAAAAUUAAUAAAGCAAAAUGGAAAGGGAAAAGAUCUAGAGGAUGCAUUGUAGGAUUGCUCAUGCCAAUAAUUGUACCCUCUAAAUAUAUAGGGACAUAUUUUUUUUGUUUUCAUGACAUGUUGUCCUAAAAUAUUUGUUCCUAGCGGGCUCUCCACCCCCUCUCGAUUGAAAACCUAUUGUGUAAAUCUUCAAUCCUGAACGAUGCUCCUAAAACUCAAGUGUCCCAGGCCAAUUAUUGCUCUCAUACCACUUGUUGCAAUACACAUCCACUCAUUCUCAGGGAAAGAAACCCAUCGAUAUUAUCUCAAAUUUAACCACUUUAGUCUAUUAUGAUUAACUAUGUAUUUUAUGGAUCAAUGCAGUUGUGAGGUUUUAUACCCAAUUAGAUCGACCAAUACAGAGAUCACAUGUGGACUGAAAAGCGCCAUCGGUAGGGGAGUGUUUGGCACCCUUUACUGCCGAGUGCAACACAAGACCCCUUACCAGGAACUUAUCUACUAGGACACGUGAAGCCACCACAAGUAAUAUCAACAGUCCCACAUCGAAGUUUAACAUAACAUGUACACUCCCCAGGACUGAUAAAAGUGGGCACAAGUCCCAAAAAUGGGGGAACUUGGACUUUCAGCAAUUCAUCCAUUAUUAUGUCCAAAUUACUAUACACUCCGUACUUAUUCUUACUUAAGCAUUGGAGAGCCUUCGGCCGGUACCACACCAGUGCCUAAGGGCUUACCGAGCGUUCUCUAUCUUGCAUAUUGAUCGCUCUACUGAAGCCCAUAAAGAGUUAAAGGUCAAGACAUCACUAAGUUGAGCCCAAAAGUGCUGAACCACAUCAAAAAUAUGUAUAGAUUGAAAAAAUAAAAUAAAAAUCAAUCUAUUAUCAUAUAUAUUAUAAAAUAAAUAUUGGAUAAAUUACUCAAAUGGUCCUCAAACUUAUACUCGAUUUACAUUUUGGUCUCUCAAUUAAAUUAUUUGUUCAAAUGGUCCAUCAACUCUAUAUUAUUUCUGCAAAAUCUACAAAGUGGUGGGAGGCAGACCAACAAAAAAAAUUAGCGAAGGCUUAUAACUCUGGUAAAACAAGAGUUACUUGGAUAGAAUAAUGUUACGUCGUACUGAAGAUUUUUGGGUUUCUUUAAUUGGUUAAGUGAAGAUUCUUUAUUUGGGUUUCUUUCAAGAUGAAAGCCAUAUCCACAACCACAACCACAACUGGCAGACAAUCUUUGGCUGUUCAUCACAAUUGGGCGACAAUGAAGAAGACAGAAAUUGGAGUACUGUAUGUUAUCACCCACACCACAAGACCAAUAUAAGGAGGAUGGGGAGGCUGCGGAAUACUUAUCACCUUAGCCACCACCUACACCACAAGACCAAUAUGUUGUAGGCCAGGAGGCUUUCCAAUUUUAAAUUAGAUAAAUCGGAAACUGUUUCGAUAUCCAAUUGUAUUCUAUAAAAUCAAUGAACACGGUGCUUCAAGAAAGUAAUAAAAUUUCAAUAAUUCAAUUGAGUGGUCAAAUUCAAGUGAUUUUUUGUAGUGAUGAUCUUUGAAUGAGUAUCUAUAAAAGAGACGGUUUGGAUUAGUGAAAUACAAUAUGGAGUGGGCCCUACCAGCAAUCCACGACAAAAUGUCUGCAAGCUUUCGUAAUAUAAGGAGGAUGGGGAGGCUGCGCAAUACUUAUCACCUUAGCCACCACCUACACCACAAGACCAAUAUGUUGUAGGCCAGGAGGCUUUCCAAUUUUAAUAUAUAUAUAUAUAUAUAUAUAUAUAUAUAUAUAGGGAUGUGAUUUCUCUACUCCCCUUUUCUCUACUUAUACUCCCUUUUGCUUUUAAAUACUUUUUAAUCAAUUUUUUUUCCGCUUUCCUAUUAAUAUUCUACCAUUUCCCUACAUUAAUUUCUUUUUACUUCACUUUUAUAUUAGUUCUUUUUCUUUAUACUUAAUUUUUCAACUUGCACUCCAUUUUCAUUAUUUUUUUCCUAAUCGAGUAAGAAAUUAAGUUUUUUUUCCCCAUUUAAUACUGAAAAUGGAGUGUAAGUUAGAAAAUUAGGUAUAAAGAAAAAGAAAUAAUAUAAAAGUAAAGUAAAAAAGAAAUUAAUGUAGGGUAAAGGUAGAAUAGAAAAGAGAAUGAACAAAAUUGAUAAAUAAAUAAAAAAGGUUUAAAAAGCAAAAAGGAGUGUAAAUGGAGAAAAGGGGAAUGAGGAAAUCAGCUCCAUAUAUAUAUAGAUUGAAAAAAUUAAAAUUAAAAUCAAUCUAUUAUCAUAUAUAUUAUAAAAUAAAGAUUAUUGCUCCAAGGAAAUGACAUCUUUUGUUUUCUGGGAAUUUUCUGAACCAAGGAAAAUCAAAUAAAAUUAAUAAAGCAUAAAUUGGAAAGGGAAAAGAUCUAAAGGAUGCAUUGUAGGAUUGCUGAUGCCAAUAAUUGUACCCUCAAAUUAUACAUGGACAUAGGGGUGGGCAUUCAAAUAGGCAAACUAGAAAUCCGAGCUGAACCGCACCUAGGAAAACCGGAAAAAAAACCGAGUUGACCAAAAAGUCAACAACUGGUCAAAAAUCGAACCGGACCGAUUUGGACUGGUUUUGGAUUCAGUUUAUAUGCAAUGCUACAUUUUUAGUCUCAUAACUAAUAUUUAUCCAAGUUCAAUUUCAAAACAUCUUUCUUUUUUAGCUUUAAUAUUUAUUUUUAUAUGAAAUUAAAUAAUUUAUUAAUUUUCAAGUAAAUAAAAUAAAAUUUCAGUUGAAAUUUAUAUUAAAAAAAUAAUUUUAAUAAUCCAGUUCAAAACCAAACCGGACCAUCCAGCUGUGAGGUACAUUUCUCCCACAUGCCACAAUUGUAUAUUCACAAUUACGUCUGAUACAUCACAUCAUGCCACUUGCCUCAAAUGAAUUUAAGUGAGUGUGGCAGUGGAAAGUAAUUAAGCUCUAUAUUGGUGGGUGGACUGUUACUUCUGGGUUCCCCUCAUCAUUCGUCUAUAAAAUGGUGAAGGCAGUUGCUAUUGUUACCAUAAGAGCCAGCUCCGACUUCCUUUAAUUUCUUGCUUCAUAUCCACUAGCUACAUCUGUUACCAAGUUAAUUUCAGUCCUAAUGGGGUUUCAUCUCCCACUCAUCUUUGCUCUUCUCAGUGUAAGCUCUGCAAUUUGAUUAACUUUUCCAUUCUCUCUCAUUGUACUCUAUAUAAACGAAAGUUUUGUGUUCCUAUAAUUCUCUCCGAUUUUAUUUAGUACGUACUUAAGUGUCGUCCACUAAUUAAUUACACUUUGUGAUUUGAUUUUAAUUUGAGUUCGAAUUAAUGUUGCAGCUAGCAGCAGUGGCACUGGCAAACCAUGCUGCUCAACCAGCACCUCAACUUUACUGGAACUCCGUCCUGCCAAACACACAGAUGCCAAGAUCUAUCAGUGAACUUCUGCAUCCUGGUUUGUGUUGAGCUCUUUAGAAUCUUAGAUAUCUCUUCUACCUGCCAUUUUACUAAAAUAUGUUCCACCACAUAUUUAUCAGUUAACCACUGUUAUUACAUGAGUGACACAUAUUCACAAAUCGGCUGAUCACUUAUUUUCCAUUAUGACGUUGAUAUAUAAUUUGCAGACUCCACAAAUGAAGAAAAGAGCACAAAUGACGUUGGCAAACCUGAAACUUUCCCAUUGGGCAAUAAACAUUACUCCAGUCAAAAACAUUAUGGAAGAGGCAAACCUGAAACUUUCCCAUUGGGCAAUAAACAUUACUCCAGUCAAAGACAUUAUGGAAGAGGCAAACCUGAAACUUUCCCAUUGGGCAAUAAACAUUACUCCAGUCAAAGACAUUAUGGAAGAGGCAAACCUGAAACUUUCCCAUUGGGCAAUAAACAUUACUCCAGUCAAAAACAUUAUGGAAGAGGCAAACCUGAAACUUUCCCAUUGGGCAAUCAGCAUUACUCCAGUCAAAAAAAGUAUGGAAGAGGUGCUUCUCCAUCCGACAAUCAACCACCAAUUCCAUAGAAAUUCAAACACGGCUACUUUCUUGCCACGAGAAAGCGCUCAAUCGAUCCCCUUCUCCUCUAACAAACUACCAGAAAUUUUCAACCAUUUUUCAGUGAAGCCAACAUCUGAGGAAGCCAAAACAAUUAAGCAAACAAUCGAAGAGUGUGAAGCUCCAGACCUUAAGGGAGAGGAAAUAUAUUGCGCCACAUCUUUAGAAUCAAUGGUUGAUUUUAGCACUUCGAAGCUUGGAACAAGAAACGUUGAAGCAAUCUCGACGGAGGUAUUGGAAAAAGGAGCCACCAUGUCCAUCCAAAACUAUACAACAAUGCCGGGACUGAAGAAGUUGGCAGGUGACAAAGUCGUUGUGUGUCAUAAGCAGAACUAUCCCUAUGCUGUGUUUUUCUGCCAUGCAAUAAAACAUACAGCAGCUUAUGCUCUCUCCCUGAAAGGCGAUGAUGGGGAGAAGGUUAAAGCAGUAACCAUCUGCCAUCUAGACACAUCAGAAUGGGACCCAGAGCAUAUGUCCUUCAAAAUCGUCAACGUUAAGCCCGGAACCAUUCCCAUCUGCCAUUUCAUUUCCACUGAUGCUAUUGCCUGGGUUCCGAACCACAAAUCUGCAUGAUCAUCACUUAGCACUAGUACUGUGCGUAUAAUAUGCCUGUAUAAUUAUCUCCCUACUUAUUUCUGCCUGUUCAUCAUGUGGUGUAAGAUAUAUGUUGAGAUGAAGUUUUUGGGAUUAGUGGUCGAAAUUAACCCGAUCAUGUUUUCUCUUGUAACUAUAUAGACUUCAACUUGUACUCAUAAUAAAGCAUGCUAUAUUUAUGAAGAGAUAUUAAUCUUCAGGCAAAUAGAUAUUAUGAAAACAUAUAUAGCAAUUUAUCCAGAAGAAAUAUUAUGAAAUGAAAAGAAUAAAAAGUAAAAAAACAGAAGGAAAGGAAUUCGCACCUGCUAUGUAUGAAAGGACCAAGAUUGUUUUCCCUUUGGUUAAUGACUAGAAAAGCUCACUUGCAGAUUGCUUUCUCUGACCGUAGAUGCAACAGAAAUUUUCUCUUAAUAAUAGCACAAUGAUCGGGUAAUUGUAAGAACAAGUUGAUUUAAAAUUCCUUGACCCAAAAAAAAAAAAAAAAUCAUUUCAAAUUCAGGUCAACCCAUAGAUUUCUUGCCUUUUUCUUCUUCAUCACGUUGGGCUUGUCUUCUUCUUGAGGAUUGUAUAGGCCCAGGAAAUGCUUUGAGGUAGUUUUUGGCCUUGGAAGUUGGGACCCAACCCAACUUCACAAAAAGAAAACAGAUUUGCCAAAAAUCAAAUUUCAAGUCUCUCCUCAGAUCACUAAUACAGAUCAAAUUUUGGAUUUGAUGAACUAAAGUGGUUUUACUUUCUCUGUCAGUGUUUGAUGACUUAAUUUGUUAUUUACUUCUUUUUUUUUUUUUACUUGAUCUUUGUAGGGGUUUUUUUCUUCCGGUAACUUAAACGGGCUGGGCUGCCGUAAAGGGUAGAUUGAUGAAAUUGUCUCCUUUGUCUGAGUUCGAAAAUCAAGCCCCAAAAGCGCUUCGAAAGGGCAGUAGAGCCUUAGGAAGCGUUCUAGUCAUCUUCACCAACUAAAACAACAGCAACUUACAGAUGAUUUCUUAAGGCUUACAGAUAAAUUUUCUAGCUUGGCAUGAGAGGCUUGUGACAUGGAAGCAAAAUCAGCAUGAGUUUAGCACCAAAGAGGAAAAUAUGGCUUCCUAGGGAGAAAUGGGAGUGUUUAAGGUGAGGAAGAAGAGGUUUGCAGGCUGAUUUGGCUGAGGAGAGAGAAAGAAAGAACAAUGUUCUUCCAGUAGCUUGACAAAGCUUCUGACAGAUGUGAAAGUCGUCUGCCAUAAGAGGAAAAUGAAGAAGAAUGGUGAAUAGUGCAUGAAAUUGCUGGGUUUUUGCAGGUAAGAGAGAAAGCUUGCUCUCUGAAUUUGAGUUGGUUUUUGGUUGGGUAGAAGAGGCCCCCUUUUAUAGCUGCGGGAAACCAUCUUUUUUCAAGAAACCCUAAUGGUUUCUAUCCAUUUUGGCCAAGCUUUUCCCUUCAUUUCUCUUCUCCUCCCUUGACUUUUCCUAUCUUGGUGAAAUUUCCUCUGCCUAUUUGCACAAAAUUAGAGAUUUUGAGGAGCUCAAGACCCCUUUCCCGCAGCUGCCUCAGUGGAGAAUCCCCAUUUUCAGUCAUCUUUCUUCCUUCUUUUCUCCCAUCUUCCAAGGUUAGGUCUGAUGAGGGAAAGAAAUGGGUAUGCACACUGGUUUGAAGGGUAUUUUUGCUUGAAACUUGUUCUCUCCCAUGUGCUGGAGCUUCCCAGCAACUUACACACAUGGAUAUUUUGGCUUUCAUCGUGGCUUUUGUUUUCAGCUAGGUGCUGGAGAUUUCGCAGAUAUUUUCAUGAGUUGCUUGGGCCUUCUAGGACAAUAGGUUGGUUUAUCAAGUGAAUGGGCUAACUUCAUCAAUUGUUGGGCUAUUUUGGUUGAGUUAAUGGACUAUUUUGGUUGAAGUAAUGGGCUAUUUUGGUUGAAUUAAUGGGCUAUUUUUCUCUCUUUGUGCUCACCCACAUAUUUGGGCCUAAGAAAUGGGCUUGAGUUCCGGGGCUCCCAAGCAACCCCGGGACUUCCAUUUCUCGGCCCAUCAAUGGGCCUCAUAUCAACUUAUUACCAUCCAUAUCACAACCCACUCAAGCAAGCCCUGGGCAUCUUGCGUGGCUUGGGCCCACUUAAGCUUGUAGCGUGACGUGUUGCUUAUUUGCUUGGCAUGGCAUGUGUGCAAGCGCAUAUGACGAACUUUAGCGUGCCCAAAUUGGGUUUAUUCUCGGUAAGGUAUCGCAUUGGGCCGAGAAUUUAAUUGGGCAGAACUGUGGAUUUUUGGGCCUCAACAAUCUUAUAUAUAUUGGUUUUCUUUUUUUCCUUAAUAUUCACCACCUUUCUGUUGCAUAAGUAUUUCAGUCUUAACGGGUUUCCAUCUACCACUCAUCUUUGCUCUUUUAAGUGUAAGCUUUUUUUUUUUUUUUUUAAGCACAAGAUUAGAGGGGAGGGGGAUUUCUCAAUGUAAGCUUUGCAGUUUCAUAAUUAAUAUUUCCAAUAUCUCACUGUUAGUAAAAUAUGGAACAGGAAAAGUAUGAAUAAAAUACACACAUGUUUUAUUUAGCAAAAUUUUGACAAGAUACAACUGAAAAGUUUGGCCACUAUAUAAUAUUUUGAUAUAAUUUCUACACUUCUUCUCAAAAGAUUAGAUCACUUCACAUCUUGUGUAUGUGAAAACUAAUGUAAAAAGUUGAAACUUUAUCGUAAAACCUCGACAAAAAUGAGCUCUACUAGAAAAUGUUCAAUUUGGAUUCGUUGAUUUAAAUGGCAAUUUGACACUUGAUAGAAAUUUUUACAUACAUGUGUUAGUGUUUGAUCACUUCACAUGUUACUUACUAUAUUUAUUCCACUCAAGUUAGGUAAAUAUUAUUAUCAAACAUUUCAAUUAAUUUGUGAUUUUUUUAUUAUUUAAUCAAUUAUGAAUUAAUGGAUUCUUCUUGUUGUUUUGAAGACCAAUAAAAAAAAAAGGGUAAGGAUGGCUUAUAACUCUGAUAAAACAACAGUGACGUGGACAGCAGAUGUUACACCGUACUGAAGAUUUUUGAAGAUUCUUUAUUUGGGUUUCUUUCAAGAUGAAAACCAUAUUAUCCACAACCACAAUGAAGAAGACAGAAAAUGGAGUAAUUCAGAUGUUACCAGCCAUCCACGACAAACUGAAGUCUGCAAAGCAUUCGUAAUCUAAAGGGAGACUUUGGAAAAGCCCAAAGGAGAGAGAAAAUUUUUAAAAGAAGCAAAAAUGGACAAAAUUGCCCUUAUUUAUUUUUUGAUUUCCUAAGAAAUCCUUUACAUUUGCAUGUCUUUGGUUUGAAAGUUGAGAGGUUAUUCUGUCUUUUUUCAAAAAGCUUUGGCUUUUUCCAAAAGUGAAAGUUUUUUUAUGGGUAAAACCUAAAUUUACUUAAUCCCUAAAAAGGAUGGGGAGGCUGCGCAAUACUUAGCCACGUGUAGGCCAGGAGGCUUUCCAAUUUUAAUAUAUAUAUAAAUUGAAAAAAUAAAAUAAAAAUCAAUCUAUUAUCCUAUAUAAAAUAAAGAUUAUUGCUUCCAUGGGCAGUGCUAUGCACAGGACAGUGCCUGCCCAGCACAAAUUUUUUUUAAAUAAAAAAAAAAAAUCUACAUAUGUUAUAAGCUCAUCCAAAAAAAUAAAAUAAAAUAAAAGUAAAUUCUACAUAUAUGUUGCCCAUCUAGGUGGUUCCAUAUCUUCUCUCUCCUUCUCUUUUGGCUAUUAGACUUCUUGUUUCUCUCUCUCUCUUUGCUACCUCACAUCAGCAAGUUUCUCCCUCUCUUUUUUUGGGGUCAAAUUCUUCCUCUAUUGACAAAAUCUUCUAUUAUCUUGGGUGGGCAACUUGGCAACAACAUCUUCUCUUCUCCUUUUGUCAACAACAAGUAUUAUUCUCAUUCUCUCAUUUGCUAUAUAUCUUUAAUUAUAGUUUUAAUUUAAAAUUGAGUAUUCUAGGGUUUAAUUAGGGAUGAAUUAUAAUUUUAGAAUUUUGUUGAAAUUAAUUAAGGCUUCGAUUAGGGGUGAAUUAUUCUACUGCUUUGGUUUGGAAUUUUGUUAAAAUUGAGUAUUAUAGGGUUUAAUUAUGGAUGAAUUAUAAUUUUUGAUUUUGGUAUUAUUGAGAUGUUAUUAUGAGAAUUUGUUUCAUUUUUUUAUUGGUAUAUUUGAUUAAAAUUCUUUCUACAUAUUAUUCAUAGGCUAUCUUUUAUUAUGUCGGAUCACAAUCGGAAUCCCAAGAGAACAAAGAAUUUGAAUAGUGUUGUUUUGUAUUGCAUUGCAUUUACUUUUGGUUUUAGUUUUGCUUUUAGUGUAAAUUACUCAAAUGGUCCUCAAAUUUGUACCCGAUUUACAUUUUGGUCCAUAAACUAAAUUAUUCAUUCAAAUGGUGCACCAACUCUUUAUUAAUCAGUGCUUUGGUCCUACCGUUAUGUUUUCUAUUAAAUUUAGUCAUGUGAGCAGCACAUGCUACAUUUGUAGGGGUAAAUAAGACUUUUGACCACUUUAUCACCUAUGUAUCACCACUUUAUAACCUAUUUGGAGAACAUAGGUCAGUUAUGGACGGUUUUACAAUUAUAUUUGACGGCAACAUUAACAUAAUGUAACAGUGGGAUCAAUGGAGCGAUUAAUAUAGAGUUGAUGGACCGUUUGAACGAAUAAUUUAAUUGAGGGACCAAAACGUAAAUUGAGUAUAAGUUUGAGGACCAUUUGAGUAAUGUACCCUUCGCUUUUAUAUUUGUUGAACUUUUAUUUAUGGAUAGAUAUGCAUUUGAGGGUAAGACCCAUUAUGUUCCCCCUGACUUGGUGUAUCUUUUUAUGUUUAUUAAUGAAAUUCACUCGAACUGUUGAGUUUAGUAUGUAAGUUUUGCCUAACCGGCUUUUGAAUCCUAGAACCGCCACUGUUGCUCCAUCCUCCAUGCACUUGCAUGUGCUCUUACAAAGUGUGAAGUAGAUUUUGUGUGCUCCAAGUCAUUGACUAGAGCUGAAACAUGGUUAGCUAGAUUUAUAAGGACCCAUCUCUCUAUUUCCUAGACAUAUACCCAUCUCUCUAUAAAUCUAUAUGUAAAACUCAAUUUCAAACUUAAAUGACCAGUAAGAUAUAAGAGGUCAUAGUAUUCCUAUGUUUUUACAUCGUUGCCACCAGACUUCUUAUUUUAUUUAUAAUUUAUUUCAAGCAUUUCAUUAACUGCCAUAAUUGUAAUUAAUACUCCAUAUUAAUAGCAUAUCAAUCACCCCAUUUCUUUUGAUUGCCAUUCCCUCUAACAUAUCGCCCCUUAAAAUUGAAAACCAAAAAAAAAAAAAAUGUAAAUUACAUAUCCAAUAAUGUACCUAUGAAAAAUAUAAAUAUAAAUAUAUACGUAUAAAAAUAUAGGUUUAUUAUUUACCAAAUAAAAAAUAUAAAAAAACUAGGUCAGUUGCUUUGUAAUUGAAAUUUCUAUACAUUUUCCACAAAUUAAAAAUAGGUACACAAUAAUUUAUAGAAAAUAUAGGUGCAUUAUUUAUCCAUAGGUAAAAAUACCUAUAAAUGCACAUAGGUAAAUUAUUUACCCAUAUAUUAUUUUUUUGCUAAGGAUUUACCUUAGUUUUUAGUAGAUUAAUUUACCUACCUAGAGGCAUAGGUAGCUUAAAAAAAUUGUAGCACCUUAGUUGGUUGCAUACUAAUUUACCUACCUAGAGGCAUAGGUUGCUAAGAAAAAAUGUAGGUAAAUUCAUGUACCUAAACACAUAGGGGUCAAAUAGAGAAUAACAUGUUAUUUCCCUUCGAACAAAUUAAUUUCAAACCAUAACAAUAAUUGAAUUCGGAAAUUGGUAUAAAUAAAAGGAAAUAAAUAAGCUAUCAAUUUGAAAAUUAAAAUAAGAAAUGAUCAAGUAGUCAUAUUUGAAAAAAAAGAAAAGAAUAUAUUCUUGGUUUUUAUAGGAACAACGUGUAUAUUCAAACCAAAUGGCAGUAACUACACCAAGCUUUAAUUACUUUUUUUUAAGGCCAAAAGUCACUUUUGGUCUCUGUAGUUUGACACUUCUAUUACUUUUGACGCUGUAGUUUCAAUUCCGUCAAUUUUGCCAUUGUAGUUUCAUAUUUGUAGCAAUUCAAGGACAUGUUAAUAUUAAUGUCAAUUUGUUUAAUGAUGCAAGGGGUAAUUUCGUCAUCCCAAAAUCCUUGAGCAUAAAAGCUUGUCUGAAAUUCUCCCCAUUUCAUAUUAGGGCUCGAAAUUCAACCACUAAUCCCAAUUUUUGAAGAACCCUAUACCCAAAUGACCAAUUUCAAGCCCUAAUAACAAAUUAGGGAAGUUUUAGAUGAGCUUUUAUGCUCAAGGAUUUUGAGUUGAAGAAAUUGCCCCUUGCACUGUCAAAGAAAUUGAUAGGAAUACUGACUUGUCCUUGAAUUGCUACAAAUACAAAAAUACAGGGUCAAAAUUAACAGAAUUUAAACUAUAUGGUCAAAAGUGGUUAAAGUGCCAAACUACAAGGACCAAAAGUGACUUUUAGCCUUUUUGUUUAAAUAAGGAAAAAACUUACCUAUUAAAUCCUUGGAAUCUAUACAAAAUUGAAACACAGUUAAUCAGCAUUGAAUUGCAGCUAAUUUCUUAAACAAGGGUAUUAUAGGAAUUUAAAAAGUAUAACAUUUAAUCCAUUGAGCUUGAUUAGGAAUCUUGAUGAGUUGGAUCCUAGUUAUAUAGUUUCUCUUAUAAAAAUCGGGUUUUAUUUAUAGACAAAUAAAACAAUGGGUUGUAGGUAAGAAAAUAUUAAUUUGAAGGGAAAGUGUCACAUCCUGGGAUCGGCUCCGCCGUAGCACGAUAUUGUCCGCUUUGGGCCCCCCUCUCUGCCCGCACGGUUUUGUUUCUGGGAGCUCACGAGCAACUUCCCAGUGGGUCACCCAUCCUGGGAUUGCUCUGGCCCCCAACUCGCUUAACUUCGGAAUUCCUAUGACUCCGAAGCCAGUGAGCUCCCAAAAGGCCUCGUGCUAGAUGGAUGCGGGUGUGUACAUAUAAGACACAUCACCCCCUCUCCGUUGGUUGAUGUGGGAUCUUACAGAAAGAGUCAAAUUUACUAAAUUAAUAAAGCAUAAAUUGGAAAGGGAAAAGAUCUAGAGGAUGCAUUGUAGGAUUGCUCAUGCCAAUAAUUGCACCCUCUCGAUAUUGAAAAACCUAUUGUGUAUUAUUAUCUUCAAUCAUGAAUGAUGCACCUAAAACCCAAGUGUCCCAAGCCAACCAUUGCGCUCAUACCACUUGUUGCAGUACACAUUCACCCGUUUUUAAAGAAAGAAAUUCUACCAAUCGAUAUUGUCUCAAAUUUAAUCACAUAGGUCUAUUAUGGUUAACCAUAUGUACUUUUAUCGGCCAUAUAGAGGUACCUUUUUCCAACGUGCAACAAUUGUAUUUGAUUCACAAUUAUGUCUGAUAUACAUCACAUCAUGCCACUUGCCUCAAAUGAAUUUAAUUGAGUGAGGCAAUGGGAAGUAAUUAAGCUCUAUAUUGGUGGGUGGAGUGUUACUUCUGGAACCCUCAUCAUUCGUCCAUACAAGGGAACAAUUCCCUUCCUUCUAUAAAAUGGUGAAGCCAGUUGCUAUUGUUUGUUAGAGUUUUAGGAUCUGAGUGUUAGAUUUUGUGAGAAGAGAGAAGAGAAUUUAGUGAAAACUUCCAAUACUGCUCUGCUAUACGUGUAGCAGAGAGAACAUUCUGUUUUGUUAUAUAUUUUCAGUACAACAACACACACUUGGUGUGAGAAGAAAAAUGACUGUUAUGCACAGUACCAGCUGGAUGCUUUCCAUCAAAGUAAUCUCAGCCAUUCACUAUCUAACCAAUCAAGCUAUGACACCUGGACUAAGUAUAAAGAAAUACAACUAAGCAGAAAACAAGACUCUUAAUCCUGAAAUCAACUUAAGCACUUAUAAUUCAACACUCCCCUUUAAGUCUUGAGGUGAUUUCACUCCAAGCAUGCCUCUGAGAUAAUUGAAUCUGUCUUUGGCCAGAGGUUUGGUAAAAAUGUCAGCCAAUUGUUCAUUUGUAGGACAAUAUUCCAGAUUGAUUACCCCUUCUUGCAAUGCAUCCUUGAUGAAGUGAUACCUCCUGUCAAUAUGCUUUGUCUUCUGGUGGAAUACAGGGUUUUUAGUGAUUGCAAUUGCUGAGAUAUUAUCACAAUGCAAUGGAGUAGCUUCAGUUUGAAGCUCUCUAAAGUCUUCUAGCACAAAACGGAGCCAAAUAGCUUGAGUAGUAGCCUCAGCUGCACUGAUGUACUCAGCUUCUGCAGUAGACAGUGCAACACAGUUCUGUUUCACUGAGGCCCAAGAAAAUACUCCACUUCCAAAACUAAACGCAUACCCUGAUGUGCUCUUGCAAUCACCAACUGAUCCUCCCCAAUCACUGUCACAGUAACCAACUAGAAUUGAUCUUUUGCCUUUCACAUAUUCAAGACCAUAGUCCAGAGUUCCUUUGAUGUAUCUCAAAACCCUUUUAGCUGUUCCAUAGUGUCUAUUUGUAGGACAGUGCAUGAAUCUAGCUAGCAAGCUUGAGGCAUACAUGAUGUCUGGUCUUGUAGCAGUUAAGUACAGCAAGCUACCAACAAUGCUUCUGUAUUGUUCUUCAUUUGCAGCUCAACUCCCAUCAUCCUUAGCUAGUUUCUCAGUGGCAACAAGGGGUGUUGUCACAGGUUUGCACUCAGUCAAACCAAACUUGCUCAACAAGGUGCUAGCAUAUUUCUUUUGAUGUAGAAAUAUACUAGACUCAGUCUGAAUAACUCCCAUGCCAAGAAAGUGAUGAAGUAAGCCCAAAUCAGUCAUCUCAUACUUAGCCAUCAUGUCUUCUUUGAAUUCAGCCAACAAUGCUUGACUGCUCCCUGUAUACACAAUAUCGUCUACAUAGAUAGACACAAUUAGAAUCUCCUUAUCUCCCCUUACUUUGGUAUAUAAGGUUGUUUCACUUAAGCUUUUCACAAAACCACAUUGAGUGAAGUAGCUGUCUAUCUCUCCAUACCAAGCCCUUGGGGCUUGCUUCAGACCAUAAAGGGCUUUAUGCAAACGAUAAACCUUGUCUUCUUUACCUUUAAUUACAAAACCUUCAGGCUGACUGACAUAAACUUCCUCUUGCAGCACACCAUUAAGGAAAGCAGACUUCACAUCAAGCUGGAACAAUUUCCAAUCCUUUUGAGCAGCUAGAGCAAUAAGUGUUCUAAUGGUGUCCAAUCUGGCUAUAGGUGCAUAAGUCUCAUUAUAAUCCAGUCCAGGCUUCUGAGCAUACCCCUUAGCCACUAAUCUUGCUUUAUUCUUUUGCACUGAGCCAUCCAAAUUCAGCUUUGUCUUGUACACCCACUUAACUCCAAUCACUGGUUUUUCAGUUAGUCUAUCUACCAAUUCCCAUGUUUCAUUCUUUUCAAUCAUCUGCAGUUCAUCUUCCAUAGCCUUAAGCCAAGAUUCAUCCUGAGCAACAUCAGCAUAUUUUUCUGGUUCCAUGAUACACAAGUUACACUGAGCUAGAACAUCAUCUAGCCUUCUCCAUUUUAGAGGGGUGUGAUCAUAAGCUUGAGUUCUCCUUUCUUCACUGCUUAUAUCACCUGGAGUUGAUGAAAUGCUCUCUUGCAUAUCCAAAGUUUGAGGUGUACCAGUAGAAUUCUCAUUAGAACUGUCAGAUUUCAAGUCCAAAUCAACUUGGUUUUCAAUUGAGUAUGUUGUCAUAACUGAACCAUUUUUGUUUGUCCAAUGCCAAGCAUUUUCUUCAUCAAAUGUCACAUCCCUUGAUAGUAAAAGCUUGUUAGAAACAGGAUCAAAAACUCUAUAUCCUUUUUCACAAGUUGCAUAUCCCACAAACACUCCCUUUGUACUCUUAGGAUCCCGCUUGUGUCUCAAUUCAGUUGGCACAUGAACAUAACACAGAGAACCAAACACUUUCAGAUGUGCAAUUCCAGGCUUCCUUCCACUAUAUGCUUCGAAUGGAGUAAUGUUGUUGAGAGCUUUGGUAGGACAUCUGUUCAGCAAAUAGAUAGCUGUAUGCACAGCUUCUGCCCAUAGGAAAUAAGGCAUUCCCUUCUCAUGUAACAUUGAUUUUGCCAUCUCAAUGACAGUUCUAUUCUUCCUCUCAACUACUCCAUUCUGCUGAGGAGUAUAGGCCAUUGUAAGCUGCCUUUGAAUGCCAUUAGCUUCACAAAACUCCAAAAAAUCAGUAGACAUAAACUCUCCACCCCUGUCACUUCUUAUGCACUGAACCUUGUGUCCAGUUUGUAAUUCAGUCAUGGACUUGAACUUCUUGAAACAAAAGAAGGCUUUUGACUUGUUUCUCAAGAAGUAUACCCAAAUCAUUCUUGUGAAAUCAUCUAUAAUCAGCAUGAAAUAUCUGUUCCUUGCAACAGACUCAUUUCUCAUGGGACCACAGAGAUCCACAUGUAUUAGCACUAGUACUUUGCUUGCUCUUUGAGCUUGAUCUUUUGGAAAAACAUUUCUGUGCUGUUUUCCAAAUUGGCACCCGUCACACACACCACUUUGUUCUUCCAAUUUUGGUAAACCAUGUACCAUUUCUUUAUCACUUAGCUGCUUCAAUCCUCCAAAAUGCAGAUGACCAAAUCUCUUGUGCCAAAUCCAUGUGGAUUGAAGAAAACUAGUCUUCAUUAGUAACUGUUUUUCAGCUAGAAAAGAGACAGGAUAGCAUCUGUUACUCUUCAUUUGCACCUUUAUGAUGAGAUAAUCCAUGGAUGGGCUAUCAAAUACCCUGCACAUCCCUUCUCCAAACACUAGACAGUACCCAUGUUCAUCCAUCUGCCCAACACUUAGCAGAUUUUCUUUCAAUCCUGGCAGAUACAUUACUUCUCUGAUGUAUUUCCUGCCCUUUGCUGUAUCAAUACUCAGUGAGCCAAUACCAGCUACACUCACUAAUGCACCAGUUGGCAUUUGUACUCUCCCAGCUACAUUAGUUCUCACAUCAACCAGCAAAUCUAAAUUUCCUGUCAUAUGAUUGCUGCAGCCACUGUCAAUGUACCAUUCAUUGGUUUUGAUCUCAGUGGUUGAGCAAUUGGCAUAAAACAGGUUUCCUGUAACCUCCAUUUGAUUUACACAAUUAGCCUUCUGCACAUUUUUGCUCACUGUACAGUCUCUAGCAAGAUGUCCAACUCUGUCACAGUUAUAGCAUUUUGGUUUUCCCUUAUACCUGCACUCACCAAAAUGAUGCUUUGAACACACCUUGCAUUGAGGCUUUGUGUUUUCCUGAUUUGAGAACUGUGUUGAAGUGUGGUUCUGUGCAGAAUAAUUAUUCUGCUGUGUCUUGUCUUUUGCCUCCCAUGACUUCCCUUUAGAGUUCCAGCUUCUCUGUGACUUAGAUGAACCAGACUGAGAAGCAUUUUUGUUCUGACCCUUUGAAUUCACAGUGAAUGAGGCAAAUGCCUUCUCAGCUGUAUCAACACUAUGCAUUUCAAGCCUUUGCUCCCGACUCUUCAAAAUGGCAGUUACUUCCUGCAAAUCCACAGUUUCUAGUGUCUUUGUGUUUUCAAUCACAAUGCAUAUAGGGUCAUACUUCUUACUUAGACUAAUUAACACCUUCUGAACCUACCUCUCAUUUGACAGAACUUCACCAAAUGUUUUCAUUUGGUUAAUCAAUUCAGUUAGUCUAGUAAGAUAUUCAGAUAAGGUUUCACUAUCACGCAUCCUACUGUAUUCAAACUCACGUCUAAGGUUUUGAAGCUUUACCGAUCUAACAUGCUCUCCACCAUGAUAUUCUGAGUACAGCAGAUUCCAAGCCAUCUUUGCAGAGUCAGCAUUGGCAAUUCUGGGAAAAAUCUGAUCAGAAACAGCAUUUUGAAUGAUACCCAAGGCCUUCGCAUCCUUCAUGAGAAUCGCAGCUGUUUUCUCAUCAACUUCUUCUUCUGAACCAUCCUCAGAUUCCUGCUUCGUCUUUGAAUCUGGGAUUAAAAACCCCUUCUCUACCAAACCCCAUAAACCAUAUGAUCUGAAUAUGGUUACCAUCUUAAUCCUCCAAAAUUCAUAGUUCUCACCUGAGAAAAUGGGGAUUCUAGCCUCUGAACUUCCAGAUCCAGCCAUUACGAAUUUCAGAUUCGCCUGGAAACAAGAUGUUUUCAGAUUUGACCCUUGAUCGAGCUCAAUCAGCUUCGUGAGCUUAGAAUGAGCUCACCUCGAUCGAUUUUCUUCACAGAACAACGCCCAGCUUCAGAUAAUCAAACUUGGCUCUGAGGCCAUGUUAGAGUUUUAGGAUCUGAGUGUUAGAUAUUGUGAGAAGAGAGAAGAGAAUUUAGUGAAAAUUUCCAAUACUGCUCUGCUAUACGUGUAGCAGAGAGAACAUUCUCUUUUGCUAUAUAUUUUCAGUACAACAACACACACUUGGUGUGAGAAGAAAAAUGACUGUUAUGCACAGUACCAGCUGGAUGCUUUCCAUCAAAGUAAUCUCAGCCAUUCACUAUCUAACCAAUCAAGCUAUGACACCUGGACUAAGUAUAAAGAAAUACAACUAAGCAGAAAACAAGACUCUUAAUCCUGAAAUCAACUUAAGCACUUAUAAUUCAACAUUGUUACCAUAAGAGCCAGCUCCGACUUUCUUUAAUUUCAGUCCUAACGGGGUUUCAUCUUCCACUCAUCUUUGCUCUUCUCAGUGUAAGCUCUGCAAUUUGAUUAACUUUCCCAUUAUCUCUCACUGUACUCUAUAUAAAGGAAUAAGUGUCGUCCACUAAUUAAUUACACUUUGUGAGAUUUGAUUUUAAUUAGAGUUCGAAUUGAUGUUGCAGCUAGCAGCGGUGGCACUGGCAAACCAUGCUGCUCAACCAGCACCUCAACUUUACUGGAACUCCGUCCUGCCAAACACACAAAUGCCAAGAGCUAUCAGUGAACUUCUGCAUCCUGGUUUGUGUUGAAUAAAUAUAGUAUGUUACUGGAGUACGUAUGGCAACAUAUUCACAAAUGUGUCACGUAUUUUCCAAUAUGACGUUGAUAUAUAAUUGCAGACUCCACAAACGAAGAAAAGAGCACAAAUGUCAUGAAUGCUGUUGGGAAUGGAAAGCCAAUUGACCACAAGGGCAACCUGAAAAUACUGUACUACCACAGCUUGCACGACGCCCAUUUUCUUACAAGAGUGAUGAUCGUCCCACUGACAAUCAACUCCAUUAUAAAAACGUAGCUAUUUUCUUCUUGGAGAAGGACAUGCGCCCUGGCACAACAAUGAGCUUCCAAUUCCCUAGAAAUUCAAACACGGCUACUUUCCUGCCACCAGAAAGAGCUCAAUCGAUCCCCUUCUCCUCUAACAAACUACCAGAAAUUUUCAACCAUUUUUCAGUGAAGCCAACAUCUGUGGAAGCCAAAACAAUUAAGCAAACAAUCGAAGAGUGUGAGGCUCCAGGCAUUAAGGGAGAGGAAAUAUAUUGCGCCACAUCUUUAGAAUCAAUGGUUGAUUUUAGCACUUCGAAUUUUCGAACAAGAAACGUUCAAGCAAUCUCGACAGAGGUAUUGGAAAAAGGUGCCACCAUGUCCAUGCACAAGCAUACAACAAUGCCGGGACUGAAGAAGUUGGCAGGUGACAAAGUCGUUGUGUGUCAUAAGCAGAACUAUCCCUAUGCUGUGUUUUACUGCCAUGUAAUAAAACCAACAGCAGCUUAUGUUCUCUCCCUGAAAGGCGAUGAUGGGGUGAAGAUUAAAGCAGUAGCCAUCUGCCAUCUAGACACAUCAGAAUGGAACCCAAAGCAUUUGGCCUUCCAAAUCCUCAAAGUUAAGCCCGGAACAAUUCCCAUCUGCCAUUUCCUUCCCACUGAUCAUAGUGUCUGGGUUCCGAACCACAAAUCUGCAUGAUCAUCACUUAGCACUGUACGUAUAAUAAGCUUGCACCCCUGUAUAAUUAUCUCCCUACUCUACUUAUUUCUGCCUCUUCAUGUGGUGUAAGAUAUAUGAUGAGAUGAAGUUUUUGGGAUUAGUGGUCGGGUUGCCUUAAAAACACAGAUUACAGAAACUGCUUGAACUUAACCCGAUCAUGUUUUCUCUUGUACUCGUAAAGCAUGCUGUUGUGGUUCUACUUAAUUUCGUUCUCCCCAAUGUUUGAGUGUUUAAUUGUUACGUUGGAUAAUGCUUGUAGUUAGAGAAGCCUUCAUUUAUAUCAAAGUCCUCAACUUGUAAAGAUAUCAAUGGUCCUAGUGCUGCCACGUGUAAGAAGAUUGAAGAAUAAAGCUGUUGAGAUAUUGUUAGACCUGUUAUGCAGUUUAGGAAAACUGUUAGUAUUGAUAAGAGAAGGUUAGAGAUGUUAGAGAGGUUAGAAAACACGUGAACAAGGCUUUAACUCAGCUGAUAUAAAGUCUGUAGUUGUGCUCAGUUGAACUUAAUGAGAAAUACAACAAGUCUCUUCUCUAUCUCUGAAAUUCUCUCUGCUCUCUCUGCUUUACUUCUUUUGUCUCUGCUCUACAUUUUUUUUCAAUCUUCCUAUCUUAACAAAACUAUCAAGAAUUAAUGCAUCCAGAAACAUAUAUACCAAGACGCAAAACAACAUAUUUUUCAUGCUCUGUCUGUAACACCAAAGCAAACUUCCUUUAUCACAAAAGGAUCAAAUUCCAGUACUAAUCUAAUCCAUCAUGUAAAGCAUACAAUCUACAAGUGCCUCCCUUAAUUUGUCCAUUGGAUAUAUAUGUCACUUUUUGGUAAUUUGGUAUAGCAGCACCACGUAGUCUUGAAAUAGUAGUGCGGCUAUACCAAAUAUACCAUUUGCCCCUGCAUUUAACAGAAAAGUAAACAAAAUUGACGGUAGAACUAUUUGUCCUAACGAAACUGCAGUUGAAAGACCAUGAGAACGAUUUUGAAAAUUGAGGGACUCAAAUGAAAAUUGGGUCUAAGUUCAAGAACCAAUAAAACGAUUAACCCAUAGAUUUUGGAUCCAGUACCACAUCCCAAAGAGAAAACCACAAGUUUGCAAGCAAGUUUGUCCAUAAUAACACUACGUACAGUAUGGGCAGUGCGCUAGACUCAUCUCACUUUCUCAACCUAUCCUAUAGUUGUCUAAAAGAGUUUCUAAUUUAAUGUACUGAGAUUUACGAAAGAAAUAUCAGAGAAACAAUUUUCAGGCAAUAAAAAAAUGUCUUGGCAAGAAAAUGUACAAUUUGUUACAUAACUUAUUAAAUAUGAACAGUUGAAAGAAAAAAGAAUCUGGAUGAGGGAUUUGCAAAUUCCUAUGGCCCAAUUACCUUUUUUUCUUUGUUGUUUUUUUUUUUUUUUUUUUGGUUCUUUUGAUCCAGUAGCAUAUUCCAAAGAAUGAAAACCACAGGCAUGCAAUGCAAGCUCUUUUCCCACGUUUUCCUCUGUUUUUCUCCUAUCAUGGAAGUGAUUAAAACACACCUCUAAGCUUGUUUUGCGUUUGGUAGCCGAGUGUAAAAGCUCAAUGCAAGAUAGUUUGAGGUAGAAUUUUCUCCUAUUUUAUUAGGACAAUGAUAAUUAAAAAAAAGUGUGAUUCAUUGAAUAUUUGCGGGGUUUUGUUCAGACCUGACAAAGUUCUAAGUCAACACAUCAAAUUCCUUUUUCCAACAUGCAACAAUUGUAUUUGAUUCCCAAUUUUUUCUGAUAUACAUCACAUCAUGCCACUUGCAUCAAAUGAAUUUAAUUGAGUGAGGCAAUGGGAAGUAAUUAAGCUCUGUAUUCGUGGGUGGAGUGUUACUUCUGGAACCCUAAUAAUUCGUCCCUACAGGACUCUAGAACUCUCAAACUUCUUACAAGGACUACUUAACUCUAUAGCUUAAUGCAUAUAGCAUAUAUAUGCAAACACAAUUAGAAAUUCUACAACAGAAGCAAGAUCAAUCUCACUAUGCCUUCUAAACAAACAAACAAAUAAAACAAGCAUAUUAAUUGCUUUAAUCACUCUACUAACAUCAACACAGCACACUUAGUUUACUAACAGAUGAUAUAGAAAGGAAAAAAAAGGACCAAUAGGGAGAAAAUGGUGAACUAAGGAGAGACUAAUACUUCUGGUCCUUAGAAGGCAUAACAGAAAUAAUAGAGCACACUGCUUGAAUGCAAGUCAGUAUUAGGAGCAAAACAGCUGCAAUGAAAGAAAUAGUUGCCCAAGGUGUAUUGAAAUAAUGUUGCCUCAAAUUUGCCUUCCAUUUGUUCCAAGGCUUUCUGCAGUAGCUAUUAAGGCGCUCAGAAAGAAUAGCAAAGUAGAAGCUUUCACGAUACACUGCAAUUCCUUUUCCGAGGUUGUUAAUCAGAGUGCACACCUCAUUGUAGUCACCAAGCAUAUUUUUGACAAUCCCAUCCUUCAGAAGGAACUCCACAUCCUUUUCGGUGUUCACAAACUCAUCCAUGAGUGAAACAUAAUCACUUAUGUAAUUCUUACGGCAAUGGCACUAUUCAAAGGCAAUGAGGUUACGGAGUGUGAGCUCUGUGUAAUCGUGUAUUUUUAGUUUUGGAAUUUCUAGAAUCCCAUCGUUGAAUUGUGUUAACGCAGCUUUCCUUUCCUAGCCUACACGGAAGUCAACUUCACAAUCUCCUCCUAGCAAUUAGUCUUUCCUGCUGUAAAUCAGAUUUCCUACUGUAAAUCGGAUUGUAUUCAUGUCUAUAUUAUUUCCUACUUUAAGUAGAUAUCUUGUACUAGUAUAAAUAGGGACUUUGUGUAAUCUGUUAAAUACAAGGAAAUAUAUACUCUGCAUGGUAUCAGCCUAACCUAGGGUUCUCUCUCUCUCCCUUAUUCGAUCCUCUUCUCCUUUAGGUCCACCUCAUGGCUUUGUCUGAAUCCACCAUCUCCCUCCCAAGCCCCAACUCUUCUAUUUUAUCAAGCUUAUUGACUCCAACUAUCUUCUUUGGCUCCGCCAACUCAAACCCUUUUUAGUCGGCCAUGACCUCUGGAAAUUUAUCGAUGGCAUUCAUAAACAACCUUCUGCCCACACCUCCACCUCUACCACCGCAACACCCACAACCACCACCACUCUUACCCAAAUCAAUCAUGCCCAUGCUCAGUGGUACCAACAAGACCAACUCAUUGUUAGCUACAUCACCAAUACACUCUCUGAGUCCAUUCUCUUUCUCACUGUUGGUUGCACCUCUGCCCGGGAUCUCUGGGAGUGUCUCCAACGCCACUUCUCUCAAUCCAGUAUGGCCAGUGAAUCUACUCUUCGUUUUAAACUCAUGGAUUUGCAAAAAGGCUCUGAACCCACUUAUGCUUACAUUCGUCAUGCUAAGUCCUUUGCCGAUUCACUGGCUGCCAUCAAUGAACCUGUCUCCCCAAAAGAACUUGUCACUACUGUGCUUUGGGGUUUAAGACCCUAUUGCAACAUCCUCGUCACAGCAAUUCUCAAUUUCCCUCUGCUUCCUAACUUUGCUAAUCUUCGUGCUCGUUUGUUAGCAUUUGACGCACAGACUCCUUGAAUCUCUCCUGAUCAAAACACAGCGCAAAUGGCCACCCAAUCCUCUCCUCACACCACCGGUCAUACUUCCUUCCCUUCUCACCGUGGUGGUGGCUCUUCCAACAACAGGCGUGGUGGCCUCGGUGGCUGGCGCAAUAGCGGCCGGGGUGGCUGGCGCAGCUUCUCAUCUUCCUGGAGCAACCCGUGGAAUGGCUUCCAGCAGCUCCAAUGACCUAAUCAACCAUGGCCUCCUUUUGCUCCAAGUUCUGGAUCUCAAAGCAACUGGCCUUCCUUUCAGCCUCCUUGGGCCUAAUCUGCCGCUUCUAUCAAACACUUUGCCCGGCCCAACUCAGCUCCUGGUGUCUUGGGACCCGCUUGGUGCACUACCUGCAAUACCAAUCACAUACUACUACAAUAUGUCCUCAUCGCUACAAUGGCCCAGAAUCCUUUCUUUGCUAGGGCUCAAUUCAUGUAGCCACCUGACUCUACUUGGUACCCUGACACAAGUACCACUCAUCAUAUGAUUGGUAGUCCUUCUAAUCUCCAAAAUCAAUCCUUCUAAUCUCCAAAAUCAACAGCCAUAUCAGGUUCAUAAUUCUGUAUUUCUUGGUAAUGGAGAUUCUCUCCCUAUCUCUCAUACUAGCUCUCUCUUUUGUCUUCCAUCUCUUCGUACUAAUCUUCUUUUUGUUGCCCAUUUUACUUGUGAUAAUUUAGUUUUCUUUGUCUUUACUCUUGACUUUUAUCAAAUCUAUGACUUAUGUACUGGUUCGUUACUCUUUCAGGGCCCUUCUAAAGAUGGUCUUUACCCACUUUCCAUCUCCUCUCACUCAUCCAUAGUCCCCCAUGCCCUUACCACCGUGCACUCUCCUGCUUGGCAUCAUUGCCUUGGCCAUCCAUUCCAUCGUGUGCUCUCUCAUUUAGCGCCAUCUCUAGGCUUUAAAGUUUCUCAUGCUUUCUGUAAGGAUUGUGCACUUAGCAAAUCCACCAAACUGUCAUUUCUUAGUAAUAAAACCUUUGCCCCAUCUCCCUUUUAUUUAAUUCACUCUGAUGUAUGGAUGUCCUCGGUCAUUUCUGUCACUGGUUAUCGCUAUUAUGUCUUGUUUACAGAUGACUUUUCUCGUUACUCCUGGAUCUAUCAUAUGCACCGUAAAAAUGAGGUCUUUUCUCACUUUCAAACCUUUCUUGCUAUGGUUAAAAAUCAAUUUCACACCACUGUACAAAUUCUUUAAAGUGACAAUGGCACUGAAUAUGUUAAUAAUGCUUUCUCUGAUCUUUGCAGUCAACUAGGCAUCCACCAACGUUUCACAUGUCCCCACACUCCCCAACAAAAUGGCCUAGCUGAACAUAAACACAGACACAUUGCCACCAUGAUCUGUCCCCGGUCAUUUAUUCAACCAUCUUGACCUUUUGCUUGAUCAUUUUCCACAAGCAACCGUCCACGUACCCCAAUAAUUUAAAAGGGCUGAUGAUCUUUAAUUUGGUGAAAGCUUCUAUCUACCUACCGUGCUAUAUAUGAGCUAUGCAAUCGUGACCGUGUUACAUGACGUCCCAAUGUCGUAGGGAUAAAAAAAUAAUAGUCAUGGUUUUCUUAUUAAUGUCAAUACAUUCAUAGCAAAGAGCUUGUAGCUCUAGUGGUUAAGAGCAAUUACCCAUGCACUUGAGAUAUUUUGUGUUUAAAUCCCCUCUUCCCCAAUAUUUCUUGUAUAAAAAUAAAAAUAACAAUAAUAAUGACAUUAAUGUUGUAUUCUAUAAAGUGUUGGACAUGUUUUAUACCCCUUUCUUGCAAAUUACAGUUUGCCACGUGUACAAAAAUAAUAGAUAAGUGUUGGACAUCAAGAGCACUUACAUAUAGGUUUAAUAGGUAAGUUUUGAAUAUUUCUGUAUUUAGCUUUAAAUAUUGAAAAUCAACCUAUUAGCAUAUUAAAGAUUUGUCCAUAUUCGACGUACAUUCUCUUAUUUUUCUCUCAUUGAAGUAAAUACAAAACUAAGCACAUAGUGGGAAAGUGCGUCACGAUUAGGGGUGGGUUUAGUCUAGGUUGGUUCAUUUUUGGGCUCAAUUUGAACACCGAACUGUAAGCUUCGGUUUGGCUAUUUUGGAAACCGAAACCAAACCAUAAUUGAUGAAAACCGACCACUUCGAUUACCUUCUGGUCUUCCAACCAGAAGAAAACUCAAAACUUUAACCAUACCAAGUGCAACAGAAUUACACCAGGCUGGAUUCAAGUUUAUGAUGGUUAAAGAUAAAAACUUAUUUGACAUACAAUUUGAGAAUGGAAUCCUCAAAAUUCCACACCUGCGAAUACGGGGUUUAACAGAAAUUUUCUUCCGCAAUCUUAUUGCCUAUGAGCAGUGUGAGCUUCAUGAUCAUUACAUCAACGACUAUGUCUUCAUCAUGGACCGCCUGGUCGACAGUGCCAGGGAUGUGGAAUUGCUUGUGAAGAGUGGAAUUCUUGAAUCUAUGCUACCGGACAGCGAGGCAGCAGGGGAAUUUAUUAAUUCUCUUGACUUGGGGCCUAUUUUAGGCAAGCUUGAAACAAGACUAUUUCAGUUCACCAUGGGCUGGCCUGUCUAUUAUUGUAGCCGCUAUACUAGUUGUGCUCACAUUUAUUCAAACAGUGUGCUCCGUAAUGGCGCUGUAGGUUCUUCAUUUCCUCAAUUUCAUGUUUAGUGGUUGCAGAUUUGUUGCUCAUGUACGUGUUUAUCUAAAGUUAAAUAAGAGUGAUUGACUGGAUUGACUGUUAGUCUGUUAGUUUGUUUUUCUGGGGUUUUUCCCCCCUGUUCGUCAAAAAAAAAAAUAAAAGAGUGAUGGCUUGUGCCUAUGAAAAUUACUUAGGAGUAUGCUCCACAGAGCCAAAAUAAAUAAACUAGGGAAGUGGAGGUUCUUCUGUUUGUAUAUAAAUGAGCAAUUCAAACUCUCAGUGCCAAGGGAGUUACCCUUGAUACAUUUGUUAAAAAUUAUAUAUUUGGUCUUACAUCAAACAAAUAAUUUGAAGGGCUUUUUUGACAACUGCUGACAGCGUUUGGCAGAAAAGUUUAGAAGCGCUUCUACGCUUCUAGAUCAUAAAAGUGCUUUACCAAAAAGCACUUAGAUUUCUUAUGAAAAUUUCAACAUUUUUAUAAUAAAAGCGCUUGCUAGAAGCACUUAUAAGCAGAAGUGCUUCAUAGAGAAGCAGUCCCAAACGAGCUUGAUUUUCAAAUGUGCUGCUUAAGAAGAAAUUUAAUACGUUUUGAAAACAAAAAAAAAUACGAAAUUUAAUACGUUUGUUUUACAAAUUGUAUUAAUUGUUAUCAAUAAUACUUGUGCACACCCACAACAUACUUCUUUCUUUCUUUAUUUUCCUUCAGUACAGUUCUGCCUUUCUUUAAUUAUUUUUAACGAAUGCAAAGAGUUUGUCACAAAAUCAAGGAUUGAAAAAAAAAGAGAGUAAAUUAUGUGCUAGAGAAACUUUCCUGCAGAAAUUGAAGAACAACUCUAGUUUCUCUCUUUCGCCUUGUACUCCCGCACUGAGGUUAGUAUUGUUAUAAUGUGCAGAUUAUACGGUCACUCUUGUAUAAUGGCGAGAAGGCUCUAAUUAUAUUUUUGAACCUCUUUGACAGGACCCGCCCCGAAUUUCCCGAAACCCAAGACGAAUUCUGUGGAAAUUCCCUACAUCACCCCGAUGUUGGGCCCACUUCUAAAACUAUAUCAUUUUUCCUAAAAAGGAAUAAGGGCACGAGACUUUCUACCGAAAUUUCGGCAGAGUCUCUCCUGUAAAUUGAACAUUUCCCAAAAUUUCAACCUGCAUAAAACACAUUUUAUAUUACCCAACUGGCAGCAUGCACAAAAUAAUAACAUGCAAUUCACAUAAACGGCCUCUGGCCCUCCGGUAAUUCAGAGCAAUGCAAACUAGCAACUCUAAACCUAAUAAAACAACAUAAGUAACAUUUAGCCAGCGGCUGCACCCAGGCACUACCCUAGGCUACCUACGUACCCUUACUAAGGGAUCAAGCCACACGUAGUUCUUUCAUACAAAAUUUCCAAAUCCAUCAACAUGCAAUCAAUUACAGAAUCCCAAACAAAAUCUUUCUCAAACAUCAUUAGUUCCCAACUCAGUAUAAUAAUCCUUAAUUCAUCUCUGUAAUAAUCACAAUAUCUCCCCAUACGCCGGAACUACCAACACCACGUAUGGAGCCUGCCUGUACGCCAGAUAACCAACGACACGUGGGACCUCAUCAUCAUAUCACAUAAUCUCCCCAUACGCCGAAACUACCAACACCACGUAUGGGGUCUGUCAACACGCCGGAUAACCUACGACGUGUGACCUCAACAUCAAAUCACAAUAUCUCCCCAUACACCGGAACUACCUACGCCACGUAUGGGGUCUGUCCACAUGCCGGAUAACCUACGACACGUGGGACCUCAUCAUCAUAUCACAUAAUAUAUUAACGAUCAAGAAAUAUCACUACGGUCAUUUAAUCCUCCUGGGAAGGUAAAACUAUCUCAGGAGACUCACGGUCAACCAAGGGUCAAACUACCUCAUACUUGGACAAACGAGCCCACGGAGCCCACAACCUCCGUUUUACUAUCCAAGAGUUCCUAUAGGUUCUACAAGGUUUAGGAUACACGGCUUGCAAGUUUGGUCAAGAUCAGACGGUCGGAUCGCUCACGAUAGGACGGUUACUGCAAACCUAGCCCUAGGGUUGGCAUUUUCGGAGUAUCCGAAACUCCGUUUUACGAUCUGUCGAAUCAUAGACGAUCCUAAGGAUUUGCAGACUAACUAUAAUAAAUUCAAGACCAUCCAACGGUCUAAACCUAUCGAACCCGGAUAACGCGCAAUAGGCAAUAUCCAAAUUGAAAUCCGAGCACACCUACGCACUCGUGAGGACUAGGAGAUUACAUCGGGACAUAGUGCCCUUUUUCUACAGUGCCCAUGAGCCGCCGCACGCACCAGCAACGCGUGGGUGCCCAAAGCGAUUAUGCAUCGCCAAAAAAUCUCAAAACCACGGCUCAAGACUCCUACCCUAGGUAUAACACCCUAUUUGGAACCACUUUUGUUCUUGGACCUACCCCAAAAACUGAUCAGAAGUGGCCGGAAUGGCUGAAAUGUAAUUCAAAAAUCAAGCUACCAACGCUCAAAAUCGAUGCAAUCCUACCCAACCAUCAACUAGAUUAUGAAGAAUGGAUAAAUUUCCAUACCUUGAUCGCCAACAAUGGCGGCCGGAGGAGAGAGAUCUGAUCCGGCGAAGUUCGAGUGAAAACGGCCAAAAAUCAUCUUUUUCAGGCGGCUGGAGGGCGACCGAUGUCAGGGAAGGGCAGGGUCGUGACGCUAAGGCUGAGCCUGUCCUUUUGGCACCGGUCCCUUCCGCAGCCGUGUCCGGUGGCUGGAGUUUCGAAGAGAGAGAGAGAGAGAGAGAGAGAGAGAGAGAGAGAAAUCUGAUUUUUAUCAAACCUUUUUGCCAAAAUUACGGUUAUGCCACUGAGGGUAUUUUGAUAGUAUCUCUCUCGUUACAACUUCGAUUCGAGCCCACCACGUGUGUACGGACUCAUCUAACUGUGUUGUACGCAACGGUAUAGUCGAAAUUCCCAAAUUAUUUCCUUGUCAAAAAGUCAACUUUAAACAUUAUAAAAUAUUUUAGGGAAAAAAUGGUAUUUUCUCUCAAUAAAUUAGUAACUAAUUUAUUUAGGACUGGGUCAUUAUACUCUUUUUCGCUUCAAUGGAUGGGAAAAAAUUUUAUGUAAUAUCCCACAUCGACCAACGAAGAGGGGGCGAUGUGUCUUAUAUGUACAUGCCCGCCUCCAUCUAGCAUAAGGCCUUUUGGAAGCUCACUGGCUUCAGAGUCAUGGGAACUCCGAAGUUAAGCGAGUUGGGGGCUAGAGCAAUCCCAGGAUGAGUAACCCACUGGGAAGUUGCUCGUGAGCUUCGAGAAACAAAACCGUGAGGGCAGAGAGAGGGGCCCAAAGCGGACAAUAAGGCCUCGUGCUAGAUGGAGGCGGGCAUGUACAUAUAAGGCACAUCACUCUCUCUCCGUUGGUCGAUGUGGAAUGUUAGAAUGGAAUUGUUACCUUUGGUGUGGAGGUGUUCUAUCAUUUGAGCAAGAAAUUCCCACAUAUUCUUCAACUAUUUUUCAAGCAUGCAUAUUCCUCCCUAUCAAUCUUUGGUUUCUUCCUUUACUGUGCAUAGUAAGGAUCCAGUCAGGGACGGACCGUCGCUAUGACUAUCCUGGGCUAUAGCCCAGGCAAAUUAUUUUUUUUUCUAGUCUAAAAUAGCAAUCCCACCGCUUGCUGUAGUACUUGUUCAGUUCGUCACAAACAUGAGCAUAAUAGAAGUUAUCAACAUCUAUAUAGGAACCCCAAUGAAAAGGCUGUUAACUAAUAAUGAAGUUAACCCGUCAAUUUUUCCGCAUAUCAGAUAUCUCUCAGAAUAUGCGAUUCCAUAUUCAAUAAGCCACUCCACAUGCCCUGAGGUUUUCAUCAAACCACCCAUUAAGGAAACAUACUGACUCAUGUAAUUAUCAUUACUCAUCGGGUAAUGCAAUUGUUCAAAGGCAAGGACAUUUCUCAUUAUUUAUGUAGCGAACCCCAAUGGAAAUGGUGGGAUCUUCAGAACCCCAUCGGUGCUACUGAAUUGUAUGUCAAAUAUGUUUUCACCUUGUCACGCCUCAAACUUGACUCCAGCGUGCUGUAAUUCUGUCAAGCUGGGUAUGGAUGAUGGGAGUUUGAUGCAGGAGCAUAGGGGUGGAUCAAGAUAGAUAUUUACUAUUUAAUUAGUUAUUUCAUGAUAUAUUGUUAUUUUCUUAUUUAGGUAGUUUUAUGAUAUCUUUUAUUAUUUAUGUGUGAUUUUAUAAUUAAUUAGUAUACUUUUGGACCAAGUAGCCUUGGUGCUCAAGUCUUGUAAAGCCUAUAAAUAAGGCUAAUGUAAUAGUUGUAGAAUAGAUGUCGAUGAUUAAUAAAAUCGUUUAUUUGUGGCAUGGAUUUGCUACGAUAUAUGUGAGUUUGCACUAGCCCUAGAUUUCAGUGCUCGUGUAUGUGGUUGGUGACCUGUGUCCGGAUCCCGAUCCCCAUCAAUUGGUAUCAGAGCUAUGGCUCAAGAUCUGCUAUAUCGGGGAGGUUUUUGGAUGGAGGGUCGUUUUAACAACUACAACGACAUGGAGGAAAUUAGGAGGAUGCUACGGCAACUUAUGGAACACAUUGCUCGCAUUGAAGCUCGAACCCAGAUAGGUAAGAGUUCUGACGGGGAGGGAUGUGUGAACCCUUAUCUGAACCGAGUAGCUCGCAUCGACACUCUAAGCCGUGAGAGUCUCGACGGGGAGUACGAGGGAGAUAGCCCUUUUCAUUAUUGUGCUCCGCUGUGUGAGUCAAGUGAAGAGGGGCACGGUUAUUCUCAUUGUGUCUUUGAAGGUAUAAAUGAAUUUAGUAAUUUUGGUGCAUCUUGUUAUUCAUCAAAGUUAUUAAAUUUGGAUUUACCUCCAUUAUUUGAUCCUUGCAAUUGUGAAAAUUGCAAUAAAAAUUGUUUGGGUGUUCAAAGCAAUUUUGAUAAGCAAUUUAUUGACCAGAACAGUGAAGAGAUGAGAAUUGAGAAAACUUUCGAAGAUAUUAUUGAUUUUAUGGGCAUUAAUAUUUUCACUUGGAAGGUUGCCAAAAAUCUGGUUGAUUUUGUCAAUCGGUUGAAGAUUCUAGAGAGAAACAUUUGCAUUGCUAGAGGGAGUAAGAAGUCAAGAAUAACGAAAUAUUCCAAAUAUCUUUUUAUUUGGAAAGGAAGGUUUCAAUUGGAUGCUAAAAGAUCCAAAAUUAAUAUGCAGCAAUUGAAGAUUCUACUCGGAUUUUCCUUAAUCAAAGGCUUGAAUUCGAGGACGAAUUCUUUCCAACUAUGGGAGUCUGAUGCAGGAGCAUAGGGGUGGAUCAAGAUAGAUAUUUACUAUUUAAUUUGUUAUUUCAUGAUAUAUUGUUAUUUUCUUAUUUAGGUAGUUUUAUGAUAUCUUUUAUUAUUUAUGUGUGAUUUUAUAAUUAAUUAGUUUACUUUUGGACCAAGUAGCCUUGGUGCUCAAGUCUUGUAAAGCCUAUAAAUAAGGCUAAUGUAAUAGUUGUAGAAUAGAUGUCGAUGAUUAAUAAAAUCGUUUAUUUGUGGCAUGGAUUUGCUACAAUAUAUGUGAGUUUGCACUAACCCUUGAUUUCGGUGCUCGUGUAUGUGGUUGGUGACCUGUGUCCGGAUCCCGAUCCCCAUCAGAGUUCCCCUCCAGCUUUUGAUUCCAACGGUUGAUAGAGUUUAAAUAUUUUCCUGAAAAGAUCAAUAAUAUGUGCCACUGAUCUAAAAGUCUCCAAAUUGUCUUCCAAUUUGUCAACAGGCAAUAGAUGUUCGAAGAAACUGAAAGAAAUACAAAUUAUUGAAAGCCCCUCAGUAAUGCUGUUAUUGUCAGCAUUAGCAGGGAGUGUAAUUUUCUGUGGGUCGAAAAGAUCCUCGAGAAUGAAGAAUGGCAACUGAUUUUCAAGCAACCACGUAUCUGUCCAUGCAUCUUGCAACAUACCUGGUUUGUCAAAUAUGCGGUCAUUUUCGUCCCAAAAUUUGAAGUAGUCCUUCAAUAAGGGCUCAAUAACGAAGGCGGCGCCCACUAGAAUGAUUGUUACAAAUUCAUCACUGCUAAACUUGAUGGGUUCUCCAUAACAACGUCUCAAUCUUGCUUCGUGGUCCUUUAUUUUCUUAAUAUAAUCCUCCAAACUCACAUUGGUCCGACCUAUAAAAUCUUGCAGGUAUCUCUGUUUGUUCUCUUCCAAUACGACAUUCAAGCCUUCCUUUCCAUGGUGAAGUGGACCUAUAGAGACCGACUGCCUGAGGUGUGCAGAGCUUUUCAUUCACACAUACGUAGAUAAAAUGUCUGGGGGCUCAGAGAGUGAUGAAUGUGCAACAGCUAAUGGGAGGGUUUAUAUUCCUGAAGUAAGAAAUGAGGAAACACCAGCAGUUGGGAUGAAGUUUGACUCGCUUGACCUCGUUUACAAUUUCUAUAAUAGAUAUGCAUUCUUGGCUGGCUUUGGUAUUCGACUUCAUUCUAGCUUUUGGGGGAAAAAUAAGAAAGAGAUUUUGAGGAAAGAAUUUGUAUGUUGCAAACAAGGUGCAUACAAGAAGGAUGAAACUCGGGAGAGAAAAAGACAACGGGGAAUAAGUAGAUGCAAUUGCAAAGCAAAGAUUGUGGUUGUGAAGACAAAUGGGAGCAAGAAGUAUACCAUUUCUCUUUUUGCAGAGGGACACAAUCAUAAGAUGACACCCUCAGAAAGAAUGCAUUUAUUGAGAUCACACCGUCAUAUUUCAGAUUCUACAAAAGUACUCACAAAACAGUUGGGUUCAGUUAAUAUUCCCAUUCAUCAGAAGGUAAGUAUAUUCGAGGUGCAAUCCGGAGGAAUGGAUAAAAUCGGUUUUAUCAAAAAAGAUAUCUACAAUCUUGAAUGUAGUGUGAAUGGGAAGCUGAGGAACCACGAUGUUGAACUAGUGACCGAGUAUUUUAUGGCUGAACAGAAAAAAAAUGAGGCUUUUUAUUUCAAGAUUGAGGGAGAUGGGCAUGACAGGUUUAGUCGAUGUUUUUGGGCAGAUGCAACUUCUAGACGGGCGUAUGGGUUUUAUGGAGAUGUUGUUGUAUUCGAUACCACAUUCAACACGAAUCGAUACGACUUGACAUUUGCACCAAUGUUGGGAGUUAAUAACCAUGGUCAGACAAUUGUCUUAGCAUGCGCAUUUUUGAGCAAGGAAACGACUGAGUCGUUUGUUUGGAUGUUUGAGGAGUUUAAGAAAGCCAUGCCAGGUGGGGAACCUAAAACGAUCAUUACAGAUCAAGAUGCGGCAAUGGCCAUAGCGAUUUCAAUAGCCUUCCCGAGUACAUUUCAUCGACUUUGCAUAUGGCACAUCACAUCAAAGUUCUCUGUUAAGUUACCACGUGACGCUUAUAAGGAGUAUUGGCCUGAAUUUCAGAAAGCCAUAUGGGAUACUGACAAUAAGGAUGAGUUUGAUGCAAAAUGGAAUAUUGUGGUUAUAAAGGCUGGUUUGACUGACCAUCCAUGGCUAAGUUCAAUGUUUGAUUUAAGGGAAUCUUGGGUUCCAGCCUACGCACGACAAUUUUUUGCCGCUGGAAUGUCAAGCAGCCAAAGAGCGGAAGGUUCUCAUGGUUUUUUCAAGCAAUACAUAUCAAGGAGAAAUUCGUUGAUGGAUUUCAUAAUACGAUUUGAGAGGGCAUUUUCUCAUCAACGUGAAAAAGAGUUAGUUGCUGAUCACGUAGAUGCAUUUGAAGUGGCUCAAUGUCUUCUACCGAUGCCAAUGAACAAACAAAUGGCUACCUUGUACACAAGGACAAUGUUUCAAAAGUUUGAGCAAGAACUAAUACAAAGUACAGCAUGUUUCCUAGAGCUCAAAACAGAGGAUGCAUGUAAAGUUGUGUUCAACGUGAGCGAAAGGAAAAAUUGGGAAACAAGAGUGGCAGAAGUCGUAUAUGUCAAAGAUUCUGACCACGCAUCGUGUAGCUGCAAAAGAUUUGAAUUUGUUGGAAUUAUUUGCAAGCACAUCCUAGCAUUGUUCAGAAGGGACCAGAUUGAAUAUAUGCCCGAUAAAUAUAUUUUGAAGAGGUGGAAGAAAACUGCGAAAUGUGGAUUGGUGUCAGAUGCAAAUGGCAACGAAAUUAAAGACUGUGCAGAUCCUGGCCUUCUAAUAAAGCGGAGUACAAUGUCUCGACUUGCUUCAAAUGUGGUUGAGGAUGCAUUAAUGAGUGAAGAAGGAUGUGAGCUACUGUCAGAGACUCUAAAAAGUUUGCAGGUGAAGUUGAAGUUGCUGAAGGAUGGACCAAGUAAUAACGAAGUUGGAGGGUCCAGCUCUCAAACACAAUAUAUGAAAGACCCUAAGAGAGUGAGGUGCAAAGGAAGGUCGAAAGGAAUAACGGGAGCAAAGGAAAAGGCAAUGAAGCGAGGGAUUAGACACUGUCGGGAGUGUGGACACAUUGGUCAUGAUAGAAGACAAUGCCCAGCCUUGAACACACCGUAAGAUGCUACCACUAUUUGUAAUAAUAUCUAAAAUAUGAAAAGGUAAAAUUUUUAUGUGCUUGUGUUUGAUGUUUAUGCAGGACAUCACCGUCGAACAAUGACAAAUCAACUCCAAUACAUCGUAGUGACCCAUUAUUCGACGAUUUUGACAAGAUGCACAGACCAACUGAAUGAUUGAUAUUUGUAUUAGACGAAAUGUGGUUGUUAUGAAGAUUAAUGAUCAAGUGAAGUUUUAUAGAUUCAGUUUUUGAAUGUUAUUGUGUUUUUGUUCAUGUCCACCGAUGAGCUCUUACUAUGUCCACUGGUAAUUGAAAUGAAAAUUUUCUUGGUUUCAUUCUUCCAAGACAUUUGGAGACAUGUUAAUUUUACGUCUUCUCCCUAUUUAUAAAUUUUCAUAGACAUUUGAUCAAGUUUGAAAUUUGUAGUUAUGUGAAGAAGCAAUGACUCUUACCAUGUAAAAUGGGCAGUUUAGGGUGAAAUUUGUUUUAACAGAGAUUCAUUUUUCAAUUCCUCAGGGUAAUGCAGCAAUUACAGCAGCCAGCUGUUGUUUCCAUUACCAGUAAUCAUUUCCAGCAGCAGCCACUUUUUCCGACUGGUUAUUAGGGGCACGAUUUUGUACACUUUUGUAAGUGAAGGAUACUCGAAGCACUUUGUUGGAACAGAGCAAAUAGAAACCAGCGGGUAAAAAAAAAACAUAACAUUGCAGCUAAUUACAUUUCGAUACAUAGGUGAAAAAUAUUAAAGGGUACACUAACUUACAUAAAUACUCAUAAUUCCACACACAAAAGAACAUUUGAUUGCAAAACAUAUUAUGUGCUUCCUCAUAGCAAUACCACGAUCUCCCCAACCAACUGAACAACGGUAGCCACAAUCACUGGGUCGUACUCGUCAGCUUCUUCUUAGCAGGUCUCACAUGCUUAUGGCCACUCAUAUCCCUAGUGAUAUACACGAAAUAAAUCUUCAGCAAUAUUUGGAAUUUUAUUAUAUAUAAAUAAACCAUAAACCAUUCAGUAAACAAUGUAUAGCACAUGUUAUGUAACUUAUGACUCACGUGUCAGUUUUUUUUUUAACACAUUAGUACUCCAGCUCUUUAAUGUAAAUGGACAUGAUAAGGAGCAUUUACUGAUUCCCGGCUUUCUAUGAUAUUGACUGCUUCUUGAAUAAUAUUUCCAUAUUUGCAAAAUAUAAUGUUAGACAUUAUAACACAUGAUGACUUGCAAUACAUAGUCCCAAUAAUUAUAUAUCAAGCAAAUGAAACUGAUAUUUGUGUUAUUUUAAGUUAGAUAAUGACAUUAAGGGAGUAUAUGUGCAAUACCACGGUCACCCUCAACCAACUGAACAGCGGUAGCCGCAAUCACUUAGUCGUAUCGGUCGGCUUCUUCCGAGCAGCUUUGACGUGCUUAUGCUCAUUCAUGUCACCCCCAUCGUCUAGUAUCUCUCUCACAGCAUCAGGGGACACAUAGUUCCAAUCAUAACUUGUAUGAGUAGUUGCCGCAAAUGCUCGGAAUUUGUCGAAUCCUUCGUUGAAUGCCAACUCCAGUUCAGUAUGGUGCUCUUCGCAUCGCAUAUGGUUCAUCAAACAACCUUUGAUUUCAUCAUUCAUUACUGUAUCCAACUCCUCAGCUUUCAGCUUCCUGCUAUGACUCAGCUUCAAGUACUUGUUCUUUUGGGAUAACGCUUUGUUCACCCUAAUGUUAAGAUCAGCCAAAAUUGCCUCGUCUUCAACACAUUUCUCGUGCCAUGAAUUGAUCAGUCUGGAAUUAUAAUCCAGCUUGCCACUGACUGCAUGUAUUGCCUGUAAUGGAUCAUCGGAGUCCCCCUCACUCCCAAAUGAUGUUGAAAAAGGAAGGGGUCGGCGAGUACAAUGUGGAAAUAGAACCUGCCACUCCAAUUUGUCAUCUUCGAUUGUGUUGUUGGCGCCUGAAGAGGUUGACAUGCUUGAAUAAUCCUCUUUGUUUUGGGAGGAUGAGGAUUGCAUAUGCAAUUUCGUUUGAGAAAGGGAACAUAGGUUUAUAGACCAACAUACCAAAGCUUGUGUGUAGUCAACAUAUGUACUUUUUGGCGGGAAUUUUUUAAAAAUAGGUGUUAGGUUUUGCUUUUCAAGCAUGUCAACCUCACACUCUCCUGACACCACUGCUAGUGGUUGAAACAAAGUCAAUGGAAGUGACAUCUACUUAGUUAACUCAACCAAACUAGUUAGGAUUAAACUUAGAUUGUAUCAGACCAAAAAAUAAUUUCUACUUUGUCAACCAAAUAUUUUUUGGCGGGAACCCUUUUCUUGGUAUUACUAUCACCCCUUUCAUAUAAAAUCUCCUUCCACACAAAACUCACUCCUCCACCGAAUCUGUCUCCAUCUACCGAUACUCUCUCAAGCAAACAAACUCAUUCCCCCCAAAGAAUGAGCAUAAGCACAACCAAGUUUGAUGUGAGCAUAAUAAACACCCCUCCAAACAAAGACCGGCUUCGACACGCAAGUGAGUCACCGGACAAGCAAUGUCACAUUGCUAGACAGAAUGACCAUUUUGUUGGAAGUUUUGAGUCUGAAAGAGUUGUUGCUUUUUGGAAGGAGAGGCAUCUUCAACUUGGUGAUGAAAUCCAAAGGGCAAGGGCACGUUUGGAAUUUGUGGAAGGCCAAAUUGAAGAUGACAAAAGGCAGGCCAAUCUGGAUAGGGCGAAGUUGUAGCGCAUGAAGCGUAGACACAAACGACUUCGGAGUGUAGCUGUUCAAAAAUACAAGAACUCAUCUAAUGUAGUGGAGUCAAAGAAGCGUGUGAUGCAAGCUGGAUUCGACUACUUCCGAUCCUAUGCAAAACUCGUCGUACCCGGGUUUGAUUGGUCAUCUAUUACCGUUUCCGACGUCACCAAAUAUACUCAGCAAGGGAAGUAACCAUUUUGGUUCUCGUGUUUUAGCAGAGGCAAAUAAGUGGAAUUGGAAUUUUGGUUACACUCUGCUUCAAAGCUAUUUUGAUGCUAACUACUAUGGAAGAUUUAAACCUUAAUAUUUUGAUGUCUUUAAUUACGAAAACAGAAGAUGCAAAGAGCUCAUCUACUUCAGCCAUAUGUUGCUGCCAUGUCCAUUUGUUUUUGAUCACUUAUCAGAUUUGGACAUGGUUGCAUCAUAUGCAAUGUUGCCUUUAUUUAUUAUAUGUUAGGACAAGGUUUAUGGAAAAGCUUUUGUGAGUGCGUUUGUGACAAGGUUAUGGAAUUAUUAUGUACACUUUAUAUAUUGUUUUUUGUACUGGUUCAUUUCCUACUAUUUCUUGCUUUCUUUAUAUUUUAUGUUUGUGGAAUCCCUCUCAAAGUUAACAUAUACUGUGAAAAAAAUAUUAUGCAACUGAUUAUAUAAUCACUCAUAUAGACUAGGACAAAUAUUCACUAAGGGUUUUAAACUUGCUUCACUUGUGUGAUGUUAUUGACAAAAAGUAUGGCAUUAUUUAUGUGAUUUGACAUGAUUGAAAAUAUAUUACUGAUUCCCAAUGCGGCGUCAUAUGGACAACGUAUUGAAUACCUGUGACGUGUUAAUAACUCAAGGUGCAGUUGCAUGUGGACAACUUCUUGAAUACCUCUGACGUGUUGAAAACUCUAGGUGCAGUUGCAUGUGGACAACUUAUUGAAUACGAACUGACGUCUUCAAAGCUCUAGGCGUAGUUGCAAUGAUGGCUUCAAAGCAUGUGCAAUUAUUUUUUAUGUACAUUAUUAUAACAAAACAUAUUAUUGUAUAUAGUGAAACUAAAUAUUGUAUUAUUAGAAAUUAUAUUUCGAAUAUUAUCCGAAAUAUACGUGUUAACGUGAAUUUGGGUUAAGAGGAAAGUGAGUUAUGUACAAAUAAUUUUCAUUUUCUCAUUUUCCGGGCAUUUUUUGGAUUUUCGUAGAAUUUAUUACCUAUGUCCACAGAUUGUUGCACUAAAAAAGCCAAAAUAAUAGCAAGAGGACACCUGGAGCGAUCUCAGCCCGUCACUGAUGACUACUUGCACAAGUGUACGUCAGUCAACAUGGCCACACCCUCCCAUUUUACCCUAAAUUAUUAUUUUAUUACUUUUCCUUACAAAAAUCAGAACUAAUUACACACAAAAUAAAAAAAUUAUCCGAAAAUUGCUACGAACUCAUUGACACUCCAUCUCCGUUGCUGAAUUCUCCGAUUCAUUGUUACGUAUUUGUAAAAUUAAUUCCCAACAUUAACGGGAGAUGCUUGUUGAAGUAGGUUAUUCAAGUUGAAGUUAACAAACAUCAAUACUUAGGGUUAAGAGGAAAGUGAGUUAUGUAACACAAUUUGGAUUAUUUCAUUGCGAGACGAAUGAUUUAUAGGUUCUCCUAGUUUUAUGACGUCACAAGUAGGCCGGAGUAAUUUUUGGGGCAUUUUUACGAUUUUCCUACUAUUUUUUACCUAGUUUCAAAGAUUUUUGAACAAAAGAAUCCAAAAUGUAAAAGAAGAUGACACCUGGCGCGAUCUCAGCCCGUCACUUUUCACUACUUGCACAAGUGUACGUCAGUCAACAUGGCCACAUCCUCUCAUUUUACCCUAAAUUAUUAUUUUAUUACGUUUUGUCUUGGAAAAUUCAUAACUAAAUACACAAAAAUUCAAAAUUAUUUCUGAAAAUUGCUACGAACUCAUUGACACUCCAUCUCCGUUGCUGAAUUCUCCGAUUCAUUGUUACGCAUUUUUAAAAUUAAUUCCCAACAUUAACGGGAGAUGCUUGUUGAAGUAGGUUAUUCAAGUUGAAGUUAACAAACAUCAAUACUUAGGGUUAAGAGGAAAGUGAGUUAUGUAACACAAUUUGGAUUAUUUCAUUGUGAGACGAAUGAUUUAUAGGUUCUCCUAGUUUUAUGACGUCACAAGUAGGCCGGAGUAAUUUUUGGGCCAUUUUUACGAUUUUCCUACUAUUUAUUACCUAGUUUCAAAGAUUUUUGAACAAAAGAAUCCAAAAUUAACAAGAAUAUGACACCUGGCGCGAUCUCAGCCAGUCACUUUUGACUACUUGCACAAGUGUACGUUACCGAACAUGGCCACAUCCUCCCAUUUUACCCUAAAUUAUUAUUUUAUUACCUUUUUUCUUGGAAAAUUCAUAACUAAAUACACAAAAAUUAGAAAAACGAUCCGAAAAUUUCUACGAACUUAUUGCGAUUUCAUCUUCCUACUGCAUUCCCUGUUUAAUGGUUAUGCUACAUUAGUAUUUUAUUAUUAUUUAUCCACAAUUAUUAUAAUUAUUAUGAUAUUACUUUUUAGGCUGUCCAUUUGUUAAUUAUACCACAUCCAACUUGUUGAAAACAAUUUUAUUUUCCGUGCGAAUAGGCCAUUUGUAGUGCUUAUCGGUUUCUCUGUUCUUCAAUUUGUUAAUUUUUUUAUUUUUUAGGUUGAAGGGAUGUUUUGAAACAUAAUAUGGAAAUAUACAAGUCAUCCAUUGUACUCCUUCCACACAAAAAAAUAGUCUACGUCAUUCACUGUUCAACACCCUAGGUUAAGACACGUGUAACCAAAUCCGUUCGGAUAUGCUAAGUGGGAAAAUGUCAUUCCCAAGCACUGGUGAAAAGACACUUAUUUACUCCAUGCAUGACUUUUGGUUUACCAAAUAUGAAGAUUGGGGUCGGUGAGCAAAAUAUCUGUGUCAGUAAAAUGUCAUUCCUAGCCAUCUAUGAUGUAAGUAAUAAUUCCGCUAUAUAAUAAAUAUUAUACAUUUAUAUAUAAAACGGUUUAUGACAAAAUACCAACAUUUGAACAACAUUUAAACUGAGAUAGGUAUAACGUAGCCAGCCAACCUAGAAGUGAAGAGAAGCAAGUCCACAAUGCAUCAAAACUGUAAAUUCGUACUAAAACUAAUGCAAAAAUACGUGAUUCCCUCGCACAACUUACUCACGCAGGAUUUUGCACCAAAAAAUACUCUCACGGUGCCAUUUGCAUCGGUUGCAGCAAGUCCAAAACGCAGGAUUUAUCUUGUCUUCACUAGGCCACCCUGGAAUAACAAAAUACCAUUCAUUGUUGUUACAAGCGCUGCACCGAUUGAACUUAAUCUUCCCAUAGUCAAACAUAUCUACGAUAUGUCUUGCAACAAAUGCUCCGCGACAUCUUCCUGUUAAAGCAUCCCUGGUUCCUUUCAUAUCAAUGUUGUUACGUUGAUUCAAAGAACACAAGAAUUGUAAUGCAUCCUCUUUUGACUGACCAAUUCCGGACAUACCAAGUAGUCCAACUACAUAUGCCGCUUCCAUAUGGCCUGCCGUGGCUGCAAUGCGCAUCCCAUACAACGCUUCCACCUUACCGUCUGUGAAAAAACCUUCGAAUGCUUCUCUAAAUAUGGACUCAGGGUUAUCGCAAGCCCUGCAUUGUUGCAAGAAAUGCUGGACUGCAGGUUUGGCACGGUAGCAGAUAGGAUGGUGUGGGUACUUUGCCAUUGAAAUGGUGUUCCACACUUGUGGACUGUUUGCCAAAAUGUUGAACAAUCGGCACACACAUGCCAUACGGAAGAGAUCUUCCGAUGAUUCGGUUGCCACGUAUAACAUCACUUGAAACCAAGCGGACUCCGGGAUAAAGGCUUCGGGCAUAUCGAAAUGGAGAUGCUUCCUUCUCUUUCCUCCGACUGUAGUGAAGUGUUUCGAAUUCAUUGAAAAGUUUUUGGAAUGGAACGAUUUGAGGAGUGGCAGAGGGGAUAAAUGAUAAUAUUUGGGGUACACGUUCUACUUCCGAGCCUCUGUUUAUAGUGUUUUGAAAAGGUGUUUCCAGUUGGGGUUUUUCCAAGUUGACCCUUUUGAAAGAAACUGAAUCCAAGUGAAUUAAAACUUAAGACAAAAGAAGGGAAAACGUCAUAACGGUGCAUACAGAGUCAGACAGUUAAAAAGUUAAUUAAAUGGCUAUUUGCAUAGCCAUUUUUGGGUUUAUCCCACUAUCAAAUUCAUUGAUACAAAUGUGAUGGAUUACUGACUAGUGACAGAAGGUCCCAUCAUAUACUUUUUCAUUUUCGCACACCCAACUAUCCCUAGUAAUGUUAUUAAAAUGGAACCAAUAAUGACGGAUUCUUAUCCAACUAGUUGCCUUAAUGAAAUAUAAAUAAAUUAAUAAAAUUGAAGCAGUGUCCCGUCAUUAGUCAGAAAAUAUAUUUGGUAGUGAAGUAGUUUCUAUUGCUUUUCGGGCUAAAAGAUGUCACAAUGCUGACGGUACAGGUGUCGACAUCGUGACCAACCCACCAAAUGAUCCCAAAAAAAAGUAAUAUAACUCGAUUUGGGCAGAGAUGAGAGAGAGCUGAGUGACAAGUUUAGGGUUAUGAGUGAAGGGGUAUGAAUGACAACUAUGAGUGAGAAGGUAUGAGUCCGAAGAGGUUUCAGUGAGAAGAUUUGAGUGAGAAGAGGUACAACUGAGAAGAUUCAACAUGUCUUCGUCUUCAUCUCCUGCUCAAACAAAGAGGUGUCAGUAUUGUGGAGCUACAAUGGUGCUUCGGGUUUCAAAAUCUGAAAAAAAAUCGAGGGAAGCCAUUCUGGAAGUGUCUAACCUCCUAUGUAAGUUUUAAUUUAAAGAAUAUGUAUGUGGGUGAAAAAAAACCUAUGUCUAACUCUGACAGAAUUAUAUUCCAUAUAUGAUGCCUGCAAUUAGGGAGCCACCAGUUGCAAUGGAUUCGAAUGGGUUGAUGUAACCUCCGCUGAAGCAGAACAUCAAGAUGACACGUAUGAUGUUAGAGUGCUGAACAUGCUGAAGUCCAUUAAGGACUUGGUAUUAGUUUUAUUAGUUGUAUUAAUUGUCAUUUUAUUUGUUCUUUUAAUGAUCAUUUAACUGCACGGUUUAAAAGAUUGUGAAAGUUCUCUCGCACAAGACAUAUUGCACGCACCACCAAUGAGACCCUAAACCCAUUUUGUAAUAUUUGGUAACUGCAUGUAUUUCGCAUGUUAUUGAAUGUUUAUUGAAGGUUUAUUGAUAGUUUGCUGCAUGUAUAUGGAAUAUCAUUGCCCCAAAAUUGGAUGUUUAUUGGGGCCACAAGUAUCACUCAAGUAAGAAUGAAGGGGAGAAACGGACCUUAUUCUUUCUUAUAGUAGGAAGAACAACUGUUAAGUUUAAUAUCCUAUUCAAUACGACUUCCCUAUGGUUGGUGUACUUGGGGACUGAAGUAUAUUGCAUCAUUAUUGUGGGCAAGGGCAUGUCUAUUGUGUGUGUUAAGGGAGUAUUGUGUGGGCAAGGGCAUGUCUACUGUGUGUAUAUUGCAUGUCUACUGUGUGUAUAUUGCAUAUCUAUUCUCUGUAUAUGGCAGGCCAAGUUUGUGUAUAUUGUUUGUCUGUUGUGUGUGUAUUGCUUGUCGGUGCGUUUGUGAAUUGUGGUUCAUUUUGUGUAUAUUGUCUUUGUUUCUACUUUUAUGCUACUGAGCUGCGGAAAACCUCGCAUGUUUAGACACCUAUUAUGAUGCAACACAUUGCGAUUAAUGGUGGCUUGCAUCAACAAUGACAUAUCACUUUGCAAUGAUGUAAUACACUUAAAAAGCCGUCUUCAAAUCCCAAUUCACAUAUGCAGUCUUAAAAUUCUAAUUCAAUGCAGUUUGGUUAACAAACAUGUAAAUGUCAUGAAGGAGUUAGCGGUAGAAUUCGAUAAGGACCCGUACGUCUCUAUUGUGUAUUUACAUUAGUUUGAGAAUGGACAUUCCCAAAACCUUCUCAUGUACCAUUUGUCAUCUUCAACCAAUAUCAUGGGAAGUAAGCAUCUCCCCUUGUUAUCUCCGCAGCCAAUUUCAACCGAAAAAAAGGCAUGUUGUGCGAGGUGCAAGUAGCUAACGGAAGCUUAGCGCUGAAAAGCUCAAUGUACUUUAACACAAACAUGCCACAAUCGCCUCUGAAGCAAAACAAGAACUCGAUCAAUUCAACUAAUGACAUUCUAAUGUAAUUGACAAUUGAAAGUAAUAAAAUUAAAUUGCAAGUUGUGCUUACUCAUUAGACUGUUGUGGAACAUCCACACGCUCUAUUGGCCACGGACACCACCAAUCUCGGCUGCAAUUGUUUGCAUAAACACCUUCUUCAUAAAAGUCGAUGGUGUUGAGAAGAUUUGGAAGCGUAAUUGAUAGCGGGCCGAGUUCUUCCUUUACGAUGUCAUCUGGAAUUAGUGAAACCUUUGAAUCGUACACUUUGAUUCACACAAUACCAGAUCAAACANNNNNNNNNNNNNNNNNNNNNNNNNNNNNNNNNNNNNNNNNNNNNNNNNNNNNNNNNNNNNNNNNNNNNNNNNNNNNNNNNNNNNNNNNNNNNNNNNNNNNNNNNNNNNNNNNNNNNNNNNNNNNNNNNNNNNNNNNNNNNNNNNNNNNNNNNNNNNNNNNNNNNNNNNNNNNNNNNNNNNNNNNNNNNNNNNNNNNNNNNNNNNNNNNNNNNNNNNNNNNNNNNNNNNNNNNNNNNNNNNNNNNNNNNNNNNNNNNNNNNNNNNNNNNNNNNNNNNNNNNNNNNNNNNNNNNNNNNNNNNNNNNNNNNNNNNNNNNNNNNNNNNNNNNNNNNNNNNNNNNNNNNNNNNNNNNNNNNNNNNNNNNNNNNNNNNNNNNNNNNNNNNNNNNNNNNNNNNNNNNNNNNNNNNNNNNNNNNNNNNNNNNNNNNNNNNNNNNNNNNNNNNNNNNNNNNNNNNNNNNNNNNNNNNNNNNNNNNNNNNNNNNNNNNNNNNNNNNNNNNNNNNNNNNNNNNNNNNNNNNNNNNNNNNNNNNNNNNNNNNNNNNNNNNNNNNNNNNNNNNNNNNNNNNNNNNNNNNNNNNNNNNNNNNNNNNNNNNNNNNNNNNNNNNNNNNNNNNNNNNNNNNNNNNNNNNNNNNNNNNNNNNNNNNNNNNNNNNNNNNNNNNNNNNNNNNNNNNNNNNNNNNNNNNNNNNNNNNNNNNNNNNNNNNNNNNNNNNNNNNNNNNNNNNNNNNNNNNNNNNNNNNNNNNNNNNNNNNNNNNNNNNNNNNNNNNNNNNNNNNNNNNNNNNNNNNNNNNNNNNNNNNNNNNNNNNNNNNNNNNNNNNNNNNNNNNNNNNNNNNNNNNNNNNNNNNNNNNNNNNNNNNNNNNNNNNNNNNNNNNNNNNNNNNNNNNNNNNNNNNNNNNNNNNNNNNNNNNNNNNNNNNNNNNNNNNNNNNNNNNNNNNNNNNNNNNNNNNNNNNNNNNNNNNNNNNNNNNNNNNNNNNNNNNNNNNNNNNNNNNNNNNNNNNNNNNNNNNNNNNNNNNNNNNNNNNNNNNNNNNNNNNNNNNNNNNNNNNNNNNNNNNNNNNNNNNNNNNNNNNNNNNNNNNNNNNNNNNNNNNNNNNNNNNNNNNNNNNNNNNNNNNNNNNNNNNNNNNNNNNNNNNNNNNNNNNNNNNNNNNNNNNNNNNNNNNNNNNNNNNNNNNNNNNNNNNNNNNUUUUCCUCUCCCUCAUCUCUAUUAUUUGGCCCUUCACCCCCUUCAAUCCCUUCAUCUUCUUUUUCCUCUCCCUCAUUUCUGUUACUUGGCCCUUCAUCCCAUUGAAUGUCAUCCAUUUCCCCAUAUCCCUUAAAUAGAUGUGAGACGACACAACGAUUCGUCCUCUGUUUCAGUAAAGCUAGGUCCCUCCUUACUUCCUGCUCAAACUGAGGACCUAAACAUUGGUCCAAUAGUUUUUCCAUCCGUAUGACCUUUAAGUGAAGGACGUCUUUUUCCCGCUUUUCUUGAAACAACUCGGACCUCAACAAGCUUACCACCUUGUUCAACUCAUCAAGAUCACCACAUGAAGAAGGAAUUGACUCUGCCGAGACAACAGCAGGGCGAUCCUGUGGCCAACUCCAAUAUGGCUGUCUCAUUUCCUCUUCACUUAGACAUAGCGCCCGCAACUGAACUGACUGUUUCAGAAUACAGACAAGAGUCAUAUUAAAUCAUUCUACUUCAUAAUUUCAUUCAAUCUUAUCAAUAGUUCUAAGGGCUGCAAACCAAACCUCUUUGCUCUGGAAAAAAUAAUUGUUCAACUUUCUCAUCUCUGGAACAGACGUAGUAGUUCUCCAUCGCAAAAUACGCGGGACAGCGGUCGGAUCAACAACCUUGCAGUAAUUCAGGUCCGCCAUUCUAGGAAUUAAUUCAUAUACCCAAAUCUACACAAUUCACAGGACAAAAGUCAUUAUUUAUGUUUUAAAGAAAAACAAAACAUAACUGACAUGAACAUUAUUACCAUGUACCUGGAAAGCAUACGUGAAACCUUUAAAACUCCAGCCACUCCUUUGCGCUUCACUAUGCUUAUCCUUCUUGCCCUUCUCAUUUCUCCGGCUUGUUCCCGUUACCUUACUUUUCCCCUUCCCUCUUCCCUCUUCAUUUUCCAAGCUUUUCACAUACUUUGUUGGUGCAGAAAAUAGACUGUCUUGGGUUUUGUCAAAGGACACCGAACCCCACGGAUACCUGUUGAACGCAUCCAAGUCCUCUACAAGGGUCAGGUAAUUUAGAUUGAUGUUCAAAUGUUUGUCCCUUCCCAAAACCACUAACUCAGCAAAGUAAACAAGAGGUAGCUUGAAGAUGUCAUCUUCCUCUGUGCACCUCACAAAUGCUUCUUCUAAAGCAUUGCAUGUAAUUCCUUCGUCUAUAAAAUAUCUUUUCUGAAGUCUGAUUUCAUUACUCUCUCCACUGGAAACUUCAGGCACUUCCCCAAAACGAAGCCCUGUGAUCAAACAGAAAUCCUGACGAGUGAACUGAGCAACGUCACACCCUAAUAAGAAACUCAGUCCAUCCAAGUCUUUCACACCCUGCCCCGCUACUCUACGCAACACAACCCCAUGCACAAUCUGUCCGCUAAACUGAAUCUUAUCUAUAUUCAGAAGAUGGCCAAAGCAUGAUGUCUUGAAUUGUUCUAAUUGUUCCGCACUCAACUUCGCUCGAAUUGCAGCUAGAGAUGAAUUUGCAUGUGAGCAGUUGUUCACCCGUGAUGAAUAUACCUCUGCCUCUGGCCAUACCAGCUCCACGUUGGAUCCCAUUUCCUCAAAUACAAUGUGAAAUAACGUGAACAUAUAUACUACCACGUAUUUGCACAAUCACAACUAGUCAACCAGGCACAUUACAACUUUUACAAAGUACAUGAGCAUAUGGAUUACUCAUCACAGGCUUUAACAUCAUCAAAGCAAUAUGACAAUUUUUGUGCAAAUACCUGUUAAUGCAAUGAUUAUGUGAAUUACAAACAAUUUCACGUGUUUUAUUUAUGGAUCCAUACUCGUGUGAGUGCAAUGUAGGCAAGUUCUGCACUUCACACACAUGACAAUUAUUGUCAUCUCAUACACAACCCAAAAUAAAUAAAUAAGAAAUAUAGUGGAAGGAAGCAAAGCAAAGCAUGUACUCUGCUAUCUGCUUGCUAAGCAAUUGCCACAUCCUUCUUUCUUUCUACCUUUUUCUUCAGUCACCCACAAUCGUCAUAGAUCAACCUUCAUUUCAAAUGCUUUGCACUUUUAUUCAUGAGUUUAUUAUUAUCUGUUCUCAUUUCUCAUAGGCAAAUUUAGUAACAAAUGAAAUAAUAUUUAUUUCACAAAAUAUAUAAAUUCUAGUGCCAGAGAGGUACUCUUCACUCUGCACUGCUUCAAAUGUGGAAGGUUUUGAGAUGUUAUUGACAUGUGAUUGACUUUAUUUUCAUUCGUUUUUUAACAUAUACCCAAGCAAAAAUUAACAUGCAAUUGAAGCACAAAUAAGAGAUGCCAAAUCCAACAACAUUGAUGGUACAAAUUGGGGAAAACCAUUACUCUAACCCUAAACUCAAAUUCCUUACAUUACUCAUCAAAUGCUUUGCAGUUCUAUUCAUGAGUUUAUUAUUAUCUGUUCAAAUGUUUCUCAGGCAAAUUUAGUAACAAAGGAAAUCAUAUUUACUUCAUAAAAUAUAUAUAUAUAUAUAUAUAUUCUAGCGCCUCUUCUUAAUCUGCACUAUGCACUGCUUCAAAUGUGGAAGGUUUUGAGGGCCUCCUCCAAUUCAACACCAUUAUCUUAUUCAUAUCAUUAUUGACAUGUUAUUCACUUGUUAUUGACUUCAUUUUCAUUCUUUUUUUAACAUAUACCUAAGCAAAAAUUAACAUGCAACUGAAGCACAACGAAGAGAUGCCAAAUCCAACAAAAUUUAUGGUACAAAUUGGGGAAAACCAUUACUCUAACCCUAAACUCAAAUUCCAUAAAUUACUCACCAAAUGCUGGUUAUUGCAAGGUGUCUGUGUGGGGUCUUUCUGUUUCUUUGCUCCACAAAUGGAACCUACCACUUCCAACGAAUACAGCUUUUCCCCUUCCCCUUCCACUGCUUCGCCUCUUCACUGAUUUGGAAUCCACACCUUUGCCCCUUCUACUCCAAAUAAAUACUUUCUCGGGGUCUGGAGAACGGAGUGGCGAAUCGUUGCCUUCAACUGUCGUUAGCCGUUGCCUUCAUUGGGUAUCUCAGACCUCUGUGUUUUAGAGAGAUGAGUUCUUUCUGUUCAAACUUCGAACUUGCCUCUUCUUCUUCUUUUUCGGACGUGUUUCCCUCUUCUUCUUCUUUUUGGACGUGCUGGAUAUUCAAUUCGGGUUUGGGUUCCUUACCUACCCAAUUGUGAAACUUUAACUCAAUUCUCCCCAGCCCUUGGAUUAAUCUGAUGGCUAUAAAGUGAACCCCUUAUAACUUACCCCUUAUAACUUUCCACUCAUUAUAGUCUUGGCCAGGUAUGGCGGCCAUGCUAGUAAGUGUUGGGUCUUUGACCCAACUUAAGCUAAAUGGGUCAUAAGAUGACCGAUCAUCUUAUCUCAUAAGGAUAUAUAAGUCAUGUUAUGAUUUAGGAUUUUAUAGGGUUUCCUUUGUAAGAGGUAAGAGAGAAACAAGCUCUCUCUCUCUCUACACAAGGAGGUCAGCCAUAGCAAGGGAAAGGCUCCUAGCACUCUCCUCUCUCUUAUUAUAUCAUCCUUCCAAGGACAGCUUUGGUAUGGUAAAGUUGGAGGUUGCACACUUUGUGCACUUUGGUAAGAACUCAUCCAAGGGAGCCAAGAUUAAAUUGGUUAGCUGUUGGAUUAAAUUGGUUAGCACGAUUCAACGGUUAAUAGAUAAAACUUCACAUAAAAGUCAUAUAUAAGGCCCUCACUAUAGAAUGACUCGUUAGUUUAGUCUCUUGUUACAUAUCAAAUGUUAGAGAUAUUUUUUAAUAAGGAUCUGCCAUACCACAUAGUUGGAUAAGACAUUAUACACGGCUUUUGUAAGAGCAUCUCCAGCGCUCCAAACUAGCCCAAGCAGCAGGGGGGCCUAAGUCUAGGAAGCAGCUCCAGCUCGCAAGAUUCAACCCAGGCAAGGUGUGGAACCCACGAGGAGAUCUAGCCCGUCACCUUGCCUUUGGGUUUCAGUCAAGCUGAUGUCAACGAAAGAAUUUCAAAUUUUUUUUACCGUUACAAUGUACGCGCCAACGAUAAAUUUUCUUUGGAUUUCUUGCAUUGAUCCACAGCUACCAAAAACCAACAGCUACAAGCCACGUGGCUUCUCCAGGAGCCUCCGAUCCAAAAAUCAUGUCAAAUCUAACGGCAGUCCAUUUUUUGGCUAAAAAUAUCAAAAAAUUAUGGAAACAUGUUCUAUAAAUUCCUACAAAUAUUAUUCACUUCCCACACCAAAUCUUCAUACAAAUUCAUAUCCUUUCAAUAUUUUUCACUUUCCAUACAAGAUUUUCUACUACUAAGUUUCGUUUGUGUAAAAAUACAAAUGACCUCUUCUAUCGAAGCCGGAGGCGCGUGUACAACCGUGGAAGAUAUUUUGUUGCGUGAGUGUUGGGUCAAAGUUGGUCAUUCCCUGAUCACGGGCAAUGAGAUGAAGUCCUCUCGUAGGAGUUUCUGACAUCGCAACGAAAGUAAGAUGUGAUAUGAAAAUGUAAGGAAUUUGAUGAGAGGAAUGGGAUUUGAGGAGUUUGAUGUAGGAAUUGAUGUAGGAAUUGAAUUUGGGAGGUAUGUAUAUAAGAUUUGAGGGUAUGUGUUUAGGGAUUUUGAUAAGAGGAUUUGAGGAAUUUAGAUUUGAAGGAUUUGGAUUUGGGGAAUUUAAAUAUGAGGAAUUUGAUUAGGGUUUGGGUUUGAAUAUGUGAAAUUUGAUAUGAGAGUUUAGAGACAACAGAUGAUCGAUUGCUCUGAUACCAUGCUAAAAUAUGAUAUGGUUUGAAUACUUUAGGUUGAGUUUUAUUCUUUUCCAUAAAAAGGUAUAUAUAGGAGUUUACAUGAGUGCUUUACAAAGAAAUAGAUACAAUAAUCAAUUAGGAUAAUAUCUCCUAAUUAUACAAUAAUUUGUCAACUAUAUAGAAUAGGAAAGUAAAUUCCUUAAUUAAUCAAGAAAAUAAAUCUCAUUGAUUAAUUAGGAGACUAACGUCAACAUUUAUAAGCCAUAAAAGAGCAGAAAAAGAGGUACUUAGGAGAUUUUAUACGUCGGACUAAGGUAAGCUUAAAGGACUAUAUCAAAAAAAUAAGGGACCAAGAAGCAAGACAGAGAAGUUGUUAUGCAAACCCAUUAAGUUUAGCAGUGAUGAAUUUGUAAAAAUCAUUCUAGUGGAUUCUGCCUUCACUAUUGAGUUCUUAUUGAGGUUCUAUCUGAAAGGAUCUGGACAUGAAGGAGACCGCUUAUUAAACAAACCGUGGAUGUUUACAGCCUGACAUGUGGUUGCUUGAAAAUCAGCUCCCAUUCUUUAUUCUUGAGGAUCUUUAUCACACAUACAUAAUAACCGACUCUUUUAGGAAUUAUUACAGUACUCAUGAUCAUGAGAGGCUUUCAAUAAUUAAUAUUUCUAAGAAUUUCUUCACAGCCGGAAUAUUGAAUUUGGAGGGGAAGGGAGACAAAUGGAACAGAAUAUCAUCUUCUUCUAGUGUUGGAAAUUUUAUAUUAUUUAAUAAUAUUUAAUUUCUAUUGUGAAUGAAAAAUAAGUUUCUUUAAGAAACGUGUGUCUUAGGCCAGUUUUUCUAACUGGUCGGCUUCCUUAGAUUUGUGCCUAUUGCUUUUCAAAGUAUAAUGAUGCAAUGGUUGUAUCUCGUUCAGGCAAAUGGAAGGUAUAUAGCAAUUUAUAGAACAAUACAGUAAUCCAGAAGAAAUAUUAUGAAAUGAAAAGAAUAAAAAGUAAAAAAAGAGAAAGAAAGGAAUUCCCACCUGCAAUGUAUAUGUAUGAAAGGAAGGACCAAGUUUGUUUUAAAAUGGUAAGAACAAGUUGAUUUUAAAUUGGGUUCAGAUCAACUCAUAGAUUUCUUGCCUUUUCUGUUCUCCUUCCUUGGACAUGAACUGUUUAAUCUUGGACUCUUCCCCAUCAUGUUGGGCCUGUCUUCUUCUUGAGGAUUGUAUAGGCCUAGGAAAUGCUUCGGGGUAGUUUUUGUGUUUUGGGCAUUGGGACCCAACUUCACAAAAAGAAAACAAAUUUGACCAAAACACAAAUUUGAAGGACAUUGAAAUUGUACCCGUAGGAUAGAUUAAAACACUAUAAGGGAGGUAAAUAGUACGUUUACAGAGUUUAAGUGUAAUAAAGGAAUAAAAACAUGCCCAGAGAAUUGAUAAGUGAUAUCAAUUCUUGAAUAUACGUGAAAAUUAUUUUAUGUGGUUAAACCCCACCUCUGGGGAAAAUCCACGGAACUUCUUAGUCCAACUUCUAUCACUUAUCCUAGACACAUUCUAGAUAAUGUUUGCCAACCUCUUCGUAACUCAACUUCUGUCACGAGAUGAUCUUUCAACACUUUAUGUCGAACGCAAUACUGGUCACGAUUUCUUCAAGCUCGCCGGAGUUCUUCCAAUUCUCCUUAUAUUGAAUCUGAUACUAGUCACGAUCGAUUCAAGCUCAUCGGAGAAAAAUCGCCACAACAAUCUUGGUGCCCUCAACCGUAUGAGUCACUGAACAUGCAAAUGAAUACAAUAUGAAUGAUAAAAGUGUUUGAUAAAUCACCAAGUUAUGGAACACUUGAUGAUUUAUCUCAAAUAAAAAUUCAGCUUUCCAAAGUUUAUGAAUUGAAAAUAUGACCGUUAAAGCUCUCUAAACAAAGAAGACGAAGGUCUUAUUUUAUAGACUUUUACUUUACAAGAAAGAAAACACGUUGAAAACCAAAUCUCCAAUUUCCAAGGCUUGACAGAAAAUCACAAAAUUAUCUUUCCUAUUCUAGAGAUUGGUCACAUGAAGUCCAACCAAUAGGAAAUGAGAUAUUUAAGAAAGGAAGAUUUUGAUCAAUAUCAAUAUCAAAUGAAUUCUUAUACGCCUAGUCAAUUGUUAUGGGUAUCUUGACUCCUUGAUAUUGUGAUAUGAUUGAAACAUGAUUUCCACGUUAGAAAAUUAAGGGGAUGUUAAAACAUGAAGGUAAUAGGAGAAUCAAAUUGAUUUGGGCCAAAAUUGCCUAAAAAGAAAACACUCCUUAAUAAACUUCAAUUUACUUUUAAAAAUAGUAAAACGUGAUUGAAUCGUUCUUUAAAACAAUUCCCUAAUAUACAUGCAUGAUAGUGAUAUCACUUACCUUUGAAUCAGAUGGCUUUCACGGGUCAAGCCACAAGUUUUUGUCUUGGGGAUUGCUGAGCUUCAUCAAUCCUGCCAAUGUCAAUUUUGCCCCUAAGCUCUCUCAAAGCACGUUUACAACCUAUGCUAACAUAUAUUAGAGUUUAUGUUAGUAUCAAGAAAAUGCCAACACUAAUUUCGUAACACGUAGAAAUUGUUAGAGAUUGAAGUUUUUAUCAUUUUUUCUUCCAGACUCUCCACCACUCACUAAUAUAGUUUACUCAUGUGAUGAGUUUACAAAACCUAUUUCUCUACUCUCACAAAGACUAUACUUAGGGGGGUGUAUUCAAUUAGGAUUCUAAAGCGUUUAAAAAGAUUUUGUUUAAGUGCCAGCUUUCAUAGAACUUGAUGGAACUUUAUAAUUCGUAUAGAACUUGAUAGACUUUCAGAAGACUUCUGUAUAAUUUUUUAAUAAAACUUUCUUAAGCUUUCAUAGAACUUGAUAGGCUUUCAUUCCAAACUUAUGUAGAUGGUAUAUUUCAUUUUAUCCCCAUCCUUGACAUUUAAAGAAAGAAACUUGAAUUUUUUCAAUCAAAUUUGUUUUUGUUACCAAAGCAGCAAAAACAAAAAGUACUUGUUUGCGAUGGAAGAACAUAUGCACAGUUCAAAAUGAAAAGAAUAAGAAGCAAAGUACCUAUUUGACCAAUGAAUGCUGUGUCAACUAGAGAAGCAAUUGGAUCGGCUGUCAAAGCCAAUGCUGCAGGCAAUGCAUCGAUGGUCCAAAUUGCAAUAAAAAAAUAUUUUGAAUAAUGGCUCUUGCAGACAAAGACCACAUAAAUUCUGAACUGGUCUAGCUUGAAUAAUAAGGUUAGAUUAGCCAAUUGAUGAGAUUAAAAGCAAAGCAAGUUGAUGAAUUUAUCAUCAACUAUUUAAUAACCACAGUCCUGAUCUCUUGGACCCCUGUAGUCCAAGAGAUUUAUGGUCACCCACCGUUGGAUGUAAAUUCAACGGUUGACUUGAAUCGGGUAAUAAUCAUUUAUGUCAUAUUGCAUUUAUAUAUAUCAUUUUGAACCAUUGGAUUAAUAUCCAACGGUGGGUGACCACAAUCUCUUGGACUCCUGUGGUCCAAGAGAUCGGGACUGUUAAUAACCAAUAGAGUAUUUAAACAUAAACAACAAUGUUUGAUCAACAAAACAAAUAGUCCAAAUAUCAUCCAAAAAACAAUAACAAAAAAUCAAUCAUUCCAAACAAACUAGUCAUUCUCAAAAACUCUCAAAAAACCCACUCAUUCCAAAUUGUAGGAUAUCCAAUUUGAGCACUCCUCAGGAGACAUUUUCAAAAAUGCAUCCUUUUUUGUGUUACUAUGCAACAAAGAGAGUGCUUUAUAACGAGCAUGUUCAUCCAAAUUUGGGGUCUCCUUAAUGGCAUCCCAUAUAUAACUCCGCUGCUCUCUCUCUUUUUCCCUUUUUGCCAAUAGGUUAUGGACCUCCCGGAAGUCGAUGACAAUUGAAUCAAUGCUAAGGCUAAUUCUUCCCAUAGCUUGCUGGGUGGUCACAUUUGAGAUAGCAUUCCCUUCCAAAUAUGUUCUAGUUCGUUUCCUCUAGUAACAAGCAUAAAUCCUAGUAACAAGCAUAAACCCUAACCCCAACCUAUAACCUAAUAACAAGAAGAAAACCCAACGAGGUAUUGAUCAAAGAAAAAUUAGGGAGCAUACCUUCACAGAUGGAGGAAGGAAGCUGUUCGUCUUCGCAGAGAGAAAAUCUAGGGAAAGAGAAAAACGUCUUAUGAAAUACUUGGGGGGGAGGUUGGAUUUAUUUUGGUCUUUUUUAUUUAUAACUCUCCCCUUAAAACCUACGUAAAUUUAUCACUUAAUGAAAUCCUUCCAAAUAUAUGACCUUUCGAAUACACCUAGAUUUGAUUCAACUUUUUUAUAAUCAUAAUUGAAUACACCCAUAUUUGAAUGGACUUUUUAAAAGUUCAUAUAGGUCCGAAAUGAAUAUACUCAAACUUGUAAAACCUCUUUUAAAGUUUGUAUAAAUCCAAAUUGAAUACACCUGGAUUUUUAAAAUCUUUUUAAACACUUUAUAAUCCUAAUUGAAUACACCCCCCUUAUUCUCAAAAGACUAUAUUACUUUACCUCUAUCUCUGUGAAAUGUAAAAAGUUGAAACUUUAAUGUCAAACCUCAACAAAAGAUGAACUUUCAUCAGUUACGUUGAAUUUGGAUUUGUUGAACUUAAGUGGUUUUAUUUUCUUUGUCAGUGUUUGAUGACUUAAUUUGGUAUUUAUUUCUUCUUUUUUUUCCUUGGAAAUGUGUUCCACCAACGUGAGGAAGAAAAAUAUGCACAAAUUAAUAUAUUUAAUAGAAGCCCAAGAUUUCGGAUGCAUAUAAUUUCUACAAAAAUCUACAAAGUUUUUUACUUUACAAACUUCUUAUGUCUACCAAUUUCUACUAAAAUUAAUUUCUCUGUGGUGCUCAAAUUCAUCAUAUGUGUGUCGUUAAUUUUAUUGAAAAUUGGAAGUUCCCAUCAUUUUUGUUUUUUGGGAAUUUUCUGAACCAAGGAAAAUCAAGUAAAAUUAAUAAAGCCUAAAUUGGAAAGGGAAAAUAUCUAGAGGAUGCAUUGUAGGAUUGCUCAUGCCAAUAAUUGUACCCUCUAAAUAUAUAGAGACAUAUUUUUUUUGUUUUCAUGACAUGUGGUCCUAAAAUUAUUGUGUAAAUCUUCAAUCCUGAACGAUGCACCUAAAACUCAUCCACCCAUUCUCAGGCCAAUUAUUGCACCUAGUGGGCUCUCGACCCCCUCUCAAAUUUAACCACAUAUUUUAUGGACCAUCCAGCUGUGAGGUACAUUCCCCCCACAUGCCACAAUUGUAUAUUCACAAUUACGUCUGAUACAUCACAUCAUGCCACUUGCCUCAAAUGAAUUUAAGUGAGUGAGGCAGUUGGAAGUAAUUAAGCUCUAUAUUGGUGGGUGGAGUGUUACUUCUCGGUUCCCCUCAUCAUUCGUCUAUAAAAUGGUGAAGGCAGUUGCUAUUGUUACCAUAAGAGCCAGCUCCGACUUCCUUUAAUUUCUUGCUUCAUAUCCACUAGCUACAUCUGUUACCAAGUUAAUUUCAGUUCUAAUGGGGUUUCAUCUCCCACUCAUCUUUGCUCUUCUCAGUGUAAGCUCUGCAAUUUGAUUAACUUUUCCAUUCUCUCUCAUUGUACUCUAUAUAAACGAAAGUUUUGUGUUCCUAUUGUUCUCUCCGAUUUUAUUUAGUACGUACUUAAGUGUCGUCCACUAAUUAAUUAUACUUUGUGAUUUGAUUUUAAUUUGAGUUUGAAUUAAUGUUGCAGCUAGCAGCAGUGGCACUGGCAAACCAUGCUGCUCAACCAGCACCUCAACUUUACUGGAGCUCCGUCCUGCCAAACACACAGAUGCCAAGAUCUAUCAGUGAACUUCUGCAUCCUGGUUUGUGUUGAGCUCUUUAGAAUCUUAGAUAUCUCUUCUACCUGCCAUUUUACUAAAAUAUGUUCCACCACAUAUUUAUCAGUUAACCAUUGUCAUUACAUGAGUGACACAUAUUCACAAAUCGGCUGAUCACUUAUUUUCCAUUAUGACUUGAUAUAUAAUUUGCAGACUCCACAAAUGAAGAAAAGAGCACAAAUGACGUUGGCAAACCUGAAACUUUCCCAUUGGGCAAUCAACAUUACUCCAGUCAAAAACAUUAUGGAGGCAUACCUGAAACUUCCCCAUUGGGCAAUAAACAUUACUCCAGUCAAAAACAUUAUGGAAGAGGCAAACCUGAAACUUUCCCAUUGGGCAAUCAGCAUUACUCCAGUCAAAGACAUUAUGGAAGAGGCAAACCUGAAACUUUCCCAUUGGGCAAUAAACAUUACUCCAGUCAAAAACAUUAUGGAAGAGGCAAACCUGAAACUUUCCCAUUGGGCAAUCAGCAUUACUCCAGUCAAAAAAAGUAUGGAAGAGGUGCUUCUCCAUCCGACAAUCAACAACUCCAUUAUAAAGACUUAGCUAUUUUCUUCUUGGAGAAGGACAUGCGCCCUGGCACAACAAUGAAGUUCCAAUUCCCUAUAAAUUCAAACACGGCUACUUUCUUGCCACGAGAAAGCGCUCAAUCGAUCCCCUUCUCCUCUAACAAACUGCCAGAAAUUUUCAACCAUUUUUCAGUGAAGCCAACAUCUGAGGAAGCCAAAACAAUUAAGCAAACAAUCGAAGAGUGUGAAGCUCCAGACCUUAAGGGAGAGGAAAUAUAUUGCGCCACAUCUUUAGAAUCAAUGGUUGAUUUUAGCACUUCGAAGCUUGGAACAAGAAACGUUGAAGCAAUCUCGACGGAGGUAUUGGAAAAAGGAGCCACCAUGUCCAUCCAAAACUAUACAACAAUGCCGGGACUGAAGAAGUUGGCAGGUGACAAAGUCGUUGUGUGUCAUAAGCAGAACUAUCCCUAUGCUGUGUUUUUCUGCCAUGCAAUAAAACAUACAGCAGCUUAUGCUCUCUCCCUGAAAGGCGAUGAUGGGGAGAAGGUUAAAGCAGUAACCAUCUGCCAUCUAGACACAUCAGAAUGGGACCCAGAGCAUAUGUCCUUCCAAAUCGUCAACGUUAAGCCCGGAACCAUUCCCAUCUGCCAUUUCAUUUCCACUGAUGCUAUUGCCUGGGUUCCGAACCACAAAUCUGCAUGAUCAUCACUUAGCACUAGUACUGUGCGUAUAAUAUGCCUGUAUAAUUAUCUCCCUACUUAUUUCUGCCUCUUCAUCAUGUGGUGUAAGAUAUAUGUUGAGAUGAAGUUUUUGGGAUUUGUGGUCGAAAUUAACCCGAUCAUGUUUUCUCUUGCAACCAUAUAGACUUCAACUUGUACUCAUAAUAAAGCAUGCUAUAUUUAUGAAGAGAUAUUAAUCUUCAGGCAAAUAGAUAUUAUGAAAACAUAUAUAGCAAUUUAUCCAGAAGAAACAUUAUGAAAUGAAAAGAAUAAAAAGUAGAAAAACAGAAGGAAAGGAAUUCGCACGUGCUAUGCUAUGUAUGAAAGGACCAAGAUUGUUUUCCCUUUGGUUAAUGACUAGAAAAGCUCACUUGCAGAGUGCUUUCUCCGACCAUAGAUGGAAGAGAAAUUUUCUCUUAAUAAUAGCACAAUGAUCGGGUAAUUGUAAGAACAAGUUGAUUUAAAAUUCCUUGACCCAAAAAAAAAAAAAAAGUUCUUUUCAAAUUCAGGUCAACCCAUAGAUUUCUUGCCUUCGUCUUCUUCAUCACGUUGGGCUUGUCUUCUUUUUGCGUUUUGGGCCUUGGAAGUUGGGACCCAACCCAACUUCACAAAAAGAAAACAGAUUUGCCAAAAAUCAAAUUUCAAGUCUCUCCUCCGAUCACUAAUACAGAUCAAAUUUUGGAUUUGAUGAACUAAAGUGGUUUUACUUUCUCUGUCAGUGUUUGAUGACUUAAUUUGUUAUUUACUUUUUUUUUUUUACUUGAUCUUUGUAGGGGCUUUUUUUUUUCCGGCAGCUUAAACGGGCUGGGCUGCCGUAAAGGGUAGAUUGAUGAAAUUGUCCCCUUUGUCUGAAUUCGAAAAUCAAGCCCCAAAAGCGCUUCGAAAGGGCAGUAGAGCCUUAGGAAGCGUUCUGGUUACCUUCACUAAUUAAAACAACAGCAACUUACAGAUGAUUUCUUGAGGCUUACAGAUAAAUUUUCUAGCUUGGCAUGACAUGGAAGCAAAAUCAGCAUGAGUUUAGCACCAAAGAGGAAAAUAUGGCUUCCUAGGGAGAAAUGAGAGUGUUUAAGGUGAGGAAGAAGAGGUUUGCAGGCUGAUUUGGCUGAGAAAAGAGAAAGAAAGAACAAUGUUCUUCCGGCAGCUUGACAAAGCUUCUGACAGAUGUGAAAGUCGUCCGCCAGAAGAGGAAAAUGGAGAAGAAGGAUGAAUAGUGCACGAAAUUGGUGGGUUCUUGCAGGUAAGAGAGAAAGCUUGCUCUCUGAAUCUGAGUUGGUUUUGGUUGGGUAGAAGAAGCCCCCUUUUAUAGCUGCGGGAAACCAUCUUUUUCCAAGAAACCCUAAUGGUUUCUAUCCUUUUUGGCCAAGCUUUUCCCUUCCUUUCUCUUCUCCUCCCUUGACUUUUCCUAUCUUGGUGAAAUUUCCUCUGCCUAUUUGCACAAAAUUAGAGAUUUUGAGGAGCUCAAGGCCCCUUUCCCGCAGCUGCCUUAGUGGAGAAUCCCCAUUUUCAGUCAUCUUUCUUCCUUCUUUUCUCCCAUCUUCCAAGGCUAGGUUUGAUGAGAGAAAGAAAUGGAUAUGCACACUGGUUUGAAGGGUGUUUUUCCUUGAAACUUGUUCUCUCCCAUGUGCUGGAGCUUCCCAGCAGCUUACACACAUAGAUAUUUUGGCUUUCAUCGUGGCUUUUGUUUUCAGCUAGGUGCUGGAGAUUUUGCAUAUAUUUUCUUGAGUUGCUUGGGCCUUCUAGGACAAUACGUUGGUUUAUCAAGUGAAUGGGCUAACUUCAUCAAUUGUUGGGCAAUUUUGGUUGAGUUAAUGGACUAUUUUGGUUCAAGUAAUGGACUAUUUUGGUUGAAAUAAUAGGCUAUUUUUCUCUCUUUGUGCUCACCCACAUAUUUGGGCCUAAAAAAUGGGCUUGAGUUUCGGGGCUCCCAAGCAACCCCGGGACUUCCAUUUCUCGGCCCAUCAAUGAGCCUCAUGUCAACUUAUUACCAUCCAUACCACAACCCACUCAAGCAAGCCUCAGGCAUCUUGCGUGGCUUGGGCCCACGUAAGCUCGUAGUGGCAAUGUUGCUUAUUUGCUUGACGUGGCAUGUGUGCAAGUGCAUAUGACGAACUUUCGCGUGCCCAAAUUGAGUUUCUUCUCGGUAGGGUAUCGCAUUGGGCCGAGAAUUUAAUUGGGUAGAACCGUGGAUUUUUUGGGCCUCAACAAUCUUAUAUAUAUUAGUUUUCUUUUUUUCCUUAAUAUUCACCACCUUUCUGUUGCAUAAGUAUUCCAGUCUUAGCGGGUUUCCAUCUACCACUCAUCUUUGCUCUUUUAAGUGCAAGCUUUUUUAUUUUUAUUUUUUUAUGCACAAGAUUAGAGGGGAGGGAGAUUUCUCAAUGUAAGCUUUGCAGUUUCAUAAUUAAUAUUUCCAAUAUCUCACUGUUAGUAAAAUAUGGAACGGGAAAAGUACGAAUAAAAUACACACAUGUUUUAUUUAGCAAAAUUUUGACAAGAUACAACUGAAAAGUUUGGCCACUAUAUAAUAUUUUGAUUUAAUUUUUUUUAUUUUUUUAAUAUAUAUUAUUUUUAUUCAAUAAUAUGUGAAAAAUAGGUGUACAAUAUAUGAAAUUUGUAUGUAUUAUUGAAAAAUUCGUAAAAAAAAAACAUGUUAUUAAAUGUGAAAAAUAUGUACGUAUAUGUAUAAAACAUGUAUUGUACAUUACUUUUUAACAAACUUGUAUUUUACCUAGUCUUUAAACCGUAUAUGGAAAACGGAAGUAUUAUUGAAAAAUACAUAUGUACGUAUAUGUAUAAAACAUGUAUUGUACAUUACUUUUUAACAAACUUGUAUUUUACCUAGUCUUUAAACCGUAUAUGGAAAACGGAAGUAUUAUUAAAAAAUACAUAUGUACGUGUAUAAUAUGAGUAUUAAACAAAAAAAUGUGCUAAGUACUUAUCUUUUAAUUUAAUAAUUCAUUUCAUUUUGUGAUCUCAUACGUAGUAAUGAGAGUUCAAAUUAAUGUUGCAGCUGACAAUGGUGGCUCUGGCAAGCCAUGCUUGAUGCAGGAGUAUAGGGGUGGAUCAAGAUAGAUAUUUACCAUGUAAUUAGUUAUUUCAUGAUAUAUUGUUAUUUUCUUAUUUAGGUAGUUUUAUGAUAUCUUUUAUUAUUUAUGUGGGAUUUUAUAAUUAAUUAGUUUACUUUUGGACCAAGUAGCCUUGGUGCUCAAGUCUUGUAAAGCUUAUAAAUAAGGCUAAUGUAAUAGUUGUAGGAAAAGAGAUGUCGAUGAUUAAUAAAAUCGUUUAUUUGUGGCAUGGAUUUGCUACGAUAUAUGUGAGUUUGCACUAGCCCUAGAUUUCGGUGCUCGUGUAUGUGGUUGGUGACCUGUGUCCGGAUCCCGAUCCCCAUCAAUGCUGUUCUCCCAGUACCUCAACUUUACUGGAACUCUUUCCUGCCAAACACAAAUGCCAAGAGCUAUCAGUCAACUUCUGCAUCCUGGUUUCUAUUAAGGGACUUUUCGUGAGCUUAUCAUCUACCCAAAUUUUACUCAUCCGACGUAAUUUUAAAAGUGAUUUGAUCCUUUGGCAAAGUAAUCUUGAACUACAAAAAAGGAGGGCACUCGAAUAGGCAUGCCAUUUGGUAUUACCCACCUCUAAUUUCUUUUAAAAUUUUAGUAAUUGAUUUUUAAGAUUAGAAAAUGGGAAAGUUCAAAACCGAAAAAGUUGUUUCAGUUUUGGCAAGUAUCGGAAAAGACUAAAAUUUUCCGACUUUAUUAUUACUAGAAACAAAGUCGAAGUAUUCACCAAUCAUGUGGCCUUCCAAGUGCUCAAGGUUAAGCCAGGAACCGUUCCUAUCAGCCAUUUCCUUCCCAAGUAUGAUCAUGUUGUCUGGGUUCCAACCCACAAAUCUACAUCAGUACCUGAACUAAUCAGUUCUACAUGAAUAUUCAUUCAUGGCAACCUUGGGCUAAGUAUUUGAAUUUAUGCUCAUAAAGCUUUAAUGCUUUUGAGGGCCAAUCGUUGUCUACAUAUGGUAUUGUAGCAUCUUUAGAUGGAAGAGGUCAGGGGUUCAAUUCUUGUUUUCCACUUCUUUAUUUGUUGGUUUAUCGAGUGUAGAGUGGAGUUGCACCUAUAUGUUCGUCUCUCACCCCAUCAUUUACCAUUGAUAUAUAUUUAAUAGAAGCCUAAGAUUUCGGAAGCACAUAAUUUCUACUUUACAAACUUCCUGUGUCUACCAAUUUCUACUAAAAUUAAUUUAUCUGCGGUGCUGAGAUUCAUCAUAAUUUUAAUAGAAAUUGGAAGUUUUCAUCAUUUUUGCUUUAAGUCUCUACUCCACUCACUAAUAAAGAUUACUCAUGUGAGUUUACAAAACAUUUUUUUUUUCUACUCUCUCCUGAAGACUACACUUCUUCUCAAAAAAUUAGAUCACUUCACAUCUUGUGUAUGUGAAAACUAAUGUAAAAAGUUGAAACUUUAUCGUAAAACCUCGACAAAAAUGAGCUCUACUACAAAAUGUUAAAUUUGGAUUCGUUGAUUUAAAUGGCAAUUUGACACUUGAUAGAAAUUUUUACAUACAUGUGUUAGUGUUUGAUCACUUCACAUGUCACUUACUAUAUUUAUUCCACUCAAGUUAGGUAAAUAUUAUUAUCAAACAUUUCAAUUAAUUUGUGAUUUUUUUAUUAUUUAAUCAAUUAUGAAUUAAUGGAUUCUUCUUGUUGUUUUGAAGACCAACAAAAAAAAAAAAAAGGGUAGUGAUGGCUUAUAAUUCUGGUAAAACAACAGUGACGUGGACAACAGAUGUUACGCUGUACUAAAGAUUUUUGAAGAUUCUUUAUUUGAGUUUCUUUCAAGAUAAAAACCAUAUUAUCCACAACCACAAGCACAUCCGGCAGACAAUCUUUGGCUAUUCAUCACAAUUGGGAGACAAUGAAGAAGACAGAAAAUGGAGUAAUUCAGAUGUUACCAGCCAUCCACGACAAACUGAAGUCUGCAAAGCAUUCGUAAUCUAAAAAGGAUGGGGAGGCUGCGCAAUACUUAGCCACGUGUAGGCCAGGAGGCUUUCCAAUUUUAAUAUAUAUAUAGAUUGAAAAAAUAAAAUAAAAAUCAAUCUAUUAUCAUAUAUAUUAUAAAAUAAAGAUUAUUGCUCCCAUGGGCGGUGCUAUGCACAGGACAGUGCCUGCCUAGUCCAAAUUUUUUUUAAAUAAAAAUAAAAAUCUACAUAUGUUAUAAGCUCAUCCAAAAAAAAAAAAAAAAAUAAAAGUGUUGUAAAUUAUAAGGUGGAGCCCACAUGUUGGAAGGCUUUGCCUACAAAAGGGUUCACACCCUCCCUUUGUAAUUAGACAUUGAGAAUACUAAGGAAGACAGAAAUGAAUAGAGAGAAAACAUUCCCUUCUCUCCAUCUCAAUUCCCUCUCCAAUUCCUCUAGAUUUAUAACACGUUAUCAGCAGCACGAAUCGCUUUCAAACAAUACCAGCUGAAUUUUAUGAUGAAACCCAGAUCUCUCAUCCAUCUCUGCUGCUCCACUACUUCAAAAUAAAUCCCACAGAAAAAGAAAAAGCCUCAAUGCUCUCUCUCUCUCUCUGUCUCGCUUGGGAGACUUGGACAAUUCCUCAUCCCCGUUACUGACAAUUUCAACAGCUUCAGGGGAAGCUAGUUUAUCUUCCUCUGCUCACGAAACCAUGACUCUUUCAGAGCCAAACAACAACACAAUAGACAACGCAUGGAGACCAGACUGGAGCUCGUCGGCUAAGGCACCGACGAUCCGACCCUACCCGUAUGGACCUUCCGGAUGUGGUUCCUGGGUCUUGUCUCAUGUGCCCUCCUCUCAUUUCUCAACCAAUUCUACAAGCAGCAGAGCUUCAAAUCAAACAGAUCAUGGCAUCGCUUUCACACCUCCCCAUCUUCCUCUUCCUCCUGUUCACCGCUUUCUAUUCUACAGCUUCGCAGUCCUUCAUCGGCGCAUCCAAAGGCGACAUACCGGCGCUCGCCUCAGAUCCGAACGCGGCGGCUCAGUGGGUGAACUCGAAUGUCCUCGCCUUCUACUCGGCCAGCAACAUCGACCUCAUCAACGUCGGCAACGAGGUCCUUUUUCUCCAACGACCAGGGCCUCAUCUCGCAGCUCCUCCCCGCCAUGCGAAAUGUCCAAUCUGCCCUCUCCGCCGCGUCCCUCGGCGGCAAGGUCCGUGUCUCCACGGUCCACUGCCUCGCCGGAUCGGGAUCCUUCCUUCAAGUGUUUCUCUGUCUUCGACUUGAAAAAGAAGGUCAUGGCAGGCCUAUGUAAAAAUUGCGAAAAGGAAGGCAAUCUUCAACCUUUUCUCCUGUCUCUCUCUUGAUCAAUUCAUGGAAGGCACAUUUGGGUCUUCCGGGGGCUCAUCAAAUGAGUCAGCAAUGUCAAAGGUGGAGGUGGUGGAGCAAGACUACGUGGGGAUGUCAUAUGAGGCAACCUCAUACCCAGCUGAGGCAGAGCUUGUGCUGGGCCUGGGCCUUGGCCUGAGCCUUCGUGGUGGUGGUGCAGGGAAGCAGCCAAAGCCAUGUGCAUGGGGUGAGCGUGGUAGAAUCUUGACUGCUAAAGUUAGGUGCUGAGUUACACUGUGUUCUCUGCUACUGACCCUAAGAGGAGUGCUAGAAACUUCCAUGUUCCGCCAUCAUUUCGCUUUCACUGUUACAAGGCACUGGAGUAUGUUUAAUUGAAAAGUGAGAUACACAGCAAGUUGAUCAGCCUAGUGGAAAGCAAAGGAUUAUUGCCAGGGAUAUGAACACCCACCGAAAUAAAGGGAUAAGUACUCUUUUUCCCUUCGACCAGUUUUUUUUUGUCCCACUGGGUUUUUACUGGCAAGGUUUUUCACGAAACAUAUUCCGUAUCAUUUGUGGUCUCUAAGAGGGAGUGUUGUAAAUUAUAAGGUGGAGCCCACAUGUUGGAAGGCUUUGCCUACAAAAGGGUUCACACCCUCCCUUUGUAAUUAGACAUUGAGAAUACUAAGGAAGACAGAAAUGAAUAGAGAGAAAACAUUCCCUUCUCUCCAUCUCAAUUCCCUCUCCAAUUCCUCUAGAUUUAUAACAAAAAGUAAAUUCUACACAUAUGUUGCCCAUCCAGGUGGUCCCAUAUCUUCUCUUUCCUUUUCUUUUGGCUAUUAGACUUCUUGUUUCUCUCUCUCUCUUUGCUACCCCACAUCAGCAAGUUUCUCCCUCUCUUUUUUUGGGAUCAAAUUCUUCUUCUAUUGACAAAAUCUUCUAUUAUAUUGGGUGGGCAACUUGGCAACAACAUCUUCUCCUCUCCUUUUGUCAACAGCAAGUAUUAUUCUCAUUCUCUCAUUUGCUAUAUAUCUUUAAUUAUAGUUUUAAUUUAAAAUUGAGUAUUCUAGGGUUUAAUUAGGGAUGAAUUAUAAUUUUGGGAUUUUGUUGAAAUUAAUUAGGGCUUCGAUUAGGGGUGAAUUAUUCUACUGCUUUGAUUUGGAAUUUUGUUAAAAUUGAGUAUUAUAGGUUUAAUUAUGGAUGAAUUACAAUUUUUGGUUUUGGUAUUGUUGAGAUGUUAUUAUGAGAAUUUGUUUGAUUUUUUGUUGGUAUAUUUGAUUAAAAUUCUUUCUACAUAUUAUUCAUAGGCUAUCUUUUAUUAUGUCGGAUCACAAUCGGAAUCCCAAGAAAACAAAAAAUUUGAAUAGUGUUGUUUUGUAUUGCAUUGCAUUUACUUUUGGUUUUAGUUUUGCUUUUAGUGUAAAUUACUCAAAUGGUCCUCAAAUUUGUACCCAAUUUACAUUUUGGUCCAUAAACUAAAUUAUUCAUUCAAAUGGUCCACCAACUCUUUAUUAAUCGGUGCUUUGGUCCUAUCGUUAUGUUUUCUAUUAAAUUUAGUCAUGUGAGCAGCACAUGCUACAUUUGUAUGGGUAAAUAAGACUUUUGACCAGUGGCGGAUCCACGUUGGGACAAGAGGGGUCGGACGACCCCUUGGAAGGCUGGAAAUUUGGCAAGGGAGUCCAUGAAAGCCCCCUUGGACAGCUGCUGGAAGCCCCCUUGUAUGCACACAAUGUGCUCGACGAAAUGCCCCAACGAAAUGUCCUGCGCAGCUGUGCUGCGCCUUGCGCGUAAUUUUUUUUUAAAACCAGCCUUGCCAAACGACGUCGUUUGGUCAAGGCUCAGUCAAAUUUUUUUUUAAUUAACCUGGCCUCAAAACGACGUCGUUUUGGGCCAGGUUUAAAAAAAAAAAAACAGAACAGUACACACGCACAGCAGCUCUGCACAGAUUCAUUUUCUCCAAACCUUUCAUUCCCAAUUCCACAGCCCCUCUUCCCAUCCUCUCAAACCCUAACCUCCCAACCUCCCAACCUUGGACAACCUCCAUCAACUCUUCACCGGUGGCCCAAUGCCGAUCACCACCACCUUCUACCGCCGUCCGCCGCCCAUUUUUUAAACUACAAGUAAGUAAGCAUGGAAAAUCUGAUAUUAAUAAUUAUAGUGAUAAUAUAUAUUGUUGAUAUUGAUAUUUUUUUUUUAUGUAAUGAAAUUUAUGGAUAUGAAUCAUAUUGAUUGAUUGAGUUUAUGCUUGAAAUUUAUGGAUAUGAAUCAUAUUGAUAUUUUUUUUUAUGUAAUUAAAUUUAUGGAUAUGAAUCAUAGUGAUAAUCAUAUUAAUGUAGAUUGAUUGAGUUUAUGCUUGAUUGAUAAUAUGAAUUGAUUGGGUAUAUUAAAUAUUGAUUGCUAUUUGAUAUGAUAAUUUGGUAUAUUGAAUAUUGAUUGAUAUGGGUUUAGGGAGUAUAUUGAAUAUUGAGAGUGGGUUAUUGAAAUUUUCAUAUUCAUAUGAUAAUUAGGAUAAAAAUUAAUGAUUGAUUGAAUUAAUUGAUUUGUAGAUUUAUGGAACGAUUCUUUAAAAGAAAAUUAUCUACGGAUAGUUCUUCUCUGUCUAAUCCGGGUAGUUCAAAUGCAAGACCAAUUGAAGUAGAUGAGAUCUUAGCUAAUCUUCAAGCAGACCCUGGACUAAGAACUCGAAUGGCGGAUUAUAGUCCUAAUAUUAGGGAUGAGAUCCGAAGAGCAUAUCUACAAAAGGGACCUUGUCAACCUAGAAGUUAUAAAUUCCCACAAACUAAUCAAUCAGGAAUUAAUAGACGCUUCAUUGCUCAUUGGUUUGAUGAUCAUGAUUGGUUGGAAUAUAGUAUUGCUAAAGAUGCUACGUUUUGUCUUCAUUGUUAUCUCUUCAAAUCUAAUUUUGAUCAAGUGGGUGGUGAUGCAUUCACUGGGGUAGGCUUCAAUAAUUGGAAGAAGGCGAAAGAAAGAUUUAACCUUCAUAUUGGACCGGUUGGUAGUGUUCACAACCAAGCUAGAGAAGUUGCUUACAAUUUGAUGCAUCAAACUACACACAUUGAAACAAUUGUGCUCAAGCAAACAAGCCAAGCUCGCACGGCUUAUCGCACUUGCUUGAAUGCAUCACUUAAGUGCACUAGGUAUUUGUUGCGGCAAGGGCUUUCUUUUCGUGGUCAUGAUGAAAGUGCACAAUCAAGUAAUAAAGGGAAUUAUUUAGAGCUCUUGCAAUUUCUUGCGGAUCAUGAUGAAAAAGUUAAGGCCGUUGUAUUGGAAAAUGCUCCGGGAAAUUUAAAGUUAAUAGCUCCUUCAAUUCAAAAAGAUCUUGUCAAUUCUUGUGCCAAAGAAACCAUUGAUCUUAUCUUGAGUGAUGUAAAAGAUAGAUAUUUUUCAAUAAUGGUGGAUGAAGCACGUGAUGUUUCAAUAAAGGAGCAAAUGGCAAUGGUGUUGCGUUAUGUGAAUGACAAAGGACAAAUAAUUGAAAGGUUUGUGGGGGUUCAACAUGUAACCGACACUACUUCAAGUGCACUAAAGGAAACAAUUGAUGAAUUCUUUUCUUCCGCGAAUUUGAGCUUUUCCAAGCUACGAGGACAAGGUUAUGAUGGAGCUAGCAAUAUGAGAGGUGAGUUCAAUGGCCUUAAGAGAAAGAUUUUGAGAGAACAACCUUGUGCAUUUUAUGUUCAUUGCUUUGCUCAUCAACUUCAACUAGCUCUUGUUGCGGUAGCAAAGAAAAACAUUGAUGUCAACUCUUUUUUCACAACGGCUAAUAGUUUGGUUAAUGUGGUUGGAGCAUCUUGUAAGCGUCGCGAUGCACUUAGAGCACAAUACCAAGAAGAGCUUGUGAGAGCUUUUGAAGAUGAUUGUCUUAUAACGGGGCGGGGCUUAAAUCAAGAAAGGACUCUCAAACGUGCCGGCAAUACACGAUGGAACUCACAUUAUGGUACGUUGAUUAGUAUCAUUUCUAUGUUCCCAUCUGUGGUGAAUGUGCUUCAAAUGAUUGUUGAUGAUAAUCUUAAUGAUAGUUCGGGUGAAGCCUAUAAGUUAAGGAGAGAAAUACAAUCUUUUGAGUUUGUGUUUCACUUAUUUGUAAUGAAAGCUAUAUUGGGAAUAACAAACACUUUGUCUCUAGCAUUGCAAAAGAAAGAUCAAGACAUUGUGAGUACAAUGAAUUUAGUGAAAACAUGCAAGGAAAACCUGCAGUUGAUGAGGGAUAAUGAGUUUGAAGAAUUGGUUGGGCAAGCAUCCUCGUUUUGUUACAAAUAUGAUAUUAUAGUUCCUACCAUGGAUGAGGAAUAUGUAAUUCCAGGGAGAUCAUGGCGUAAUGCUCCAAUGAAGACAAAUUAUCAUCGUUAUCGUGUGGAGAUCUUUAUUCAUGUAAUUGAUGGGCAACUUGCGGAAUUAAAUGAUCGCUUCAACGAGGUAAGUACUGAGUUACUUACUUGUUUGGCAUGCUUGAGUCCAAAAAAUAACUUUGUGACUUUUGACAAACGAAAGCUAGUUCGUCUUGCUCAAUUUUAUCCUUAUGAUUUUUCGGAUAGAGACUUAUUGAUGCUUGAAGAUCAACUUGGUGUUUAUGUUCAUCAUAUGCGUUCGAGUAGUGAUUUUUCUCAAUUGGAAGGGAUUAGUAGUCUUGCGGAAAAAAUGGUGGAGAAAGGAAUGCAUGAAAUAUUUCCUUUUGUAUUUGCUUCUUACAUUGGCUUUGGUUUUACCGGUUGCAACUGCAUCAGUGGAGAGGGCAUUUUCCGCUAUGAAUAUUAUUAAAAAUCCACUUCGCAACAGAAUGGGAGAUCAAUGGUUGAAUGAUAGCUUGCUUGUUUACAUUGAGAGAGAUGUUUUUGCUUGUAUUGAUAACGAAAUUAUAAUGCAAUGUUUUCAGAAUAUGAAAACUCGUCGUGGACAAUUGUAACUUGUAUUAUUGGUUUUGUUAUGAAUUAUGAAUGAAAGUACUAUCUUUCUAUCUUUUUAGCAUUAUUUUCUUUGUAGAAAAAUUUCAGAACUUUUACACUAAGCCCCCUUGGCUACAUAAUCCUGGAUCCGCCACUGCUUUUGACCACUUUAUCACCUAUGUAUCACCACUUUAUAACCUAUUUGGGGAACAUAGGUCAGUUAUGGACGGUUUUACCCUUACAUUUGACGGCAACAUUAACAUAAUGUAACAGUGGGAUCAAUGGAGUGAUUAAUAUAAAGUUGAUGGACCAUUUGAAUGAAUAAUUUAAUUGAGAGACCAAAAUGUAAAUCAAGUAUAAGUUUGAGGACCAUUUGAGUAAUUUACCCUUCGCUUUUAUAUUUGUUGAACUUUUAUUUAUGAUAGAUAUGCAUUUAAGGGUAAGACCCAUUAUGUUCCCCUGGCUAGGUGUAUCUUUUUAUGUUUAUUAAUGAAAUUCACUCGAACUGUUGAGUUUAGUAUGUAAGUUUUGCCUAACUGGCUUUUGAAUCCUAGAACCGCCACUGUUGCUCCAUCCUCCAUGCACUUGCAUGUGCUCUUACAAAGUGUGAAGUAGAUUUUGUGUGCUCCAAGUCAUUGACUAGAGCUGAAACAUGGUUAGCUAGAUUUAUAAGGACCCAUCUCUUUAUUUCCUAGACAUAUACCCAUCUCUCUAUAAAUCUAUAUGUAAAACCUAAUUUCAAACUUAAAUGACCAGUAGGAUAUAAAAGGUCAUAGUAUUCCUAUGUUUUUAUAUCGUUGCCACCAGACUUCUUAUUUUAUUUAUAAUUUAUUUCAAGCAUUUCAUUAACUGCCAUAAUUGUAAUUAAUACUCCAUAUUAAUAGCAUAUCAAUCACCCCAUUUCUUUUGGUUGCCAUUCCCUCUAACAUAUCGCCCCUUAAAUUUGAAAACCAAAAAAAAAAAAUGUAAAUUACAUAUCCAAUAAUGUACCUAUGAAAAAUAUAAAUAUAAAUAUAUACAUAUAAAAAUAUAGGUAUAUUAUUUACCAAAUAGAAAAUAUAAAAACCUAGGUCAGUUGCUUUGUAAUUGAAAUUUCUGUACAUUUUCCACAAAUUAAAAAUAGGUACAUAAUAAUUUAUAGAAAAUAUAUGUACAUUAUUUAUCCAUAGGUAAAAAUACCGAUAAAUGCACAUAGGUGAAUUAUUUACCAAUAUAUUAUUUUUUUGCUAAGGAUUUACCUUAGUUUUUAGUAGAUUAAUUUACCUACCUAGAGGCAUAGGUAGCUUAAAAAAAAUGUACCACCUUAGUUGGUUGCAUACUAAUUUACCUACCUAGAGGCAUAGGUUGCUAAGAAAAAAUGUAGGUAAAUUCAUGUACCUAAACACAUAGGGGUCAAAUAGAGAAUAACAUGUUAUUUCCCUUUGAACAAAUUAAUUUCAAACCAUAACAAUUAUUGAAUUUGGAAAUUGGUAUAAAUAAAAGGAAAUAAAUAAACUAUCAAUUUGAAAAUUAAAAUAAGAAAUGAUCAAGUAGUCAUAUUUGAAAAAAAAGGAAAGAAUAUAUUCUUGGUUUUUAUAGGAACAACGAGUAUAUUCAAACCAAACGGCGAUAACUACACCAAGCUUUAAUUACUUUUUUUUAAGGCCAAAAGUCACUUUUGGUCCCUGUAGUUCGGCAUUUCUACCACUUUUGAUGUUGUAGUUUCAAUUCCGUCAAUUUUGCCAUUGUAGUUUCGUAUUUGUAGCAAUUCAAGGACCUGUUAAUAUUAAUGUCAAUUUGUUUAAUGAUGCAAGAGGUAAUUUCGUCAUCCCAAAAUCCUUGAGCAUAAAAGAUUGUCUGAAAUUCUCCCCAUUUCAUAUUAGGGCUCGAAAUUCAACCACUAAUCCUAAUUUUUGAAGAACCCUAGACCCAAAUGACCAAUUUCAAGCCCUAAUAUGAAAUUACGGAAGUUUUAGAUGAGCUUUUAUGCUCAAGGAUUUUGAGUUGAAGAAACUGCCCCUUGCACUGUCAAAUAAAUUGACAGGAAUACUGACUUGUCCUUGAAUUGCUACAAAUACAAAACUACAGUGUCAAAAUUAACAGAAUUUAAACUAUAGGGUCAAAAGUAGUUGAAGUGUCAAACUAUAAGGACCAAAAGUGACUUUUAGCCUUUUUGUUUCAAUAAGGAAAAAACUGACCUAUUAAAUCCUUGGAAUCUAUACAAAAUUGAAACACAAUUAAUCAACAUUGAAUUGCAGCUAAUUUCUUAAACAAGGGUAUUAUAGGAAUUUAAAAAGUAUAACAUUUAAUCCAUUGAAUUUGAUUAGGAAACUUGAUGAAUUGAAUCCUAGUUAUAUAGUUUUUCUUAUAAAAAUCAGGUUUUAUUUAUAGACAAAUAAAACAAUGGGUUGUAGGUAAGAAAAUAUUAAUUUGAAGGGAAAGAGUCAAAUUUACUAAAUUAAUAAAGCAUAAAUUGGAAAGGGAAAAGAUCUAGAGGAUGCAUUGUAGGAUUGCUCAUGCCAAUAAUUGCACCCUCUCGAUAUUGAAAAACCUAUUGUUUAUUAUUAUCUUCAAUCCUGAAUGAUGCACCUAAAACCCAAGUGUCUCAGGCCAACCAUUGCGCUCAUACCACUUGUUGCAGUACACAUUCACCUGUUUUUAAAGAAAGAAAUUCUACCAAUCGAUAUUUUCUCAAAUUUAAUCACAUAGAUCUAUUAUGGUUAACCAUAUGUACUUUUAUCUGCCAUCCAGAGGUACCUUUUUCCAACGUGCAACAAUUGUAUUUGAUUCACAAUUAUGUCUGAUAUACAUCACAUCAUGCCACUUGCCUCAAAUGAAUUUAAUUGAGUGAGGCAAUGGGAAGUAAUUAAGCUCUAUAUUGGUGGGUGGAGUGUUACUUCUGGAACCCUCAUCAUUCGUCCAUACAGGGGAACAAUUCCCUUCCUUCUAUAAAAUGGGAGCAAUUCUCUCACUGUACUCUAUAUAAAGGAAUAAGUGUCGUCCACUAAUUAAUUACACUUUGUGAGAUUUGAUUUUAAUUAGAGUUCGAAUUAAUGUUGCAGCUAGCAGCGGUGGCACUGGCAAACCAUGCUGCUCAACCAGCACCUCCACUUUACUGGAAUUCCAUCCUGCCAAACACACAAAUGCCAAGAGCUAUCAGUGAACUUCUGCAUCCUGAUUUGUGUUGAAUAGAUAUAGUAUGUUACUGGAGUACGUAUGGCAACAUAUUCACAAAUGUGUCACGUAUUUUCCAUUAUGACGUUGAUAUAUAAUUGCAGACUCCACAAACGAAGAAAAGAGCACAAAUGUCAUGAAUGCUGUUGGGAAUGGAAAGCCAAUUGACCACAAGGGCAAACCUGAAAAUACUGUACUACCACAGCUUGCACGACGCCCAUUUUCUUACAAGAGUGAUGAUCGUCCCACUGACAAUCAACUCCAUUAUAAAAACGUAGCUAUUUUCUUCUUGGAGAAGGACAUGCGCCCUGGCACAACAAUGAGCUUCCAAUUCCCUAGAAAUUCAAACACGGCUACUUUCCUGCCACGAGAAAGAGCUCAAUCGAUCCCCUUCUCCUCUAACAAACUACCAGAAAUUUUCAACCAUUUUUCAGUGAAGCCAACAUCUGUGGAAGCCAAAACAAUUAAGCAAACAAUCGAAGAGUGUGAGGCUCCAGGCAUUAAGGGAGAGGAAAUAUAUUGCGCCACAUCUUUAGAAUCAAUGGUUGAUUUUAGCACUUCGAAGCUUCGAACAAGAAACGUUCAAGCAAUCUCGACGGAGGUAUUGGAAAAAGGUGCCACCAUGUCCAUGCACAAGCACACAACAAUGCCGGGACUGAAGAAGUUGGCAGGUGUCAAAGUCGUUUUGUGUCAUAAGCAGAACUAUCCCUAUGCUGUGUUUUACUGCCAUGUAAUAAAACCAACAGCAGCUUAUGUUCUCUCCCUGAAAGGCGAUGAUGGGGUGAAAGUUAAAGCAGUAGCCAUCUGCCAUCUAGACACAUCAGAAUGGAACCCAAAGCAUUUGGCCUUCCAAAUCCUCAAAGUUAAGCCCGGAACAAUUCCCAUCUGCCAUUUCCUUCCCACUGAUCAUAUUGUCUGGGUUCCGAACCACAAAUCUGCAUGAUCAUCACUUAGCACUGUACGUAUAAUAACCUUUACCCCUGUAUAAUUAUCUCCCUACUCUACUUAUUUCUGCCUCUUCAUGUGGUGUAAGAUAUAUGAUGAGAUGAAGUUUUUGGGAUUAGUGGUCGGGUUGCCUUAAAAACACAGAUUACAGAAACUGCUUGAACUUAACCCGAUCAUGUUUUCUCUUGUACUCGUAAAGCAUGCUGUUGUGGUUCUACUUAAUUUCGUCCUCCCCAAUGUUUGAGUGUUUAAUUGUUACGUUGGAAUAGGCUGCUAAUGCAUGUAGUUAGAGAAGCUUUCAUUUAUAUCAAAGUCCUCAAACUAUCAAGAAUUAAUGCAUCCAGAAACAUAUAUACCAAGACGCAAAACAACAUAUUUUCCAUGCUGUGUCGGUAACACCAAAGCAAACUUCCUUUAUCACAAAAGGACCAAAUUCCAAUACUAAUCUAAUCCAUCAUGUAAAGCAUACAAUCUACAACUGCCUCCCUAAAUUUGUCCAUUGGAUAUAUAUGUCACUUUUUGGUAAUUUGGUAUAGCAGCACCACGUAGUAUGCAUUUAACAGAAAAGUAAACAAAAUUGACAGUAGAACUAUUUGUCCUAACGAAACUGAAGUUGAAAGACCAUGAGAACGAUUUUGAAAAUUAAGGGACUCAAAUGAAAAUUGGGUCUAAGUUCAGGGACCAAUAAAACGAUUAACCCAUAGAUUUUGGAUCCAGUACCACAUCCCAAAGAGAAAACCACAAGUUUGCAAGCAAGUUUGUCCAUACUAACACUACGUACAGUAUGGGCAAUGUGCUAGACUCAUCUCACUUUCUCAACCUAUCCUAUACUUGUCUAAAAGAGUUUCUAAUUUAAUGUACUGAGAUUUACGAAAGAAAUAUCAGAGAAACAAUUUUCAGGCAAUAAAAAAAUGUCUUGGCAAGAAAAUGCACAAUUUGUUACAUAACUUAUUAAAUAUGAACAGUUGAAAGAAAAAAGAAUUUGGAUGAGGGAUUUGCAAAUUCCUAUGGCCCAAUUACCUUUUUUUCUUUGUUUUUUUUUGGUUCUUUUGAUCCAGUAGCAUAUUCCAAAGAAUGAAAACCACAGGCAUGCAAUGCAAGCUCUUUUCCCAUGUUUUCCUCUGUUUUUCUCCUAUCAUGGAAGUGAUUAAAACACACCUCUAAGCUUGUUUUGCGUUUGGUAGCCGAGUGUAAAAGCUCAAUGCAAGAUAGUUUGAGGUAGAAUUUUCUCCUGUUUUAUUAGGACAAUGAUGAGCUAUAUGUGACAACAAAUUGCUUUAAUAAUGAAAAUUAAAAAAGUGUGAUUCAUUGAAUAUUUGCGGGGUUUUGUUCAGAGCUGACAAAGUUCUAAGUCAACACAUCAAAUUCCUUUUUCCAACAAUCGUAUUUGAUUCACAAUUUUGUCUGAUAUACAUCACAUCAUGACACUUGCAUCAAAUGAAUUUAAUUGAGUGAGGCAAUGGGAAGUAAUUAAGCUCUAUAUUGGUGGGUGGAGUGUUACUUCUGGAAUCCUAAUCAUUCGUCCCUACAGGACUCUAGAACUCUCACACUUCUUACAAGGACUACUUAACUCUAUAGCUUAUUGCAUAUAGCAUAUAUAUGCAAACCCAAUUAGAAAUUCUACAACAGAAGCAAGAUCAAUCUCACUAUGCCUUCUAAACAAACAAACAAAUAAAACAAGCAUAUUAAUUGCUUUAAUCACUCUACUAACAUCAACACAGCACACUUAGUUUACUAACAGAUGAUAUAGAAAGGAAAAAAAAGGACCAAUAGGGAGAAAAUGGUGAACUAAGGAGAGACUAAUACUUCUGGUCCUUAGAAGGCAUAACAGAAAUAAUAGAGCACACUGCUUGAAUGCAAGUCAGUAUUAGGAGCAAAACAGCUGCAAUGAAAGAAAUAGUUGCCCAAGGUGUAUUGAAAUAAUGUUGCCUCAAAUUUGCCUUCCAUUUGUUCCAAGGCUUUCUGCAGUAGCUAUUAAGGCGCUCAGAAAGAGUAGCAAAGUAGAAGCUUUCACGAUACACUGCAAUUCCUUUUCCGAGGUUGUUAAUCAGAGUGCACACCUCAUUGUAGUCACCAAGCAUAUUUUUGACAAUCCCAUACUUCAGAAGGAACUCCACAUCCUUUUCGGUGUUCACAAACUCAUCCAUGAGUGAAACAUAAUCACUUAUGUAAUUCUUACGGCAAUGGCACUAUUCAAAGGCAAUGAGGUUAUGGAGUGUGAGCUCUGUGUAAUCGUUUAUUUUUAGUUUUGGAAUUUCUAGAAUCCCAUCGUUGAAUCGUGUUAACGCAGCUUUCCUUUCCUAGCCUACGCGGAAGUCAACUUCACAAUCUCCUCCUAGCAAUUAGCCUUUCCUACUGUAAAUCGGAUUGUAUUCAUGUCUAUAUUAUUUCCUACCUUAAAUAGAUAUCCUGUACUAGUAUACAUAGGGACUUUGUGUAAUCUGUUAAAUACAAGGAAAUAUAUACUCUACAUGGUAUCAACCUAACCUAGGGUUCUCUCUCUCCCCCUUAUUCGAUCCUCUUCUCCUUUAGGUCCACCUCAUGGCUUCGUUUGAAUCCACCAUCUCCCUCCCAAGCCCUAACUCUUCUCAUUUUAUCAAGCUUACUAACUCCAACUAUCUUCUUUGGCUCCGCCAACUCAAACCCUUUUAGUUGGCCAUGACCUCUGGAAAUUUAUCGAUGGCAUUCAUAAACAACCUUCUGCCCACACCUCCACCUCUACCACCACAACACCCACAACCACCACCACUCUUACCGAAAUCAAUCCUACCUAUGCUCAGUGGUACCAACAAGACCAACUCAUUGUUAGCUACAUCACCAGUACACUCUCUGAGUCCAUUUUCUCUCUCACUGUCGGUUGCAUCUCUGCCCGGGAUCUCUGGGAGUGUCUCCAAUGCCACUUCUCUUAAUCCAAUAUGGCCAGUGAAUCUGCUCUUCGUUUUCAACUCAUGGAUUUGCAAAAAGGCUCUCAACCCAUUGAUGCUUACCUUCGUCAUGCUAAGUCUCUUGCCGAUUCACUAGCUGCCAUCAAUUAACCUGUCUCCCCAAAAGAACUUGUCACUGCUGUGCUUCGGGGUUUAGGACCCGAUCACAAAAUGCUCAUCACAGCAAUUCUCAAUUUCUCUCCGCUUCCAGACUUUGCUGAUCUUCGUGCUCGUUUGUUAGCUUUUGAUGCACAGACUCCUCGAAUCUUUCCUGAUCAAAACACAACGCUAAUGGCCACCCAAUCUUCUCCUUACACCACCGGUCAUACUUCCUUCCCUUCUCACCGUGGUUGUGGCUCUUCCAGCAAUAGGCGCGGUGGCUGGUGCAGUAUUGGCCGUGGUGGCUGGCACAACUUCUCAUCUUCCUAGAGCAACCCGUGGAAUGGCUUCCAGCAGCCCUAAUGACCUAAUCAACUGUGGCCUCCUUUUGCUCUAAGUUUUGGAUCUCAAAGCAACUGGCCUUCCUUUCAACCUCUUUGGGCCCAAUCUGCCGCUUCUAGCAAACACUCUGCCCGACCCAACUCAGCUCCUGGUGUCUUGGGACCCGCUUGGUGCACCACAUGCAAUACCAAUCGACAUACUACUACAACAUGUCCUUAUUGCUACAAUGGCCCAGAAUUCUUCCUUUGCUGGGGCUCAAUUCAUGCAGCCACCUAACUCUACAUGGUACCCUGACACAAGUGCCACUCAUCAUAUGACUGGUAGUUCUUCUAAUCUCCAAAGGAAAUUAAAUGAAGGAGUCCUACGAAGGCUCAAGGCUCGAAAGCACACGAUCCGGCUCUGCUGCGGAGCUCACUCAACUACUGGCUGAGGGGGCGCAAAACAGAAAAUUGUGAGUGGACAAAAAUAAAAAUUCAGUUCAGUGUAAACCAACGUAAUAUAACCCCACCGUUUAGAAAACCAUGCAAGAAAUCCAAAUGCAUCUCAAAACCAUCAUAAUCAUCAAAUCAAAAUCAAAUACUGGAUGCCAAGUCCGAAAUCCAUAAAGAAAGCUUUACAAACCCACCAUCCAAAUCUUACAAUCCCACAACUAAACUCUCGAAAGCGUACCCAUUGGCAGUACCAGCAAGGAAGUAUCCUCACCGAGAAACAAGAACAAAAGAAUAGCUAUAUAUAUAAUUAUAUAAUAUAACCACACCUAGUUGUACCGGGAAAACAAUCCAACCGGGGGAUUGUUUGACUAGUCACCAUGGCAGAGUCAAAGUAAACAAAUUCCUCAAUUCACCAUGUGACUAGGGAACGAGCUGUCCAACUGGGGGACCAACUCUCAGCCAGCAUGUACCGUCGAUAGCCUCAAAACCCGUACGUCUGUGACCAGUCCUACGCGUGCAGACUACCCAAUCAAGGGUUUACAGCAACAUCCCAUCAAGGAUGCCCUAGGUUCCCACAAUUCCAAGUAUCUCAAGUUUGCGUAUCCAAGUUCCAAAUCCGGGGAGGUACAUAGGGUAGUGCUUAUAGCACUCCAAAUUGACAUUCUAUACUCAUCACUUUCCACAAUCUCAUCUCAACAACCUAAGUACCCCACACAUAGCCAAACAUAUAUAGAAAUUCUCAAAAUCCAUAUAUACAUACUCAAGAUACUCAAAUAUGUCAAAAUCCAAAAUAUAUUUCCAAUGCAUCAUAAAAAUAUCACUUUUAACAAUUGAAUAAAUAAUAUAUAUCCAAUAUACCAAUUAAAACAUCAUGCAUAAUAUUUCCCAUCAUAAAAUCAUGCAUAAGAUUUGAAAACAAAGUCCACUCACAAGUAGUCCCACACUGCUUGACCUUGAGAGGGUCCCGCCUACUGCGUAUGCGUGGUUGGAGUACCUAUUUCAGAAUACGUAUACGAGAUUAAUAAGAAGCGUUUCGAACGAGAACUUUGAAUUAAAUAUCCUAAUUUCCCAGGUUUCUAGUAAGUGUACUAGGAACGAGACGUUCUAAGGUUCCACUACCCAAUUCGAACCAUGGAAGAGCUUCGGGAGACACUCGGUCAACCGGCGGUCAAAUUCCCAAAUCGGGUCAACUGGCCCACGGGACCCACGACCUCCGUUUUUAAAAUCCGUAAGUUCCUAAAGGUUUCACAAUGUCUAAGAUACUACUAUCACAAGUUUGGUCCGAAACGGACUGUUAGAUCGCUUACGAUCGCACGAUCAGACGGUUAUUGUAAAACGUAAACUUUAAGUUAUUGAAUCAGAACAUCCGGGGCUCCGAUUCACGAUCCGCGAAUUCCUACACGAUCCUAGGAAGGUCUAGAGUAACAUAUAUUGGAAUGGAGUCGAUCCAAAGGUCCGAACAUAUCGAACCUAGACCGGAUAACUCCUAAUAUGUGAGAUUCGUUCGGGGUUCGAACAUCAACCAAAUUGGAAUCCUAAGGUACCUACGUGCUCGUGACAUUAAGGGGAUCAAUUGGGACAAAAAUGCCCCUCUGCUACAGUGCCCACGUGCCACCACACGCGGCGGUAGAGAGUGGGUGUCCAAAGCGAUUUCUCUUCGCCGGAAAAUCUCCAAAUUACAAGCCACUCUCCUGGCUACAGGUUCUACUCAACGAGUGGAACACUUUAUUCAACUACAGCCAAGUCCAAUUCGGACGGCAAGUGGCCGGAAACUCACGGUUUAACCCGGAACUUCAUGGCUUGGAUUGGGCGACCAUCGUCACCAUUGUCGUGGCACAACCUAGGAAAUAGCUAAAAGGAGAGGAGGGCUACCUAUUCCAAGCGAUGGCGCAGCUCGCGGUAGCCGAAAAUGUAGCCGAUGACGUUGGCAGUUUUGGCCGGUUUUUCACGUCGUUGCCAUCGCCGUUUGUCGAGUUUUCGAUUGGAGAAAAGGGGUGGGGUGAGUAGAGGAGGAAGAGAGGAAGCUUUUGCAAGAAAUGACACUUGUCAGGGAGGGGGGGGUUGGGGGAAGAGAGAGAGAGAGAGAGAGAGAGAGAGAGAAAAAAAAAAAAUUUCAGAUUUUCAUCCAAACCCUUUUCGAAAUAUUUACAAGUUUGCCACUAAACUACUUUUGGUUGCCAAAUCUUCGUUAUAACUCCGAUUCAAGCCUACCACGUGUCUACGGAUUCGUCUCAAUACAACCUACCCAAAAAUACCAGUCACUGCCCCAAACUCUUUUUGGGUAAGAAAAUGACCAAAAUACCCCUACCCCAAGGGUAAAUUCAUAAUUUCACUUCAAUAAUUUAAUAAAGAAUUAAAUUUGGAGUCGGGGUGUUACAUUAACUACCUGUUUAGUAGGUGUGGGGUUUUAUACAAAAAGCAUCGAUGUUAUUGGGAGUGGAACCACUUAUUAUAAGUUGUGAUUUAUUUAGUCAAGUUUCCUAUGUGGGAUUUUCUAUUCUUCAACAAGCCCCCUCAUGUGGGACCACCACAUAGUGGGCCACAUGUAAAGCUAAGUCCACAUCGGAGUCAAUCAUUCAAGCCCAAUACCUAAACACCACGUAUUGUGUGAGGGGUAGGGGUAAACAUUCAAGCCCAACAUGUGAACCACCAAAUAUUAAGUAAGGGUAAAGGCUCAAUUCAGGCCCAAUCAAUGAACCCAUUAUGAUAUCAUGUUAAAUUUCAGAUAGACGGGACUGUGGCCCACCACUAGCAACAUUGAUAUUGUCCCCAACUUAACUACAUGUUUAGUAGGUGUGGAGUUCUAUACAUAAGGUCUCGAUGUUUUUAGGAGUGGAACCACUUAUUAUAAGUUAUAAUUUAUUUAGUCAAGUUUCCAGUCAACCUGACUUUGAUACCAUGUUAAGAUUUUAAAGGGACGAACUCUUGGCACUAUUAGUAACAUCGACAUUGUCCCCAACUUAACCACCUGUUUAGCAAGUGUGGGGUUUUAUCCUAAAGGCCUCGAUCUUAUUAAGAGUUGAGUCAUUUAUUAUAUGGAACUUUCUAUUUUGUUAACUCUGUGUAUUCUUCAUCAAUGUGAACACCCCUAAACCAAUCAUACCUGAUACGAAUUGAAACACAAGUUUGUUUUUUGCCUUUGGUAGAUGAGUAGCUAGAAAAGCUCAAUGCACUUGCUCUUCUGCUACAUUUCAAUAUAAGAACAAGGUUUGGAAGUCAGGUCAACUCCUCAUAGCUUCCUUGCCUUUGCUUUGACAUGUCUAUGCACUUCUUGGGGAAGUUUGAAUAAUCCAUUGCAGGCCCCAUGACAACUAAGGAACCAACAUUUUGUAGAAGGUUUUGUCUAUACCUUUUGACUAUAAGUAAAAUCUUUUGUAUCUGCUCUUAUGUUUCGGUGAAGUUUCUAUGUGUCCUUUGUGCCGAGUUUCUAUGCGUCCUUUGUUGAACCAAAAAAUGAGGUUGUUUCUUACUAGAUUCAAAUACUUAAAAGAAAAAAAGAAAUUGUUGUUUCUUAAUGGAUUUUAUGAUGAACAAUAUCAAACUCUCCUCUUAUACGUCUGUUGGUAAAUUUUAACAACAAUAUUAAAACCUUGCAAGUGCACAAAUCAAAUGAUAGUAUAGUAAGCAAGCAAGGGUCGAUCCCACGGAGAUUGUGAUCUAAAGAGAUGUUUAUCAAUGUCACGCAAUGAAAAUCAAAACAAAGGACUUCCAAACACACGCCAACACCAAGGGGGGUUUUGAUUUGUUUUUGUGAAUCAAACAAAAUAAGGAAAAGGAAACAAAAGAGAAUUUAAAUUAGAGUUUAAGAGAAAUUGGUUUAAAAUCAAUCAAGAUCAAUAGCUAGGACUUACUAUCCACCUCCAAACAAUCAAUCAAUCCAUAAACAACAAUAGAUAAUCAAUUUCUAGUAAGCACACUACUACAAAAAAGCAAAAAGACGACGGUAAAUCACCGUCGUGUAUUCGGUUUUUCAAUGGUCGUGGAAUCCACCGUCAUCUUUUCCCUCAUAAACCACGACGCUAAAUCACCGUCGUUGUUACAAUAUACAACGUCAUCAACAAAUACAAAACGACGUCUUUGUACUGCAAAAAGAUCUAAAAAAGCAAUCGAUGAUGAGAAAAGACGACCAACUCUCUAAACAAACCGUCGUUAAAAAGAAAAAAUAUGACACAUAUUAACAGAACAUGGCCGCAAGAUAGACAUACAACGACGAAAAUUAAAAUAAGACGCCGUUAAAUAUCAUUUUCACGACAAUAAAAAAUAUGUCGUCUUUAAAUACAUUAGAAGACGACGUUAUUGAUACCUACUACGUCGCCUAUAUAAAAAUAACCGUCGUAAAAUAAAUUUUCCACUUCGAUUUUUCUAUAAAAGAUGACGUGGAAAUAGUUGUCAGUGUCAUUAUUUACGACGUAUGUAUUUAUAGAGUAGACGUUGAACAACGAAACAACGUCGGUUACAAAUAUAUGAGAGUCGUAUUACAAAAUUUAUACGUCCUAUUUUCAGAAACAAACAACGACGAUAAAUAUUAGACGUUGUUAAAUAAAACAACGUCGAAAACAAAUAAAAACAGACGUGUUUAGUCUGCUAAAGUUCUAAAAAAUAGUCGAGGAUGAGAAUAGACGACCAACUCAAACAAAUCACCGUCGUUAAAAAGGAAAAAUAUGACACAUAUUAAAAGAACAAGGCCGCAAGAUAGACAUACAACGACGACAACUAAAACACUACGCCGUCAAAUAUAAUUUUCACGACAAGAAAAAAUAUGACGUCUUUAAAUACAUGAGAAGACGACGUUAUUGAAAUAUACUACGUUUCUUAUUUACAAACAACCGUCGUGAAAUAAAUUUUCCACUUCGAUUUUUCUAAAAAAGAUGAUGUGGAAAUAGUUGUCAGUGUCAUUAUUUACGACGUAUGUAUUUAUAUAGUUGACGUUGAAAUGCGAAACAACGUCGGUGGCAUUUAUAUAGUCGACGUUGUAUUUAUAUGUAUUCAUUACUCACGACGCACUUAUUAAUAUAGACGACGUUGAACUUCUAAACAACGUCGGUUCCAAAUAAAUGAGAGCCGUAUUACAGAAAAUAUAGAUGGCGUUGAUUAUGAUGAGAGCCGUAUUACAAAUAACGUCGUUUAAUUGAUAUUAGACGGCGGUUAUAAUGAAUUACCGUCGGAAUUCAUUUCGUUCCUCUUCGUUUAUAAAAGAACUUGCGACGUGGAAAAUGUAUGAUGACGUCGUAUUUUUUAACGUUCAGAUUAUAUAUCUCGUUUUUUAGACGUCGGUAUUAUGGGAUUGGAGUCGUGUUAUUUUGAAUUACAUGGCGGUUCUUAAUCCUUCCCCGACGUGAUAUCCUGAAUAAUUGCUUCAUAAUAGCGUCGUGGUUCUUCAUUGUUACGUUGCUUUAAGACGUCGGUAAAUAUGCUGAAUAACUGGUUCACAAUAACGUCGUGUUUUAUUUGAACGUAGAAAGUGAAGAAAUCACAUUACAAUAUAUUACAAAAUUAAUGUCAUACACUGCCAAUUACAUAAGCAUCAUUCAAUCCAUAUAUCUUCACACCCAUCUCGAAUAUUUUGACCGCCUAACUCACCCACCAGUUCAUCAAAUGUGUCAACAUUUGGCAUCCCUCUAGUAAAUGGCUCACACUCAAUUAUCACAUCACCUAAGACUUCAUCACCAAUAACAUUAUUAUAUUCUCUAUUAGGCAUUGAUAACACUACCGACCAACCACGAUGCAUCGGGUCGUCAACAAAAAAUAUUUGUUUGACUUGAGAAGCCAAAACAAAUUGGUCAUUCCUAUGUCCAAUUUUACUCAAAUCUACAAGGGUAAAUCCAAGUUCGUCGACUACAAGACCAGAACUAUCUAUCCAAUCACACCUAAAGACUGGGAUUGUAAACUUUUGGUAGUCAAGGUCCCAAAUUUCUUGAAUGACACCAUAGAAACCCAUAUUUGAGAGAAUUGAGUUUUUAUCCUUGGCACUAGCAACUUGCAUGGUAUGUGCAAGUAAAUAAACUCCACUAUUUUGAGUUGUCCGCACAUCAUCUUGUGCCUUGAUAUUGAAUUUAAUACCUUUAAUAAGAUAGCUCCUAUAUAAUGGCACAGCCAUGUUUGGACCAGCUGCUAGCCACCUUAAAUUUUCUGAUACGCCAUGAUUGUCUUCCUCAAGUUCACUUUGAACCUGCAAAUUAAUCAUAUAUCUUAAUGCAAUCUAACAUAGAAAUAAGAAGAAAAUUAAAAGAGAAAUAUGUUAUUCAACAACAUAUACCUUGAAGCGUAGCCAUUGAAUGAAAGUGUUAUUGUGCUUAUCCUGCAGCCACUUUGUGAUUUAAGGUAUGACAAUCAUGUGAUUUAAGGCCAAGAAGUCUUGAAUCUUGUAAAGAUACAAGAUUUUUAAUAUUUGAAGAAUAACCUUCAGGGACCUUCAUACCAUAGAAAGAAUUGCAAACCUCUCUCUUCUCUGCUCUUGACAAAUUCCAAGGCCCAGGAGGCAAACGAGUACGUCUUUCUCCAUACUCGGGUUGCAAAUCAGUUUUGACCCCCAUGUUCAAUAAAUCUAAUCGAGCAGCAAUCCCAUCUUUAUUUUUUCCAGGGAUCUCCAGCAAUGUACCAAUGAUACUAUCGCAAACAUUCUUCUCAAUGUGCAUAACAUCUAGGGCAUGCCUCACAGGAAGGUAUUUCCAAUACUCGAGAUCAAAGAAUAUUGAUUUCUUCUUCCAACAAACUCUGUCACCAUUUUCAACCAUGUGCAGCACUUCUUCUCCGGUUAAUGGCUCGGGAGGUAUGCCAUAUUCAGGUUUCCCAUUAAAAGCUGCACGUUGCCUCCUAUAUGGAUGAUUGAUUGGUAACCAUUUUCUAUGCCCAAUGUAACAAAUUUUGUGGCCAUUUUCAACCUGUGACUAGGUGUAUCAUCGCCGCAUAUUGGACAAGCUUUAUAUCCUUUAACAACACAACCAGAUAAGUUUCCAUAGGCGGGGAAAUCAUUAAUUGUCCACAUUAAUGCAGCUCUGAGUGUAAAGUAUUCUCCAUUAUGUGCAUCAUACACUCCUCUAAUCCCAUCCCACAAAGAUUUUAAAUCAUCAAUCAAAGGCUCCAAGUAGACGUCUAUAUCAUUUUCGGGUUGUUUAGGACCGGAAAUCAAUAAGGUUAACAUCAUGAACUUUCGUUUCAUGCACAGCCAUGGAGGGAGAUUAUAUGUAACUAAGAUAACCGGCCAACAACUAUAUCUGCUACUUAGAGAACUGUGGGGAUUGAAUCCAUCAGAUGAAAGAGCCAAUCUCAAGUUUCUCGGCUCAUUACCAAACUCAGGCCAUUUAUCAUCAAGAAGUUUCCAAGACGGGGAAUCCGCCGGAUGAGACAUCUGACCGUCAAUUGAUUUUCUAGCAGCAUGCCAAGUCAAACUCUUAGCUGUCUCAUGUGAUUGAAACAUCCUUUUAAACCUUGGAAUUGGAGGAAAAUACCACACCACCUUCGCUGGCACAUCCUCUUUCAAGAUUGAAUCUUUGCCUUCCUUCCACCUUGAGAUACCACAAGUAGGACAAUUAGUUGAAUCCUCAUACUCCUUCCUAUACAAGAUGCAAUCAUUGGGGCAUGCGUGCAUUUUCUCAUAACUCAGCCCCAAUGCACACAAAGUCUUUUUUGCCUCAUACAUAGAGGUUGGUAUUGUAUUUCCUUCUGGAAGCAAAUCGCCUUGAAGUAUCAAUAAUUCUGUAAAACAGACAUCACUCAUCCCAUGUUUUGCCUUCAAAUUAUACAACUUCACUAAUGCCGAUAACUUCGUGUACUUUCUACAACCAGGGUACACUGGUUGAUCUCCAUCCCCAAUCACAUUGGCAAACUCAUACGGAUCGGAACCAAAAUCACCAAAAUCAUUAUCAUCCAUAUCAAUUUCUUCAGACACAAAACUGUACCUACUAUGGCCAUCAUCUUCUUCAACAUUUCUACUAGCAUUAGUAGUUGCUUCCCAAGGUUCUCCGUGAAAUGUCCAAUUCUUAUAGCUUUGGUCAAUUCCAUUAAAGUAUAAGUGAUCCCUUAUAAUUCCAACCCCAAACAACUUCAAAUUAACACAUUUAACACAUGGACAACGGAUAUGUGUUGUAGUUAGAAGAUUUUCUACAGCAAAGUUCAAAAAUGCUUCCACCCCAAACUCAUAUGCCUUCGAUCUUCUAUCCGAGUGCAUCCAUGACUUAUUCAUCUCCGACACUAUAACCUAUUAUCUAUAAUAAAGUGAAAAUACAGGCAAUGACCAUCACUAUAGCAGAUUAUACAAAGAUCUAAUAGCAAGUAAUACAUAACAGAGACGACGGGUUUUAAACAAAAACAGACGUAUUUGGCAUAUAUAGACGACGGAUUUUCAACAGACGUCGUCUAAUAUAAGUAAUACAAACGACGGUUUAUGAAAAAACCGUCGUGUAUAAGUAAUACAACGACGGUUUUUUCAUAAACCGUCGUGUAAUCGUCGUCGUAUGCCUAAAAAGGCGUCGUGUCUCAGUUUAUUUUCAAGAACCCAAAACCCAUUAAGAACACAACAUAUAUAUGAAACCAAGCAAGAAACCAACAUAUACAUGAAGCCAAGCAUGAAAACAAUAAAUCCAUUCCCAAUUCAACAUAACAUAGGGUGAUUAAAAGAUCCGACAAAAUUAAAACCAUUCCCAAUUCAACAUAACAGAUAAUGUAAUCCAUGAACCCAUUAAACAGAAAAUCCAUGAACCUAUACCUAUAAGCACAUUAUUAACAGAUCGCAAAGCAUAUACCUAAAACCCUUUAACAAAACAACCUAAUAUCAUUCAAUGAAUUUACAAAGGGAAGAUAGGGUUUGUACUUACAGGUUGGACGAGCUCACAGAUUCGACGAAGCCUGGAGAGUGCAACUUUUAAUUAGAGCAGAAGUGAGAGAGCGAAUGUUAUGUUGCGCGAAAUCUGAAAAUUUUAGGGUUCAGGGUUAGAAGUAUAAGAAUAAGAGCCAAAUAUAAAAAAAUUUAGGGCGCGCGAAAAUUUUUAGAGCGCGCGCUCUUUAAAACGUCGAAAGAAAAACCAUGGCGAAAGUUCUACAAGAACCGACGUAAAUGUAAUAUUCCACGACGAAAACACUUAACGUAACGCCGUUUAUUUUGACGUUCAUUUUUCGGAUUAAUUUUAAAUUUAUUUUGAAUAUUUUGAUAUAAAGACGACUGAAAAACCACGUCGAAGUUAAGAAAUUGAAAACGUUGUAAAUUAUAAUAGACGACUUACAUAUUAAAAUGACGUCGUUUAAAGUGGAAACCAUGUCGGAUAUUUUACUGCACGACGUAACAUAUGUAUUCCACGACUCAACCACCGUCGUUAACAAUUAAUACCCUAAACCCUUAAAACUAAAUUAUAUAAUUUUAAAAAUUAAGUUUAUAAAAGGGUUUAUGGUUUUACAGCCUAAUAUAUACCCUAUACUACCCAAAAAUUAUACUUUAAAAAUAAACCCCAAUAAAUAACAACCCUAAUCUCUAAACCCUAGACUCUAAACCCUAAACCAUAAAACUAGAAGUGAUUUUAUGACUCAUCAAAACAAUUUUGUUUUGGAUGGUCAUUUUAAAUUUUUUUUAUUCAAAAUGAAUUUUUUCAAGGUUUAGGGGGAAGAAAAUAUAUCAAUGACUUCAUAGGAGUUGACUUUUCAUUUUUCUGAUUUAUUUUAAAUUUAUUUUGAAUAUUUUGAUAUAAAAAUAAUAAAAUAUUCUUAUCACAAUAACAAACCACGUCGGUGUUAAUAAAUUUUAGACGUUGUAAAUUGUAAUAGACGACUAAGUUGUUAAAAUGACGUCGUUUAAAUGAGAAACCAUGGCGGAUAUUUAACUAUCCGACAUAAAAUAUAUAUUCCACGACUUAACCGCUGUCGUUACAAAGUACUACCCUGAACCCUUAAGAAAUUGAAGACGUUGUAAACCAUAAACGACUCAAUUGUUCAAAGAACGUCGUCUAAAUAUCCUUUUACGUCGGAUUUGGUUAAAACGAAACAACAAAAAACGACGGCUUUUGACUUUAUUACGUCGUUGGAAAAGUAUUACACGUCGGUUACGCAAUUUGUAUGUUUGUUUUUUUUUUUAAUUUAAGAAAACCUCAACAAAUUUUUACAUUAUAUAUUAUAGACAAAAUUUGUACAUUAUACAUAAAUAUCAAGUGUUCAAUAAUUCCCCUAUUCCAGGUGAAGGCAAACAAACUCUGACCAUUCAUUCCGGACUUCAUCAAUUGCUUCUUGGGGGUAUGGCGCUUCCUGUUUUCCCUUGGCAUACUGCAUAAACAAUGACUAUUAGGGUUUAUAAAUAAAAAGAAAUUCAAUCACAGACGACGAUAUUUUUCAUAACCGACGUACUAUAUCUAUUCAACGACGGUAAUUUUACAUGACCGUCGUUGAUAAUACAAAAAACGACGUAAAAUGUAUGAAGGUAAUUUCUUCUUACCUUCUUCUCAAACCCCAAGGAAGGAUCCAUGAUGAUGUCCCUCAUGAAGCGCAUCACAUAAUACCCGCAUUCGACAUUGCUGGGUUGCUUUGGUGUCCCUGACAGAGUUUUCCAAAUGGCUGCCUUACGGCCUGGUCUGGCUAUGUGAGAAUUAUAAAUUUUUAUAGCACUGUUCACAAUGUUUUUGGCCUCUUCAUCGACCACACGAUUUCCUGGCAGAGGAUCCAGAAAAUAGACGGUUUCUCUCUUUGCUCUUACAAUCAGCAAGAUCCAAUGACGGCUGCACAAAAUUAAUAUAAAAACGACGGUUAUUUACAAUAACGACGUAUUAUAAUGUUUCACACGACGAAAUAAAGUAGCAAUCGACGACAUUUUACAUUUAUCACGACGAUAAAUAACUACCGACGUGGUUAGUAGUUUCAAACGACUCAAUAAAAUAAAACACCGACGUGGUUAGUUUAUACGCUGUAAUUUAUUGAAAAUCAUAAAAACAAAAUCCUGUUAAGGAGACUAACCCUGGAUUGUAAGGCAUCAGGAAAAUCUGUUCACCGUCAGUCUUUUGAAGUCGAGCUGCUAGUAAGCGUGAUCUGUCAGCUAUUGUGCCAGAGUUGGCACUAACUGUAGCAAGGUCGAUAAAGCCAACCAUAUUGCACAUAUUUGCUCGUUUCAAAACAUCGUGCAAGUGCCUAAAUAUAUAAAAUAAUAUAAACAAGUCAGCACAAAAAAACACACGACGGUUAUGUAUAACAAAACGACGUAUUAUAAAAUUUCACACGACGUACUGAAAUAGACAACGACGUUAUAAUAUAUUUAUCACGACGGUAAAUACUAACGACGUGGUUAGUUAGUUAAGACGACGUAAUAAAUAAACCAACGACGUAUUAUUUUAGAAUGACAAACCUCAUAUAUACAAAAAAACACGACGGUUAUGUAUAACAAAACGACGUAUUAUAAAAUUUCACACGACAUACUGAAAUAGACAACGACGUUAUGAUAUACUAACGACGUGGUUAGUUGGUUAAGACGACGCAAUAAAUACACCAACGACGUAUUAUUUUAGAAUGACAAACCUCAUAUAUACAGCAAUGACAGUGGCUCCUAUUUCUUCCAUGCCUGCAAAUUGUGUAAUAUCUUCAGGCAGGAGGAAGGUAUCGCGCUCUAGACCAAACACCUCCUUAUCAAUUGUAAAGUGCAGGGUCUUAUCCUGAGGCACGAGUGUCGUUUCCACAUAACGACAAAGGGAGUUUAAAGAAGAUGGCGCCUCCAUAUUUGAAUAAUCAACAACUUUAAUAACCUGUUUAAAGAAAUAUAAAAAAUGACGUGGUAAUUCAAUAAAAACGACGGUUUAAGGAAUAAAACGUCGUCUGAAAAGAAUUUAAACGUCGUCUGAAGAAACCGUCGUGGUGAAUAAUUUAUUACGUCUUAAAAAAAAUUCCGCCGUCUAAGUUGUAAACAAACGACGGUUUAAAGAAAAAUAUCGACGUCUGGAAUUUUGAAAAACAAAUAAAAAAGGCAAAGUUAUGUGAACAUACCUGGUCGUCAUCUUCUUUCUCCUUUUCAUCAUGUUUUUCUUCUGUCUUCCCUUCAUCUAUUACGUCGAGAAUGACUAACUCCGUCGUCUAAAAACCACAAAGUUUUAAAAUAACGACGUUUAAUGGCGUGUAAAACAAGUAAACUAAAUACGACGUGGUAUUGAAAUACAAACGACGGUUUAUGUUUAAAAUCGUGGUGGUAUGUAUUUCAAACGACGGUUUUAUUAAUAAUAACGACAUCUAAUGGUUUUUAAAAAAACAGAGAAUUCAAAGUUCAGAUAUGUUACCUUUUCUUCCUGAUGUUUCCCAUUUUUGGCAGUAUCAUCCUCAAAAUGCUGGGAUCUCACAUCACCUCCAGAGCAGCUUGCUUUGUCAGACAUUGGAUUUUUGGGACUUUGGCUAAUUCUGGGUUUAAGCAUGCUUGGAUCAAAAUUGGGAAUUAAUUGGGAAAGCUGACUCAGGAAAUGCUCCCUCUCAGCCUCUACCAAUUGUUUCGUUCUAGCCUCCAUCCUUAAAGCCUCUUCCCUUGCCUUAGCUUCCAUCUUUUUAGUCUCUUCUUGAAGGAGAACUCUUAAACUGUCCUUCAAACGGUCGUCAAAGCUCACUCUCUGUGGUUUGGGUAAAUUGAAAUAUUGCCUUGGUGAGAUCCCAGCACCUACUCCUCUCACUCUGCCUGGAUGCUCGGGGCCCAAAGCCAUGGUCAGCACAUCAUUGCUGCCAGAAACAGUGACUUUGCCUUCCGAGACUUGUUUUUGCAAUUCAUCCUAAAACAAAGAUAUAUAAAAAAGUAAGAACAAAAACACACGACGGUUAUUUAUAUACAAACGACGUAUUAUAUAAUUUCACACGACGCAAUAACAUAUAAAUCGACGUUAUUAUAAUUUAUCACGACGGUAGUUUUUAAACCGACGUGGUUAGUUUUUAAAACGACGAAAUGAAUAAACCACCGACGUCUUAUGCUUUAUUUACAGAUAACAGAGGGAUGAUUCAAUAUUCACACCUUUAACGACCUUGUUUAAAAUAUUUCGACGUAGUAAUUCAAUACAAACGACGCGAAAAUGAACCACCGACAUCUUAUGCUAUAAUUACAGAAAACAGAGUAGUGAUUCCUGAUUUAGACCUUUAACGAUGUGGUAAUAUCAUUCACACGACGCAAAAUAUAACAUAAGACGUAAUAAGAAUUAUUCACAGUUUAAUAAAAAUUUAAAACAGAGUGAGUAGGCUUACAAUUAAUUUUGCUUUCUCUGCCACCUUUGGAUCCGGGAUGUUACCAUGUUUGUCCUGUCUAGCUCUCUUCCAUAAGGUAGAUCGAUCAAUUUCUACCCCAGGCAUGGUUUCCUCCAAUUGAUCCUCCAAACCAGCAUAUCCUUUUCGAGACAAUCGAUGAUUGUACUCAAGUUUCUCCCUAAUCUGUGCAUGUUGAGAAUGCACAGACUCAAAAUCUUUGGAUAACCUUGAAGCUACAAAGGCAUCCCAUUGUGCUUUCUCUAUGAAUUUAUAUAUUUCAGGGGGUUGGCUUAAUCUCUCCCUGUCAUUAGUGUAUGGAAGGAUAUAUUGCCUCGUUAGUGUAGACUUGAAAUCCUUCCAUUUCUUGGCAGCAGAAGCUAACACAGAGCUCUUGCCCCCUUGACCUACCACAAAAGCAAUGUCAACUGCUUCCCAAAUCUGCUCCUUUAUAUCCUUGGAGAUUUGAGCCUAUUUCAUGUCCACAAGUGGAACUCUGGAGCGUGCCAACACACCAAUGUAGGACUGCAUCUCACUAUGUGCUUGGCCAAUUCCUUUCCCCCUUUUAUUGUACUCAACAAUUGGCCUCAGUUUCUGAAGUUUUCUCUUCACAACAUGAGGCAUUGUGCUCAUACCUCGACCAGACUUUGAAUCAUCAGAGAUUGUUGUCGUGCUGGUUCGUUCUGUCUCAGCAGAUGAUGAAGCAAACUUCAUCUUCUUCGAAGGCUUCACUUGAGGAGGUACCAUUCCAAGGUCCUUACCUCCAUUUUUCUUGGAGCCAGAAUCCUUACUUUGGUCUUAGUGAGAAACCAUUUUUACAGACAAAACUGCAAGUGAAAAUAUUUCAGGAAAAGAUUAAGAACACAAACGACAGUUAUUAAUAAAAUACGACGUAUGAUAUGAUUUUAAACGACGCAAUGAAAUAAUCUCAGACGUAAUAAAUGUUUAAAACCAAGGUAAUUAAACAACGACGAAAUAAUUAACUAUAAACGACGUGAUAAUUAACUAUAAACGACGAAAUAUUUAUAUAACGUCGUGGUAUUGAUGUUCACACGACGUCAGUCGUAAUAUACCGUCGUCUAUAUAAGGAUCCAAAACCCUUCUUUCUUUCUCUGUGAAUGUUUGAUUGCAGAUUUGAUUUUUCUGAACCAUGGUUUUUGUUUUCUAAUUUGAUAAAAUACAAGGCCAAGAAAGAAAGUUUUGGAAUCUUAUAUAGACGACGGUAUUUUAAUAUGACGUCGUGGUAUUAACAUUCACACGACGUAAAACAAUAAGAUACUGUCGUCUAUAUUAGAUACCAACCCUACUUUCUUUUUCUUUAUAUUUUAUCAAAUUAGGGAAAAACAAAAACCAUUGUUCAGAGAAAUCAAACCUGCAAUUAAACAAGCAAAUAAAAAAAAGACUAUAAUUUUAAAAACAACUUUGUCAAUUUUCAGACGACGCUAGAACGACUGACGAACCGUCGUGGUCUACAUAUUUAACCACGUACAUAAGAAGCUACCGUCGUCUUAUUUAGUUGAGGUAGUUGUCUUCAAAGUUGGAAACUUUCCCUCUUUGUCUGUAUAUUUUAUUGAACUUGGAAAGAAGUAAAAUGAUUUUGGCCAGAAAAAAGGUAAAAAGAUUUUUCAAACAAAAAACGUAUGAGCAUGCAAAACAACAACCAAAAUAGUGAAAAUGAAAGCUUACCUUUUGCGUGCAAUGAAAGCAAGAGGAAGAUUAUGUUUAAGUUCAGAGACGACGAAGAAGAAGAGAGGAAGACGAUGAGAUACUCUGACAGUGCUCUGACAAGGAAAAAAGUCUAAAAGUUUUCUCUGGGAGAUUGAACUUUUUAAUCGGGUUUGAAAACGGCGCAUGUGUAUGUCAGGUAGACGAAAAGUUGCUUACAUAUAAAACCAUUUCAAAAAAAUAAUACGGCGGUUACAUAUAACUACGACGUAUAAAUUACAAAAUACGACGGUACAUUUAACUUCGGACGUGGUAAAUAAAUACGACAGUAGUGUUGUAGGUACCGUCGUAGUAAACUCAAAAAUUAAAGUACAUAAGUAAUAACUCGCGUCAUGGUAGAUUAUUUAACACGUCGUUUUUAUUAAUUUACCGACGUGGAUUUCUGUAAUAUACGUCGAUAAUACCGACGUUGAUUUUACAAUUUAAACGGCGGUUUUUUUGUAAGGACCGCCGUUGGUUUUAAAAAUUUAUUCUAUAAAUUUGUCGCUUUCAUUCAUUUUCGGUUUACAUUUAAGGUUCCAAGUUCUUCCUCUCUCAGUCUCUCACGUCUCAAAGACAAUAAUUUGGAUGUCUUUCUCAAAGAGAAAUUGAGCUUACUCGCAUCAAAUAUAUGUCCACAAGAAGAAGCUUGUCAACUAGCCUUCUCACUUCCUUGAUCAAGCCUGAUAGGACACUUAGUGCUUCUGAAUACUCCUUGCUUUCCAUCAAAAGAGAUGCAAGCCUGGCCUCCACUCGCUGUCGAAGGAAAGUUCGCUUCUCAGGGAAAUCUUCUUGAUUUUCUUGGCUAAGAAGAUCCGUCAGAUUUGUGAUAGCCUCUUCCUUUAUCCGUAGAGCUUCAGAAGAAGAAGAUGGGUUUCAAGAAUGCGAUAAAGAAUAGAAAUGGCUUCAGAUGGCCUCUAAAGCAUGAGCAAUCGAAUCAGUAGUUGUUGGGAGAUAUGAUGAAGACAUUGUCAAUGCUUUGAACUAUACAAGUCCUGCAGAAAGAUAAAGGACCAAACUGUUAAAGAAACUGAAACAAUGGCGGUUUUCUGUUCUACCGUCGUCUUUUCUCGUCGUCUAUAUUAAGGUAAGAUGGCGGUAGAUUUAUAAUUACCGACGUAGAUUAUUUUGUUAAACGUCGUUAAGUGUACUACAACCGACGUGGAUUUUAUUUUUAAAUUAUAAAUAGAGUUUUUUUUCCCCUAUUCUUUCAGUUUUAGUUUUCAAUUACAAAGCGUGAUAAAUAGAUUUUUCUUUCCCGAGGAAAUUUAAAAUGAGGGAAAUUAAUGUUCUAGAAUUUGUAAACUAACACGACGCAAUAUUUGCAAAUCUGUGUCAUCUGUUAAGAUUAUGAUGUGGAACAGAGUUCCAUCUGGUAAGAUUUCGUAACCCUUGGGAUCUCAGACAAAUCUGAUUAUGUCGGCGGUUUUCUAUAUAAAUCGUCGUGGUUAUUUCAAUUCUUGUCAUUAAGUAGAUCUACCGACGUAGGAUAAGAAAAUCAAAGAAAAAAAUUGUUAACAAAAAUUCUUAUUAAGACGACGGUUAAAAUUAAAGGUACGACGUAUAAAAUGAAUAAAUACGACGUUAAAUUUUAUUGUACGAUUUAAAGAUAACGUCGUAGAACUAUAAGAGAAUGACGUCGAUAUAUUUAUAUUUUCCGUCGUUGUACAUUAAUUUAAUACGGCGAUAUUUUGUAUUUUAAAGCCGUGGAUUUGUUUGUAAUUAUACGGCGUCUUAUACGAAAACCUCGUCGUGUUAUUUUAUGAGUAAAAACGGCAGUUUUUAUUGAAAUCGUCGUCUUUACUUUCUACGUCGGUCGAUUCAUAACUUCUGCCGUUCUUUGUUGGCAUUGAUUUUACACUGCGAAAAUCUGUUUCAAAUAGACGUCGGUUGUUUAAUUAUGUACGUUGUUGUUUUUGAACAGCCAUUUGAAUCUCCAUUUUUUAGUUGUCUAAGGUUGUAUUACACGACGGUGUUUUUAGAACCGUCGUCUUUUUAAAAACCACGACGGUUUUCACUUAGACCGUCGUUGUUUUCUGGUCGUCUUUUUCACUUUUUGUAGUAGUGGCAUAUGAUGACGACACUCACAACAAGAUCAUGGCAUUUGACUCGAGUUGUAUGAUUCUCUCUUAAGUGUAUGUAAAGUGUAUGACAUUUACAUCAAUACGUGUAUUCUUAAUUGAAAUCUACUAUGGCAUUUACUCAAAUUAACAAUCAAGAAUCCAUUAAGAUCAAAGAGAAUAUGAGUGUCACAAAAACCCUAAAACAUGGCAUUUGUUAUUAGGAAUUCAAGAAUCGAUUUCUCAUAACUAGUUCUUAACCCAAUUAUUCGUUGCAAAUAAGAACACAUUCAAUAUGGCAAUUGACCUAUGUUCUACAACAAUUUAAUUCCAAUACAUGCUUCUAAGUUAGCUACUCAAAGAAACAAAAUAUCAGAAUUCACAUAACAUAUAGAAACCGAAAACAUCACGCUUGUAGAAACUAAAAAUCCAUUAACCUUGUUUAUAAAAUUGAAAUCAUGUUUAGGGCUUCAAGAUUAAGCCCUAACUAACAAGAAAUUAGUUACUCAUGGUCUUGGAUGAACUCAAAAAUAAAUACAUAAGAACUGAAAAUUAAAGAAGGAAGGAAAAGAAAGAACUCGUUCGCAGCUUUCUCCUCUUGCGCUGUUGAUCUCUUUAGGACGUGAAUCCUUUUUAUCAGCCUUGCCUCGUCUUUUAUAUCACUUAUAUCAGAGUUCUAAACCCUAAAAUUGACUGAAAAGUCGUCCAAGAAGUCUUGGUAAACAAGGAAUCCAAAUAGGAAAGUAAAAAUCACAAUUCCUAACUCCACUGGGAAAUACAGCUCAGCCCAAUGUUCACACGAUUUUGGGAUCUUCGACCUUGUAGAAAAAUCAUUAAAAAUAUAUUUUAGAAAGAUAAAUGUCUUAUCUUUCCAACCAUAUAUAGCACGUAACUUGAAAAAUUCGGAAAGGCUUCCGUUUCUUCACAUUCACGUAGCAUGUACGAAACUGUCCUGUCUGCACGUGGGCUAACUUUACUUGUAAUACUGUACCAAUUGGCUCGGUAGAAAAUUCUAGAAAAAUCAUAGAUUGAACUUCAAGAUGUUAGCUUUCAUCUCCAAUCAGGGGCGGCCUUGGGGAGGUGCAAGUGGCGCCACCGCACAGGGCCCCCGAAAAAAAAAAUAUUUAUAUUAUAUAUAUAUAUUAAUAUUAUAUGAAUCGUAUAUAUAAUAUAGCGUCUGGAUAUUUGCACAACAGCGUGUUCAGGGGAGUUGGAUGGAGCACAUCUCUCUUUGGCAAAAGGGCCCGAGUUCGAUGCUCCUUGAUGUCGUUCUACUGGCUAGCCUUUUGUGAUAUUAUUUUUGCAUUCAAACUUUACAUAAUUAUUGAACCAUUGGAUUAAUAUGCAACGAUGGGUGACCACAAUCUCUUGGACUCCUGUGGUCCAUGAGAUCGGGACUGAUAUUACAUGACUUAUUUUAUUAAAUUAUUAUCAUGUUGAUGAUUGGUUGUAUGAGAAUAUAGUUUGUAGAAAUAUUUAUCUAUUUCUUGUUGGGGUUUUCUUCCAGGUUAUAGGGUUUUGGAAUUUUUCUUUGUAAUCUAAACAUGCCACCUACUAGAAAAUACGUUUAUGGAUAUACAAAACGGCUUAGAAAAAGAAAAUUCGAGGAAUUGACUCAAUCUCAAAGAGGAGCUCUUGAUAGAUUCAUUGUUAGAGAAUCACAUGCUACAAUUGAUGAAAAUAUUUAAAUUUUUAUGAAUUUAAUUUCUGAUUUUCAUUGCAUAUUUAUUGAUGGUGAAUUUUAGUUAUAAAAAAAAAUUGUUUAUGACAUUAAGUUAUGGCAAAUUUUUAUAGUAUUUUCGUAUUAGAUUAUGCAAGGCCCCAAUUUAAGUUUCGCACAGGGCCCUCAAAAUCUCAGGGACGGCCCUGUCUCCAAUUGGUCUUGUGCUAAAAUUCCUCCGAAAAGUUGAUUUUCCCUUAAAAACCUUCUAAGAGUGCAGAAAAGCUGAAAAUCAGAAAAAUAAAGUAAUAAGCCAUUUUUAAAUCUAAUUCUCUUACAAAACCAAAGUAAAAAGAGUACAUAAAUGAGUAUAUUUAUGGACUUAUCAACGUCUUCUUCGUUGGACUUGGGGUUGUUUUCCUUAUAUGUCCCCUAUAUAUAUAUAUGGCCUUUAGUUGAGCCCACAAAUACCUUCAGUUAGUUUUUGGGUUUAGGGGCCUACAGAACCUGCACUAAACAAUAAAAGAAAAUACCUAAUUAGUUUAGUACGAAUUUAUAAUGAAGGCUUUAUUAGGUGAAGUUUUAUUUCUUAAUCGUUAGAUCAAAUUGGUUAGCAUCUGAAGUCGCCCAAAGAUUUGAGAGGGAUUCCACAAACAUAUAAUAUAAAGAAAGAAAGCAAUAGUAGGAGAUGAACCAGUACAAAAAACAAUAUAUAAAUAGUACAUAAUAAUUCCAUAACCUUGUCACAAACGCACUCACAAAUGCUUUCCAUAAACCUUGCCCUAACAUAUAACAAAUAAAGGCAACAUUGCAUAUGAUGCAACCAUGUCCAAAUCUGAUACGUGAUAAAAAAAAAAGGACAUGGCAGCAACAUAUGACUGAAGUAGAUGGGCUCUUUGCAUCUCGUGUUAUCGUAAUUAAAGACAUCAAAAUAUUAAGGUUGAAAUCUUCUAUAGUAGCAAGCAUUAAAAUAGGUUUGAAGCAGAGUUUAAAGAAAAUUCCAAUUCCACUGAUUUGCCUCUGCUCAAAGACGAGAACCAAAAUGGUUACUUCCCUUGCUGAGUAUAUUUGUUAACGUCGGAAACGGUAAUAGAUGACCAAUCAAACCCAAGUACGACGAGUUUUGCAUAGGAUCAGAAGUAGUUGAAUCCAGCUUGCAUCACACGCUUCUUUGACUCCAUUGCAUUAGAUGAGUUUUUGUAUUUUUGAACAGCUACACUCCGAAGUCGUUUGUGUCUACGCUUCAUGCGCUGCAACUUCGCCCUAUCCAGAUUGGCCUGCCUUUUGUCAUCUUCAAUUUGGCCUUCAACAAAUUCCAAACGUGCCCUUGCCCUUUGGAUUUCAUCACCAAGUUGAAGAUGCCUCUCCUUCCAAAAAGCAAGAACUCUUUCAGACUCAAAACUUCCAACAAAAUGGUCAUUCUAUCUAGGAAUGUGACAUUGCUUGUCUGGUGACUCACCUGCGUUUCAAAGGCGGUCUUUGUUUGGAGGGGUGUUUAUUAUGCUCACAUCAAACUUGGUUAGUAAAUCCAUUCUAUGGGGGGAGUGAGUUUCUGUGGAGGAGAGAGUUUCAGUAGAUGGAGACAGAUUCGGUGGAGGAGUGAGAUUUUUGUGGAGGGAGAAUUUCUAUGAAAUGGGUGAUAGUAAUACCAAUAAAAGGGUUCCCGCCAAAAAGUAUUUGGUUGACAAUGUAUAAAUUAAUUUUUGGUCUGAUACAAUCUAAGUUUAAUCCUAACUAGUUUGGUUAGUUUGGUUGAAUUCACUAACUAGAUGUCACUUCCAUUGAGUUUCUUUCAACCACUAUCAGUGGUGUAAGGAGAGUGUGAGGUUGACAUGCUUGAAAAGCAAAACCUAACACCUCUUUUUUUUAAAAUUGAAAGAAAGUACAUAUGUUGACUACACACAAGCUUUGGUAUGUUGGUCUAUAAAGCUAUGUUCCCUUUCUCAAACGAAAUUGCAUAUGCAAUCCUCGUCCUCCCAAAACAAAUAGAAUUAUUCAAGCAUGUCAACCUCUUCAGGCGCCAACAACACAAUCAAAGAUGACAAAUUGGAGUCGCAGGUUCUAUUUCCACAUUGUACUCGCCGACCCCUUCCAUUUUCAACAUCAUUUGGGAGUGAGGGGGACUCCGAUGAUCCAUUAGAGCUAAUACAUGCAGUCAAUAGCAAGCUGGAUUAUAAUUCCAGACUGAUCAAUUCAUGGCGCGAGAAAUAUGUUGAAGACGAAGCCAUUUUGGCUGAUCUUAACAUUAGAGUGAACAAAGCGUUCUCCCAAAAGAACAAGUACUUGAAGCUGAGUCAUAAAAGGAAGCUGAAAGCUGAGGAGUUAGAUACAGUAAUGAAUGAUGAAAUUAAAGGUUGUUUGAUGAAUCAUAUGCGAUGCGAAGAGCACCACAGUGAACUGGAGUUGGCAUUCAACGAAGGAUUCGAAAAAUUACGAGCAUUUGCAGCAACUACUCAUACAAGUUAUAAUUGGGACUAUGUGUCCCCUGAUGUUGUGAGAGAGAUACUAGACGAUGGUGGUGACAUGAAUGAGCAUAAGCACGUCAAAGCUGCUUGGAAGAAGCCGACCGAUACGACUAAGUGAUUGCGGCUACAGUUGUUCAGUUGGUUGAGAGUGAUCGUGGUAUUGCACAAAUUAGAAGUAUAUUCCCAUAAUGUCAUUAUCUAAUUUAAAAUAACACAAAUAUCAGUUUCAUUUGCUUCAUAUUGUAACACCCCGACCCCAAAUUUCCCCAAAAUUUACCCUCAUUUAAUUAAUUAAUUAUUUAAGGGUAUUUUAGUCAUAUUUUUAACCGGAGAGAGUUUGGGACCAUGACUUGUAUUUUUGGAUAGGUCGUACUGAGACGAGUUCAUAGACACGUAGUGGGCUCGAAUCAGAGUUGUAACGAGAGAGAUAUGGUCAAAAGAAACCCAGUGGCACAAUCGUAAAUAUUUCAAAAUGGGAUUUUUAUAAAAAUCUGGUUUUUCUCUCUCUCUCUCUCUCUCUCUCUCUCUCUCCCGCGACUUCUCUCUCUCUCCCGUCGGCUCUCUCUCUUUCUCUCCUUGUAUCUCCGGCCACCGACCACGGCUGUGGGCGGGGCCGGUACCAAACUGACCGGGACGACGUCCCCUUCCUUCCCCGACCAUUCCCCGCCGGCAACGCGGCCGUUGCUGGCCGGAAAAUGCAGAAAACCGCCGGGAGGUCGUCGAAACUUCAACGCCGUCGAUCUCCCUCCUCCGGCCACCAUUUUCGUCGACCCAGGUAUGGAUCUUGAACCUCUCGAGCUGUUCUAGCUGUUUGUUGGUUGGGUUUUGAUCGAUUCGAUCUCUAGAUCACUCGAUUUUCGAAUUGAAAAUUGGCCGAAACUUCGGCCGCCGUGAUCGGCCAUUUUCGGCCACUUUUUGUGGUAGGUCCAAGAACAAAAGUGGCUCCAAAUAGGGUGUUAUACCUAGGGUAGAAGUUUGGAGCCGAGAUGUUGAGAUUUUCCGGCGAAGCGUUAUCGCUUUGGGCACCCACGCGUGCGGCGGCGCGUGGGCACUGUAGAAAAAGUAGAUGUGUUCCGAUGAGAUCCUUAGGUUGUCACGAGUGCGUAGGAUUUGGCGGAUCUCAAUUCGGACGUCGUUUGACUAUCGAACGGAUAAUCGCAUAUUAUGCGUUAUCCGGGUUCGAUAGGUUGAGACCGUCGGAUGGUCCCAAAUUUAAUAUAUGUUGAUCUAGGUAUUUCUAGGAUCGUGUAGGAUUUCACGGAUCGUGAAUCGGAGCCCCGGAUGUUCCGAAUAAUAAUUUAAAGUUUAUAUUUUAUAUUAACCAUCAGAUUAUGCGAUCGUGAGAAAUCCGACCGUCUGAUCUGAACCAAACUGGCAGGAAAAGUGUCCUGUACCUGGUAGAACCCAUAGGGACCUUCGGAUCGGAAAUUGGAGGUCGUGGGUUCCGCAAGUCUGUUUGACCAGGGUUAGAGUAGUUUGACCCUUGGUUGACCGUGAGUCUCCCGGAGUAAUCUCACCCUUCCAGGGGGAAUUAUCGGGAGCUAGACUAUUGUGGAGGGUUACACAAUAUUAGAAUUAUUUAUAUAAUUAUAUAUGGUUGUACAAGGGUACAACAAAGUCUAGAAUGUCAGUUUGGAGUGCUAUACGCACUACUUUAGGUACCUCCUCGGAUUUUGGAUUCGCUACAAGCACCACCAAGUGAAAGUUAGGUCCCGCGUGGCGUAGGUUAUCCGGCGUUGGGACAGACCCCAUACGUGGCGUUGGUUGUACCGGCGUAUGGGGAGAUUUGCAAUAUGAUGUUCAGGUCUCACGUGGCGUAGGUUAUCCGGCGUUGAGACAGGCCCCGUACGUGGCGUUGGUUGUACCAGCGUACGGGGAGAUUAUGUGAUAUGAUGUUGAGGUCCCGCGUGGCGUAGGUUAUCCGGCGUUGGGACAGGCCCCAUACGUGGCGUUGGUUGUACCGGCGUAUGGGGAGUUAUAUGAUAUGAUAGUAUGGCAUGGUCGCACAUGGCGUAGGUUAUCCGGCGUGUUGACAGGCCCCAUACGUGGCGUUGGUUGUAUCGGCGUAUGGGGAGAAUAUGUGAAAUGCAGAGAAAGGAAAUAAGGUAUCACCGAUGUGUGGAAUUGGGUUUUAGGGAAGAACUACGUGUGGCUUGAUCCCUCAAGGAGGGUACGUAGGCAGCCUAAGGUUAUUGGGUGCAGCCGCAGACUAAAUAUUAGUCAUAUUUGGUAUUUGAAUUGUAUGGUAGUUGUUUGAGAAUUAUUGGAAGGCCAAAGGCCAUUUAUGAGAAUUUGCAUGAAAUUAUAUUGUGCAUGCUGCUAGUUGUGGAUAUUAAAUGUGUUUUUAUGCAGGUUGAAAUUUUGGGAAAUGUCCAAUUUAUAGGGGAGACUCUGCUGAAAUUUCGGCAGGAAGUCUCGGUUUUUAGUAAGUGGGCCUGGCAUCGGGGUGAUGUCAGGAAUUCCAAAGGGUUCGUCUCGGGUUUUGAGAAAAUUCGGGGCGGGUCCUUAAACAUAUAUAAUUAUUGGGACUAUGUAUUGCAAGUCAUCAUGUGUUCCUUCUGUCUAACAUUAUAUUUUGCAAAUAUCAAAAUAUUAUUCAAUAAGCAGUCAAUAUCACAGCAAGUUGGGAAUUAGUAAAGCCCCAUUAUCAUGUCCGUUCACAUUAAAGAGCUGGCGUACUUUUUCUCAAAAAACUGACACGUGAGUCAUAAGUAACAUAACAUGUGCUAUACAUUGUUUAGUGAAUGGUUUAUGGUUUAUUUAUAUAUAAUAAAAUUCCAAAUAUUGCUGAAUAUUUGUUUUUUCUAUAUCCCUGGGAACAUGAGUGACCAUAAGCAUGUAAGACCUGUUAAGAAGAAGCUGACUAAUACGACCGAGUGAUUGUGGCUACCGUUGUUUAGUUGGUUGGGGAGAUCGUGGUAUUGCUAAGAGGGAGCACAUAAUGUGCUUUGCAAUCAAAUUUUCUUUUGUGUGUGGAAUUAUGAGUAGUUCAAAUGUUAGUGUACCCUUUAAUAUUCUUCAACCGUUUGAAAUGUGAUUAGCUGCAAUGUACUUUUUUACACGCUGCUUUCUAAUCACUCUGUUCCAACAAAGUGCUUUAAGUAUCCUUCAGUUACAAAUGUUUACAAAAUCGUGCAUCUAAUAACCAGUCGAGCUCAGAUCUUAAUAACAAGUAAAACACUAGAACAUAACAUUCGGAAAAAGUGGGUGCUGCUGGAAAUCAUUACUGGUAAUGGAAGCAAGAGCUGGCUGCUGGAAAUGCUGCAUUAGCCUGUGAUAUAAUCAAUGAAUCUCUGUUAAAACAUAAUUCACCAUAAACUACCCAUUUUACAUGGUAAAAGUCAUUGCUUCUUCACAUAACUCAAAAUUUGAUACUUUAUCAAAUGUCUAUGAAAAUUUCUAAAUAGGGGAAAGACGUAAAAUUAACAUGUGUCCAAAUUUCAUGCAAGAAUGAAACCAAGCAAAUUUUUAUUUCAAUUAUCAGUGGACAUAGUAAGAACUCAUCGGUGGACAUGAACAAAAAAAUAAUAAUAUUAAAAACUGAAUCUAGAAAACUUCACCUGAUCAUUAGUCUUCAUAACAACCGAAUUUCGUCUAAUAGAAACAUAAAUCAUUCAGUUGGUCCGUGCAUCGUGUCAAAUUCAUAGAAUAAUGGGUCACUACGAUCUAUUGGAGUUGAUUCGUCAUUGUUCGACGGUGAUGUCCUGCAUAGACAUCAAACACAAGCACAGAAAAAAUUUACCUAUUCAAAUUUUAGGUGUUAUUAUAAAUAGUGUUAGCAUCUUACGGUGUGUUCAAAUUUCUUGCGCAUUGUCUUCUAUCAUGACCAAUGUGUCCACACUCCAGACAGUGUCUAAUCCCUCGCUUCAUUGCCUUUUCUUUUGCUCCCGUUACUCGUUUCGACCUUCUUUUGCACCUCACUCUCUUAGGGUCUUUCAUAUAUUGUGUUUGAGAGCUGGACCCUCCAACUUCGUUAUUACUUGGUCCAUCCUUCAACAACUUCAACUUCACCUGCAAACUUUUUAGAGUCUCUGACAGUAGCUCACAUCCUUCUUCACUCAUUAAUGCACCCUCAACCACAUCUUAAGCAAGUCGAGACAUUGUACUCCGCCUUAUUAAAAGACCAGGAUCUGCAGAGUCUUUAAUUUCGUUGCCAUUUGCAUCUGACACCAAUUCAGAUUUUGCAGUUUUCUUCCACCUCUUUAAAAUAUAUUUAUCGGGCAUAUAUUCAAUCUGGUCCCUUCUGAACAAUGCUAGGAUGUGCUUGCAAAUAAUUCCAACAAAUUCAAAUCUUUUGCACCCACACGAUGCGUGGUCAGAAUCUUUAACAUAUACGACGUCUGCCACUCUUGUUUCCCAAUUUUUCCUUUUGCUCACGCGAAAGACAACUUUAGAAGCACCCUCUGUUUUGAGCUCUAGGAAACAUGUUGUACUUUGUAUUAGUUCUUGGUCAAACUUUUGAAACAUUGUCCUUGUGUACAAGGUAGCCAUUUGUUUGUUCAUUGGCAUCGGUAGAAUACAUUGAGCCACUUCAAAUGCAUCUACGUGAUCAGCAACUAACUCUUUUUGACGUUGAUGAGAAAGUGCCCUCUCAAAUCGUAUUAUGAAAUCCAUCAACGAAUUUCUCCUUGAUAUGUAUUGCUUGAAAAAACCAUGAGAACCUUCCACUCUUUGGCUGCUUGACAUUCCAGCGGCAAAAAAUUGUUGUGCGUAGGCUGGAACCCAAGAUUCUCUUAAAUCAAACAUUGAACUUAGCCAUGGAUGGUCAGUCAAACCAGCCUUUGUAACCACAAUAUUCCAUUUUGUAACAAACUUAUCCUUAUUGUCAGUAUCCCAUACGGCUUUCUGAAAUUCACGCCAAUACUCCUUAUAAGCAGAAUGUGGUAACUUAACAGAGAACUUUGAUGUGAUGUGCAAUAUGCAAAGUCGAUGAAAUGUAGUCGGGAAGGGUAUUGAAAUCGCUCUGGUCAUUGCCGCAUCUUGAUCUGUAAUGAUCGUUUUAGGUCCGCCACUUGGCAUGGCUUUCUUAAACUCCUCAAACAUCCAAAUAAACGACUCAGUCGUUUCCUUGCUCAAAAAUGCGCAUGCUUAGACAAUUGUCUGACCAUGGUUAUUAACUCCCAACAUUGGUGCAAAUGUCAAGUCGUAUCGAUUCGUGUUGAAUGUGGUAUCGAAUACAACAACAUCUCCAUAAAACCCGUACGCCCAUCUAGAAGUUGCAUCUGCCCAAAAACAUUGACUAAACCUGUCAUGGCCAUCUCUCUCAAUCUUGAAAUAAAAAGCCUCAUUUUUUUUUUCUGUUCAGCCAUAAAAUACUCGGUCACUAGUUCAACAUCGUGGUUCCUCAACUUCCCAUUCACACUACAUUCAAAAUUGUAGAUAUCUUUUUUGAUAAAACCGAUUUUAUCCAUUCCUCCGGAUUGCACCUCGAAAAUACUUACCUUCUGAUGAAUGAGAAUAUUAACCGAACCCAACUGUUUUGUGAGUACUUUUGUAGAAUCUGAACUAUGACGGUGUGAUCUCAAUAAAUGCAUUCUUUCUGAGGGUGUCAUCUUAUGAUUGUGUCCCUCUGCAAAAAGAGAGAUGGUAUACUUCUUGCUCCCAUUUGUCUUCACAACCACAAUCUUAGCUUUGCAAUUGCAUCUACUUAUUCCCCGCUGUCUUUUUCUCUCCCGAGUUUCAUCUCUCCUGUAUUCACCUUGUUUGCAACAUACAAAUUCUUUCCUCAAAAUCUCUUUCUUAUUUCCCCCCCAAAAGCUGGAAUGAAGUCGAAUACCAAAGCCAGCCAAGAAUGCAUAUCUAUUAUAGAAAUUGUAAACGAGGUCAAGCAAGUCGAACUUCAUCCCAACUGCUGGUGUUUCCUCAUUUCUUACUUCAAGAAUGUAAACCCUCCCAUUAGCUGUUACACAGUCAUCACUCUCUGAGCCCCCAGACAUUUUAUCCACGUAUAUUAUUGAUCCACUUCUAUAUUAUUGCAUAGCAAAUAUUAAUUCAUUAAUAAAUCAUUACUGCAUCACAACAUAUCAAUGCAUUCCACUUACACAAAACAUUGCCCAAAUUGACACAAAACACGCAUAGCCUAACUUGUUGGAUUCCGAUUACACAAAACGCAAGCAAAAUUUAAUAAUAGUUACGUCAUCUCUUGUGAAAUAAUCUAGAAAAAAUAACAUUAGAACCAACAUGUUCAACUAAGAACACAAAUGCAAUUCAAACCAGCAAUCACAUAACUUCACCCAAUAUCCUCUCCAAAUGCUUACUCCUAAUGUCAUUAAGCCUAAGUUUAGGAUCUUUUACCUACAUUUCAUAAUUUUUCACCCCCACCAAAAAUAAUCAACUAAGUAUACUGAAUAUUCAUAAGGAAAUGACGCAUUAUUGAUGCCACAAAUGACGAAUUUCCUACCCUCACAAAAAACAAAUCAAACCCAAUUAAAUCAAUCCAGCAAGAGUGAACUUACCUCUCAAAAUCAAUCGGGAGCUCCGAAGUCAGUAAGCUUGAGAGAAUGUGGUGGACAUUAGAGAAGACUCUUUGGUAUUGGAGACUCCAUCUCUACCAAAAUCGAGGAACGAACUGCUGCUACGGCGUCUAGCUACAGAAAAAGAUAUGCUACUUUACUUUCAUCUGGAAUCUUGUUUGCUGAACGAAAAAGAGAAAGGGUUUUCACUUGAGCCAUAGAAUCAAAACAAGGCAACAUCUAGGUAAGAGCCAUUAAUCGUCAUAUCGAGGAUACCAUAGAUCGCAGGCCUCCCAAGGAGCUGAUGACAAUGGAGCGACUAUAGGGUUUGGGAGCUUUGGAUCCUUCUAAUUGUGGGUUUGCGUUACAUUCAAAAAAAGAGGAGUGUGUUGUUGAGUUUUUCACAUAGAGGGAAAGAGGGAAAGAUCUUCAACUGAAGUUGGGUUUCCAACGGGUCAAAUUUCAACCCGGUUCUACAUGCACCCUCUUUUAAAAACUCACCGUUGGAUUUCAUCCAACGGCUCGUACAUACCCCUCAAAAACACCCCUUAUAACUUUCCACUCACUAUAGAAGCUCUCCCCAGGAAAUGCUUCGAGGUAGAUUUUAUGUUUUGGGCCUUGGGACCCAACUUCACAAAAAGAAAACAAAUUUGACCAAAAAACAAAGUUGAAGGACAUUGAUAUUGUACCUGUAGGAUAGGUUAAAACACUAAAAGGAAGGUAAAUAGUACGUUUACAGAGUUUAAGUGUAAUAAAGGAAUAAAAACAUGCCCAGAGAAUUGAUAAGUGAUAUCAAUUCUUGAAUAUAUAGAACGUAAAAUAAAGGAAUACGUAGAAAAUUAUUUUAUGUGGUAAAACUCAAUCUAUGGGGCCACGGGACUUCUUAGUCCAAAAAAAAUCCAUUGAACGAUGAUUACAAGAAGUACUCACACACUUAUCCUAGACACAUUCUAGAUAAUUUUUACUAACAUCUUUGUAACUCAACUUCUGUCAUAGGAUGAUUUUUUGACACUCCUUAUGUUGAACGCAAUACUGGUCACGAUUUCUUCAAGCUCGCAGGAACUCUCCUUAUAUUGAAUAUGAUACUAGUCACGAUAGAUUCAAGCUCAUCGGAGAAAAACAGCCACAACGGUCUUGGUGCCCUCAAUGGUAUGAGUCACUGAACAUGCAAAUAAAUACAAUAUGAAUGAUAAAAGUGUUUGAUAAAUCACCAAGUUAUGGAACACUUGAUGAUUUAUCUCAAAUAAAAACUCAGCUUUCCAAAGUUUAUGAAUUGAAAAUAUGAUCGUUAAAGCUCUCUAAACAAAGAAGACGAAGAUCUUAUUUUAUAGAAUUUUUCUUUAUAAGAAAGAAAACACAUUGAAAACCAAAUCUCCAAGGCUUGACAGAAAAUCACAAAAGUAUCUUUCCUAUUCUAGAGAUUGGUCACAUGUAGUCCAACCAAUAGGACAUGAGAUAUUUAAGAAAUGAAGAUUUUGAUCAAUAUCAAUAUCAAAUGAAUUCUUAUACGCCUAGUCAACUAUUAAGGGUAUCUUGACUCCUUGAUAUUGUGAUAUGAUUGAAACAUGAUUUCCACGUUAGAAAAUUAAGGGGAUGUUAAAACAUGAAAGUAAUAGGAGAAUCAAAUUGAUUUCGGCCAAAAUUGCCUAAAAAGAAAACACUCCUAAAUAAACUCAAUUCACUUUUAAAAACAGUAAAACGUGAUUGAAUUGUUCUUUAAAACAAUUCCCUAAUAUACAUGCAUGAUAAUGACAUCACUUACCUCUGAAUCAAAUGCCUUUCAUAGGUCAAGCCACAAGUCUGUGUUUUGGGGAUUGCUGAGCUGCAUCAAUCCUGCCAAUGUCAAUGCUGCCCCUAUGCUCUCUCAAAGCACGUUUACAACCUAUGCUAACAUAUACCCUAAACCCUAGUAUCAAGAAAAUGCCAACACUAAUUUCGUAACACGUAGAAAUUGUUAGAGAUUGGAAGUUUUUUUUCUUCAAGUCUCUCCACCACUCACUAAUACAGAUUGCUCAUGUGAUGAGUUUACAAAACCUAUUUCUCUACUCUCACAAAGACUAUACUUCUUCUCAAAAGACUAUAUCACUUUACCUCUAUCUCUGUGAAAUGUAAAAAGUUGAAACUUUAAUGUCAAACCUCGACAAAAGAUGAACUUCCAUAAGUUACGUUGAAUUUGGAUUUGUUGAACUUAAGUGGUUUUACUUUUCUGUCAGUGUUUGAUGACUUAAUUUGGUAUUUACUUCUUCUUUUUUUCCUUGGAAAUGUGUUCCACCAACGUGAGGAAGAAAAAUAUGCACAAAUUAAUAUAUUUAAUAGAAGCCCAAGAUUUCGGAAGCACAUAAUUUCUACAAAAUUCUACAAAGUGUUCUACUUUACAAACUUCAUAUGUCUACCAAUUUUUACUAAAAUUAAUUUAUCUGCAGUGCUCAAAUUCAUCAUAUGUGUGUCCUUAAUUUUAGUGAAAAUUGGAAGUUUCCAUUAUUUUUGUUUUACGGGAAUUUUUUGAACCAAGGAAAAUCAAGUAAAAUUAAUAAAGCAUAAAUUGGAAAGGGAAAAUAUCUAGAGGAUGCAUUGUAGGAUUGCUCAUGCCAAUAAUUGUACCCUCUAAAUAUAUAGGGACAUAUUUUUUUUGCUCAUACCACUUGUUGCAGUACACAUUCACCCGUUUUCAAAGAAAGAAAUUCUACCAAUCGAUAAUGUCUCAAAUUUAAUCACAUAUUUUAUGGACCAUCCAGCUAUGAGGUUUUAUCUCAAAAACCUUCGGUACAUUUCUCCCACAUGCCACAAUUGUAUAUUCACAAUUACGUCUGAUACAUCACAUCAUGCCACUUGCCUCAAAUGAAUUUAAGUGAGUGAGGCAGUUGGAAGUAAUUAAGCUCUAUAUUGGUGGGUGGAGUGUUAGUUCUGGGUACCCCUCAUCAUUCGUCUAUAAAAUGGUGAAGCCAGUUGCUACUGUUACCAUAAGAGCCAGCUCCGACUUUCUUUAAUUUCUUGCUUCAUAUCCACUAGCUACAUCUGUUGCUCUUCUCAGUGUAAGCUCUGCAAUUUGAUUAACUUUCCCAUUAUCUCUCACUGUACUCUAUAUAAAGGAAUAAGUGUCGUCCAUUAAUUCUCUCCGAAAGUGUCGUCCUGAUUUUAAUUAGAGUUCGAAUUAAUGUUGCAGCUAGCAGCGGUUGCACUGGCAAACCAUGCUGCUCAACCGGUACCUCAACUUUACUGGAACUCCGUCCUGCCAAACACACAGAUGCCAAGAUCUAUCAGUGAACUUCUGCAUCCUGGUUUGUGUUUGAGCACUUUAGAAUCUUAGAUAUCUCUUCUACCUGCCAUUUUACUAAAAUAUGUUCAACCACAUAUUUAUCAGUUAACUACUGUCAUUACAUGAGUGACACAUAUUCACAAAUCGGCUGAUCACUUAUUUUCCAUUAUGACGUUGAUAUAUAAUGUUGGGAAUGGAAAGCCAAUUGACCACAAGGGAAAACCUGAAAAUACUGUACUACCACAGCUAGCACGAAGCCCAUUUUCUUACAAGAGUGAUGUGGGGACCAAAUCUCAUGUAUCAUAGCUUAACCCAUAUGCCACAACUAAAAGACGUGGGAUGAUCGAACAGCAUACCCACAUGGUCAUGGAUCUCUUCAGAUAAUCAAUAUUAAACAACCCAUAAACUUCUCCCUUUGAAGAACAAAUUAAAACCAAUUUCUAGAGGAAGGUUACAAAACAUUUUAGCCCGUGAAGAACAAAUCAAGACAAUAUAACCCAUUUGAUAACAAAAUCAAAAUGAGAUUUACCAAUACUAGAUGACCACGGCGCCAGUAUAAUGGUACGACGGCGGCGUUAUUGUAACGGUGGAGAAGUGGAUGGUAUGACGACGGUGUUAGUGUGACGGUGGAGGAAACGAUAUUAUGAAGGAGGCGUUGCUAUGUUCGGUGGAGGAGUCGUGUGUUUCACAGUUCAAUAUAUCCUUUUUAGUCAUUUUAUAUUAGGGUAAAUCAGUAAUUCAAUAAAUAAUUUGAUAGUAUGGUGUACUCAGUUAAUAUUAGGGUUCAUUUAACAGCACUCAAAUUAACUAGUGUAGAGUCUAUCUAUAUUAUUAAUACUAAAAAUAAAUAUAUGACUAAAUAACUCAAAAAAAAAAUAAAUCUACAAUCUUUUUUUUAAAAAAUUUUUUUUAUAGAAUUUUAUUAGAUUAAUAGGCACUACUAAAAAAUCUCCUUAUAAACUACAAAUACACGCAUAACUUAUACUAAUGUGAGCUACUGACACCACCUGCCACAUGACAGUUGUCCAAGCAUAGUGUUGUCAUUCAUUAUUCCCCACAGCAACUAACAUCCAAUAAAGGGUUGGGGCCCACCCAUACUCCACCUCUCUGUAUGUAGCUCUUUGAGAAUACAGAAGAAAUAUUUUUUAGGGAAAUAGCUUAAAAUGAUACCCAUUUCAUAAUUUUAAUUAAAAAUACCACCCCUUUCCAAUUUUUGUACAACUAUCACCUAUAAAUAUAAAAUUAUUGUCCACUUAUUGCUGAUUUUUCACAAGUUCAGAAAUUUUGGAAAGAAGAAGCUCACACAGCUCUCUCUCUCUCUCUCUCUCUCUCUCUCUCUCUCUAGCACAACUCUCUUUCUUUGGUAUCUGUCUAUCACAGCUCUCUGUGUCUCUCUUGGCUCUCUCUAUCUUGGCUCUCUCUCUCUCUAGCACAACUCUCUGUCUCUCUCUUUGCUCUCUUUCUCAUAGCGCAGCUGUUUCUCUCUCUAGCUUCGUUAUGUCUCUUUCUCCCCUAUUCGAUCUCUUGCUUUCUGUUUGGAAUCGCGAACCCCUCCCUUUAGCUAUGUCUUCUGAAUAGCUGCUUGCAACCUUGAAGCUCUAGUGGAUUGCCGACCUCGAAAAGGUAGUGUUGAUGGUUAUUUUCUUAAUAUCAGUGGGAUUAUGUGAAAUGGGUUAUAGUUUGAUUGUUUGGGUUUGUGUUAAAUUCGUUUUGGCUUUAAUUUCUUUGGGUUAGGUUUUGUUGAAUAUUCAUACUCAUUCAUCUGGGUUUGUACCAAUUGCAUUUAGAUUGGUCUGGAUAUGUGAAUCUUGAAACUUGGGAUUUUCUAUUUGAUGUAGUAGAUCUGUAUAGUGUGAUUCUGUUGUGUUCCUCUUAUUUUACAGUCGUAUUGCUGUUAUAUUGUCAUUAUAUUGCUUAUAUAUUGCUGUUAUAUUGUGGUUAUAUUGCUAUUGUAUUGUUUGGUUAUUGUGGUUAUAUUGUGUUAAUGAAAUGUUGUUUUGUCAUGGUCAGAAAUGGAGACAAUUGUUAUUCUCGUGUGCUACAAUGGAAAAUGGGUCACCUCGAAGAAGAUGUGCAAAUACGAAGGGGGUGACUCAAAAGGCUUAAUAGUUCCACGGACCAUCAAAUUUGUUGAACUGUUGGACCGUGUGCAUUAGAUUGGUAAUACAAACAGCAGGGAAGACAAGGUUUGCUUAAAAUUCUCAGUUUUGGUGGCCUCGAAUGAGUGGAAGCACAUAAAUAUUGAGGACGAUGAUGAUAUCAAUUUUUUUAUGAAGUACAAUUCCGAGGUAACACCUUCAAAACUAGCUCCCUUACUCGUGAGUAUAGAAGAUAAAGGAUUGACAAAUGAUGUAGUUCAUAGUAUGCAUAUCACGACAGAUAGUAGUCGGAUGGGUCAUUCUUCAGUUGCCAUUGUUGAAAGCAAUGAAGUAACUUGGAAUAAUACGAAUGUCACUGAUGUGGGAGGUGAAGUAGGGACAGAUUUUGUGGAUAUGAUUGAUUUUAGCGAGGUGUAGGAGAUGCAUGGUGGUGAUAAUAGUACUGAAAGAAAUGAAGUGUCAGUGUACUCUGCCCCUCCUAAUUUGGGCUGCUUCAACAUAGCUGCCCAGUUGCCAAUAAUGCGUUUAGGAGGAGAAUCUGAACCCACUCGUCAACAUUAUUGGAGUCAAAUAGGUGAACAAAAUCGGUACAAUGCAGCCGGUGUAAAUGAUGAAGAAGCAUAUUUGGACAGCGGGUUUUCACGAAGUGAUUGGAAUCCGAAAAUUACAGUUGGGCAAAUUUUCUCUAGUAAGAAAGCAUUGUUGACGGAGUUACGGUUGACGGCAUUAAGAGGCCACUUUGAAUUUAAGGUGCAAUUCUCUUGCACUAAAAGGUUGCUUGUGGUUUGUUGUCAACGUCCAUGCCCAUGGCGGGUCCGAGCAUCGAGAAUUGGAGAAUACAGCUUCAUGAUUGUGAGGUGUACAACUGUCCAUGAAUGUGAUUUGAGGUUCGUAAGUGACAAGCAUCGUCAAGCAACCGCAGCACUUGUAGCCACUUCACUUAAAAGGAAGUGACAUUAUGAGAGAUGUGAAACACAACUUUGGUUGCACCAUCCAUUAUUCGAAAGCUUGGAAAGCAAAGGAGUUAGCUCUAUUGUCCAUUAGAGGAUCAGCGGAGGAGGCAUAUUAUAUCCUUCCAGCUUAUUGCUAUGAAUUGGAGCGUAUGAAUCCCGGCACAAAAACACACAUCCAAACUGAUGAGAACAAUCACUUUGUGUAUUUAUUUAUGGCGGUUGGCGCAUGUAUUAGAGGGUUCCGUUCUUCCAUGCGCCCAGUGAUAGCCGUGGAUGCCACUCAUUUAAAAUCCAAGUACAAGGGUGUUAUGUUUGUAGCAAAUGCAUUCGAUGGUAAUUGAAAUAUAUAUCCUCUUGCUUUUGGGAUCGGGGAUUUGGAGACGGAUGCAUCAUGGCAUUGGUUUUUCACUAAACUUCAUGAAGCCAUUGGUGAGUGUCCCAAUCUUGUUAUUAUUUCUGAUCGCAAUGUUAGCAUAGAGAAUGUGUGGAACAAAAUUUUUCCAACUGCACAACGUGGCAUAUGCUUUUAUCAUAUGAAGGGGAACAUGAAACGCACUUGCUAGUUGAAAAAGCGUGAUCACAUACUUAUGCACUUUGAGCAGGCUGCGAAAUCUUAUUCCAUUGCUGAAUUUGAUUGUCAUUUUUGCAAGAUCAAGCGAAAGGAACAUGUUGCUCAAUAUCUUGAAGAGACAGGGUUACAUAAGUGGUCUAGAGCUCACAUGGAUGGACGCCGCUACAAUGUAAUGACAACAAAUAUUGCAGAGUCAAUCAACUCAGUCCUUAGGUUUGCAAGGAUGCUGCCAGUGGUUCAUUUGAUAGGGGAAAUUGUUAAUCUCCUUGUGAAAUGGUUCACCGAACGUUGUGAGUUGGUUUUGAAUUGCACAACAACAUUGUGCCCCAAUUUUGGAGAGAAGAAGUUGAGGAACAGGUUGGAGGAUGCUGCAAGGAUGAAUGUGGUUAAAGUAAAUAAUGCACAGUUUAAUGUUUUGGACGGUGAUAUGGACGGCCUCGUAGAUUUGGCGAACAGCAGUUGUAGUUGUAGAAAGUUUCAGCUUGAGCAGCUACCUUGCAAGCAUGUAGUUGCAGUUUGCCGCUUCUUGAAAGUAAAUGUAUACGCAAAGGCUUCUCGGUAUUACACUCAGAAAACCUGGAUGAUGCUUAUUCGGAUAGCAUCUACCCGGCACAACCUCACGGAAUGUGGGAUAUUCCUGAAGAUGUUCGAAGUCGAGUUGUGCUGCCUCCCAUGGCAAGGGUCAUGCCAGGCAGACGAAAGAAGAUCAGAAUUCCCUCGCAAGGAGAGGGCACCAUUAGAAGAAAGUGCUCAAGGUGCGGUUCCGCAGGCCACAAUAAAAGCACAUGUAAAAACAAUAUUCCAUUGCGCAAUGUAUCUUAGACAAUAUGAUUUGUGUUGCUUUGGUAGGUCAUGUAAACUCUACUUUUAUUUGUGGUGGGUUUCGUGUUAUGUUGAAUGGGAAUUCUUUUAAAUUUGCAUAAUUUGGGUUGCAUUGCUACAGCAUGCUGUAUUGCUGACAGAUUGCUAUUAUAUUGGACUUUUAUUGUACUGGUAUUGCUUCCAGAUUGCUAUUAUAAUUUGAGUGCGAAAUUAAAGGGACUGGAAUGUAAUUCCAAAUGGAUCCAAAUCAUUAAAGUUCUUAGAAUUCCUAUAUUACACAGUUACUGUGAUACUCCGACUAUACCUUCUUUUAUGAUUACAAAUUCGGCCAAUGCAUAGGCCAGAUGUGGGGCAAAUACAAGGUGAAAUGUCCUAUGUGUUUGACUACAUAUACUUGUUGAAGGAGCAUUACGAAUGCUAACCUCAAUAGAUUGCUCAUGUCUUGCCAAGAACACUCUUGAAUUUAUGCAAUGUGCCCAAGCCAGUCCCAAAGCUGGACUCACCCGUCUGCCUGAUGUGUCCAGGGACUCCAAGUUUCCCAACCUCACCUCAUUCACUUUAUCAUGUGGCCCAAUAAAAUCCACCACUUGGUUGGUGACAACCACCGCCAACCCAAACUUAUUUGCUAAACCCUUCAAUGUCCCAGAUAUGUUGAAAAAUAUUUCAAACCGCCAUUUCAAAUCUGCUGGUGUUGUCUGAUACUGUGAUCGGAACAAUGCAGCAAUGGAAUCAAUGACAAUGAGUUUCACAGGUAGGUGGGUGUGAUCAAUGGCAAUAAAUGCUUCUAUGUCUCCAAGGACAUGGAUGAGUUGUUGAGCAUCAUGAACACCAUGAACAUAUAUGUCUUCCAAUGGCUCCAACCUUAUUAAGUUGGGGUAUGAUGCAUGAUAAAGGUUGCCUAGUUGUUGCAAUCGACGAAAUGGGAAGCUGAAUUCUGUGAAUAUGUAGACGGUGGAGCCCUCUAGUCCGCCAUGUGAGGGUGGGAGCUGAGCUGGUACCGUAAGUUGGAGACAAAGUUGCGUCUUCCCAGAACCACUCUCCCCUACCAAUUCUGUUAUAGAGUUGCAGGGUAUCCCACCCCCCAAGCAGUCAUCUAGUAUUGGGCAUCCAAUGGAUAAUUGAGGGGUUGAAAGAGGAAGGAGCAUGAGGUUUUAGGGUGUCAUAUUUGUGUAAUUUAGGGGGGGAUGUGAUGGUGCUACAAGGCAUGCAUUAUAUAUAUAUAUAUAUGUAGAGUUCAUUUUGAAGGUCUGUAUUGUAGGCCAUAUGUCUUUUAAGGGAUGUAUAAUCCAUCCUUUUUUCAGGUUGUAAUUAAUUUUUUGUUUAUUUAUUAGUAUUUUUUUGGACCAAAUAAUUUAAAAAACAUUAUGAUGCAGUACGUACUGUAAUAGGAUCAUAUUGUAACUCUAUCAUCACUCUAUUGUACUCUUAUUGACAUAAUAUUGCCGUUAUAUGCAUGUUUAUUAUAUAGUUAUUACUGCUAUAUCGCCACUGAACUGGACACCGAUAAACUGUAUACGCACAAAUACAAAAAGAGGCUUCAUCAUUCCAUAAAAUCCUAUUUCCAAACUUACAUAAUACAACAACAGGCCACCCCAUCGUUACAUAAUACAAAAAUACGCCACCUCAUAGUUCCAUUUCCCUACUGUUGACAAAUUCGAAGUUGCAUACUCUUCAAGUGCGGUGACCGCGACGCAUGAAAUUCAUGACCCCGGCCACAGUGAUGUUGGCCUAGUUUCCUGCCGGAUCCACUAUUUUUGCAAACUUACGAAAUAGUUCGAAUCCGCUUUCCACUUCUUCUUGCUUCAACUUGGCCGUUGCUUCUGAUUCCUUGAAUACCAUAAUUGCAGUGGUAGGGGCAAUUUCAAUUUUUGCUUUCAUUGUCUUUAUAUGUAGGAGAUGCAUGCGCGCAUGAUAACGAGAGCGAAUUGUGCGGUUUUUUAUGACACCCCAUCUAGUUUGGCCCUCCACAAUUUUGAAACUAUGUCUGCAUGAAGAUUUUUCCAAAACAUGGUAUUGCCUCGACAUUGCUGCAUGCCAUGGACCAAGUCUGCAGGGAGUGAAUUGGGUGACUUGGCUUGUGUUUCAGUCUUCUCUCCUUCAGUAAUUGAAAGUGUUGGGUGUGGUGUGAGGUUAUGGUCCAUGGUCUUCGAUAUUUAUUGUAGCCUAGUGUACAACUUAAUUGGAAAAAAAGGGGACUAAAUGCGAUGGGAGUGAAAUCAGUGGGGAAGGUAGUGGCUGUAAGCAGGAGUUAAUGUGAUGGAAGUUUUCAUUUCAAACAACUGGGUUGAUUAAUAUAGGCAAGUUUUAAUGACCUGGAGUAACUCAGAGAGUUAUUGGUGGGAGGGAUUAGAGGGAGUAAUUGGCGGGAGGGAUUGGCGGGAGUCUUAGGCGGGAUAGUAUUGGGCGGGAGUUAUUACCCAGUUGACUGUAUGCCUUUUUGUAAUAUAUUUGUAUGUUGGACGUUCCAAACUUGGUAAUUUUCCCAUUAUGUAAUUCAAAUAAGGGAUUUGCCUAUUUGCCUAAUUGACCAACUCAUUCAAAUUGACCAAUAUGGUUAUUGUCUUAUUUCUCAUUUCAGCAAUCUCAAUUCGUUUCCAUUUUUCCAUUCUUCAUAUUUUCCUAUUUUCCAUGUGUCAUCCAAUUUUCCAAUUUUCCAAUUUUUCAUUAUUUUUGCCUAUUUUUUCCUAUUCCCUAUUUUCCUAUUGUGCAAUUUCCCAAGUUUCCUUUUGUUGUAUUUCUAGUUUUCCAAUUUUUCAAUGUUCCCAUUUUCCCAUUAUGUAAUUUAAAAAAAGUUGCCUGCUUUGCCUAAUUCAGAAAGUAAUUAAAAUGGUCCAAUAUGGUAAUUGUCUUAUUUUCCAUUUCCACAAUUUCAAUUCGUUUCCAAUUUUCUUAUUUUCCAUGUGUCCCUAUUUCCUAUUUCCAUUUUUCAAAUUUUAAGUUUUUGUCCAAUUAUCCAAUUAUCUUUUUUCCAAUUGGACUAUUUUCUAAGUUUCCUUUUUUUCCUAUUUCCAAUUUUCCAAUUUUUCAAUUUGCUAACUUUCCUUUUGUUCUAUUUCCAAUUUUGCUAUUUUCCAAGUUGCCUUAUUUCCUAUUUUUCAAUUAUCCAGUUAUCCAAUAUUCCAAUUUUCCAAUUAUCCAAUUUUCAAUUUUCCAAUUUGCGAAUUUGCCUAUUUUCCAAGUGUCCUUUUUUCCUAUUUCCUAUUUCAAAUUUUCCAAUUUUCAUGUUUUCAGAGUUUCCUUUUUUUUUCCUAUUUUCCAAGUUUCCUUUUGUCCAAUUUCAAAUUUUCCAAUUUUCCAAGUUGCUUUAUUUUCCAAUUACCCAAAUUUCCUAUUUUCCAAGUGUCCUUUUUUCCUUUUUCCAAUUUUCCAAUUUUCCAAGUGUCAUGUAAUCCUAUUGCCUAGUUUCCUCUUUCCAAUUUUUCCUUUUUUCCUAUUUCCAAUUUUCAAUUUUCCAAAUUUCCCAAAUUUCCAACUUUCCAUUUUUUCGUAUUUCCGAUUUGCCAAUUUUCCUUUUGUUCUAUUUCCAAUUUUCCAAGUUUCCUUAUUUCCCAUUCUCCAAGUUUUCACUUUUCCUAUUUUUCAAUUUCGCUAUUUUCCAAUUUUCUGUUCUGAAAUUCGCAAUAAAUGCUUAGUUACACAGUCCUAUUUUGGGUUGAAAUCCACAAUUUUCAAUUUCCCAUUAAGGUUUGCUUUUUUGUCGUUUGGAAGCCAAUUUUAUUGUUGUUAAUGUAAUGUUGUACUGUUGUAAAUUACAGCCAAUGAGUUAAUGAUGUAGUUUGCAAUCCCAUCAAUUGAAUGCACCAACUAAAUACCCAAUAUACUUCAUAUAAGUUCGUACAUAUAACUCAACCUUCCUAUACAGAACUGCAACAGAGGCACCUUCUUAACGGGAAAGGUAAUUAGUCUUACUAAAACGCAAAUAUUCUCCACUACAGCUAACCAAUUGUCGUUUACAACUGGAGACUGAAUCUACCUUUAUUUGUUUUGUUGCAGGCAACAGCUGUGAAUUGUCCCCGGCAAUACUUAAAGAUGUCGGAUGUACGCCCUCCAAAUGAGCAUGUCACAGUUACCCGGGGGACCAGCCGUGGCAUGUGCCAUUCCCAUCUCCACCUCGGACUCCCAAUCAUGAUCCCACUUCAUCUGGAAGUGAGGCUGAGAGCAAUGAUCCGCUUGACAAAAUCUCUGCCGUCAAGCACCACCUCCAAUAUAUGUCAAAGGCAACGGAUUGGUGGGAGAGUAAGUGCGAUAUUCAUGGCCAAGUUAUGGGAAACUUGGCCAACAAGUUGAACAAAGCAUACGCUGGAGAGGUGAAGCAAACUCUAAAAGCAAAAAGUCGGAGCAAAGAGUUAGAGUCCUUGAAGUUGAAAUUGGAAGAGAGAAAGAAAAAUGCUGUCGAAAAAUUCACACAAUCUGAAGAAUAUAACCAUGAAAUGGUUGAAUGUUUCAACAACGGCUUUGAAAUGUUCCGAGAUUAUGCUUCGGUCAUCUCACCAGACUACAAUUGGAGUGAAAUUGAUGUAGCUGGUGUUUGGCAGGUGCUGAAUAUGGGUGCUGAGGGAAUGGCUCAUCAUAGCCUCGUGCAUGCAGCAAGGAGAAAGGACAAAGACUUGGAUCUUUUGAUGGACCUGUAGUAACAGUGAGUGCUGCUUCAGUUCAACUCACCUGAGUACAUGGAUCUUUUGUUGCCUUCAUUUUCCCUUCGCAGGCUAGUAUUGUUAAGGUUCGGUGGCGAUUUCUUUUGCAUGUGUAAAAUGUUGUCUGUAAUGUGUAUGUAUUGUAUGUAGAUUGACUUAAUAUUGUAGUUCUAUUGUAUGUAUAUUGCCUUAAUAUUGCCUUUGUAUAGCAUAGAUAGUGUAUGCAUAUUGCCACCGUAUUGGAUGUAUAUUGUAAAACUAUUGGUAUCGUAUUGCCCUUAUAUUGCUCUAAUAUUGCCUCUAUAGUGCACCUAUAUUGACCUAAUAUUGCUCUUAUAUCGUAUGUCAAUGGCAUGUGCUCUAAUAAGUCUCCAGUUCGUUGAAAGUAAUCCUGAAUUCAAAUAUGAUGGACAAGACAAUUGUUAUCCAUCCUUAUAUUACCAUGAAUUGAUUUGGACCUUUCAAAUGAUAGUUGGAGUUGCACAUGGAUUCAUAUUCAAAAGGAAAGUAAUUCUCUCCCUCAAUGAAUUGUCGUUCAAAAGAAGGCAGCUAUCAAAUUUUGGGUACAAAAAGGCAACAUCCACGGUAAAUUAAUUGGGCACAAACCACAUAUUACAAAACCAGGAUGAUUUUUGGCAUGCUUCAAAAGAGAAGGGCCAAAUACAACAGAAAAGAAAAUCCAUUCAAGCUUGUACAAUAGAAUGCACAAUAACCCUUUUACAUGUCCUUCCAACACCAGUGUUUUGCCUACUUUAGAGUCGCAGGAGGAGAGCUUAUUGCCAUUGUGCAAUUCGAGGGGGCAGUCAAUUUGGAAUGGUGGCAUAAACAUGUUUACUCCACGGAUCACCUAUAUGGGACAGAGCUUCCUUCUUCCCUUGUCGUCUGUAGGUUUCAACUUCACACUUUUUAUAUACAUGUAUGAGAACUUGUGGCUAUUUAUUUAUGGCCUUCUAACACUUGUUCUGCCAUUCCAAAGUGGGUUGGAGACUUUUUGAGUUGAAUGACUGGAAAGACUUCAGAUGACAGAAACUAGAGAGUUUGAAGAAAAAGGGUUACCAAGAACAGCAGUCAUGCCCACGACAUAAACUAAACAUGCUAUAAGCUCCACAGUAAUAUUUACUUCAUCUCCAUAAUCAGAAUAUUGGGAAAAAAAUACCACGGAGAAAUACGUGAAAUGAAAAACAACUCGGCAGUUACUGUGAGAUUGUGUACAUAAAACUUGGAACAACCAAACCAAUUAAAGCUAAGCCAUCUCAUACGUAUACCUACAUCAAAUAACAGUGUAUGGUCAUCUUGUUUAGAAUAUUGCAAUCAACACUUGGUUGAGACCGACCUGCAAAAACAACUGGGUUAAGUACAGAUGAAGCCAUUUAUGAAGGGCAGUUCCAGAAUUAAGACCUACGUUAAUUUGUAACUGCCACCGAAUCAGUUCAUAGUGCCAAAUGCAUCUACCAAGCACACAGAUAUGACCAGCCAAAAGAAAAAAAAGCAAAGUAAAAAAGAUAAAAGAGGCAUGCCAUAAAUGGGAACCUCAGCAGAAAUCAUCAGAUAUGCAUACAAGCAGAUUGAGUAACAUCUCACUAAGUAGAGGUCAUGUUGGUAAUCGCAUGUUGUGUUUGCACACAGACAUUUGGUUUUUGCAAACACAACAUGCAAUUGCAUUCCAUGAUGUGUGUGUUGUGUUUGCACACAGACAUUUGGUUUUUGCAAACACAACAUGCAAUUGCAUGAUGUGUGUGUUGUGUUUGCACACAGACAUAUGGUUUUUGCAAACACAACAUGCAAUUGCAUAUUGUGUGUGUUGUGUUUGCACACAGACAUAUGGUUUUUGCAAACACAACAUGCAAUUGCAUAUUGUGUGUGUUGUGUUUGCACACAGACAUUUGGUUUUUACACACACGAUAUGUAACAUUUAGUUUUACCCUUUUAUUCUUAUUUUCUUCGUUCAAACAUGGUGGUGAGAAAAGCACCAAACCAUCCCAUCAUAUAAAGCAAAACUCAUACAAUAUUUUAGAUGCAAAAGUUAUAUAUUUUAUAUAAAUGCAUCAUCCGCAUGGCUUGAAAUUACAAAUUCACGUUCACAUAUUACUUUUCACAAGCGCACAGACUAACAAUAAUAAUAAUCAACCAAGUAGUUGCGACAUUCAUCCUAUUACGUCCAUAUUGAUAAUGUCAGAAGUUUCAUCGAUAAGCCUCAUCAAACUACAAGUUUUUUAAUUUGAAUUAUGAAUUCAGAACUAAAAGCUCAUGAUAUGCAGAAAAUGACAUACAUUGUCCACAAUCGACUUUUCGAUAUAUUUCUGCUCUAGCAAUUUAUCGUCCAAAUUCUGGACUCUCUGUGUCAGGUGCUUCUUUGUGUUCUAUCCAGCAUAAGAAUAUUUAAUAGUGUGAUUUCAAUUGUUUAUACAAAUUCUAUAAGUAAUAUUGAUGAGUGCUGUAAAUCUAUUUGAUAUUGGGAACAAACAUGGUCCCACUAACAGAAACUCAAACAAAACAGGAAUUUUUUUUUAUUUUUUUUGGCAUAGACAGCCGAAAAGAAACUUACAGCAAUAGCCUCUGUCACGCUCUCCAGACGUUUAUGCAAUUUUGAAACAGCAGCAUUCAUACUACGCUUUGUCACAUACAGAAGAUCUGAGAAUUUUAGACCCUAACCAUUUGUGAAGAGCAAAUAUUAGAUUUGCUUAAAGAAGACAACAACUCACAGAACCAAUGGAUGAAAUAAUAUGAACAUAAAUAUAUCAUUUGGAUACCUUCCACCACAUGUAACCAUAACCCAAUGCCCCCAAGGUAGCUGUUGGCAUUAUUAGUGAUGUCAAACCUAUUAAAAAAAUCAAAAAAAAAAAUAUAACCAAGUAUAAAAUGUUUCUAUUGCAUUAUGAAAUACAUACGUGUAAGGAAUUAAUCGUUUUACAACUUAACCAAAAAGUCAAGGCAGGAGCAUGCAUUCAUUGAGUGGUUAUAAGCAAGAGGAAAAAGCACAAAGCAUGCUAAGAAUUCAUUUGAACACAGAAGAGAAAGUAAGCUACCUUGGAAUUUGGCUGUCAUUCCCCUUCAGGACGGCUCUCUGUAGUGACGAGUCUAGUUGUCGGACCUCAGCUGCCAGUCGGCGCACCUAAAACAAAGUAACACAGGAAAAUUGAUAUCCAUUACAAAAAACAAAAAUUGAACACGAGAAAGCAUCCUUCGACACUAAAUUUAUAGCAGUUUUUCCAAUACCUGUGAUGCGAUCGCAUAAAAGUCACCUUCUGAUUGUUCUCCGGUUCCAUUGAACAAAGGCUGCAAACAAAACAGAAAUAGACACAAAUCCAUCAAUUUUUUGAGCAACAAGACACAAGCUCCGAAAUAAAUAAACUAUCUAACUGAUCAAAACCCUAGUUUACCAAAUGCAUUACAAAAUUAAAAACUCAUACAAAAAUAACACCAAAUACAAAUGUUCUGCGAGUUCCACUAGCAAAGCAGAGUACAAAUCAUGAAAAUGGUACCUGAAGUUCACCGAUCAAUUCAGAUAAUUGACCAUUCUUACGCAGGAUGGUGCUCGUAUACCCUGUAGAAAGAGAACAAUCACUCAGAUCAAAUGUAGCUAAAUACACAAGGAAACUAAUCCAGUAUGCAAGAUGAAAGAGGAGUGAUUGGUACCUACUCCAGCGAAGAUCAGCAAACACAGUAUGAGGUUCCAAAUUCAAAUAACAACAUAAUGCUAAGCAGAGAAGUAGAAUUGCUGCCGAAAUUAUUUAAAACGAACUAAGUCAAAACUAAAUGGAGAAAUGUUAACAAAGUUGUAUGCUUCAGUAAGUCCAGUAACAGAUUCCCAAAACCACAGAGACAAAAUGUGAACAAUGGCUACAAAAGCAUCCAUAAAGAGCAACUAUGUUUAUAUAUGGAGGUGUACAAAAUAGUUAACCUUCAAAAUCGAAACAGUGUGUGUGCCAUGUAAGGCAAUUAGCCACUGCUUCUAGACUAUACAAUAUUACACCUCACAAUAAUAACUAAACCAACUAGCUCUAGCAAAAAGGCAGGAUGACCAUAUAAAGUACCCCCAGCAAAGCAUCUACGUCUGCAUCUUCAUAUCAAGGAGUUCCUGACAUAAGUAAUGAGCAAAGUGAAUUCCCAAGUCAUAAGUCCAGAAUGAGGUGAAUUCACGGACAUUAAAACAUUUACCUCAUAAAUAUGCCUCCCCCCUUAAACCCUCAAUUGCAAGCCUCAGCCGGUAAUAUUUGAUCUUCAAAGGGUCAACUUUAUCUACCGAAAUCCCAGCACUGAGAUGCUCGAUGAAUUUGACGGUCAUGAUUCCGCAAGACGUACUGUGAGACCAAUAAGUUGGGAAAUUAGAACUGCAGUUAUGUAAGAUUUGGAUAAACUGCACUAAAUUCACAAAGCUUACCCAUCUCGUUGUUGUGGCACAUCUGCAAUGCUGCAAACUGAGAAUGGCGUAAACGUCAACAUCUUCAGCCCCUUUUGCUUAACCUUUUCAACCUCAGAAUCUUCAUAAAAGUGCAUAUCGUACAGCACUCGUGCCAGCGUAUCGCUAAUAGGGUGCAGAAGUGUAACCAGCUUCGAACAUUUGGUAAAAGCAACAUAUGAGUCAUACACAGUUGCAGUAUGUCAGACGAAAUCAAUUUCGAUUGCAACCCAGUAAGACCCUUUAAGAUUAUAUGGAAUAUAGACCUUCCGGACUUUUGUCCAAGCUUGGCCAUACCCGUGUUGCCACGUACCGCGUACAAAGUAAUGUAUAUUCUGCAGCUUGCUGGGUGGAAGGUCAACGGUGUUUGAAGCAACUGCCUUCUUCGAUCCACGUUUCUUGGCAGUCGGUUUGAACGGAUCUAGAAAUUGCUGCAUAAAUUGAAAUGAAGGCAUAUUAGAAAAUCACAACCGAAAGCAAAUGAAGCAGCGAAUGUAACAUGGUAACAUGUUUACCUGCAAGCAACAAUCUGCUGUUGUCCAGUCAGUUCCAAAUACCAACGGAUGAGAGAGUUGCCUUUUCCAGAUAAGAAAGGUUGCCAUGUCCAGGUGCUGAAAGUUGACACACAUAAUAUCAGCACAAUUUCAUACAACUGUACACUUAAAAAAGGUGAGAAAACAAUUUAAUUAUCGCAAUAAAGUAGAGCUUUGUGUAUUCUUACCCUUGAGCUAAUCCAUUCCGUUUCAUCGAUAAGUCUGUAGAAAAAAUCAGCGCCCACUGAAAAUAAUUCCAGCUGCACCUCCGCACUACAAAAGGCAAACUUGCAAUGGUUACUUUUAUAGUCAUCUCAUAAUUCUGACUUUGUUGAUGACAAAAAUACACAUGUAUAUUAAAGCAAACUCUACGUUUUCUCAUUAGUCUAUGACUACAUACUAGAAUAGGAUGAAGAUUGGAAUUCAAAGGUAAAGAAUCCUAACCUGAUAUCGUUUUUCCAGGCAGUACAAAACUCUAUUACUGCCUUCACAUCUUCAAUGGGCACGGAUUUUGAUGGAUCAAAACAUGGCGGGGUUGCAGUCGCAGCCAACACACUCAUCGUCCUCUUCUUCCUCAAAGGAUCAGUAAAUGGGCUCAACAAUGUCUGCGCCGGGCGCUUCUGUCUGCACCCUUUACCUUCCACUUCUUUUUUUUCCACACUCGAACUACCUUCUUCAUCACCAGCCAUACUAACUGUGGGUAGACUUGGAGGAUUCAUCGGACCUCCCGAUGGCAUACUCUUAGUCACUUUCCAAUCUUCUAACAGAGACAACACUUUUUGGCAGAUUUCGUCACACCCGGCCACAUCUUCCGGGGUAGGCAGCUUCUCGGAUUGUGCCUGCUCAGCUGCUUCAUGCACUUGUAAGUGAGGAACUGAAGCGGCCAUUUCUGCCUCUUCGACUACCAUGGCUGCGGAAGGUUCGGCUCCAUCACCGGGAACUUGUGUUUCCAUUACCGCCGGUUCUGUAGGCGGACUAACAUGGUCAUGUAAUGGCGACAAGUGAUUGUCGCCUCCUUCAUUCAUAUGAGGACUACUGAGGUCCUCAUGUCCUUUCCCACCUUCAUUCACCCCACCAUUUCGUUUUUUCAGCUGCUCUAUCUCCACAUUAAAAUAAUGCUCCAUUAAAGCCAGGGUGUUGCGGAAAUCCUCCACACACUUUUUAUUUUUUUCGAACUCUCUUUCAACUUUCAAUGACUCCUUCCGUACCAUGUCUUCCAACUGAUGCACUCUGUUGCGAAGCGCUCGAUUUGAUAUGGCAACUUUGGCCAAUUCAUCCUUUGUCCUUUGAAAGUCACGCUUCAAAGUGCGUAACUCUCUGGACGCGACUGUACCCUGCAUUCAGUUAUAAUGCAAGUGUUACAAUAUUUUCAAAAUAUAUUGCAACAAUACAGCAGUUAUUUUCCUAUUGUAUUAUGACGUAUAUCUUGGAAAAAAAUGUAAUGCUUGCCUUAGAAGACGACGGAAGGCUAGCAGUUUCGUCAAUGUCCUUAUCUUUUUCUUCUACAGAGGCAGAAGUGCUGGUUUUUUGUUCAGCGUCAUCGCCAAACAACUGAACAAGUUCUUCAGUGUCGUCAACACUGUCACCCCAAGUCCAAUACGGCUGCUGCUUGUCGAUUACAGAUGGCCGGAGAAGUUGCACAUCAACCUGCAAUUUACACAUACAAUAUACAUAUCAGUAAACUUAUUAUAUUAUAUUUUCAUAUGCCUAACAUUAUCAUUAAAAACUUAACUAACCUCACGGUUCUCGAAUACUUGGCUCAUUAGCUCAUAAAAACACGGCGAACUAUUGCUCCUCCAAUGUAGUAAACGAGGGAUGUAGGCAUUAUCUUCGUGCACCACCAAAUGUAGUGCAGCCAACGCUGGAAAAACCUCAUAAGCCCAAAUCUGGUUUGAGGAAUAAAACGUGAGUCACUGUAAACAAAUGAAAUUUAACUUCAACAUGAAUGGAAAUUUGCUCACCUGAAGUGCAUAGGCAAAACCUUUGAGGUGGUACUCUCUUGGUCUACCAGUUGCCGUUGUUUUUGCUUUCUUUUCAGAUUUUUUUGUUUUUGCAGCUUUUUUGGGCACUUUCACUCGCUGGUAAUCUGUACAAAGUGCCCUCAGAAGUGACACAAUUGUCUUGGCAUAACACACAGCACCCCAUGGAUACUUCCCAAACUCUUCAAGGUCUUCCACCAACUUCAAAUAUCGCAUGUCAAUCUGGACAUGUUUUUCACUGCCCAACAGCACAAACACAGCAAAGUAUACAAAUCUGAGCUUCAAUACAUCGUCCGCAUCAACGCAUUUGAGGAAGGCCUUUUCUAAUUCCAAAACAUUGACAGUUUUAUAGUUGCCAAAGUACUUCCUUUUCAAUGAGCAGUUCUCAUUAGUGGGAAUCGGAAUAAAGGGAAGGUUUCCAAACCUUAGCCCUGUCACGAUGCAAAAUUGCUGCGCCGUGAAUUGGAUCACCUUAUUGCCAACGAUGAAUUUGAUCCCGUUGAGUUGGGAAACUGUCUUUGGAUCAGCUUUCCUCAGCAGCAAGCCGUGGACAAUUGGCGAAGUCCACUUGAGGUCCUCAAUCAGUAGGAGAUGCCCAAAACAACUCUCUUCAAACCUUUGUAGCUGUUGUUCACUGAAUUUCUCCUUUAUCGUGCUGAUUGCAGUCUUCGUAUGGGAUAGGGACAAUGCUUUUCCUUGGAACUUUUCUUCCUCUGCAAUCAUCAACUUCAUUUGAGCAACCAUCUUUCCCUGCAUGCCAAUAUUAUAAAAAAAAAUUCAGUCCGUUGCAAUCUAGACAAUAACAAGCAAUAAACAAUCAGCACUUAUCUACAGCCUAUUAUAGGAUAUUAAGUGAAAACAAAAAAACAAAAAAUACAGGGCAUAAACAAAACCCCAGCUAUUUACAACUGACCUACUAAUUCAAUAGCUCAAAGCCACAUCCCAAGACACCCAGUACUCUACCACUCUUGCAUAAUAUAAUAUCUAAAGACACAUCUCAACACACCAGAUAAUCAUGACACAGCUUCAGCUAGAAUGGGAAUGUGCGGUAGCACAAGCCUAAUUGAGAACAAUUCAAGACUAACGAUAGAAAUCUAUCUGACUAGAAAGAGUUUUAAAAAAACAAGAAGACAUCGGGAAAGAAUUGAUUGACUUCAAGGUAUAAUGUAAUGGAACAUCCUAUGAAUUAGUGGCAACCAUAAUAAUGACUCCACUAUGGCCCUCCUUUCAAAUGUAAGAAAAUGAAUGAAAUUGGCACCAUCCCUUCAGUUUUUUCUUAACAAAAUAAGAGAUUUGUAUGUAUUCUCUGCUUUAUCGAUAUCAAAGAUAAAUUAAUAAAUAAACCAUCAAAACUGUAUAAAAUGUUUGUUAGACAUGUACAAUUACAAAAUUAUAAGUUCUCCUCAGAAACAAAGUUCUCUAAGUACGCAAACAAGAAAAGCAAAAGCUUAAAGAGUUAGCUUAUAGCAAAAUCAAUGUCCCCAUUUCUCUAAACCACACCUGCUGGUGGUAGGUUCCCAUCUUCACUCAUUUCCCGCUUUCUUUUAAACAGACAAUGAUCAAGCACAAAAGAGCAAACUUUUAAAUAACUCAUAUUACACCACAAAUAGUUCUAAAGAAAACUUAUUCAUAUCCAAUAUGCAACCCCUAAAGUUAGUAAACAGAGUUAUAAAAAAAUAUGUCAAAUUAACAAGCAUUAUUCUCAAACAAAAAGUAUGAUAUGGUUGGGAGUUUACAAGUUCAAAAUGAUAUACACAGGUUAAUUGUCUUAGACUUUAGAUAUCAUCUUCAACAAAGAAAAUAGAUACCGAUUAGACUUGUAAGAAGGUUAAAUGCAAUGGUCAUAAAGACCCAUAGUAAGCCACCAAAUACCAAUCAAUAACUGCUAUAAAAACCAUAAUAAAACCAUAAUAAACUAAAAAUACAACAGCACUAAAAUGCCAACACAACAUCACUACAUUAGCAAUAUAGUAGCAACAAAACCACAAUACGACAUCAAUAGCAACAGCAAAACAACAGCAGUGCAAGCAUCAGUCCACAAAGAACAAACCCAUUCACUGUUUCAAACAAGGAAUCAUCAUACUAAGAUCAUUUCAGAGAAACCCCAAAACCAAUUUCAGUGAAACCCCUAAACCAAUUUCAGAGAAACCCCUAAACCAAUUUCAGAGAAACCCCUAAACCUUCAACCAAUUUCGAACAAAUCCCUGAACCAAUUUCAUAGAAAUGCAUAAACCCUAAACCAACUUCAAAGAAACCCUAAACUGUAAGAAAAUGACGAUGAACAGUACCUGUUCAAGGUGAACGAUGGAGUUGAGCUUCGAUGAACAAAUUUCGCUCGGAGAGGAAGAGAGAAGAGAGAGUCAGAGCUGAGCGACGAGAGAUUAAGGGCUGAGCGACGAGAGAGUGAGAGCUGAUCGACGAGAGAUGAGAGAGUGAGAGCAAAGUGACGACAGAGUGAAGAGAAAUUGAGAGAAGGAGCCAAGAGAGAGAGCUGAGAGAGAACUUCAGCAAAACUGAUAGAGAACUUCAGCAAAAGUGAUAUGUGUACAAUAAGGGGACAAUAAAUAUAUAUUUAUAGGUUAUAGUUCCAAAUUUUUUUAAAAAGAGUGGUAUUUUCAGUUACAAUUAUAAAAAUGGUGGCAUUUUGAGCUAUUUCCUUAUUUUUUAUUCAACAUGGACGCAGAAACUGUUGCUAAACUGCAAACUUCUUAAAAUAUUUGUCUCACUUUCUCAACCCUAUAUUUGUCUAACUUUCUAGAUCCAUGUACUGAGAUUUAUUAGGGAAAUAUUGUAGAAACUGAUUAUUUUGAAAUAUUAAAUGUGAAAAACUGAACAAAAAUUUGAUGGGUUACAUAUUUCAACUCAUUUCAGCAGCUUAGAUUUUGAAGACCUCGGAAGAGGCCAUGCAGUGAGCCUAGCUAGUGCACUGUUGAUCACUUCAGUGUCUACCGAUCUGUAAUUUUUCCAGAUUGGUUAUAUUUUCCUUUACAUAUUCUUAUAUUAUUCCCAGCUGUAAGUGUUUUACACACUUGUCUAUUAGAAAAGGGGAGACUUAUAAAUAAAUCCAAAAUGGGUACAGUAUUUAUAAAGAAUGACAAAAUUAAAGUGUUUGGGCAAUAAUGCCCUUAUUCAUUUUGAGAUUGCCUAAGGAAUAUUUUUUCUGAUUUUCAGAAGAUGCCAAAGGACCGUUGUUUGAUGAUUGCCGUAAGGAGCUAAGAAAACUUGCUUUGAUAGUUUUGGACAGAUGCAUGCUACUGUUGCUGGGAUGAUCUCUUCACGUGAAAUGAGGAUGAUGAUGCUUCUACACUACACAAUCCAACGAAUUCACAUGUCUAUUUCAGAUACAAGUAUAAACUAACAAGGCUUUAAAAUAUGGGCUGAUGCACUGUUGUUGAUGUUGCUGACACUGUUACUGUGUUGUUGAUACUGUCACUGCGUUGCUGUUGGAAAAAGCACAAGGACUUCACAUGUUGCUUUCGUCUUUUGUGGAGGAGAGAGACCUAGGACUUGCAUGUCUUAGAUAUUUAAGAUAAGGGGCUUUCGUUCCAUUUUGAAAAUACUUUGGGUGUUUUUGAAAGGUGAUUGUUUCUUUUGGGUUUCUCACUAAAUUUCGCUUUAGAAGGGAAAAUAAUAAUAAUAAUGUCAAACAAAGUAGGGUAAAUAUUCAGAUAUGCUCAUAUUAUUAUUCUUCUCCAAUAUUGAGGUAUUUAUACAAGUACAAAGAUGUGUUAACCCUAAAUAAAAUAGGAAAUAUAUCUAAAUUAUAAUAGGCAGUAAAUCUCUAUUACAAUAGGACUAAAUAAUAAUUGGUAAGUAACCAAAAUUCUAAUGAAAUAAGGAAUCAAAAUCCUAACUAAGUAAGGACUCGCCAACACUCCCCCUCAAGUUAGGGCAAACAUAUUUCGCAUGCCUAACUUGACAAGCGAGUCAUAGAACACCAUACUUGAGAAGCACCAAUUGUAGAGAAGGUCUUUUCGUCAACCACGAGUGAAACAAGUGACAAACUAAAGCAAAGUUCGCAGCGGAAACACAAGAGCGAAUCCUAAAAAAUAGGGCACAUAGCAGAACACAAAAAUCCUGGAGCACGACAGUAGAUAAGGCAGAACACAGAAACCCUGUUAGCACGGCAAUAGGUAAGGCAGAAAAAGUCAAGAGCAAAGGCAAGGUCAACAGGCGUGACCACAACGAAAACACACCAGCAAAGACAUGAGCAACAAUAUUAGCACCAUAAUAGACAUGAGCAACAAUACUGGUACCAACAACAGCAAUACAAGGCACUGGCACCAGCAAGAGCAACAAGGCAUGGACAUAACAUGCAUAAUCAAUAGUAAUCAACAUUGUCCCCAACAAGAGUCAUAAUAGGCAUGAGCAAUAACAUUGUCCCCACUAAGAGACUUAACAGGUAUGAGUAACAGUACUGGCACCAGCAAAGGGCAUAGUAGUCAGCAGCAAUAACAAUGACAAAUACUUCUAUUAUUGCAGAGACAACUUCUCUUCACUCCCCAUCUCCCCUUGAAGAGAAGGGGUCAUCGGAACCAUAAGAAAAGUGGCACUUAAGAAACAGAAGUUGACUGACGCUCAAAUGUAGAAGAAUCAGCCAUGGCAAAUAGGUAGCUGAAUUGCAGCGGAAUAGAUGAGCAGCGGUGUCACUCCCCCUCAUAUCUGAUAAUGUAUGAGAGUCGAGAUUUGGAGAAAGCAAUAUCGAAAAAUAAAGUUGCAGAACCCAAAUAAAGUUGCAUCUAUCUCCCCAUCAAAUCCGACACUGGUAAAGGGUCGAGAUUUGAAAGAGGAGAAAUUGAAAUAAUAGUAAAGAGACUCAAACAUGCAGUCUCAUGGCAGAAACAAAUGCAAGAGGGGAAGAUGGUAGCAUACGGUUGUCCCAUGAAGAAAAAACUUCAGAAAAGGAGAAUAGUAAGGGAGGAAACCUAGCAAAUCAUGAACAGAGACAAAGACAAAGAUGCUCAAACUGAGAAGCGGAAAGGCAACUCAAGAGAGCAACCGAAGAAGACAGAGGCCCGCAGAACAGUCAAAGUUAAGGCUCGGCGAGUGGUGACGAUGCUCGCGGAGGAAAGCAACGGCUCGGUGAGCGGUGAUGAGGCUCACGGAGUAAAGAGACUUGUUAUGAAGUUUCAAAGAUAGAGAAGCUGAGACAUCAAGAAAGACCAUCUGGCAUACAAAGAUGAAAAAUAAAAAUUUUGGAACAGUAGCAAAGAAGCAUGUGAAGGCUGGUGCGGUGAAAACACAUAUGAAAGGAUGAACAAAAGAAGAUGACUAUACAAGAUGAAGACCCAUGAUGGGUUAGGAAUGAGGAGUGCCAACGACUCUCAAUUUGGCAGAGGUUAUCGCAGGUUAGGAACCUGGCUCUGAUACCAUGUCAAACAAAGUAGGGUAAAUAUUCAGUUAUGCUCAGAUAUGCUCAUAUUAUUAUUUUUCUCCAAUAUGGAGAUAAUUAUACAAGUACAAAGAUGUGUUAACCCUAAAUAAAAUAGAAAAUAUAUCUAAAUUACAAUUGGAAGUAAAUCUAUAUUACAAUAGGACUAAAUAAUAAUUGGUAAGUAACUAAAAUUCUAAUGAAAUAAGGAACCAAAAUCCUAACUAAGUUAGGACUCGCCAACAAAUAAUAGUACAACUCUUAUUAGCAACAGGUUACAAACUUCUUCUACAACACACCAACAUGAAUCUAGCCCUGAUCCACUCUUUUACAUACUUGAAAACAAAACAAAACACGAAAAACAAAAAACAAGAAACAAGAUAGGGAGAAAAUGGCUACGGAGAGACUUCCUGCUAAUCAGGGGCGGCCCUGGGGUGGUGCAAGUGGCGUCACCGCACAGGGCCCCCGAUUCUUAAGGGCCCCCAAAAAAUAAUUCUUUAUAUUAUAUAUAUAUAUAUUAAUAUUAUAUGAAUCGUAUAUAAAGUAUAGCGUCUGGAUGAUAAAGAGACUCAUUAUCAUUAUCUUAGUCAUAAGAUUCAAAAUGAAUUGAUACUUUUGUUAGCUUCUGAGCUCAAAAGUGCAAUCAUUAAAAAGAUUGAAGAAGCUAAAUAUUUUUCUGUGAUUCUUGAUUGUACUCCAGAUGCUAGAAACCAAGAACAAAUGAGUUUGAUAGUAAGAUGUGUGGAUGUCUCUACUAAUUCAAUAAAGGUUGAAGAAUUCUUUUUGGAAUUUUUGAUUGUGAAUGAUACAACAGGACAAGGACUUUUUGAAGAGUUGCAAACGGUGUUGCAAAAACUUAAGCUUGAUAUUGAUAAUGUGAGAGGACAAGGCUAUGACAAUGGAUCAAAUAUGAGUGGGAAAUAUCAAGGUGUCCAAAGAAAAUUUUUGGAUGUAAAUCCUAGAGCAUUGUACACACCUUGUGGUUGUCAUAGUCUUAAUUUAACACUUUGCGAUAUUGCAAACUCUUGUGGAAAAGCAAAAGAUUUUUUUGGAAUCAUACAACGUAUUUAUACAUUGUUUGCUAAUUCUACAAAGCGGUGGAAGAUAUUGAAAGAUAAUGUUAAACACUUAACUCUGAAAUCAUUGUCAGUUACACGUUGGGAAAGUCGUAUUGAAAGUGUGAGAGCAAUAAGAUUCCAAGCUGCAGAUUUAAGAGAAGCUUUACUUCAGUUAGCAGAAAGUGACGGUGACUCCAAAAUAACAAGUGAAGCUAAUUCUUUGGCAACAUAUGAACUUGGAAAUUUUGAGUUCUUAUUGGGCAUGGUUAUUUGGUAUGAUAUAUUAGGUGGUGUCAAUGUAGUGAGCAAAAACUUACAAUCUGAAGACAUGCUUAUUGAUGUUGCUAUUGAUAAAGUGAAAGGGUUGAUUACUUUUUUUUUGAAAAGUAUAGAGAAAAUGGGUUUACAGAAGCUAUGUGUACUGCUAAAAAAAUUGCUACUGACAUGGGAAUUGACCCGGUGUUUCCUGAGAAGCGAAAAAUUCGUAGAAAAAAACAUUUUGAUGAGAAUACUUGUGAGCUAUCCCAAUCAGUUCCUGAAUCAACUGAAGAAAAGUUUAGAAUUGAUUAUUUCUUGUAUUUAGUGGACCAAGCUAUUGGUUCUUUACGAAGAAGGUUUCGACAAUAUCAAGAGUAUGAGAAUUUUUGGGUUUUUGUUUACUUCAGAGAAGUUAAAUUCAUUGGAUGAUUGCGAUUUGAAGAAUAGUUGCAGUCAUCUGGAAAGCAUUUUGAAAAAUGACAAGUUUUCUGAUGUCGAUGGGGAGGAUUUAUUUGUUGAGUUGAAAGUUUUACAAGAGCUUUUACCAAAAGUAAAUACCACAGCUACUGCAAUAUUAAAUUUCUUGAAAAGAUUAAAUUGUUUUCCAAAUGCAUUCAUUGCAUAUAGAAUCCUAUUGACUAUUCCUGUUACUGUUGCAUCUGCGGAAAGAAGUUUUUCAAAAUUAAAAUUGUUAAAAUCAUACUUGAGAUCAACUAUGUCGCAAGAAAGAUUAAAUGGACUAGCUUUGAUUUCAAUUGAAAGUGAACUUCUUGAAAAACUUGAUUAUGAACAUUUGAUUGAUGAUUUCUCUUCUAAAAAUUCAAGAAGAUCAAUUUUCAGACAUUAGUAUUGUACUAGCUGUGUUUUUUUUUUUCUUCUAGGGUAAAAGCUCUCAUAAUAAUUUUAAUUCUUCAAAUAAGACAGCAAAUACAAUGUGAUGAAUUUUGGAUAAUCAGGUAUGUUUUUGUUGUUGCUUUUGUGUUUAAUGCAAUAUAAUCUAAUUUUUUUAAUGACAUUUGUGUGCAACUACUCUUUGAUUUGUGAUUGCCAAUUUUUUUUUCUUUCUAUUAAACACAGAUUGCUUAUUGGAGGCAGCAAGAGACCUUAUAGGGGCACAAGGAGCUUAUUUUUGUACAAAACAUUUAACUUUAUCAAAUGGAAACAUUUAAAUUUUUAUGAAUUUGAUUUCUGAUUGUCAUUGCAUAUUUAUUGAUGGUGAAUUUUAGUUAUAAAAAAAAAAUUGUUUAUGACAUUAAGUUAUGGCAAAUUUUUAUAGUAUUUUCGUAUUAGAUUAUGCGAGGUCCCAAUUUAAGUUUCGCACAGGGCCCUCAAAAUCUCAGGAACGGCCCUGCUGCUAAUACUUGAUCAAUAACAGAGAUAAUAGAGCACACUGUUUGUAUGACAAUGAGUAUCAGAAGAAUAAUAGCUGCAAAGAGAGAAAUAGCUGCCCAAGGUGUGUUGAAAUACUUUUGUCUCAAAUUUGCCUUCCGUCUGUUCGUGGUCUUCUUGCAGUACUCGUUUAGUUUGCCAGCAAGAUCACCAAAAUAGUAGUUUCCGUGGUUCGGAGCAACUUUACUGCAAAGCUUGUUAAUCAUAAUGGAAACCUUAUUGUUGUCACCUAGCGUGUUUACAACAAUUCCAUUGUCAACAAGCAACUCUACAUCCUUUGGGGUGUUUACAAAUUUAUCCAGGAUGAAAACAUAAUCGCUUAUGUAUUUAUCCACGCAAUGGCCUUGUUCAAAGGCAAUGAGAUUUCUAUGUGUAAGCUGUGUAAUCAUGUAUUUCAAUUUUUGGAAUUUCCAAGGUGUUUUUCUUGAACUGUAUAUCGAAUAAGUUCUUGCUUGAUCCCACGUUAAACUUAACUCCGGCCUGGUGUAGUUUUGUCAUGCUGGGUGUACUUUGGAGCCCUCCAUUUUUUUUUCUUUUGGCAGAUGUAAAGUUCUAAUAAAAUCAACAAAAUGUAAAGGUUUUUUAGGAUCAGGAGGCAUAAAAGACUUACGGAAGGCUGGUGAGUUCUCCAAGUUUUCUAAACGCAGUGCCUGUUGGAAGAACUUGUAAGAGAGUUCAAUUAUUGAAGGCUCCCCAGUCUGAGCACCUGUGAGAUUGUAAAGAUCCUCGAGAAUGAAAAAUGGCAGCUGAUUUACGAGCAUAAGCAUGUCAGGCAAUAUAUUUUGUAGCACCCAUGGUUUUUUAAAUAUCCAAGCAUCAUCAUCCUGCAAUUUUUCUUCCUGAAAUUUUUCUUCGGAUUUAUUCCUCAACAAUAGCUCAAUGACAAAGGCGGCAUCAACUAGAAUGAUAUUCACAAAAGUAGCAAUGUUAAACUUCUUAGGGCUAGUUUGGCGGCGUUGUGCUUUUAAAAAAAUAUGCUUCUGCUGUGCUGUGAAAAUAAUUAGCUGUGAAAAAAAGCUACUAGGCGUUUGGUAAACUGUUUUUGAAAAACUGCUGUGAGUAGUCAAAGUGUUUGGUAAAUUUUUAUCAGAAGUACUUUUAGUGUGUAUAAUGACCAAAAAGGACAUGAUGAUGAAAUUGUUUGUUAUUUUCUUCAUUCUUUUUCUACUUUAAAAAAAAAAAAAACCCAAUUUCACUACAUAAAUUUUUAUUCUUUUUUAAUUCACACCUUUUUAUCAAAAAAUUUAAUCUACAAUUAACAUACAUAUUUUACCAUAAAUUAUAAAUUACUAUUAUAACAAAAGUAAUUCUAAAUAUUGUUAUAUUAAUAUGGGCUUCGGACAUGACAAAAAUACAAAAAUUGUUCAAUUUUAAAAUGCCCCAAUAGAUCACUACAAUAUAAAAGAAGCUAAUUAGAUGCAUUCAUUAAACUUGUAGCGAUGCUAUUUCUUAAUGCAUUCAUUAGCUUCUUUUUUUGGUUUCCAAUGGUUCUCUAACAAUUUUAACUAAAAAAACAACCAUAAUGCUUUGUGAACAAUAAAUUCAAGUCCAAAUCUGCUAUUGCCCACACCAUACAUAUAUACAUAAUUGUUCCUUUCAUAAAACUUGAAGAUUCAAUAGUAAUUACACAGUUUACCAAUCUUGAUUCCAACUAUAUCCAUAAAAUUAAACUAUAAUUAGAAAUAGAGGAGCUACAUGUGAUUACUCAUAAAUGCUUCCCACUCUCAUCAUCAUCAUCAUCAUCAUCUUCCUCCUCUGUACUUUGCCUUUCACAAAUGGACAAGACCAGAUGGUAACGUACACGACAUGGUCCACAUAUAGAUAAAUUUUGGGUUCACUGGAGAACAUAAAAGAGUUUUUACACGAAUACAAAGUUAGUUAAGUAGUGAAUAAAGUAAAACUAUUCUGUACAAUUCUAGCUGAUGCAGUCCAAAAAGAAUAUAUGUCUAAUAACUUAAAUAACAAUAAAGAGAAACAAAAGCCUCAUGAAAAAUGCUAGAGUAAAAGUUACAUAACUGAAUCGAUGGACAGAGAACUCCACAGGCAGAGAAACAGCAACAAAAAUUGUCAAAACAGUAGCAAGACCAUGUUGGAGUCAAGGCCAAAGAUCAUAUUUCCUGUGUAUCUUCUUCCAUUCUGAAUUAUUCUCGUAUUCAAAUACUGUAACUCUAUUUCAAGUGCACCCCAAAAUACUUAUCUAAGGCCAGUACAUAGGACUUCAUAAAGGGUGCGAUAAAAAAUAUUGCCCCUUAAUUGAUAAACAGAACCAAGAUCCCAACAGCACACCAAAACUAUACCAACCACACCUACAUAAUAUGGACAGAAAAUCCUGUUGUUCCGAUCUCUAACCACACCAAUGACAUUCAUUAGGAAAAUACAAAAGAUGGGUACCCUGCAUUUCUAACAUUUAAGAUAAAAUUCACUGCCAGCUAAUCACAAAUUUGAAAAGAUGGCAAGAAAAUUGGCUAAGCUUUAACAAAAACCAGAGCAGUCCUUGCAUAGACCUGACUUUUUGCUCCAAGCUUUAGCAGAUCACUUACUGGUAGAGAGCAGAGAACAUGUAUGUGAAUAUCUGAAGUUGGAAGGGUAAGCCAUCACAAACACCAAGAGAUCUGAUUCUCAUCUCUUGUUACAACAACAAAUCACAAACACCAAUACAUCUGAUUCAGAAUCUCAUAAACAAUGGAGGAACAAACACAUAUUCACACACAUAUAAAUCCCUAAACAGAAAAAAUAAAAAAUAAAAAAAAAACCAUGAAAGUCAUAGGAGAAUCAAAUUGAUUUGGGCCAAAAUUGCCUAAAAAGAAAACACUCCUAAAUAAACUUCAAUUCACUUUUAAAAACAGUAAAACAUGAUUGAAUCAUUCUUUAAAACAAUUCCCUAAUAUACAUGCAUGAUAAUGACAUCAUUUACCCCUGAAUCAAAUGCCUUUCACUGGUCAAGCCACAAGUCUGUGUUUUGGGAAUUGCUGAGCUGCAUCAAUCCUGCCAAUGUAAAUUCUGCCCCUAGGCUCUCUCAAAGUGCGUUUACAACCUAUGCUAACAUAUACUAGAGUUUGUUUUAGUAUCUAGAAAAUGCCAACACUAAUUUCGUAACACGUAGAAAUUGUUACAUAUUGGAAGUUUUUAUCAUUUUUUCUUCCAGUCUCUCCACCACUCACUAAUACAGAUUACUCAUGUGAUGAGUUUACAAAACAUAUUUCUCUACUCCCACAAAGACCAUACUUUUUCUCAAAAGACUAUAUCACUUUAUCUCUAUCUUUGUGAAAUGUAAAAAGUUGAAACUUUAAUGUCAAACCUCGACAAAAGAUGAACAUCCAUCAUCAAUUACAUUGAAUUUGAAUUUGUUGAACUUAAGUAGUUUUACUUCUCUGUCAGCGUUUGAUGACUUGAUUUGUUAUUUACUUCUUCUUUUUUCCUUGGAAAUGUGUUCCAUCAACGUGAGGAAGAAAAAUAUGCACAAAUUAAUAUAUUUAAUAGAAGCAAAAAUUAAUAUUUACAAAAAUAUGCACAAAUCAAGUAAAAUUAAUAAAGCAUAAAUUGGAAAGGGAAAAUAUGUAGAGGAUGCAUUGUAGGAUUGCUCAUGCCAAUAAUUGUACCCUCUAAAUAUAUAGGGACAUAUUUUUUUUUGUUUUCAUGACAUGUGGUCCUAAAAUUAUUGUUCUUAGCGGGCUCUCCACCCCUCUCGACUGAAAACCUAUUGUGUAAAUCUUCAAUCCUGAAUGAUGCACCUAAAACUCAUGUUGCAAUACACAUCCACCCAUUCUCAGGCCAAUUAUUACUCCUAGUGGGCUCUCCACCCCCUCUCAAAUUUAAGUGGUCCAUUAUUAUUAACCGUAUAUUUUAUGGACCAGCCAGCUGUGAGGUUUUAUCUCAAAAACCUUUCUCCCACAUGCCACAAUUUAUGUCUGAUACAUCACAUCAUGCCAGUUGUCUCAAAUGAAUUUAAGUGAGUGAGGCAGUGUUACUUCUGGGUACCCCUCAUUAUUCGUCUAUAAAUUGGUGAAGCCAGUUGCUACUGUUACCAUAAGAGCCAGCUCCGACUUUCAAAAUAAAAAUUCCAACAACGGUCUUAGUGCCUUCAAUUGUAUGAGUCAUUGAACAUGCAAAUGAAUAAAAUAUGAAUGAUAAAAGUGUUUGAUAAAUCACCAAGUUAUAGAACACUUGAUGAUUUAUCUCAAAUAAAAAUUCAGCUUUCUAAAGUUUGUGAAUUGAAAAUAUAAUCGUUAAAGCUCUCUAAACAAAGAAGACGAAAGUCUUAUUUUAUAGAAUUUUUCUUUACAAGAAAGAAAACAUGUUGAAAACCAAAUCUCCAAUUUCCAAGGCUUGACAGAAAAUCAAAAAAAUAUCUUUCCUAUUCUAGAGAUUGGUCACAUGUAGUUCAACCAAUAGGAAAUGAGAUAUUUAAGAAAGCAAGAUUUUGAUCAAUACCAAUAUCAAAUGAAUUCUUAUACGCCUAGUCAACUAUUAAGGGUAUCUUGACUCCUUGAUAUUGUGAUAUGAUUGAAACAUGAUUUCCAUGUUAGAAAAUUAAGGGGAUGUUAAAACAUGAAAGUAAUAGGAGAAUCAAAUUGAUUUGGACUAAAAUUGCCUAAAAAGAAAACACUCUUAAAUAAACUUCAAUUCACUUUUAAAAACAGUAAAACAUGAUUGAAUCAUUUUUUAAAACAAUUCCCUAAUAUACAUGCAUGAUAAUGACAUCACUUACCCCUAAAUCAAAUUGUCACGCCCCGGACCUGGGGGUCAGUGGAAACCCCACGUUCGGUGCGUGAGAAAAUAAAAAGUAAAAUAAAAUAAAAAGAAUGCCGAAACAAGGGUUUAAAAUAAACUUCUCUUAUAAAAAUAACUCCAAAAUCUUACAACUUUACAAGAAAUAAAUAAAGCCCUAUCAUUCUUAUCUAAUUCAGCCUCAACUGGUUUAGUCCUUGUCUUGCCCACUAAUUCAUCUAAAAAAUGAAGAGUGUUGCUAAACGAACCCUAAAAUUAAUUGAGUACACCCUACUACCAAACGAUUUAUUGAAUUUGUCACAUCUCGGGAUCAACUCCGCCGUAGCACGAUAUUGUUCGCUUUGGGCCCUCCCUCUCUGGCUCGCAUGGUUUUGUUUCUGGGAACUCACGAGUAACUUCCCAGUGGGUCACCAAUCCUGGGAUUGCUCUAGCCCACAACUCGCUUAACUUCGGAGUUCCUACGACUCCGAAGCCUGUGAGCUCCCAAAAGGUCUCGUGCUAGAUGGAUGCGGGUGUGCACAUAUAAGGCACAUCACCCCCUCUCCGUUGGUUGAUGUGGGAUCUUAUAGAAUUACUAAUUUAUCCUAAUAUAAAAUGACCAAAGAAGAUAAAAUAAUAUUGGUAUCUAUUGCUUUGAAUCCAUGCCUUCAAACAAAUUGACUUAAUUUUUAACAAACAACACGGAGUCCAGGAGAAGUGUAUUGAUCCAAGUUGAUUUUUGUAUGCGUAAAACUUAAACAAUCAAUAACACAAAGCAGUUCAUGCUGAAAUAUUGGAAACCCACACCCAAAGAGUUCUCCGCUGCGAGGUUGAAGGCAGGAGAGAUGGGUGACAGAUUUUACUUCCACUGCGAAGUUGGAGGCUAGGAGAGUCUGUGACUGCCAUGGUUGAGGGAGAAGAUGCGUUCAAAAUGCCUAUUGAUAUUUUACAUUAUUGGCUUUUUUCAAAAGUGAAAGUUUUUUUAUGGGUAAAACCUAAAUUUACUUUUUCUAUACAAGUUAACAGUGUUUGUGUAUUGUGAAAAGGUGGAGAGACGUGUCAAAAUUUUAGACAAAGGACAGGAGGAGAUAGGGAAUUUGGGGACAGCAGAUCUCAACUCCCUUGAGACCCUAUUCUCUACGCCACCCCUCCCCCUCAACAACCCUAGUCACCAUUUCUCCUUCAACUCCAACGGCAACUCAUUAAAACCCAAUUCUCAAAUGCAACAAUCUAAUCCCAAUCCCAAUUCAGAUGUUUCUAAAAAACCCAUUGUCGUGGUGGAGAACUGCAAUUCCAGGUGGUGGUGGUGGUACCACAUGGGAGAGAGAAAAAAGAAGAAGAAGAAGCAGGAGAGAGAGAGUUUUUUAUUUUAUUAUUAUUUUACUGUAAUUUUUUAAUUUAAAUAAUUAAAAAAAUUAAAAGUUAAAGAGGAUGUACCAUGGGUAUUUUUGGUAGUUAAAUAAGGUGUACUUAGGGUCAGUUUGGCAUUGCUGUGCUGUGAAAAUAAUAGCUGUCAGAUUUGCUGUGAGAGAAAUCAGCUGUGAGAGAAAUCAGUUUGGCGUUUGAUAAAAUUUUUGUUAAAAGUGUGUUGAUAUUGAUUUUAUGCUUAAUCCGAAAAUGAUUGCUGCAUAAUCAUUAAACCCAGCGCCUCUUCGAAACUGAUUCCUAUAUAAUCAGAAAAUGAAAGCACCUCAUUAGCUGCUUUCCUUUAUAGCUUUCUCUCACAGCAAUUUUUAACAAUAAGUGAUUUUCUCACAGUUUACCAAACGGGUUGGGCUUCUCAAAAUUUUUUAAAAAUCACUUAUUACCCCAAAUAAGCAAUACCAAACGGGCACUUAGUUAAUUUUACAUUUUAAUUUAAACAUUAGGGUGUACUCAGUUAAUUUUAGGGUUCGUUCAGCAGCACUCAAAAUUAAACAAGGUGAGGGAUGAGCAAGUAGGGACAUGAGACAUUGCCACAGUAGAUUGAUAUAACUAAAUAUUAUUAUAAACAUAGAAAUAUAUAAGUAUUAUUAUAAUAGGAUUCAUAAUAAUUAAUAUAAAAGUAUAACAACAAUAUUUACAUUUAUGUACCAAGAUAAUUACACAUAUAAAUAUAACCAAUAUAUAUUUUUAUAUAUUUUAAAAUAUAAGUCUUUACGUAAAUGCCUUUCACGGGUCAAGCCACAAGUCUGUGUUUUGGGGAUUGCUGAGCUGCAUCAAUCCUGCCAAUGUCAAUUCUGCCCCUGAGCUCUCUCAAAGCACGUUUAAAACCUAUGCUAACAUAUACUAGAGUUUAUGCUGUAUCUAGAAAAUGCCAACACUAAUUUCGUAACACGUAGAAAUUGUUAGAGAUUGGAAGUUUUUAUCAUUUUUUCUUCCAGUCUCUCCACUACUUAUUAAUACAGAUUACUCAUGUGAUGAGUUUACAAAACCUAUUUCUCUACUCUCGCAAAGACUAAACUUCUUCUCAAAAGACUAGAUCACUUUACCUCUAUCUCUGUGAAAUGUAAAAAGUUGAAACUUUAAUGUCAAACCUCGACAAAGUGUUCUACUUUACAAACUUCUUGUGUCUACCAAUUUGUACUAAAAUUAAUUUCUCUACAGUGCUCAGAUUCAUCAUAUGUGUGUCCUUAAUUUUAGUGGAAAUUGGAAGUUUCCAUAAUUUUUGCUUUAAGUCACUCUUCUGAAGGAAGUUGAGGUUCCACUUCAUAAUCCAAAAUGUCAGGUUGACUUAUGGCAAACAAUGUAAAUAUGUAGGAGUACUAUGACCUUUUAUAGCAUUUUUAGUUUGAAUUUGGGUUUUAUACAUAGAUUUCAAAAUUAAUAGGUUGAUGCCUAGGAAAUAGAAAUUGUAAGGGCCUAUAUUAGAGUAGCCCUCUUAAAAAUAAUAUUAAUUAAUGAAUAUUUGUUCUUCUUGUUGUUUUGAAGUAGUGGUGGGAGGCAGACCAACAAAAAAAAAAUAUAGUGAAGGCUUAUAAGAGCAUUUACAAUCAUGCUCCCUAUUUUUUAGUUAAAAUUUAGCUAAAAAUAGAAAAAAAGUUAUUAUAGGAGCUCUUUAUAAAGCUCCUUUAUAAAAUUUGAACUCCAAUCAUACUCCCUAGUUUAGGGAGUCAAAAAUACUAUAGUUAUUUUUUAAUUCAAUUUGAUUUUGGUUAAUCUCUAUAAAUAUGAAAAAAUAGUUAGCAUUAAUUAAAAGUUUAAACUAUGCAUAAAACAAAGAAACAUUAAAUUAUAGGGAGCCACUAUGAGUCAUUACUCUCUCCUCAGAUUUAGGAGCUCCUAAAGGUCUCCCUAUUUUAUGAGGUGGAUAAGGAGCAUGGUUGGAGUUGUAUUUCUUCAAUUUCCUCCCUAAAAUUUGUCUAAGGAUGUGGUUUAGGGAGCCCAUUGUGAAUGCUCUAACUCUGGUAAAACACGAGUGACAUGGACAACAUAUGUUACGUCGUACUGAAGAUUUUUGGGUUUCUUUAAUUGGUUAAGUAGCAUCCACACAGCUUCCUAAAUCAUCUCCUUAGACAAAUUUUAGGGAGGAAUUGGAAAAGUACAACUCCAACUAUGCUCCCUAUCCACCAACUAAAAUAGGGAGACUUCUAGGAGCUCCUAAAUCUGAUGAGAGAGAAAGGACUCUUAAUGACUCCCUAUAAUUUAAUGUUGCUUUAUAUUAUUUUGUAUACAGACGGGUCAAUUAUAUUAAAUUAAAAAAUAAUUAAAGUAUUUAUGACUCUCUAAACUAGUGAGCAUAAUUGUAGAUCAUCUUAUAUACCUUAAUUUGAAGAUUCUUUAUUUGGGUUUCUUUCAAGACUUAUCACCUUAGCCACGCCACCUACACGUCUGCAAGCUUUCCUAACAAGGAAGGGGAGGCUGCGCAAUACUUAUCACCUUAGCCACACUACACCAAAUUGACGUCUGCAAGCUUUCGUAAUCUAACAAGGAAGGGGAGGCUGCGCAAUACUUAUCACCUUAGCCACACCAACACCACAAGACCAAUAUGUGUAGUCCAGGAGGCUUUCCCAUUUUAAUAUAUAUUAUCAAAUAAAAUAAAAAUCAAUCUAUUAUCAUAUAUAUUAUAAAAUAAAGAUUAUUGCUCCAUCCUCCAUGCACUUGCAUGCCUCUUACAAAGUGUGAAGUAGAUUUUGUGUGCUCCAAGUCAUUGACGAGAGCUGUAACAUGGUUAGCUGGAUUUAUAAGAUCUUUUCUUUUCUGGGAAUUUUCUGAAUCAAGAAAAAUUAAGUAAAAUUAAUAAAGCAUAAAUUAGAAAGGAAAAAUAUCUAGAGGAUGCAUUGUAGGAUUGCACAUGCCAAUAAUUGUAUCCUCUAAAUAUAUAGGGACAUAUUUUUUUGUUUUCAUGACAUGUGGCCCUAAAAUUAUUGUUCCUAGCGGGCUCUCCACCCCCUCUCGAUUGAAAACUAAUUGUGUAAAUCUUCAAUCUUGAAUGAUGCACCUAAAACUCAAGUGUCCCAGGCCAAUUAUUGCUCUCAUACCACUUGUUGUAAUAAACAUCCAUCCAUUCUAAAGGAAAGAUAACCAUCGAUAUUAUCUCAAAUUUAACCACUUAAGUUCAUUAUGAUUAACUAUGUAUCUUAUGGACCAAUCCAAUCAUGAGGUUUUAUACCCAAUUAGAUCGACUAAUACAAAGUUCACACGUGGAUUGAAAAGCGCUAUCAGUAGGGGAGUGUUCGGCACCCUUUACUGCCGAACGCAACACAAGACCCCUUGCAUGCCUUCACUAAGUUGAGCCUAUCUAUUUUUUAGCAUUAACAAUAUAUAUAGAUUGAAAAAAUAAAAUAAAAAUCAAUCUAUUAUCAUAUAAAAUAAAUAUUAUUGCUCCAUCCUCCAUACACUUGCAUGCCCUCUUACAAAGUGUGAAGUAGAUUUUUUGUGCUCCAACUCAUUGACUAGGGCUGAAACAUGGUUAGUUGGAUUUAUAAGAUCUUUUCUUUUCUGGGAAUUUUCUGAAGCACGGAAAAUCAAAUAAAAUUAAUAAAGCAGAAACUGUACCCUUUAAUUAUAUAUGGACGUAUGUUUUUUUGUUUUCAAGUCUUAGAUGACAUGGGGACCUAAAAUUAUUGCUCCUAGUGGACUCUCGACCCCUCUCAAAUUUAAGUGGUCCAUUAUUAUUAACCACAUAUUUUAUGGACCAUGCAGCUGUGAGGUUUUAUCUCAAAAACCUUCGGUACAUUUCUCCCACAUGCCACAAUUGUAUAUUCACAAUUACGGCUGUUACGUCACAUCAUGCCACUUGCCUCACAUGCAACAAGUCUGUGUUUUGGGGAUUGCCGAGCUGCAUCAAUUCUGCCAAUGUCAAUUCUGCCCCUGGACUCUCUCAAAGCACAUUUAAAACCUAUGCGAACAUAUAUUAGAGUUUAUGAUGUAUGUAUCUAGAAAAUGCCAACACUAAUUUCGUAACAUGUAAAAAUUAUUAGAGAUUGGAAGUUUUUAUCAUUUUUUCUUCCAGUCUCUCCACCACUUAUUAAUACAGAUUACUCAUGUGAUGAGUUUACAAAACCUAUUUCUCUACUCUCGCAAAGACUAAACUUCUUCUCAAAAGACUAGAUCACUUUACCUCUAUCUCUGUGAAAUGUAAAAAGUUGAAACUUUAAUGUCAAACCUCGACAAAGUGUUCUACUUUACAAACUUCUUGUGUCUACCAAUUUGUACUAAAAUUAAUUUAUCUACGGUGCUCAGCUUCAUCGUAUGUGUGUCCUUAAUUUUAGUGGAAAUUGGAAGUUUCCAUAAUUUUUGCUUUAAGUCACUCUUCUGAAGGAAGUUGAGGUUCCACUCCAUAAUCCCAAAUGUCAGGUUGACUUAUGGCAAACAAUGUAAAUAUGUAGGAGUACUAUGACCUUUUAUAGCAUUUUUAGUUUGAAUUUGGGUUUUAUACAUAGAUUUCAAAAUUAAUAGGUUGAUGCCUAGGAAAUAGAAAUUGUAAGGGCCUAUAUUAGAGUAGCCCUCUUAAAAAUAAUAUUAAUUAAUGAAUAUUUGUUCUUCUUGUUGUUUUGAAGUAGUGGUGGGAGGCAGACCAACAAAAAAAAUAUAGUGAAGGCUUAUAAGAGCAUUUACAAUCAUGCUCCCUAUUUUUUAGUUAAAAUUUAGCUAAAAAUAGAAAAAAGUUAUUAUAGGAGCUCUUUAUAAAAUUUGAAUUCCAAUCGUACUCCCUAAUUUAGGGAGUCAUAAAUAUUAUAGUUAUUUUUUAAUUCAAUUUGAUUUUGGUUAAUCUCUAUAAAUAAAUAAAAAUAUGAAAAAAUAGUUAGCAUUAAUUAAAAGUUUAAACUAUGCAUAAAACAAAGAAACAUUAAAUUAUAGGGAGCCACUAUGCCAAUAAUUGUAUCCUCUAAAUAUAUAGGGACAUAUUUUUUUUGUUUUCAUGACAUGUGGCCCUAAAAUUAUUGUUCCUAGCGGGCUCUCCAACCCCUCUCGAUUGAAAACCAAUUGUGUAAAUCUUCAAUCUUGAAUGAUGCACCUAAAACUCAAGUGUCCCAGGCCAAUUAUUGCUCUCAUACCACGUGUUGUAAUAAACAUCCAUCCAUUCUAAAGGAAAGAUAACCAUCGAUAUUAUCUCAAAUUUAACCACUUAAGUUCAUUAUGAUUAACUAUGUAUCUUAUGAACCAAUCCAAUCGUGAGGUUUUAUACCCAAUUAGAUCGACCAAUACAAAGUUCACACGUGGAUUGAAAAGCACUAUCAAUAGGGGAGUGUUCGGCACCCUUUACUGCCGAGCGCAACACAAGAUCCCUUGCAUGCCCUCACUAAGUUGAGCCCAACUAUUUUUUAGCAUUAACAAUAUAUAUAGAUUGAAAAAAUAAAAUAAAAAUCAAUCUAUUAUCAUAUAUUUUAUAAAAUACAUAUUAUUGCUCCAUCCUCCAUACACUUGCAUGCCCUCUUACAAAGUGUGAAGUAGAUUUUUUGUGCUCCAACUCAUUGACUAGGGCUGAAACAUGGUUAGUUAGAUUUAUAAGAUCUUUUGUUUUUUGGGAAUUUUCUGAAGCAAGGAAAAUCAAAUAAAAUUAAUAAAGCAGAAACUGUACCCUUUAAUUAUAUAUGGACAUAUGUUUUUUUGUUUUUUUGCUCUCGACCCCUCUCAAAUUUAAGUGGUCCAUUAUUGUUAACCACAUAUUUUAUGGACCAUCCAGCUUCGGUACAUUUCAAAAAGCUUCGGUACAUUUCUCCCACAUGACACAAUUGUAUAUUCACAAUUACUUCUGGGUACCCCUCAUCAGUCGUCUAUAAAAUGGUGAAGCCAGUUGCUACUGUUACCAUAAGAGCCAGCUCCGACUUUCUUUAAUUUCUUGCUACAUCUGUUGCUAAGUUAAUUUCAGUCCUAAUGGGGUUUCAUCUCCCACUCAUCUUUGCUAUUCUCAGUGUAAGCUCUGCAAUUUGAUUAACUUUUCCAUUCUCUCUCAUUGUACUCUAUAUAUAUAAAUGAAAGUUUUGUGUUCCUAUAAUUCUCUCCGAUUUUAUUUAGUACGUACUUAAGUGUCGUCCACUAAUUAAUUACACUUUGUGAGAUUUGAUUUUAAUUAGAGUUCGAAUUAAUGUUGCAGCUAGCAGCGGUUGCACUGGCAAACAAUGCUGCUCAACCAGCACCUCAACUUUACUGGAACUCCGUCCUGCCAAACACACAGAUGCCAAGAUCUAUCAGUGAACUUCUGCAUCCUGGUUUGUGUUCAGCUCUUUAUAAUCUUAGAUAUCUCUUCUACCUGCCAUUUUACUAAAAUAUGUUCGACCACAUAUUUAUCAGCUAACUACUGUGAUUACAAGAAUGACACUUAUUUUCCAAUAUAAUUUGCAGACUCCACAAAUGAAGAAAAGAGCAAACCUGAAAUUUUCCCAUUGCAGGGCAAUAGAGUUUACACUCAAAGCCAUUAUAAAAAACGUCCUCCUCCUCCAUCUGACGAGGGCAAACCUGAAACUUUCCCAUUGGGCAAUAGCCAUUACACUCAAACCCGUUAUAAAAAACGUCCUCCUCCUCCAUCUGACGAGGGCAAACCUGAAAAUUUCCCAUUGGGCAAUAGCCAUUACACUCAAACCCGUUAUAAAAAACGUCCUCCUCCUCCAUCCGACGAGGGCAAACCUGAAAAUUUCCCAUUGGCCAAUAGCUUUUACACUCAAACCCGUUAUAAAAAACGUCCUCCUCCUCCAUCUGACGAGGGCAAACCUGAAAAUUUCCCAUUGGCCAAUAGCUUUUACACUCAAAGCCAUUAUAAAAAACGUCCUCCUCCUCCAUCUGACGAGGGCAAACCUGAAAAUUUCCCAUUGGCACGUUCUCCUCCAUCUGACAGUCAACUAAAGCAUUACAAAGACUUAGCUAUUUUCUUCUUCGAGAAGGACAUGCGCCCGGGCACAACUAUGAAGUUCCAAUUCCCUAGAAAUUCAAACACGGCUACUUUCCUGCCACGCGAAAGUGCUCAAUCGAUCCCCUUCUCCUCUAAGAAACUACCAGAAAUUUUCAACCAUUUUUCAGUGAAGCCAACAUCUGAGGAAGCCAAAACAAUUAAGCAAACAAUCGAAGAGUGUGAAGCUCCAGGCCUUAAGGGAGAGGAAAAAUAUUGCGCCACAUCUUUAGAAUCAAUGGUUGAUUUUAGCACUUCGAAGCUUGGAACAAGAAACGUUGAAGCAAUCUCAACGGAGGUAUUGGAAGAAGGAGCCACCAAGUACAUGCACAACUAUACAACAAUGCCGGGACUGAAGAAGUUGGAAGGUGACAAAGUCGUUGUGUGUCAUAAGGAGAACUAUCCCUAUGCUGUGUUUCUCUGCCAUGCAAUAAAACAAACAGAAGCUUAUGUUCUCUCCCUGAAAGCCGAUGAUGGGAUGAAGGUGAAAGCAGUAACCAUCUGCCAUCUAGACACAUCAGAAUGGGACCCAGAGCAUUUGUCCUUCCAAAUCCUCAACGUUAAGCCCGGAACCACUCCCAUCUGCCAUUUCCUUACCACUGAUGCUAUUGCCUGGGUUCCAAAACACAAAUCUGCAUGAUCAUCACUUAGCACUGUACGUGUAAUAAGCUUGGUCGGGUUGCACCCUAGGCCUGCAUAAUUAUCUCCCUACUUAUUUCUGCCUCUUCAUCAUGCGGUGUAAGAUAUAUGAUGAGAUGAAGUUUUCUCUUGUAACUAUGUAGACUACUUCAACUUGUACUCAUAAUAAAGCACGCUGUUGGGGGGUUCUACUUAAUUUCGUUCUCUCCAAUGUUUGAGUGUUGAAUUGUUACGUUGGAAUAGGCUGCUAAUGCAUGUAGUUAGAGAAGCCUUCAUUUAUAUCAAAGUCCUCAAACUAUCAAGAAUUAAUGUAUCCAGAAACAUAUACCAAGACGCAAAACAACAUAUUUUCCAUUCUCUGUCUGUAACACCAAAGCAAACUUCCUUUAUCACAUCAUUUAAAGGAUCAAAUUCCAGUACUAAUCUAAUCCAUCAUGUAAAGCAUACAAGUGCCUACCUAAAUUUGUCCAUUGGAUAUAUAUGUCACUUUUUAUUUUUUGAUAGAGAUAUAAAUGUUGAAAAAAUUAGAGUACACAACUCUUAUAGACACUACUACGAUUUACUAUUUGCGCGACGGAAGUUUGCGCGACGAACAUUGUUUCGUCGCGCAAAAAGCACUAUUGCGACGAAAAAAAAAUACCGUAGCGCAAACAACAUAACACAAGCGCGACAAACAGUUUCGUCGCGCAAACAAUCUAUGCGCGACCAAUAUUAAUUUCGUCGCGCAAAGGUAGGGGAAAAAAACCCGGUUUUUUUUUUUUGGCGCCAUAAUCUUGCGCGACAACAACAAUCGUCGCGCAUGACAAUAUUGCGCGACAAUUCAAAGAAUUCGUCAGGUAAAGAUGGACAGAAAAUUGUCUCAUUUUUUUGGCGGUAAAAAACUUUGCGCGACGAAAUUUUUCGUCUCAAAAGACAACUUAGCGCGACGGAAAUAUGUACCGUCGCGUAAAAAAACGAGGGAUACUUAUUUUUGGCGCCAAAAUGCAGGGUGGAUAAAAAAAAUUUUGCGCGACGGAAUUACCUUCGUCGCGUAAAGUGUAAUGCCGGUGCUUUCUUGCGCGACGAAAUAAAUAAUUUGCGCGACGUAAUUUAAACCUUGCGCGACGAAAAGUAUUAUUUGCGCGACGAAAUUUUGUGCGACGAAUAAUAUGUUUCGUCGCACAAAAAAGCAGAUGUCGACAGGUAAUUGCGCGACGGAAAUGUUGUUUUGUGCGAUGGAAAAGUGGGUUUUCGCGACGGCAUUUUGCGCGACGGAUAUUGGUGUUCGUCGCGCAAAGUCCUUCUUCUUCAUAUUAGUAUCUGCCAUUGCAGAGGCAGAAUGCAGAAAUUGCAUUCUGCCUCUCUCUCACUCUCCCUGCCGCUGCUCUGCUGUGAAUUCAAUACGUUCAUUGGGUAUGUAUUUUUUGUCGUUAGUUUAAAUGUAUUAAUGUAAAUUCGUAGUAACGCUAUUAAUUUUGUUAUCGUUAGGGAUAUUUGUGAUUAGUGAUUGGUGGAGAACGAUUGAGAAGGUAUGUUAUUGUAAAAGUUUGUUUGUUAUGUUUGUAAUUUUUUUGUGAAGUUAUAUGUAUAUAAUGUUGUGAAAUUGUGCGUGACAUAGCACAAUGUGUUGUGAUGUACGAAGUUAAUUGAAAUUAACUUCGUACUUUUAUUUUUAUGUUUAGUAACACGUAGUUUCCCGUUCGAGAUUAGUUGGAUUUCGUGCAUGGAUGAGUAAUGCAUGACUGCGGUCCAAUUAAUUCUUGAAUUGUCCCAUUAUUUGGACAGUUUGGUAAUGCAUAGUGUUGUCACAUAAUCUUCGGCUACAGGAUUAGGUUUCGAUUGUGGAGAUUUCGGUGUCAUCUCGGUACGUUCUUCGAGUGGUACGUAGGUAUUUAUACCUAUGCCCACUUCAAGAACUGUGUCGAGAUGCUGCCGAAAUUAAUCCACGUCGAAAUCUAAUCUCAUGUAGCCGUAGGUUACGUGACAGGACUAUGCAUUCCCGAAUGGGAUAGGGCCCUUACCGGAGGCAUAAGGUGACAUUAUAACUUCGUAUGAAGUUGUUGUGAUUGUUGUGUCGUGAUUGUGGUUUCAUGAAUUAUGAGCAGAAGGUGGAUACAUAACCCGAAUAGAUGCGCAGACGAAUACUUGGAUGGAAUCGAGGAUUUUAUUGAGUUUGCACAUAGACACAACCCGGGUGCAAGUAGAAUCCGUUGUCCUUGUAGGAGGUGUAACAACACGUUGUGGGAGACAAUUGAAAAUGUUGGAUUUCAUUUAGUAAGGAAUGGAAUGAUUGAAACAUAUAGCAUUUGGAACCUUCACGGCGAACAUGUAGGCCAUGCUUCGUCUUCAAAUGCCCCAAGAGUGGACAAUGUUGAACCUAUUGUGGAUCCUAAUGAUCAAGUCAUGGGUAUUAUACAGGAUGCUUUUCCAUUCGCAUCGACCAACAUCAAUCAGGAAGGGGAAGAUAACGUGCCUACACCAAUAGACAGUGCGGAGUUUGAACAGUAUGAAAAACUGUUAAAAAAUGCCAACCAAGAGUUAUACCCGGGGUACGAGAGCUUUUCCGUUCUCACUUCUAUUGUGGAGCUAAUGCACGGAAAAAUAAAGUAUCGUAUGUCGAACUUGUGUUUCGAUUACUUUUUGGGGGUUUUCAAGAGAAUGCUUCCGACGGAUAAUUAUUUGCCGAAAGACCAGAAACAUGCACAGAAGGUGUUGCAUGGUCUUGGAUUGGGUUAUGAAAAAAUCCACGCUUGCAAAAACAAUUGCAUGUUAUUCUACAAAGAGCAUGAAACGUUGGAUACAUGCCCUAUAUGCAAUGAGUCGAGGUUCAAAAUGACAUCCCAGAAUAGAACGACUAAGAUACCACAAAAAGUCAUGCGUUAUCUGCCCCUUAAACCUGGGUUGCAGCGAUUGUAUAUGUCGACGCAUACUGCCACAGACAUGAGAUGGCAUAAGGAAAAACGGGUAGACGAUGAUGUGAUGCGGCAUCCUGCAGAUGGGGAGGCAUGGAAAGAGUUCGAUCGAACGUUCCCCGAGUUUGCUGCUGAUCCCCGAAAUGUAAGAUUGGGACUUGCCACUGACGGAUUCAAUCCGUAUGGGGUUCUAAACCAACACCACAGCACUUGGCCGAUUUUCGCAUUCCCAUAUAAUUUGCCGCCUUGGAAAUGCAUGAAAAAAGAAUACAUGAUGAUGACUGUUUUGAUAACUGAGGAUCCUGGCAGGUCAAUUGAUGUGUACUUAAGGCCUCUGGUUGAUGAGCUGAAAGAUUUAUGGACAAACGGUGUUCGCACGUACGAUAAAUCAACUGGGAGGAUGUUCACUUUGCGAGCAGCAAUUAUGUGGACUGUGAAUGAUUUUCCAGCAUAUGCAAUGGUUUCUGGGUGGAGCACAAAAGGUUAUAUGGCAUGUCAUGUAUGCAAGGAAGAUGUAACUUCUGGUUGGCACGCGGGAAAAGUUUGUUACCUUGGUCAUCGGAGAUGGUUGCCAUGGGACCACGAGUGGCGAGAAAAAGAUAAAGAGUUCAACGGGAACACAGAGCGUCGCCUCAGACCUGGAGAAUGGUCCGGUGAUGAGAUCUUGGAACAGCUGAACCGUUUGGAUUUUGGUCCGUUCGGAAAAACAAUUAGUCGGACCAGACCUUCUACACAUUUGAACUGGACGCACAAGCCUAUGUUUUUUGAGCUCCCAUAUUGGUCGAAACUGAAAUUGAGGCACAAUCUAGAUGUGAUGCAUGUUGAGAAAAAUGUAUUCGACACAUUGGUGGGCACGAUUCUAGAUAUCGAGGGGAAGACGAAGGACACGAUCAAAGCUCGUCUUGAUUUGGAAAGAAUGGGCAUACGAAGGGGUUUAUGGAUGAAUAGGGACAGUGAUAAAGCUAGAAGGGAUCUUGCAUUCUUUUCUAUGAAACCGAAUGACAAAAAGGAGUUUCUAAAGUUUGUAUCGUCUGUCAAAUUUCCCGAUGGGUAUGCUUCUAAUAUCGCACGUUGCGUGAAUGUCGAUGGGGGUAAAUUUACUGGACUUAAGAGCCAUGACUGCCAUGUUCCUGUGGGUAUUCGACACCUACUGCCGGAAGAUGUGGUGAAGCCAAUCAUGUUGUUAUCCAGAUUUUUUUCCCAACUGACGGCAAAAACAUUGCGAAGGACAGACAUGUUUCAGUUGCGCCAUGACAUUGUCCAAGUCCUAUGCAAGUUUGAGAUGAUAUUUCCUCCGGCUUUCUUUACAAGUAUGAUGCACGUAAUGGUUCACUUGCCAGAAGAGGCAUUGCUUGCUGGUCCUGUCAACUAUCGCUGGAUGUAUCCAAUAGAAAGGUAUAUAAUCUUUAUCAUUUGUGUAUGCAUCAUUAUCGACACUUUGCUAAUUUGUAUCAUAUCGUUUUAUUUUGGCAGGCUUCUCGGAGAGCUGAAAAAAAGUGUACGCAACAGGGCAAAGCCCGAAGGAUUAAUUAUAGAGGCUUGGGUUCAAUAUGAGUCGCUUACUUUCUGUGGAAUGUAUUUAAAAGAUGUGGAGACGGUUUUCAAUCGUCCUCAACGCAAUAAUGACGGAGGUAUGAGAAAUGAAAAACUUUUUGUUUUUGCCCAAAGCGCAUGACCAUUUGGAGAUCCUGGACGAGGAGAGUCGUUUUCUAGAAAUGACAUGGAGGUAGCGCAUUGGUUCGUACUGAACAAUUGUGAUGAGAUAAUGGCCUACUUAGAUGAGCAUGAACAGAUGAUGAAGCGAGAACAUCCAUCACAUUUGGUUGCCCGGAAACAUCGUGAAUUAUUUCCACAAUGGUUUUUGGAUUCUGUAAGUUAUAACUGUUUUGUAAUUGACAAAUAUAAAUUGUAGUAUUUAAUUUUGUCAGACUAACAUGUAAAUGAUUUUGUAUACUAUUAGGUGAAUAAAUUGAAAUCAUCGAAUUCCCCCACUUACAGUGAUGAGUUAUAUAACUUGGCGUUCGGCCCAAUUCGUGCUGAGUUGUUCUCGGGUUGUAAUGUUAACGGCGUCAAAUUUUUGGGGGCCGCACGAGAUGACAAGUUGUGUAUGCAAAACAGCGGUGUCCAUGUCCCAGGUGGAGGCGAAAGUACGGACAUUGAUUUCUAUGGCAAACUGACAACUGUCGUGCAAUUGCUUUAGAAAGAUCGAUACCAAGUCAUCAUGUUUAAGUGUCGAUGGUUCGAUACCAACCCAAAUAGGGCGGGAAGUGUUAAAAUCGACCAUGGAGUACUGUUUGUGAACAUGGCGUCCCAAAUUGUGUAUCUAGAUGACCCUAAAGCCGGGAGCGGGUGAAAAGUUGUGCAGAAGAUGGAUCAUAGGAACGUGUAUGAUAUACCAGAACUAGACCCAAGUGACAACGACGUCGACAAUGUGGCUGACCAACGUUUAGAAUCUUCAAUGGAAAAUGAUGCGGAAACACUUCGAGAUACAAAUGUUAUACAAGAACCGUUUCAAAUAGAAGGAGUGUCUUCAGUAGAAAUACCGAUUCAGUCAAUUACAAUUGACCUCGGUGAUCUUCCCCGAUACGAUGUUGCAGUGGGUCCUAGCAACGCCGAUGAUGCAGUUAUAGAGGAGGAGGAGGAAGAAGAUUGGGAGACCGAGAGUGAUGAUAGCGAUGAUAACGAAAGUUAUUAUAGUUCAGAUGAUGAAUAAUGAAUUUAUUUGUAAAGUUAUUAUGUUAGUGUAUUCAUUUUGUGUAAUACAAAUCUUUGAAUAUAUGUAGUUGUCCAUAUGUAGUUGUGUAUUCAUUCUCCAUAUUUCAUCACAAACUUCAUUGGAAUGUCAAUACUUUAGUCAAUACUUAUUACGACCCCAUGCUUGUCGAUUGGUUUUUAUUUAUUUAUUUAUUAAUGUCUUUAACUCUUCAAUUAUUAUUUUUUUCUUUUGAGAUAUAGUUAUUUCUUCAUGUUUAAACAAAAAAUAUAAGUUAUUUCUCCAAUAUUAUCUGUGUGCCACUUAUUUUUCUUCACUUUGGUUCAUGAUUAGUGGCAUCAAUCUAGUCAAACCGAUAAAAUCGGUCGAUUCAAAUCUUAAUUAUCAAUUUAGUUUGGUUUUGAUGAAGAAAUACAAAGCCUUUCCAAAAAAUACAGAGCAUAAAAAAUGAUGAAUACAAAACCUUUCCAAAAAAUACAAAGCAUACACAAUUUGAAUUAAAUGAGGAUUUAUGGCGCCAAAUCCUUGCGCAACGAUAAGGAGCCCUUCGUCGCGCAAAUAUAUAUUAGGUAACGUUAUAGUAUAAUAUAUACCCACAUAUAUAUUUAAAAUUGGCGAUCGAAGUAGUUCAUUGUAUUCAUAUGAAGUGUAGGACUGUAGCUGCAAAAAAUCAUCAACAUCGGAGUUAAAAUAACCGUUCAAUCAUCACUUUUUAUUUAGAACCGUCGAAAAGUUUUACCCCGUUACUUAAUCUCUGAAUGUUUUUUUUGUCUGAUUUUUGCUGUCUAUGAUCUCGAAGUAUAACAAAACAAGUUUGACGGCUGGAUGACUGAAGCUAGUUUCGUAGACUGCGUGUGCUAUCAAAAUCAUAUAUUCACCAAAAACUCAAAAAUUUGUUCAUACAUUUGUGAAAAUGUAACUUAAUGUUUAUGUGGUAUCCCCUAGUGUAAAAAUAUGAAAUUGAAGAUCAAAUUCAGUCAUUGUAUUCAUAUAGGGUCAACAAAUGUUGCUGUAAAAAAUGAUCAAAAUCGGAGUUAAAAUAACCGUUAAAUCAUGACUUUUCAUUUAUAACCGUCAAAAUAUUUUGUCCUGUUCCCUGAUAUCUGAAUGUUUGGUCGUUUUGAUUUUUGGCGUAUACGAUCUCCAAGUAUAAACAAAUAAGUUUGCCGGUUGGAUCAUUGAAACUAUUUUAGGGUUUAGGGUUUAGGGCUUAGGGCUUAGGGUUUAGGGUUUACAUUUUAGGGUUUAGGUUUUGCGCGACGAAUAAACAUUCCUUUCGUCGCACAAAGUGAAAGUGACAAAGAUUGCGCGACGGAUAAGUCUUCCAUUCGUCGCGUAAUCUGGGACACACAUUUCACCCCUCCAUACCCUUUGAACACUUAGUGAAAAUUUCAACCGAAUGAAAUUCUUGAACCCGCGCGACGAACAAAGCAAAUACGUCGCGUAAAGUGGACGUGAACAAGAUUGCGCGACGGAUAAAUCUGGUAUUCGUCGCGCAAUCUGGGCCACACUUUCACCCUUCCAUCCCCUUUGAACACUUAGUGAAAAUUUCAACCGAAUGAAAUUUUUGAACUCGCGCGACGAACAAAACAAAUACGUUGCGCAAAGUGGACGUGAACAAGAUUGUGCGACGGAUAAAUCUAAUUUUCGUCGCGCAAUCUGGGCCACGCUUUCACCCUUCCAUCCCCUUUGAACACUUAGUGAAAAUUUCAAGCGAAGCAAAAUCUUCAACUCGCGCGACGAAUAAAAGUAUUCGUCGCGCAAAAGGCACAGGCCUCUGAUUUUUGUUAGCAAACAUUGCGCGACGUUUACUGUCUUCGUCGCGCAAAAGGCACAGACCCUUCAGUUUCAGCCUCCCGCUAAACCCAAAAUUUUCCCAAAAUUUUGGCGGAACGACAGCGUUUUGCGCGACGAACAUAUGACUUUCCGUCGCACAAGGUUAACCUUGCUCGACGUUUACUAUCUUCGUCGCGCAAAAGCACAAACCCUUCAGUUUCAGCCUCCCGCUAAACCCUAAGUCCCAAAAUUUGGGCGGAACGACAUCGUUUUGCGCGACGAAUAUAUGAUUUUCCGUCGCGCAAGGAGAACCUUGCGCAACGUUUACUAUCUUCGUCGCGCAAAAUCACAGUUUCAGCCUCCCGCUAAACCCUAAAUCCCAAAAUUUUGGUGGAACAACAGCGUUUUGCGCGACGAACCAUGUAUUUUUCGUCGCGCAAAAGGCACAGACCCUAAUCCCCAUUCAAAAUUUGGCGUUCUGGGAGACCUUGCGCGACGGAUAUUUCAUCGCGCAAGAUUCAUUAAUACCAUUUUGCACGACGCAUUCUGUUCUUCGUCGCGCAAAGUCGAAUAAAUUUGCAGAAACGGCCCGAUGCCUCCUUCUUCCCCAUUUUCUGGUUUCUCUCCGUUUCUUCCUCUCUCUCCGCCGUCACCUUAGCCCUCUCUCUCUGCCAUCACCUCAGCCACCUCCGCUCGUUCCGUAGCCUCCCUGCCGUCACCGUCGAGCCUGCCGUCGCAAUUUCGUCAGUUUUUCCCGAUUCUUCGCCGGCCGAUUUCUCUCUCCUCCGGCCACCAUUUUCGACGCCUAAGGUAUGAUUUCUCGACUAUUUUUUGUGCUCUAGCUGAUGGUUGGUUAGGAUUUCUUGAAUUUUCGCUAUAGGAAAUAGGAAUUAAAACCCUAGGUUUUGGCCGCUUUGGGAAUUUCAAAUCCGGCCACUUCCGGCCAUUUUUCGGGGUAGGUCCGAGAACAAAAGUGGCUCCAAUUAAUGUUUUCAACCUAGGGUAGGAACCUUGGCCCUUAGUUUUUAGAAUUUUCCGACGAAUGUUAUCGCUUUGGACACCCACGCGCUGCCGGCGCGUGUGGUGGCGCGUGGGAUGUUGUGGCAGUGGGGCAUUGGGUCCCAGAGCAAUCCCCUGUUUGUCACGAGCGCGUAGGUUUGCUCGGAUUUGAAUUUGGUUAUCGUUUGAGUCUUGAUCGGAUUUCGGCUAUUGUGCGAUUUCCAGGUUUGAUAUGUUCGGACCGUUGGAUCGAACUCAAACUCACGUAGUUGUACCUUUGUGUUUCUACGAUCGUUUAGGAUUCGACCGAUCGUUGAUCGGUGUCCCGGAUACUUCGAAAUUCCAAACCCUAGGUGAAGCUAUGCUUUUAAUUAAUUAGUUUAAAUUCUUAAUGAAAUUAUAUGUGCAGAUGUCAGAUUUGAUUAGACGUGGUAGGUCGAUGAUGACUGCACCGAGUUCGGAUCCCCCUGCUCAGUCGGCAUAUGCUGCCACUGCUCCAGCUUUGAUGGAGCACGUGCUGGUUGGUCCCGGGGCGUCCCAGGCGCCUGCGUCAUCUGCGUCAUCCGUCGCGCAGCCAGCUAGUGCUAGGCGGCGGCACCGGCCCGCCGACACGACAUCGACCGACGGUACUGGUGCCUCGGGAUCACAGCCAGAUAUAACUACCAUUUUGUAUUGUUAAUUUUAUAUUGAAAUUUGACAAUGUUGUUUAUUUAACAUUAAUAUCUUUUUUCUUUGCAGCGAAGAAGAACACCUGAGGGCCGUGUCGUCAGCUGAAGACGGCGAAGGUCACCCGGGUGACCAACAGUCGUAUCAGCAUCGGAUACGACGAGCGCCAUCGGGCUGCACCGACGGCGGAGUUGCAUAGCUCCUUGGCCCACGACAUUGGCCACGUCGUGCGGACCCAUUGCCUGAUGCAAUGGAAGUCUUGGAGGGUCAUGCCUGACGAGAUCAAGGUGGAGGUUCGCGGCCAGUUGUCGGUAUGUACCUUACAUUUUCAUUAAUUUUCUUUAAAAUUGUGUAUAUUUCUAUUACUUAACGUAUCUAAUUAAUUGAUUGCAGACGAACUAUAACUUGGAGGAUCUCGACGAAGAGUCGUUGGCGUACGUCAACAGACUCUUCGCUGAGAGGUACAAGCAGUGGAAGAGCGACUUGCACCAUCAUUUUCAGGCCUUUGAUGAUCCGCAAGUCGCUCUUCAGGAGGGUUGCCCGAAGGAGCUUGAGGGGCGGGAGGAUAGUUGGGAGUGGCUCUGCGCUCAUUUUCAAGCGUCCGAAUAUGUGGUAUUUUUUUAAUAAUAUUUGUUUAAUUAUUACUUAUUUCUUAUUAAUGUUUAUUUCAUUUUUUUUAUUUCAUUAUUAUUUAAUUUGUUAUGUUUUAACUAAUACGUUUCAUUUUUUGUAUAACAGAAUAAGGCCCAAGUGAAUAAGGGUAAUAGGAAGAAGAAGACCCUUCUCCACCAUUCCGGCUCCAGGCCCUUUUCGUAUAGGAUGGAUGCCCGGCGACGGGUAAUAAUCACAUAAUUUAUAUUUCAUUUUUAAUGUCAUUUUUAUUAAUUUAUUUUUUUCAUACUAAUAUUUUUCUUCUCUUGUUCAAUUUAGGAGGGGUCCAAGUUCCCAGAGAUCGACGUCUUUGGUGACGUUUAUGUUCGACCCGGGAAUGAGUUGGCCGAGUCCCUUCAUGUAAGUAUUAUUUAAUUUUAAUUCUUAUGUUACGCAUUCAAUUUAUAUGCAUGUUUAAAUUUAUAUUUUAUGUUAUGUUCAACAGACGACGAUGGUGGAGAGGAGCCAGUUGGUUCUUCAGGAGUCCGCCUCCCAGCUUCCUCCCGAGACUCCGAUCGAGUCUGUGGCUCCUCCACAGGAUGCUGGAUUUCAGAUCUUGACGGAGACGUUGGAUCAGACUCUCGGGAGGAGGCCGGGGACAUAUUGUCGAGGGAUGGGGAAUGCCCGGCGGAGGGAACCUAGACCUCGUUCAUCGGCCCAGUCAAACAGUCAGGUGACUGCUUUGACAGCACAGGUGGCCGAGCUUCAGGGUCAGAUGUCGGUGAUUCUACAGUCCCUCGCACAGAGCGGCUUUCCAAUCCCGCAGUUUCGUGCGUCAACCUCCCAGCCCGUCCACCCCGAGUAUGCCCACCAGACCACUGCCCCGGUGGACGCCCAGACCUCCGAGCCGCAUACUGGCGACGACCCGAUUG